ACCAUGAAGACGACAUGCAUGGGAGUCAUGGGGUAGAAGUAUCACCAUCUUCACUACACGAAUAUCUCAUAUGUUAACUUCUAGCACCGUGUUUUGAGAGCUUGUAUAGUUUAUACAUUACUUCACGUGGUGGAUUGUCUUGGAAUUCUAGAUUUACAAUUUUGGUUUGUAUGGCUUAACUAAUUUCCACUAAGACUUACGUGAUCGCCUAGAGUUUCGGAGUGGCACUUGGUUCAUGUUGGUAUUGUAGGUUUGCGCUUUAUGCUUGUGUUUGGUUCCUUGUCAUACAUAAUCAUAUGAUCCGCGUGUCAUGGAUGUACUUAGAAACAGAGAAAGCUCUAUCGAAAUUUCCUUUGAGGGCAUGUUUUCUUUUCCAAUGUCUUAUGUGGUAAUAUUCCAAGCGCCUUGUCAGCUUGGGGUGUUAUAGUUGGUAUCAGAGCGGGCUUUAUGUCCUAGUGUAUCUAUAUAGGAUAACAACAUAACUUAGUUAUGAAUUUAGGAUUGAUUAAAAAAAUUUACUAUAGGAUGAACAGCAUUGAAACAGACACACUGGUGCACAAUUGGAUGGGUUGGCCAUGCAUUGCAUUUCUCUUAAGUUAAUGUUUUUCUUUAAUGUUGACAUACUUAUGUCGGCAUAUGAUCAUGACUUUUGGGUUGAUGAUUGAUUAUGCUACUUAUAGCUAUGCUUAAGGAUGCAAUAAUCGGGUAGAGUAAUCUUAUGUCGAAUGUGAGCAUAGUCAUCGUGAAGAAGGCGCCCUUGAUACUUCUCCAACGUAUCUAUAAUUUUUGACUCCUCCAUGCUAUAUUAUCUACUAUUUUGGACAUUAUUGGGCUUUAUUAUCCACUUUUAUAUUAUUUUUGCGACUAACCUAUUAACCGGAGGCCCAGCCCAGAAUUGCUAUUUUUUGCCUAUUUCAGGGUUUCGAAGAAAAGGAAUAUCAAAUGGAGUCCAAACGGAAUGAAACCUUCGGGAACGUGAUUUUCUCAACGAGCAAGACCCAGGAGACUUGGACCCUACGUCAAGACACAAAAGAGGAGGCCAUGAGGUAGGGGGCGUGCCUACCCCCCCCCCCUACGCGCGCCCUCCACCCUCGUGGGCCCCUGUUGCUCCACUAAUGUACUCCUUCCUCCUAUAUAUACCUACGUACCCCCAAACGAUCAGAUACGGAGCCAAAACCCUAAUUCCACCACCGCAACUUUCUGUAUCCACGAGAUCCCAUCUUGGGGCCUGUUCCAGAGCUCCGCCGCAGGGGGCAUCGAUCACGAAGGGCUUCUACAUCAAUACCAUAGCCCCUCCGAUGAAGUGUGAGUAGUUUACCUCAGACCUACGGGUCCAUAGUUAGUAGCUAGAUGGCUUCUUCGCUCUUUUUGGAUCUCAAUACAAUGUCCCACCCUCUCUUGUGGACAUCUAUUCGAUGUAAUCUUCUUUUUGCGGUGUGUUUGUUGAGACAGAUGAAUUGUGGGUUUGUGAUCAAGUCUAUCUAUGAACAAUAUUUGAAUCUUCUCUGAAUUCUUUUAUGUAUGAUUGGUUAUCUUUGCAAGUCUCUUUGAAUUAUCAGUUUGGUUUGGCCUACUAGAUUGAUCUUUCUUGCAAUGGGAGAAGUUCUUAGGUUUGGGUUCAAUCUUGCGGUGUCCUUUCCGAGUGACAGUAGGGGCAGUAAGGCUCGUAUUGUAUUGUUGCCAUUGAGGAUAACAAGAUGGGGUUUUCAUCAUACUGCAUGAGUUUAUCCUCUACAUCAUGUCAUCUUGCUUAAGGCGUUACUCUGUUUUCAUUAACUUAAUACUCUAGAUGCAUGCUGGAUAGCGGUCGAUCAGUGGAGUAAUAGUAGUAGAUGCAAGCAGGAGUCGGUCUACUUGUCUCGGAUGUGAUGCCUAUAUACAUGAUCAUACCUAGAUAUUCUCAUAACUAUGCUCAAUUCUGUCAAUUGCUCAACAGUAAUUUGUUCACCCACCAUAGAAUACUUAUGCUCUCGAGAGAAGCCACUAGUGAAACCUAUGGCCCCCGGGUCUAUCUUCAUCAUAUUUAUCUACCAAUACUUAGUUAUUUCCUUUUGCUUUUACUUUUCUUUUACUUUUCUUUUAUUUUACUUUGCAUCUUUAUCAUAAAAAUACCAAAAAUACGAUCUUAUCAUAUCUAUCAGAUCUCACUCUCGUAAGUGGCCGUGUAGGGAUUGACAACCCCUUAACGCGUUGGUUGUGAGGAUUUAUUUGUUUUGUGCAGGUACGAGGGACUCGCGCGUAGCCUCCUACUGGAUUGAUACCUUGGUUCUCAAAAAUGGAGGGAGAUACUUACACUACUUUGCUGCAUCAUCCCCUCCUCUUCGGGGAAAACCAACGCAGUGCUCAAGAGGUAGCAAGAAGGAUUUAUGGCGUCGUUGUCAGGGAGGUCUACGCAAAAGUCAACAUACCAAGUACCCAUCACAUACCCUUAUCUCCCGCAUUACAUUAUUUGCCAUUUGCCUCUCAUUUUCCUCUCCCCCACUUCACCCUUGUGGUUUUAUUCGCCCUCUCUCUCUAUCCUCCUUCUCUUUCCCGUUUGCCUCUUUUUGCUCGUUUGCUUUUUGUUUGCUUGUAUGUUAGUUCGUUUGCUUGUCACGAUGGCUCAAGAUCACACUAAAUUGUGUGACUUCACCAAUACCAACAACAAUGAUUUUAUUAGCACUCCGAUUGCUCCUCUUACCGAUGUUGAAUCUUGUGAAAUUAAUACGGCUUUGCUGAAUCUUGUCAUGAAAGAUCCGUUUUCCAGCCUUCCUAGUGAAGAUGCCGCUAACCAUCUAAAUAGCUUCGUUGAUUUGUGUGGUAUGAAAAAGAAGAAAGAUGUGGAUAAUGAUAUUUUUAGAUUGAAGCUAUUUCCUUUUUUGAUUAGAGAUCGUGCCAAAGCUUGGUUUUCGUCUUUGCCUAAAAAUAGUAUUGAUUCAUGGAAUAAGUGCAAAGAUGCUUUUAUCUCUAAGUAUUUUCCUCCUGCUAAGAUCAUCUCUCUUAGAAACGAUAUUAUGAAUUUUAAGCAACUUGAUCAUGAACAUGUUGCACAAGCUUGGGAGAGAAUGAAAUUAAUGAUACGUAAUUGCCCUACUCAUCGUUUGAAUUUGUGAAUGAUUAUACAAAAAAAUUAUGCCGGAUUGAAUUUUGCUUCUAGAAAUCUUUUAGAUUCGGCCGCGGGAGGCACUUUUAUGGAAAUCAGUUUAGGAGAAGCUACUAAACUCCUAGAUGAUAUUAUGGUUAAUUAUUCUCAAUGGCAUACUGAAAGAUCUACUAAUAAAAAGGUGCAUGUGAUAGAAGAAAUUAAUGUUUUGAGUGGAAAGAUGGAUGAACUUAUGAAAUUAUUUGCUAGUAACAGUGUUUCUUCUGAUCCUAAUGAUGUGCCCUUGUCUACCUUGAUUGAGAAUAAUAAUUAAUCUAUGGAUGUGAAUUUUUUUGGUAGGAACAAUUUUGGUAACAACACGUAUAGAGGAAAUUUCAAUCCUAGGCCUUAUCCUGGUAAUCCCUCUAAUAAUUAUGGUAACUCCUAGAACAAUUAUUAUGGAAAUUAUAAUAAGAUGCCCUCUGAUUUUGAAUCUAAUAUUAAAGAAUUUAUUACUUCGCAAAAGAAUUUCAAUGCUAUGAUUGAAGAAAAAUUGCUUAAGAUUGAUGAUUUGGCUAGGAACAUUGAUAGAAUUGCUCUUGAUGUUGAUUCUUUGAAACUUAGAUCUAUUCCACCUAAGCAUGAUAUCAAUGAGUCUCUGAAAGCCAUGAGAAUUUCUAUUGAUUAGUGCAAAGAAAGAACCGCUAGGAUGCGUGCUAAGAAAGAUGCCUUUAUAAGAGCGUGUUCUUCUAGUUGCUAUGAAAAUAAAGAUGGCGAUCUAAAAGUUAUUGAUAUGUCCCCUAUUAAAUCUUUGUUUUGCAAUAUGAAUCUUGAUAAUGAUGGGACUGAAUAUGAUCCACCUUUACCUAGAAGGUGUUCCAAGAAUUCGGAGUUUUUAGAUCUUGAUGGUAAAAUUGAUAAAAGUGGGAUUGAAGAAAUUAAAACCCUAGAUGUUGCUAAACCGACUAUUUUGGAUUUCGAGGAAUUUAAUUAUGAAAAUUUCUCUUUGAUUGAUUGUAUUUCCUUGUUGCAAUCCGUGCUAAAAUCUCCUCACGCUUAUAGUCAAAAUAAAGCGUUCACUAAACAUAUCGUUGAUGCCUUGAUGCAAUCUUAUGAAGAAAAACUUGAAUUGGAAGUUUCUAUCCCUAGAAAACUUUAUGAUGAGUGGAUACCAACUAUUAAAAUUAAAAUUAAAGAUCAUGAAUGCUAUGCUUUAUGUGAUUUGGGUGCUAGUGUUUCCACGAUUCCAAAGACUUUGUGUGAUUUGCUAGGUUUCCGUGAUUUUGAUGAUUGCUCCCUAAAAUUCCACCUUGGGGAUUCCACUUUUAAGAAAACUAUGGGAGAAUUAAUGAUGUUGUUAUUGUUGCAAAUAGGAAUUAUGUGCCCGUAGAUUUUAUUGUUCUUGACAUAGAUUGCAAUCCUUCAUGUCCUAUUAUUCUUGGUAGACCUUUCCUUAGAACGAUUGGUGCAAUUAUUGAUAUGAAGGAAGGAAAUAUUAGAUUCCAAUUUUUGUUAAGGAAAGGCAUGGAACACUUUCCUAGAAAGAAAAUUAAAUUACAUUAUGAAUCUAUUAUGAGAGCCACUUAUGGAUUUCCUACCAAAUAUGGCAUACCUAGAUCUAUCCUUGCUUGUUAUGCCUAGCUAGGGGCGUUAAACGAUAGCGCUUGUUGGGAGGCAACCCAAUUUUAUUUUUAUGCCUUGCUUUUUACUCCUGUUUAGUAAUAAAUAAUUUAUCUAUCCCCUGUUUUGGUUGUCUUUUUUGUGUUUAAUUAGUGUUUGUGCCAAGUAGAACCAUGGGGAAGACUUGGGGAAAGUCUUGUUAAACUUGCUGUAAAAAACAGAAACUUUAGCGCUCACGAGAACUGUUGUUAUUCCUAUUUGGAAAGUGCUAUUUAGUUAAAUAUUUUUGCAGAUGAUUAAUAGAUAAAUUCCUCACGUCCAGCAAUUUAUUUUAGAAUUUUUGGAGUUCCAGAUCUUGCGCUAGCUACAAAUUGCUACAGACUGUUCUGUUUUUGACAGAUUAUGUUUUCCUAUGUCGUUUGCUUAUUUUGAUGAAUCUAUGGCUAGUAAAAUAGUUUAUAAAGCAUAGAGAAGAUGCAAUACAGUAGGUUUAACACCAAUAUAAAUAAAGAAUGAGUUCAUUACAUGUAACACCCAUGAUGCGGCUAUAUCUCCCACGUGUCGGAGCAUGACUUAGAGGCAUAACCACAUUGUAGGCAUGUCGCAAGAGGGGUAAUCUUUACACAUCCCAUGUACUAAAUAAGAAAGAGGUACAGAGUUGGCUUACAAUCUCCACUUCACACAAUACAUAAAUAUAGCAUUACAUCAUCUUGAUACAAUCAAGGUCCGACUACGGAACCAAAAUAAAGACAACCCAAAAUGCAUAAGAUCCCCGAUCGCCCCAACUAGGCUCCACUACUGAUCGUCUGGAAAGGAAACAUAGUAAUGUCCUGAGUCCUCGUCGAACUCCCACUUGAGUUCAAUCGCAUCUCCUGGAAUGGCAUCAUCGACACCUGCAUCUGGUUUUGGAAGUAAUCUGUGAGUCACGCGGACUCAGCAAUCUCAAACCCUCGCGAUCAAGACUAUUUAAGCUUAUGGGUAGGGAAAAGGUAGUGAGGUGGAGCUGCAGCAAGCACUAGCAUAUAUGGUGGCUAACAUACGCAAAAGAGAGCGAGAAGAGAAGGCAAGGCACAAUCGAGAAUCUAUGAUCAAGAAGUGAUCCUAGAAAUACAUACGUUCAAGCAUAACAUGAGACCGUGUUCUCUUCCCGGACUCCGCCGAAAAGAGACCAUCACGGCUACACACGCGAUUGAUCCAUUUUAAUUAAGUUAAGUGAGAAGUUCUCUACAAACGGAUAUUAACAAAUUCCCAUCUGCCCAUAUCCGCGGGCACAAAUUUCGAAAGUUCAAAUCCCUGUAGGGGUGUCCCAGCUUAGCCCAUCACAAGCUCUCACGGUCAACGAAGGAUAUUCCUUCUCCCAGGACAGCCUGAUCAGACUCGGAAUCCCAGUUACAAGAAAUUAAGACAAUGGUAAAACAAGACCAGCAAGACCACCCGCUGUGCAGACAAAUCCCAAUAAGAGCUACACAUAUCUCGUUCUCAGGGCACACCGGAUAAGCUAAGCAUACGGGAGCCAAUGUAACCCAAGUUGCGAAGGGACGGCCCCGCACGGUGCUCUAGGUUGGACCAACACUUAGAUAAACACUUGCCCAGGGGGGUUAAAAUAAAGAUGACCCUUGAGUCCGUGAAACCCAAGGGAAAAAGGCUAGGUGGAAAAUGGUAAAACCAAAGUUGGGCCUUACUGCAGGAGUUUUAUUCAAGGCGAACUGUCAAGGGGUUCCCAUUAUAACCCAACCGCGUACGGAACGCAAAAUCAAGGAACAUAACACCGGUAUGACGGAAACGAGGGCGUCAAGAGUGGAACAAAACACCAGGCAUAAGGCCGAGCCUACCACCCUUUACCAAGUAUAUAGUUGCAUUAAAGUAAACAAGAUAUAAUAAUGAUAUCCCAACAAUAAACAUGUUCCAGCAAGGAACAAACUCCAAUCUUCACCAGCAACUAGCAACGCUAUAAGAGGGGCUGAGCAAAGCGGUAACAUAGCCAAACAAUGAUUUGCUGGGACAAGGUGGGUAAGAGGUUUGACAUGGCAAUAUGAGCGGCAUGAUAUAGCAAGUGGUAGGUAUCAAGGCAUAGGCAUAGCAAUAGAGCGAGCAACUAGCAAGCAAAGAUAGAAGUGAUUUCGAGGGUAUGGUCAUCUUGCCUGCAAAGUUCCCCGAGUUGACGUAAGCUUGAUCCUCAUAAGCGUACUCAACGGGUUCCUCGGUCAAGUACUCGUCUCCCGGCUCUACCCAAAGCAAGAACACAAGCAAAGGGAACCACAAUCACCCACGGUGCAAUGCGCAAGCAACAUGAUGCAAAACAUGGCAUGAUAUGCGAGAUGUAAAAUGCAAUGCAUAUACGUGCUCCGGAAGGAAAAGAUUGAACCAGGCCUCAACUUGGCAAACCAAGUGCGCCACUAGAAAGAUGAGUUGAUUUUGGUCGAAAUCGAUAUAAAGAUAACCGGAAUCGGAUGCACGGUUUGCAAAUGGCAAGCAAAACAAUAAUGGAACUAUUAUGUGAUUAACAGCACGAUGUCAUCUAAAAUGCAACAAGAAAGAUAAGCUACUGCACUCUAACAUAGCAACAAAGCACAUGGCCGUGAUCCACUAAAGAUGCUUGACAAAAGAUGAACACUAAGCUACGGCUAAAUCACACAAGAGCAGGUUCAAACAAGCAUGGCAAAAGUGCAAAAGAUAUCAGCAUCUCAGACUUAGUGAAAAAAGCAACUUGCCAAGAAUUAAUAUCAGGAAGCAAUGUUUAGAGCAAGAUUACAACAUGCUACAGUAACAUAACAUGACAAAGCAAGGCAUGGCGUGAAACUACUCAAAGCAUAUAACAAAAGUCCCUUACUUACCAUAAGACAAAAAAGAUCAGAAGAUAUGAUGGCACCCAUGUAAACAUAGCAAGUUUCGUUAAUAGAUUCAGACUUAGCAGAAAACUGGACAUGACAAAAACUGUGAUACGAAGGCAUGUUUGCGAGCUCGAUGCACUCACCACAAGGCAUUGCAUGACAAACUAAGCAUACACCCAUCAAGAAGACAUGAUCAAGUAGCUAAUCACAGCAAGAACAAACUCAUAGCAUGCAUGGAACAACUAGAACAACCUCGGCAAAAUUGAUUAACACGUAAACAAUCUGCCAGGAACAUUUUUUAGCAAAAGUAGAGCAAGAUUGAGUCAUCCUAGGUUACUCCAUAAUUGCAAACAAUGACAUGGAUGGAUCACUCUGUAGCAACAUGAAUACAUGGCAUAAAAAUAACAUCAGGGAAAUGACUUAGAAGAAUUCUAAGUUCCUGAAAUCAGCAACAUCACGAGAGCUACUUUGCAUGCUUGUGCUAGUCACCACAUUGAUCACAAAAAUACAUGGCAUACACCCCUGUAAAGAUGGCAUGGCAUAGCCCAAAACACAUGUAGGGCUCAAGUUCAUAGGAGGCACACAAUAAUCAUGGCAAAAAUGACAAAUGUCCAUAAUCUGUUAAGAAAUAGAAACUAACAUUUUGUAGCACUCUUGCAACAGCAUUUUAGGCAUCAAGAUGGACUCAAACAAGCAUGGUGCAAUGGAAUGAAAUGAAGAGGACAUCCAGGGGAACAAAUUGAUAUAUUGCACGCGCAAAACGGAGCUACAGAUGAUGAAUUAUGGCAUGAUGAACAUUGCUAUAAAAACAUAUGCAGAAAAAGACCUAGAAGAAUCUGGAGCUCCAAAUCUAGGGUUAGCUUGGCGCGGAUACCGAGGUUCGUCUGAAACCUCACCAGAGAAACCGACGGAGAAGUGAGAGAAUACGGGGCGGCGAGAUCCGGCCGGACCCUCGUCGGAUCUGGCCGGGAAGAGGCGGCGGGGCGCGGACGUCGAGGCGGCAGGGCGGCGCAGAUGUCGAGGCGGUGGGGCGGCGGGCAGCUAGCGAGGUGGAGGCGGUGGCCGGGCCGCGGGGCGAACGGCGGCGGUGCGGGAGGCGGCGCGNNNNNNNNNNNNNNNNNNNNNNNNNNNNNNNNNNNNNNNNNNNNNNNNNNNNNNNNNNNNNNNNNNNNNNNNNNNNNNNNNNNNNNNNNNNNNNNNNNNNNNNNNNNNNNNNNNNNNNNNNNNNNNNNNNNNNNNNNNNNNNNNNNNNNNNNNNNNNNNNNNNNNNNNNNNNNNNNNNNNNNNNNNNNNNNNNNNNNNNNNNNNNNNNNNNNNNNNNNNNNNNNNNNNNNNNNNNNNNNNNNNNNNNNNNNNNNNNNNNNNNNNNNNNNNNNNNNNNNNNNNNNNNNNNNNNNNNNNNNNNNNNNNNNNNNNNNNNNNNNNNNNNNNNNNNNNNNNNNNNNNNNNNNNNNNNNNNNNAUCAUGGGCCGGGGCGGCCGACCUGGGCCGCGGCAGGCUGGCGCAGACGCGGUGAUGUGGGCGCGGGCACAGGUGACGUGUCGAGCGGCGAUUGGCAUGCGCGGGCGCGGUGGACGUGUCCGGCGGCGCAGGGUGGAAGAAGGCUAGGGUUUGGACCCGAAUUUUCCGAGGGGAAGGCCUAUUUAUAGAUUCCGAGAGUUAGGAGAGUCCAAAUGAGGAGCGGUUUCGGCCACGCGAUUGUGAUCGAACCGCCGAGAGGAUGGAGGGGGUUUGGAUGGGUGUUGGGCCACUUUGGAGGGGUGUUGGGCUGCAACACACAUGAGGCCUUUACGGUUCCUUGGUUAACUGUUGGAGUUAACCGUUGGAGUAUCAAACGGACUCCAAAUGGCACGAAACUUGACAGGCGGUCUACCGGUAGUGAACCAAGGCCGCUUGGCAAGUCUCGGUCCAAUGCGAGAACGUUUAAUACCCGCACAUGAAAAGAUGCAAAAGGGGGCUCCAGAGGACGUAGGAGCGCCGGAAUACAAAACGGACAACGGGGAAAAUGCUCGGAUGCAUGAGACGAACACGUAUGCAAAUGCAAUGCACAUGAUGACAUGAUAUGAGCUGCAUGACAUGGACAAAAUGCAAAACGAAGACAAAACCUAACCACGGGGGAAUAUCAUAACUUAGUGCCGAAAAUGGCAAGAGUUGGAAUACAAAUAUGGCAAGUUACAUACGGGGCUUUACAACACUCCACCACUACGAAAGGAUCUCGUCCCGAGAUCUAGGACUGGAAAAACUCCGGAUAUUCGGAACGGCAGUGGUCCUUGCGUUCCCAGGUGGCCUCUAGGUCGGAAUGGUGUGACCACUCCACUUUCAGAAAUUUGAUAAACUUGUUCCGAGUCUUGCACUCAGUUUCCUCAAGAAUAGCAACGAGAUGCUCAUGAUAAGACAUGUCUUCUUGGAGAUCAAUCUCUUCAAAGUUGAUGGUGCGGUCAGGAGUCUUGAAACACUUGCAAAGCUGAGACACGUGAAACACGUCGUGCACGUUUGCAAAGUUGGAUGGAAGCUCAAGUUGAUAGGCGUGACCGCCUCUUUUGCCAGUGAUCUUGAAAGGACCCAUGUAUCUAGGGGCGAGCUUCCCUUUGAUACCGAAGCGACGUGUACCUUUCAUUGCAGAGACGCGAAGGUAGACAUGGUCUCCGAUCUCGAAAGCCAAGUCACGAUGCUUGCUAUUAUAGUAACUCUUCUGGCGUGAUUGCGCGGCUUUGAGAUUUUCAUGAAUGACUUUCCACAUUUCUUCAGCCUCUGUGAUCAAGUCAUUGCCAAGAAGUUGGCGCUCACCAGUCUCUGACCAGUUAAGAGGGGUACGACACUUUCUGCCAUAGAGAAUCUCGAAUGGGGCCUUGCCCGAACUUGCUUGGAAGCUGUUGUUGUAGGAGAACUCGCCAUAUGGAAGACAAUCUUCCCACUUCAUACCGAAGGAAAUGACACAUGCCCUGAGCAUAUCUUCAAGAAUUUGAUUUACUCGCUCGACUUGUCCACUGGUUUGAGGAUGAAAGGCUGUGCUGAAAUGAAUGUUGGUGCCCAUAGACUUUUGAAAGGAGUCCCAGAACUUAGAGGUAAAGAUGCUUCCAUCAUCUGAAGAUACCAACUGUGGAAUGCCGUGCAAAGAGACAAUCCUGGAGGUAUAUAGCUCUGCCAACUGAGCUGUCGUGACAGAUUCUUUGAUAGGAAGAAAAUGAGCCACUUUAGUGAGCUUGUCGAUGACAACGAAGAUAGCAUCAUUGCCACGCUUGGACUUGGGAAAUCCAGUCACGAAGUCCAUCUCAAUAUGGUCAAACUUCCAUUCUGGAAUGGCAGGAGGUUGGGGAGACCAUCUGGCCGUUGGUGUUCUGCUUUCACUCUUCUGCAGACAUCACAUUCAUUCACGAACUAAGCAAUCUCGCGCUUCAUUCGAGUCCACCAAUACGACUGCUUGAGGUCAUGGUACAUCUUUGUACUUCUAGGAUGAAUAGAAAGGAGUGAAUUGUGAGCCUCGUUCAUAAUGACUUUACGAAGUUCACCCUUAGGAACAACAAUUCAAUCCUCGAAGAAUAGAAUAUCUUUGUCAUCAAGGCGAUAGCACUUGUACUUGGGUUGGCUCUUGGCAAUCCCAAUCUUCACCUUCUUCACCAUAACAUCAAGAAGUUGAGCCUCAUGAAUCUGAUCUUCCAAAGUAGGAGAGGCUUGGAGGUUGGCAAGGAAUCCUUGAGGAACAACAUGGAGAUUAAGUUUGCAGAAAGCUUCACAAAGAUCCGGUUGGAAAGACUUGAGAAUCAAACUGUUGCAGUAAGCUUUCCUGCUCAAAGCGUCAGCAAUGACAUUGGCAUUGCCUGGAUUAUAUUCAAUACUCAGAUUACACUCUUGAAUCAUUUCGACCCAACGAGUUUGCCUGAGGUUGAGGUUGGGCUGAGUGAAGAUGUACUUCAGACUCUUAUGAUCAAUGAAGAUGUCCACUUUUCUUCCCAACAAGAGAUGUCUCCAUGUCAAAAGAGCAUGGACAACUACCACCAACUCGAGGUCAUGAGUGGGGUAGUUCUUUUCAUUGGGCUUCAACUAGCAAGAGGUAUAGGCCACAAAUUUCUUCUCUUGCAUUAACACAACACCGAGACCUUGCAGGGAAGCAUCACAGAAAACCUCAAAUGGUUUGGAUUCAUCAGGAGGAGUCAGAACUAGAGCUGUGACUAACUUAUCUUUGAGGGUGUUGAAAGCGAUGUCACAUUCAGGCGUCCACACAUACUUCACAUGCUUGUGGAGGAGGUUGGAAAGAGGCUUCACGGUCUUAGAGAAAUUCUCAACGAACCUUCGACAAUAUCUUGCGAGCCCAAGGAAGCUGCGGAGUUGCUUCACAUUUUGAGGCGGUUCCCAAUUCACAAUUGCAGACACCUUCUCAGGAUUAGCAGCUAUGCCCUUGGCGAAGAUGAUAUGCCCAAGGUAGAGAACCUCAUCGAGCCAAAACUCGCACUUCGAAAACUUCGCAUAGAACUGAUGUUCUCUGAGUUUGUCCAGCACCAAUCUCAAGUGCUUGGCAUGAUCCUCCUUGUUCUUGGAAAAGACCAAAAUGUCAUCGAGAUAGACAAAGACGAAGUCAUUUGUGUAAGGGUUGAAGAUGAAGCUCAUCAUGCGAGAGAACGUUGGAGGAGCAUUGACGGGGCCGAAAGACAUGACAGUGUAUUCAUAGGAACCAUAGCUUGUUCUGAAUGCUGUCUUGGGGAUAUCUUGUUCACGAAUGCGAAUUUGAUGAUAGCCCAUACGGAGGUCAAGCUUGGAGAAUACUUGAGCACCUUUGAGUUGUUCGAAAAGCUCAUUGAUGUUGGGAAGUGGGUACUUGUUCUUUAUUGUCUUCUUGUUCAAUGGGCGGUAGUCGACCCAAAGUCAGUCUGUGCCAUCCUUCUUCUUGACAAAAAGAACACCACAACCCCAUGGAGAAGAACUUGGUCGGAUCAGACCCAUACGCUCUUGAAUAUCGAGUUGUUUCUUUAGCUCCUUAAACUCUUCUGGUCCAAGCUUGUAAGGAAGUUUGCAAAUAGGUUCCGUGCCAGGCUCAAGAUCAAUGACGAAUUCAACUGGCUGGUGAGGAGGCAUUCCUGGAAGCUCUUCUGCAAAGACGUCUUGAUAUUCAAAAAUGACUGGAAUCUGUGAGAUGGCAUUCAGCUCGCCCUUCUCAUUGAGAGAAAACAGUCGAAUGGUAUCAUCACGAGCGGUAAAGACAAUCACAUCCUCAGACGAGUGUGUCAAUUGAAUCUGCUUGGCAGCACAAUCAAGUUGAGCCAUGUGCUUAGAAAGCUAGUCCAUUCCGAGAAUUAGAUCAAUAUUCGAGUCAGCAAGGACCAUUGGAGAAGACAGAAACUUAUAGUCAGCCAUCAUGAUAGAAACAUUCGGGAUCAUCGUGGUAGCCCUCAUAGACUUGGCCGAAGAAACCACUCCCAUAGGUUUACCCAACAUUACCGAAAUGAAGUCAUGCUUUGAAACAAAUGAUCUUGACAUGAAACAAUGCGAUGCACCAGUAUCAAAAAGGACUUUUUGCGGGAGUAGAGUUAACUGGAAAGUUACCCAUGAUCACUUCUGAAGAGUCCUCUGCCUGUGCUGCGUUCACCAUGUUGACCUUUGCAAACUUGGGAUUAUGCUUGACCACUGCAUUGCUGGCAGAUCUCACUGGAGGAGGAGGCGGAAGACGCCUCUGGUUGAAGCAUUUAUUUGCAUAGUGACCCUUCUGCUGACACUUGUUGCACAUAACCUCUGAGAGCGGACGGUGAUACGGAGCACUUGACCUUGGAGCAUGAGAUGAAGCUUUGUUCUGCAAGCCUGGGUUGGGUGGGUGGGAAGAUCCAUUGCCACAUUUGCUCUUAUGCUGAUAAGGCUGACGGAACAGAGGAGGAGGAGGCAACCAAUACUUUUCCUACUUAGCUGCCACUUGAGUUGAAGAAGAAUAAGGAGUUGCAUCCCUGACUGUCUUCUUGGAAGCAUCGCACUUGAGCUGAGCAGCCUCUUGCUUUAAUGCCAUAUUGUAGAACUCAUCAUACUUUUUCGGCUCAAAAAUCACAAGAGCUAGUUGCAGAUCUUCACCGAGGCCACCUCUGAACUGAUAAAUCAUGCUCUUCUCGUCAGGGACGUCUUGCUUGGCGAAGUGAGCGAGCUUCUGGAACAUGAUGUUGUAUUGGUAAACAGACAAGAUGCCUUGCUUCAGAUUGCGGAACUCCUCACGCUUACUCUCAACAACACUCUGAGGAAUGUGGUGAGCUUUGAAGUCUUGGCAAAAAUCAUCCCAGGUAAUCACACGACCUCCUCUGGAAUCUUUGUAUUGUUGAUACCACUCAGCAGCUUGGUCUUUGAGUUGGAACGAAGCAAACUUGACAAAGUCCUCAGGCCUAACAUUGCUACACUCAAAAUGUUUGCAGAUAUCCACGAGCCAAUCAUCAGCGUCUGUGGCCUCGACACAGUUACUGAAGGUCUUCGGCUGGUAUACAAGGAACCGGUUGAGGGUAGCAAACUGAUUUCCUUGGUUGUGCUCUUGCAAGAGUUGCAUAAUCAACUGCGUGUUGGCGUUGGUAGCGGCCAUCACAGCUUGCCAUGCCUCUGGAGGUGAAGGUGGUGGCGGAGGUUCCGGAUUCUGACGCGUUGGAGGAGCCAUCCUGAAGAGGGUGACAUCCGUUAGCAUCUUGAAAGACAUAUAUUCAAGCUGAAUCAAAUGGAUCAAAAUUGCGACAUAUAUCCUUAACAUUCGAACAAGAAUGAAUGAAUGAAUUCCAAAGUAAAUGAUCACACUUCCAUAAAUUGAGAAGCCACUUAGAUGCAGAUAGAUGAAUAAAACAACAAGGUAUGGAUAUGAACAAAUAGUUGGUAAGGAUUACCCAAUCACGAACCAAAUAUUUGUGGGAAGAAAUACUAGAGCUUCAUGAAUUCCCACCUAUGAAACUCCUGAAACUUUCCGGUUAUGCAAUCAGGUGUUGGGGAUACAGGGGAAGCAUAAUAUCUCACCCAAAACUAGCAAAUCCUACAUCCAGCUGUAUACAUCCUUCAACACAUAACCAAGAAACCUUCGAAAUCGUUUACCUCAACCUACGAAAAGCAUCCGUUAUACGAGUUAUGGCAAUACACCCGAACUCCUGCCCCAGUACUGGGUGGCGUCGAGGUUAUCUCACCAAAAAAUGCAUAAAAGAGAUUUUCGAUGUCGGCGAAACUCAGGUAUUCCAGAACUGCAACGAUAAAAUUGUGAUGACAACACCUCGGAGCUCAACUUCCCGGGACACUGCCACAACCCCUAAAAAUGUCAGGAGGCACCAAGAACAAUGUUCUUGUCACAAAACCAUCAGAACGAUUCCAAGAUACCCGCGUGAUCCUAAAUUUUUUUAGUGAAAUUUGAGAAGAGAAGAGUCAAAACUCUACGUCAGGAUGCCUCACCAGAGCGACGAAGGGACUGAGGAGUAAAAAUAAUCCUACUCGCCGAUAUAUAUAAUCCUAAAAGACUCAAAACAUUUUUCUAGACUCAACAACGCCAGCGAUUCGAUCAAGUAGGGGGCUCCUAAGUCGGGGAAGGCACUGAUUACCAACUUGUAACACCCACGAUGCGGCUAUAUCUCCCACGUGUCGGAGCACGACUUAGAGGCAUAACCGCAUUGUAGGCAUGUCGCAAGAGGGGUAGUCUUUACACAUCCCAUGUACUAAAUAAGACAGAGGUACAGAGUUGGCUUACAAUCGCCACUUCACACAAUACAUAAAUAUAGCAUUACAUCAUCCAGAUACAAUCAAGGUCCGACUACGGAACCAAAAUAAAGACAACCCCAAAUGCAUAAGAUCCCAGAUCGCCCCAACUGGGCUCCACUACUGAUCGUCUGGAAAGGAAACGUAGUAACGUCCCAAGUCCUCGUCAAACUCCUACUUGAGUUCAGUCGCAUCUCCUAGAAUGGCAUCAUUGACACCUGCAUCUGGUUUUGGAAGUAAUCUGUGAGUCACUGGGACUCAGCAAUCUCACACCCUCGCGAUCAAGACAAUUUAAGCUUAUGGGUUGGGAAAAGGUAGUGAGGUGGAGCUGCAGUAAGCACUAGCAUAUAUGGUGGCUAACAUACGCAAAAGAGAGCGAGAAGACAAGGCAAAGCAUGGUCGAGAAUCUAUGAUCAAGAAGUGAUCCUAGAAAUACAUACGUUCAAGAAUAACACGAGACCGUGUUCUCUUCCCGGACUCCGCCGGAAAGAGACCAUCACGGCUACACAUGCGGUUGAUCCGUUUUAACUAAAUUAAGUGACAAGUUCUCUACAACCGGAUAUUAACAAAUUCCCAUCUGCCCAUAACCGCGGGCAUGGCUUUUGAAAGUUCAAAUCCCUACAGGGGUGUCCCAACUUAGCCCAUAACAAGCUCUCACAGUCAACGAAGGAUAUUCCUUCUCCCAGGAUGGCCCGAUCAGACUCGGAAUCCCGGUUACAAGACAUUCGACAAUGGUAGAACAAGACCAGCAAGACCACCCGCUAUGCUGACAAAUCUCGAUAGGAGCUGCACAUAUCUCGUUCUCAAGGCACACCGGAUAAGCUAAGCGUACGGGAGCCAACGUAACCAAAGUUUCCAAGGGACGGCCCCGCACGGUGCUCUAGGUUGGACCAACACUUAGAGAAGCACUGGCUCGGGGGGUUAAAAUAAAGAUGACCCUUGAGUCCGCGAAACCCAAGGGAAAAAGGCUAGGUGGCAAAUGGUAAAACCAAAGUUGGGCCUUGCUGGAGGAGUUCUUUUCAAGGCGAACUAUCAAGGGGUUCCCAUUAUAACCCAACCAUGUAAGGAACGUAAAAUCAAGGAGCAUAACACCAGUAUGACGGAAACUAGGGCGGCAAGAGUGGAACAAAACACGAGGCAUAAGGCCGAGCCUUACACCCUUUACCAAGUAUAUAGGUGCAUUAAAGUAAACAAGAUAUAAUACUAAUAUCCCAACAAUAAACAUGUUCCAACAAGGAACAAACUCCAAUCUUCACCUGCAACUAGCAACGCUAUAAGAGGGGCUGAGCAAAGUGGUAACAUAGCCAAACAAUGGUUUGCUAGGACAAGGUGGGUUAGAGAUUUGACAUGGCAAUAUGGGCGGCAUGAUAUAGCAAGUGGUAGGUAUCGAGUCAUAGGCAUAGCAAUAGAGCGAGCAACUAGCAAGCAAAGGUAGACGUGAUUUCGAGGGUAUGGUCAUCUUGCCUGCAAAGUUCCCCGAGUUAACGUAAGCUUGAUCCUCAUAAGCGUACUCAACGGGUUCCUCGGUCAUGUACUCGUCUCCCUGCUCUACCCAAAGCAAGAACACAAGCAAAGGGAACCACAAUCAACCACGGUGCAAUGCACAAGCAAUAUGAUGCAAAACAUGGCAUGAUAUGCGGGAUGUAAAAUGCAAUGCAUAUGCGUGCUCCGGAAGGAAAAGAUUGAACCAGGCCUCAACUUGGCAAACCAAGUGCGCUGCUGGAAAGAUGAGUUUAUUUCGGUCGAAAUCGAUAUAAAGAUCACCGGAGUCGGAUGGACGGUUUGCAAAUGGCAAGCAAAACAAUAAUGGCACUAUAAUGCGAUUAACAACACGAUACCAUCUAAAAUGCAACAAGAAAAAUAAGCUAUUGCACUCUAACAUAGCAAAAAAGCACAUGGCAGUGAUCCACUCAAGAUGCUUGACAAAAUAUGAACACUGAGCUAUGGCUAAAUCACACAAGAGCAGGUUCAAACAAGCAUGGCAAAAGUGCAAAAGAUAUCAAGCAUCUUAGACUUAGUGAAAAAAGCAACAUGCCAGGAAUUAACAUCAGGAAGCAAUGUUUAGAGCAAGAUAACAACAUGCUACAGGAACAUAACAUGACAAAGCAAGGCAUGGCGUGAAACUACUCAAAGCAUAUAACAAAAGUCCCGUACUGACAUAAGCCAAAAAGGAUCAGAAGAUAUGAUGGCACCCAUGUAAACAUAACAAGUUUCGUUAACAGAUUCAGACUUAGCAGAAAACUGGACAUGGCAAAAACAAUGUUACGAAGGCAUGUUUGCGAGCUCGAUGCACUCACCACAAGGCAUUGCAUGACAAACUAAGCAUACACCCAGAAAGAAGACAUGAUCAAGUAGCUAAUCAUGGCAAGAACAAACUCAUAGCAUGCAUGGAACAACUACAACAACCUCGGCAAAAUUGAUUAACACGUAAACAAUCAGCCAGGAACAUUUUUUAGCAAAAGUAGAGAAAGAUUCAGUCAUCCUAGGGUACUCCAUAAUUGAAAACAAAGAGAUGGAUGCAUAGAGCAUAACAAUAGCUCAAAAUCAUCCUAGCUGAACAUGCUCAAAAGAGGCAUGGAUCACUCUGUAGCAACAUGAAUACAUGGCAUAAAAAUAACAUCAGGGAAAUGACUUGGAAGAAUUCUAAGUCCCUGAAAUCAGCAACAUCACGAGAGCUACUUUGCAUGUUUGUGCUAGUCACGACAUUGAUCACAAAUAUACAUGGCAUACACCCCUGUAAAGAUGGCAUGGCAUAGCCCAAAACACAUGUAGGGCUCAAGUUCAUAGGAGGCACACAAUAAUCAUGGCAAAAAUGACAAAUGUCCAUAAUCUGUUAAGAAACAGAAACUAACAUUUUGUAGCACUCUUGCAACAGCAUUUUAGGCAUCAAGAUGGACUCAAACAAGCAUGGUGCAAUGGAAUGAAAUGAAGAGGACAUCCAAACGAACAAAAUGAUAUAUCACAUGCGCAAAACGGAGCUACGGAUGAUGAGUUAUGACAGGAUGAACAUAGCUAGAAAACAUAUGUAGAAAAAUACUUAGAAGAAUCUAGACCUCCAAAUCUAGGGUUUGCUUGGCGCGGAUACCGAGGUUCAUCUAAAACUUCACCGAAGAAACCGCCGGAGACGUGGGAGAAGACGGGGCGGCGAGAUCCGGCCGGACCAUCGCCGGAUCUGGCCGGGAAGAGGCGGCGGUGGCGAGGCGGCGGGGCGGCGGCCGGCGCCNNNNNNNNNNNNNNNNNNNNNNNNNNNNNNNNNNNNNNNNNNNNNNNNNNNNNNNNNNNNNNNNNNNNNNNNNNNNNNNNNNNNNNNNNNNNNNNNNNNNNNNNNNNNNNNNNNNNNNNNNNNNNNNNNNNNNNNNNNNNNNNNNNNNNNNNNNNNNNNNNNNNNNNNNNNNNNNNNNNNNNNNNNNNNNNNNNNNNNNNNNNNNNNNNNNNNNNNNNNNNNNNNNNNNNNNNNNNNNNNNNNNNNNNNNNNNNNNNNNNNNNNNNNNNNNNNNNNNNNNNNNNNNNNNNNNNNNNNNNNNNNNNNNNNNNNNNNNNNNNNNNNNNNNNNNNNNNNNNNNNNNNNNNNNNNNNNNNNNNNNNNNNNNNNNNNNNNNNNNNNNNNNNNNNNNNNNNNAUUGGCUGGCGUGGGCGCGGUGGACGUCUCCGGCCGGACCGGACGUGUCCGGCGGCGCGGGGUGGAAGAAGGCUAGGGUUUGGACCCGAAUUUUCGGAGGGGAAGGCCUAUUUAUAGAUUCUGGGAGUUAGGAGAGUCCAAAUGAGGUGCGGUUUUCGGCCACGCGAUCGUGAUCGAAUGGCCGAGAGGAUGGAGGGGGUUUGGAUGGGUUUUGGGCCACUUUGAAGGGGUGUUGGGCUGCAACACACACGAGGCCUUUACGGUUCCUCAGUUAACCGUUGGAGUAUCAAACGGACUCCAAAUGGCACGAAACUUGACACGUGGUCUACCGGUAGUGAACCAAGGCUGCUUGGCAAAUCUCGGUCCAAUCCGAGAACAUUUAACACCCGCACACGAAAAGAUGCAAAAGGGGGCACUGAAGGACGUAGGAGCGCCGAAAUGCAAAAUGGACAACGGGGAAAAUGCUCGGAUGCAUGAGAUGAACACGUAUGCAAAUGCGAUGCACAUGAUGACAUGAUAUGAGAUGCAUGAGAUGGACAAAAGGAAAAACAAAUACAAAACCCAACCACGAGGGAAUAUCAUAAUUAGUGCCGAAAAUGGCAAGAGUUGGAAUACAAAUAUGGCAAGUUACAUACGGGGCGUUACAUUACAAUACCUUAAAGUGGUCUUUUGUUUUCUUUCGCUAACGGAGCUCACGAGAUUUUCUACUUUGAGUUUUGUGUUGUGAAGUUUUCAAGUUUUGGUUAAAGAUUUGAUGGAUUAUGGAACAAGGAGUGGCAAGAGCCUAAGCUUGGGGAUGCCCAUGGCACCCCCAAGAUAAUCUAAGGACACCUAAAAGCCAAAGCUUGGGGAUGCCCCGGAAGGCAUCCCCUCUUUCGUCUACUUCUAUCGGUAACUUGACUUGGAGCUAUAUUUUUAUUCACCACACGAUAUGUGUUUUUCUUGGAGCGUCUUUUAUUAUUUGAUUCUUUGCUUUUUAGUUUACCACUAUCAUCCUUGUUGUACACAUCUUUUGAGAGAGCCAUACAUGACUUGGAGUUUGUUAGAAUACUCUAUGUGCUUCGCUUAUAUCUUUUGAGUUAUAUAGUUUGCUCUAGUACUUCACUUAUAUCUUUUAGAGCAUGGUGGUGGAUUUGUUUUAUAGAAACUAUUGAUCACUCAUGCUUAAAAUCCUAAUAUGCUAGGUAUUCAAGAUUAGUAAAAUUUUCUUAUGAGUGUUUUGAAUACUAAGAGAAGUUGGAUGCUUGAUGAUUGUUUUGAGAUAUGGAGGUAAUAAUAUCAAAGUCGUGUUAGUUGAGUAGUUGUGAAAUUGAGAAAUACUUGUGUUGAAGUUUGCAAGUCCCGUAGCUUGCACGUAUGGUAAAUGUUAUAUAACAAAUUUGAAACAUGAGGUGUUAUUUGAUUGUCUUCCUUAUGAGUGGCAGUUGGGGACGAGCGAUGGUCUUUUCUAACCAAUCUAUCCCCCUAGGAGCAUGCGAGUAGUGCCGAGGUUUUUGAUGACUUGUAGAUUUUUGCAAUAAGUAUGUGAGUUCUUUAUGACUAAUGUUGAGUCCAUGGAUUAUACGCACUCUCACCCUUCCAUCCUUGUUAGCCUCUCCGGUACCGUGCAUUGCUCUUUCUCACAUUGAGAGUUGGCGUAAACUUCACCGGUGCAUCCAAACCCCGUGAUAUGAUACACUCUUUCACACAUAAACCUCCUUAUAUCUUCCUCAAAACAGCCACCAUACCUACCUAUUAUGGCAUUUCGAUAGCCAUUCCGAGAUAUAUUUCCAUGCAACUUUCCACCAUUCUGUUUAUCAUGACAUAUUCAUCAUUGUCAUAUUGCUUAGCAUGAUCAUGUAGUUGACAUAACAUUUGUGGCAAAGCCACCAUUCAUAAUUCUUUCAUACAUGUCACUCUUGGUCCAUUGCAUAUCCCGGUACACCGCCGGAGGCAUUCAUAUAGAGUCAUCUUUUGUUCUAGUAUCGAGUCGUAAUCAUUGAGUUGUAAAUAAAUAGAAGUGUGAUGAUCAUCAUUUUCUAGAGCAUUGUCCCAAGUGAGGAAUUAUAAAAAAAAGAGAAAGGCCAUAUAAAGAAAGAGAAAGGCCAAAUAAAAAUGGAGAGAAAAAUGAGAGAAAAAGAGAGAAGGGACAAUGUUACUAUCCUUUGCCACAGUUGUGCUUCAAAGUAGCACCGUAAUCUUCAUGAUAUAGAGUCUCUUGUUUUGUCACUUUCAUAUACUAGUGGGAAUUCUUCAUUAUAGAACUUGGCUUAUAUAUUCCAACAAUGGGCCUCCUCAAGUGCCCUAGGUCUUCGUGAGCAAGCAAGUUGGAUGCACACGCACUUAGUUUCUUUUGUUGAGUGUUCAUACAUUUAUAGCUCUAGUGCAUCCGUUGCAUGGCAAUCCCUACUCCUUGCAUUAACAUCAAUCGAUGGUCAUCUCCAUAGCCCAUUGAUUAGCCUCGUUGAUAUGAGACUUUCUCCCUUUUUGUCUUCUCCACAUAACCCCCCUCAUUAUAUUAUAUUCCACCCAUAGUGCUAUGUCCAUGGCUCGCGCUCAUAUAUUGCGUGAAAGUUUAUAGGUUUGAGAUUACUAAAGUAUGAAACAAUUGCUUGGCUUGUCAUCGGGGUUGUGCAUGAUGAGAGCAUUCUUGUGUGACGAAAAUGGAGCAUGACUAAACUAUAUGAUUUUGUAGGGAUGAACUUUCUUCGGCCAUGUUAUUUUGAGAAGACAUAAUUUCUUAGUUAUGAAAUUUUGUCUUGAAUAUUUCGGAUCUGAAUAUUCAUGCCACAAUUAAGACGAAUUACAUCAAAAUUAUGCCAAGUAGCACUCCGCAUCAAAAAUUCUAUUUUUAUUAUUUACCUACUCGAGGACGAGCAGGAAUUAAGCUUGGGGAUGCUUGAUACGUCUCUAACGUAUCUAUAAUUUUUGAUUGCUCCAUGCUAUAUUAUCUAUUCUUUUGGACGUUAUUGGGCUUUAUUAUCCACUUUUAUAUUAUUUUUCGACUAACCUAUUAACCGGAGGCCCAGCCCAGAAUUGUUGUUUUUGCCUAUUUCAGGGUUUCGAAGAAAAGGAAUAACAAACGGUGUCCAAACGGAAUGAAACCUUCUAGAACGUGAUUUUCUCAACGAACAAGACCCAGGAGACUUGGACCCUACUUCAAGACAAAAAAGAGGAGGCCACAGGGUAGGGGCACGACUACCCCCCCCCCCCAAGCGCGCCCUCCACCCUCAUGGGCCCCCUGUUGCUCCACCGACGUACUCCUUCCUCCUAUAUAUACCUACGUACCCCCAAACGAUCAGAUACGGAGCCAAACCCCUAAUUCCACAACCGCAACUUUCUGUAUCCACGAGAUCCCAUCUUGGGGCCUGGUCCGGAGCUCCACCGGAGGGGGCAUCGAUCACGGAGGGCUUCUACAACAACACCAUAGCACCUCCAAUGAAGUGUGAGUAGUUUACCUCAAACCUACGAGUCCAUAUUUAGUAGCUAGAUGGCUUCUUCUCUCUUUUUGGAUCUCAAUACAAUGUUCUCCCCCUCUCUUUUGGAGAUCUAUUCGAUGUAAUCUUCUUUUUGCGGUGUGUUUGUUUAGACCGAUGAAUUGUGGGUUUAUGAUCAAGUCUAUCUAUGAAGAAUAUUUGAAUCUUCUCUAAAUUCUUUUAUGUAUGAUUGGUUAUCUUUGCAAGUCUCUUCGAAUUAUCAGUUUGGUUUGGCCUACUAGAUUGAUCUUUCUUGCAAUGGGAGAAGUGUUAGCUUUGGGUUCAAUCUUGCGGUGUCCUUUCCCAGUGAUAGUAGGGGCAGCAAUGCACGUAUUGUAUUGUUGCCAUCGAGGAUAACAAGAUGGGGUUUUCAUCAUAUUGCAUGAGUUUAUCCCUCUACAUCAUGUCAUCUUGCUUAAGGCGUUUCUCUGUUUUCAUUAACUUAAUACUCUAGAUGCAUGUUGGAUAGCGGUCGAUGAGUGGAGUAAUAGUAGUAGAUGCAGGCAGGAGUCGGUCUACUUGUCUCGGACGUGAUGCCUAUAUACAUGAUCAUACCUAUAUAUUCUCAUAACUAUGAUCAAUUCUAUCAAUUGCUCAAAAUUAAUCCAUUCACCAACCGUAGAAUACUUAUGCUCUCGAGAGAAGCCACUAGUGAAACGUAUGGCCCCCAGGUUUAUCUUCCUCAUAUUUAUCUACCAAUACUUAGUUAUUUCCUUUUGAUUUUACUUUUCUUUUAUUUUACUUUGCAUAUUUAUCAUAAAAAUACCAAAAAUAUUAUCGUAUCAUAUCUAUCAGAUCUCACUCUCUUAAGUCGCUGUAUAGGGAUUGACAACCCCUUAACGCGUUGGUUGCGAGGAUUUAUUUGUUUUGUGCAGGUACGAGGGACUCACGCGUAGCCUCCUACUGGAUUGAUACCUUGGUUCUCAAAAACUGAGGGAAAUACAUACGCUACUUUGCUGCAUCAUCCCUUCUUCUUCGGGGAAAAGCAACGCAGUGCUCAAGAGGUAGCAGCCCUGCAAGAGAAUCUGCUAAUAGUGGUGGGCACAAUGAUCUAGGGAUGAUUCUAAAAGACUGGAUAGGUAUGAAAGAUGAUUGCUUUGAUGGAACUAGGACACCAAUGGAUGCAAAAUCAUUUUUGAAUACCAUGGAGAAAUAUGUGGAUGCCAUGGAGUUGACUUCGCAAAAGAGAGUCCAAUUUGUGUCCUUCAACCUUAAGGAUCUUGUUGAAGAUUGGUGGACAGGAGUCCGUGCAACUAUUCAUGGGCAACCCACAUGGAAGUUUUUGUGCAACAAUUCACUGCUAAGAAUUAUUGAGAAUCAUCCAAGGAGGAAAUGUCGGUGAUGAAGUUGAACUACAUUAAGAAGGGAAGUUGGUGGUGGAUGAGUAUGAGGCAGAAUUUAGUAAGAUGGUACUUUUUAUGGAUCAGGUGAAGUGUAAUGGGUCCGAUAAGGCCAAGGUAUUAGUUAGAGGGAUGAAUUCAAAGUACAGAGAAGUGAUGGGAGCAAAUUCCCCUAUAGAUUAUGUAUCCAUGGUUAGGCGGGCUAGAGGGAUGGAGUUGGAGGUCCACCUCGCAGAAGGAGAAGAGAAUCACACUGGAGGUUCUGGUGGCACGGGUGGUGACUCGAAGGUGAGUUAGCGUGGCAGAAGUGGGUCUCCUCGACCUCCUUUCAUGAAGUUCAAAGGAAAUUAUCGUACGCAACAAACAACAAAGUUCAAGCAGUCAAGGCCUCAGUAUUCUAAGGACAUCCAUAUAAGGGUGCCAAAUCAAGCUACUGGACAACACCAAAUCAAGCUAUUGGCCAGACUCCCUACUCCCUAAUAUAUGGUGCAGAAGCAGUGCUCGCCACGGAACUCAUAUAUGUGUCACAUCGGAUACUUGCCUACGAUGAAGUAGUGCAAGAGCGCCUACGGCAUGACGAUGCGAUGCUCCUCGAGGAAGAUCAUCUCUGGGUUGUUGUACGUGUUGCAUGAUAUCAACAAACCCUGCACCGCUAUCAUAGCCUUAGGGUCCAUGCCGGGAGCCUUGAGGAAGGUGGACUUGUCCUUAGGCAUGUUCAGUCCGCCAAGGGUUCAAACAAGUCAACACCAAAGUGGGAAGGCCCUUAACGGGUAGUACGUGUCACCAGACCCGACAUAGUCCGUUUGGAGACAGAAGAUGGCAUUCCAAUGCAAAACUCAUGGAACAUUGAGCAUCUCUAUAAGUUCUACCCGUAAGGCGCGGUUGCCGGGCCUUGCCCCGACAACCUGUUUUGUACAAGCAUAGUCCCCAGGACAUGUAACCCUUUGUACAAAGCCAGGUGCAGACCAUGUGCAUAGAUAAUAAAGCAAAGCGCCGUCACAAAGCUUGCAUGCAUGUUUUCUUAAAUAUGUCUUUAUUUUUUUACAAUAAUCCAAAUAUAAGAUUACUAACUUAGUAUGAAGGGGCGUACACAGUUAUUUCUCCAUGUACUUUUUAGUGCUACACAGUUAUGGCUUUAUUGGGGAUGAUAAGAAGAACAACAAAAAAGAUAAGUUGACCCCAACCCUCCUGUUGUAUUCACAUAUGAAAAACGUGUAUGUAGGGGAACCUUGUUGCCUCCACUGGUACGCGUCGGUGCUAUACAAAUGGUUUUUAACCCCUUUCCGCCACGCCAUUUGGAAUCGUCGCCUAGUGAGUGACGGCGAUAGGUGGGUCCUAUCCACACGACCUAGAAACCGUUGGGGAUAUGCCCUCCUGGCACACACGCUAGGCAAAAUGAGGUCGUGUGCGACCGGCGAGUGCUCAUAUACGGUGAUACGUACAGUAGAGCUAAAAAAUACAAUUAUGUAGGCAAAAUUGUUUCCAGUCGCAAGUACAUCCCUGCUAAACGUUUCCAUUCGUAUGUACAUCCCACACAGUCGCUCCAAGGAAAAUGUUUCCGUUCACAUGUACAUCACACACAAUUUUCCAUGUUAAAUUCUUUGUGAUAGCGUUUCCAUUGCACACGAUAAUAAUAAUUUUAUCAUUUGCAUUAUUGAAUGCAUCACACAUGGUGCGUGGAAGAAACCGUGUGGCAAAGGAUGUCCAUCACAAAAAGUUUUUAUGUGGUAAACGUUUGCGCAAUGUGGCCUAACGCAAACAGUUUUCAAGAGAAGGUCGUGUGUGAUUGUUCGUUGAUCCAACACGGUUUAUUCCUAGAAACUGUGUGCGUUGCCUGAGGUCAUCGCCCAUGGUAUUUUCUGAAUAACUGUUUGCAAUAGCAAAACCCAAUUAGUAGGCUAAUUCGCCAUUAGCAGGAUAAUUUCCCUAUUAUUAAUAAUCAAUUUAUUAAUAUAAUUGACAUUCAUAUUAAGCACAUAAUAUAUUUCAUUUCCAUAUUAAAGAAGCAGGAUUUCAUAAUUGAAAUACAUCAGAGUACAACAUGAUAUAUCUUCAGCACUCAGCUACCCCAUUACACAACUACACCAGAAGCAAGUUUCACAUGCAACAUGUAGAACCUUUCGAAAUUAGCAUCAUAGAUGGUAUAUAGACAGAUGCAACUCAUCUGGAAAACUGCUGAAGUGGAAGGCGAAUAUUGAGCCUUCAUUCAUGUUGAAGGUCUUUGCAACUUUAGGCUAGUGCCUGUGGAUGAUUGACCGUCCCGUCCUUCAUCGUCUUCAGGAACACUUCAAUAUUGAACCGUGGGUGUUGUAUGAAAAUCUUCCUUGCCUCCUGACCAUAGAGGUGGUUUGAGAGGUAAUCAUUAGUGAACUGCUUUGCAAAGUCCUGAAAACAAGGACGUGCAUAAAUAUCUUCUCUAUAUUGGAAAUGGGGCAAAGGAAUAAAAAAGGCAAGGUAUAAUAGUUAGUACCAUCUUGUAGUGAACUGAUGUCUUCUUCAUUGUGCAGACAAAGAUCUUGUUAUUUUUUGUCGCUACUUUAUUUAUCCUAGCAAUCUUUCUGAGUUUCCUGAUUUGAUUGAUAUUCGUGGACAACUCAUUUCCCCAUAUGCAAAAAGGGUCAAACAGUGGGUCAAAACCUCUGACAAUAGGACCUACAUGUGCAAGACCAAGUUGUUAAAAACCUAAAUAUUAGAAUGGUUCCUGCAAUUGCACCAUAAUGUGCUAUUAGGGAAUAGACCAUGCAUGUGCUAACCUCCAUUAUAAACCUUAGUGCUUCCCAUUGUUUCCCUUCAGCAUAUAUAAGGUAGUUAGUCAUCAGGUUAAGUAAGGGUUCGGAUGUUAUCAAUAAAAUAUGUUGAUGAAACAUAAGCACAUUGCAGAUUCAUUAGAUUAAUUCAAGCCACAUGGAAAACCCAUUUAUCCAAACCAAGCAUGAUUAAGAACUAGGAAAUAUAGAACUUUUAUAUGUUUCUCAGGUAUUAAGUGCAGCCAAAUUUGAUUUAUUUCUCACAUGCACAACAAUACAAAAUUCUACCAACGAUAAUUGGACAUCGCAUUGCAGAAUUGAACAAAGCAGUUAACUAAACACCACAAAAAAUGAACCAAACAUUAACUGAGCACUACAUUGCACAAUAUAACAUACUCUUAAUAGAAGAUCAGACAGUUAACCAAAUGAAGCAUGCUUAACAACUUGGAAAUAGAGCAAUUGUAUUUCUUUUCUCAUGUAUUUACUACAACCAAAUUCAAUUUAUUCCUCACAUGGUAUACAAUAACAGAAUGCACCCACAACUAUUGAACAUCACAUUGCAGAAUUAAACCAAACAGUUAAAUAAACACCACAAACAAAUGAACCAAACGUUAACUGAGGACCACAUUGCAUAAUGUAUAACCAAACCAAGCAUGCUUGACAACCUGGAAAUAGAGCAAUUGUGUUUCUUUUCUCAUGUAUUUACUACAACCAAAUUCAAUUUAUUCCUCACAUGGUAUACAAUAACAGAAUGCACCCACAACUAUUGAACAUCACAUUGCAGAAUUAAACCAAACAGUUAAAUAAACACCACAAACAAAUGAACCAAACGUUAACUGAGGACCACAUUGCAUAAUGUAUAACCAAACCAAGCAUGCUUGACAACUUGGAAAUAUAGCAAUUGUAUGCGUUUCUCAUGUAUUUUGUGAAGAUACAUUCGAUGUAUUUCUCACAUGGAAGACAAUACAAAAUAGCAGCCUGAAUAUUGAACAUCACAUUUACAUAAUGGAACCAAACUGUUAACUAAUGAUGACAACUAAUUAAUAAAAGAGUUAAUAAGUGAGCACCACACUGCACGACAUAUAGAACAUAUACACUAGAGCAACAGAUUGCAUGGUAAAAUUCGAUAGCACAAUUCACUAGAAUUUGUGAAGGAAAGGCAGGAGCAGCACACGCAAUGGGUAAACCGAGCAUGCUUAACUGGCAUAGCUAGCAAAUGGCAUGGUGCUCCACCAAGAUCUGGUGGUCGCCACGAAUGGCAGCCAUCGCGACCUCAUCCGCGCGUGCGGCCACGAUUUGCUUCUCCGCUGCCAAAUGCUCCUUGAGAUCCUGGCUAUAAUGCAUGCACCAUGGCUUAGGGCGGUUCUUAUCUGGUGGAGGGGUCGGUGAUUUGGGUGGAAGGGGUCGCGCCGGCGGCCGGGGCAUGUGGGAUGUGGAAGGAGGAGAAGGAUGGGGGUUGGGUGUGGAUUACUUGCCUGGAUAGACGAGGACGAGCAGCGUGAAGGAGGGUCGUUGGCAAGGAGGCGGCGCUGCAAGCAAGGAGUGAUGGUUUUAACUUGGAAAGGAAGGUGGAAAAGGGGAAAUGUGGCUUUUGGUAAGGGGGGCGGGAAGGUAGAUAUUUCCGCGGAAGCCGAAAAUUUGGAAUCGCUUCAGCGAAAAAACUGGCACGCAAGGUGUCAUCACACACGGUCCCUUAUUCAGAGCUGUGUACAAUAUGUGAACAUCACAAACGAUUCAGAUAGCUUAAUCCAUGUGUGAUGAGUUUGAACGUCAAAUAUUUUGGUUCGAAUUUCCCUCGUUACAGUGGUCAUCCAUGUCAUUGCAUAAUUUGGGUACACAAAGUAGACUACAACACACCCACACUUCUUAAUCGAGCAAGUUCAACAAUUAAACAGAGCUAGUUGACCUGAACAUUGCUCUAACAAAUUAAAGACUGGUGCUCUUAAUUAAACAAAACAAAGAGUACUACUAUGGCUGGUGCUCGUCGAUCUCCGCCGCCGCCUCCAUGUCUAGCUCGCGCCCGACGGUCUCCUGCUGAAGGGGCUCCAUGGCAUCCAUCGCACCAUACUCGGCAAGCAUCUCGCCAUCCGCGUCUGCCAUCUCUUUGGAAAAGGCCGCCAUGAGUUGGGCGUGGGCGACCGCGAUCUGGGCUUGGAUGGGCUCCUUCAUCGCAAGGUAUGCAGCGGAGGAACGGACGGCUGCUCGAACACUCUCGGUGAUUUCCAACUCUUUGGUCGUGGGUUGCCAACCGUUGUCGGAGAAGCUUCGUUCGACUUGUGCGGUGACCGCCACGAGCUAGGCUUGGGUAGCCUCGAUAUGGUCAUGGGAGGCCUACAUCAGGGCUAAGGCCGCCGCUGUGGAACGGACAGCUGUUGCACCACUCUAUCCAGUUGCUAUCCCCGAGGCAGAUGUUGCUGCCACCACCUGAGAAGCAACAACAGCCGUUUGGGCUGCCUUGGCCACCCGGUCGCAGAUUGCGGCCGCGCUCAUGCACCUUGUUAGCAUGCGCAUGGUGGCUACGGCCACCCUCUCACCGGAGUGGGCCACCAAAGUUAACAUCACGACGCAGGUCCGCGUGCCCAUCAUUCAUCGGUGAUGAUUGAAUGGUGAAAUUAUAUUUGGGGAGCGGGCUAGUGUGCUUGAGGCGUCGGCUGUGGACUGUAGCCGACGCACCUUCUCGCGUAAGCCAUAGGCAUACUAUACAUCGACGGUGCUCCAAGAUAUUUUGUGCUGCAUCUCACACGGUUGGUGAUAAUAAACUGUGUAGGAUCUACUUGAUUUUUCAUCUUGAUUGGAAUUACAUAAUGGGGUCACAUCGGCAAUGGACGGUGUUUGAAUUGCUAGACCUUUUAUCUGCAGUGAACAUGCAACUAUAUGCGUGUCAUGAAGGAAUUGGAAUUAUUCAGCGUUCGUUUGAACAUUCUACACAUUAAAUUCUAGUAAAUCUAAAGCUCGUCUGAAAUUGAUGAAACUUGCCAUGCUGUCAUGGAGCAGCAUCGACCUGUCGUGGUAAAUUUUUUGUCCCAUUCGGGGCAGGUUUGGGGAUAUGCUUCUCACAAACCAGAGCUUCUCACAACAAGCCUAAUGGUUUCGGUAGGGAACGUUGCACUUUUCUCGACGAAACUAUAUCCAUUGCCUCUGCUCGAUUUCAAUUUUUUCCCUACUGUCAACAUAGAACAACAUGAGUGUUGUGUCAUUUUUUGGAUUUUUCGGGGUUCGUUUGGACAUUUUCAUGCAUUAAUUGUGUUUUCAAUGCAUUUAUGUGCAUAAUUCAAAUUCGAACUACAUGCACAUGGUCCAAAGCAUAUAAAUUGGUUGAAAAUUCAAAUAUGCGUCCUUGGUUGCAUGCUUAGGUCCCAUGCAAGAAAUGGGAAUCAAUGUCAAACACCCUGCCACCGUCACUUGUCCGCAAACAUUGAGAUACCUUGUUUUUAAAUUCUAGUAAAUCCAAGACUCAUCUGAAAUUCAUGAAACUUGGCAUGCUAACAUGGAGCGGCAUCAAAUGUCCUGGUAAAUUUUUUACCCCAUUUGGGGCAGGUUGGGUGUAUGCUUCUCACAAACCAGAGGUUCUCACAACAAGCAUGAUGGUUUCGGUAGGGAACGUACAAUGUUUGGGGACGAAGCAAUAUCCAUUGCCUCUUAUUGCCUUCAAAAAAUUUCUCGUGUCAGCGUAGAACAACAAGAGUGUUGUGUCAAUUUUUGUGAUUUUCGGGGCUCGUUUGCACAUUUUCAUGCAUUUACUUAGUUUUCAAUGCAUUCAUGUGCAUAAUUCAAAUUUUAACUAGAUGCACAUGCUCUAAUGCACAUAAAUUGGUUGAAAAUUCAAAUCUAUGUUCUUGGUUGCAUGCGGUCCCGUGCAAGAAAUGGAAAUGAAUGUCAAACACCCUACCACCGUCACUCAGCUGCAAACAUUGAGAUACCUGGUUUUAAAAUUCUAGUAAAUCCAAAACUCGUUUGAAAUUCAUUAAACUUGGCAUGCUAUCAUGGAGCGGCAUCAACAAGCUGUGGUAAAUUUUUUGUCCCAUUUGGGGCAGGUUUGGGUAUAUGCUUGUCACAAACAAGAGCUUCUGACAAUAAGCAUGAUGUUUCGGUAGGGGAUGUCCGACCUUUGGGGAUGGAACGAUAUUAUUGCCUCUUAUUGCUUUCAAAAAAAUUCUCGUGUCAACGUAGAACAACAGGAGUGUUGUGUCAACUUUUGUGAUUAUCGGAGUUCAUUUGGACAUUUUUAUGCAUUAACUUAGUUUUCAAUGCAUUCAUGUGCAUAAUUCAAAUUUGAACUACAUGCACAUGCCCUAAUGCAUAUAAAUUGGUUGAAAAUUCAAAUAUGUGUUCUUGGUUGCAUGCUUAGGUCCCAUGCAAGAAAUGGCAACACUACAAAAAAAGACACAUCCAUGACUGGGCCGAAUGAAUUUUUUCUGUCAUUCUUAUGACACUUCUAUGACGAUAAUUGUGACAAAACCCGGUAUCAUCAUAGAUGUGGUGGGCUCCUACUUCUAUGACAAAAAAUCAUGACAGAAAAUGGGCUUUUCGUCCUGGGCGGGCCGGAGACGCAGCAGCAUGACAUUAUUUGGGCCGUCCAUGACGGAAAAAACCAUGGUAGAAGCAAGGGCGAGGAAAAUAUCGGGGGAGUUCCCGAUUACGGUGGGUGGUCGGGGGACAAGCGAUGCGCGUUUCUCUUGUACGUACGCACGUGUGUGCGAGGCGUUGCGCGCUAACUGAACCCGAGCGAGGCGUUGGGCUCUAACUGAAACCAAGCGAUUGCGUUGUAGGCUAUGUGUUACUGAACCCGAGCGAUUAAUCGAUGGCUGUUAACUGAACCCGAUCGAGCAAUUCCUUCGCUACUGCUGCUAACUGAACCCUAUUGCACCUGCUGCCUCNNNNNNNNNNNNNNNNNNNNNNNNNNNNNNNNNNNNNNNNNNNNNNNNNNNNNNNNNNNNNNNNNNNNNNNNNNNNNNNNNNNNNNNNNNNNNNNNNNNNNNNNNNNNNNNNNNNNNNNNNNNNNNNNNNNNNNNNNNNNNNNNNNNNNNNNNNNNNNNNNNNNNNNNNNNNNNNNNNNNNNNNNNNNNNNNNNNNNNNNNNNNNNNNNNNNNNNNNNNNNNNNNNNNNNNNNNNNNNNNNNNNNNNNNNNNGGUGGGGGGUGGAUGAACAGGACCCCGUGGUAGUCGAGGCCAUCGCCGCUGGAUGAACAGGACCGCGUGUGUGGAGGGCUGUAUGAACUGGACCCCGUGUGUGGGGGGCUGGAUGAACAGGACCCUGUGCAGGGCUGGUUGAACAGUAGCCUGCGGAGGGCUUGUUAAACAGUAGCUGGUCGAGGGCUGGAUGAACAGUGGCCGGUGGAGGGGUGAUUGAACAAGACCCUGUGCAGAGGGCUGGUUGAACAGUACCCAAUGGAGGAGCGGUGGAGGCUGGAUGAACAUGAGCCUGUGGAUGACCAGUCGCAGGUGGAGGCUGGAAGAGGUUGAUGGUGGAUGAACAAUAGCCCAUGGAGGCUCGAGGAGGUUGACGGUGGAGAUGAACAGUAUCUCGUGGAGUCCUGUUUUGCGGUACACCACACCCGUCCCAAUGAACAGGACCCCCGUUUUGACCGUCACGCUCCAACACAAGUCUGUUUCCUCCGUUUUGCGGUACGCCAUACCCUCCCGAUCAACAGGACCCCGUUUCGACCGUAGGUGGUCCAAGAGAAGUCCGUUUCCUCUGUUUUCUUGUACGCCAGAGCCCUCCCAAUGAACAGGAUCCCGUUUUGGCCAUGGCCGGUCGAACACAAGGCCGCUUCCUUCGUUCCAUGGGACGCCAGGCUUCGUCUCCAUCGGUUGUUCUGUCCAAGCCGGUUGGCUCCCGAUAAACAUGACGUAUUCCGUUGCCUCCCCAUGAACACGACUUUGUUUCUCCGUUCCGACCCAGCCGGUUUGCUGCUCGAUGAAAAGGAAGCCGUUGCUCCCGUCCAUUGCCUCUCCAUGUACACAAGCCCUAGCCGUUCGUAUAUAUAUGCACGAGUAUGCGCUAAAGACCCCACUCGUAUGUACGUACGUGGCCGUAUUUACUUUCUUGCACCCUGGUCGCUGUGCGUAUGUGUACAUGCUACGUGCGCGCCUCUACUACGACACAUGUGUGCCUCUACUACGACAUGGGUGCUUCCUUACAUGGCCACGGUUCAUCGUUGCAGCAUGCAGACAGACCGAUCGACCAGUAUGUAGGUACACGUUCGCGCCCAGAAUGACAACGCCACGUACGCUUCGACCAGGUGGGUCCCGACUGUCAGGCACUACCUUGUGUGCAAAGAUGUAGCUGGUGGGUCCCAGCAGUCAGGGGGCGAAUCAUUUUUUUGCCCGUAAUACGAACGCACUUCGUUGCGUGCGAAGAUGUAGCUGUUGGUGAACGUUGCAGAAAACAAAAAAUUUCCUACGGUUUCACCAAGAUCGAUCUAGGAGUUCAUCUAGCAACGAGUGAUUAGAUGCAUCUACAUACCUUUGUAGAUCGCGAGCGGAAGCAUUCAAAGAACAGGGAUGAGGGAGUCGUACUCGACGUGAUUCGAAUCACCGAAGAUCCUAGCACCGAACGGACGGCACCUCCGCAUUCAACACACGUACGGAACAGCCAUGUCUCCUCCUUCUUAAUCCAGCAAGGGGGGAGGAGAGGUUGAGGGAGAUGGCUCCAGCAGUAGCACGACGGCAUGGUGAUGAUGGAGCUGCAGUACUCCGGCAGGGCUUCGCUAAGCACUAUGGAGGAGGAGGAUGUGUUGGAGAGGGAGAGGGAGGCACCAAAGGCAAAGGUAAGAAGUCCUCCAUCUCCCCCACUAUAUAUAGGAGGGCCAAGGGGGGGCGCCGGCCCUAGGAGAUCUAAUCUCCUAGGGGUGUGCGGCCAAGGGGAGGAAUCCCUUCCUCCCCAAGGCACCUAGGAGGUGCCUUCCCCUCCUAGGAAUCUUCCUUUAGGGUUUCCCCCACCCUAGGCGCAUGGGCCCUAGGGGGAAGUGGCGCCCCAGCCCACUUUGGGCUGGAUCCCUUCCCACUUCAGCCUAUGGGGCCCUCCGGGAUAGGUGGCCCCGCCCGGUGGACCCCCGGGACCCUUCCGGUGGUCCCGGUACAAUACCGGUGACCCCGAAACUUGUCCCGAUGGCCGAAAUAGCACUUCCUAUAUAUAAUUCUUUACCUCCGGACCAUUCCAGAACUCCUCGUGACGUCCGGGAUCUCAUCCGGGACUCCGAACAACAUUCGGGUUACUGCAUAUACAUAUCCCUACAACCCUAGCGUCACCGAACCUUAAGUGUGUAGACCCUACGGGUUCGGGAGACAUGUAGACAUGACCGAGAUGACUCUCCGGUCAAUAACCAACAGCGGGAUCUGGAUACCCAUGUUGGCUCCCACAUGCUCCUCGAUGAUCUCAUCGGAUGAACCAUGAUGUCGAGGAUUCAUGAAACCCCGUAUGCAAUUCCCUUUGUCAAUUGAUAUGUUAUGUCAGGACCCCGACUCGAUGCCACAUAGGUCUAGCAUGUAACACCUCAUAUCACUUUGCGGCCUCACGCACGGUAUUCCCACGGGUGUCGCCUUACCUUUUCCCGGGACCGUUUGCGCCUUUUGGCACACGUAUAUGAUAGUGUCGCUAGUACCCAUAUGAUAAGGAGCCCGGGCUGACAUGGCUAGUCGUAAACCCAAAGUGGCACAGACUUACAGGGACAGGCAUCCAUGACCCAGCAACGAACGUGUCGGUCAUCAGCAAGUGGGUCCGGGCUGUAGCAAUGGGCUAGCAGGACUCCGGUAAACCGGGCUGUAGCGGGCUAACAGGACUCCGGUACUCAAUGCGUGACAUUUCCCCGAAGGGACAGACACAGGAACGAAGAAGGACACAUGCCGGCCAGCCUAAGUGUUCCAGAGCAGUAGCAAGCUACCAUGGCUCAGUGGUAACACUAGGAGACAUUUCCUGGUAAGAGAGGCUACUAAGGAUAAACAACUAGAUAGUCAGAUCCCACACAUACCAAGCAUUUCAAUCAUACACACAAUAGGCUCGAUAUGUGCAAAUACAACAAGGCAUCACAACAUGACUCGAUGACACAAGUACUUUAUUUAAGGCUCAGAGAGCCAUACAUAACAUACACAAAGGUACGGGUCACACGACCCAGCAUUCAAGUCAUACAGUCAUACAAACCAGCAGCGGAAGUAACUUGUCUGAGUACAGACAACUAGUAAAAUAAAAGAGGCUUGGAAAGCCUAGCUAUAAUACGUGGUCCUUCACAAACUCAGGAUCACCACCUGGGCCUUAGCCUACUCAUUGAUGUCAACGUCUACGAAGAACCCAUCAGAAGGGGUUGCAGCGUCUUCUGUAAAAUGUAAAUUAUAGCAACAUGAGUACAAAGGUACUUAGCAAGACUUACAUCAGAUCCUACAUACAUGCACAUUAUCAAGAAGGGUUGGUGGAGUUAUUGCAGCAAGCCAGCUUUGACUCUUGGCUAGACUAUCCUACGAGACUCCAACUUGAAAUGGUUUUGCGUACACGAGUCCACUACUCACCACUUCAAUACACUACCGAGGAUCCACCUCCGUCUUCAUACGGAAGAGCCAUCCUCGGCACUCACACUUAUCUUGAGGCUUUUAGUAGUUUCCAUUUACAUUUCUAUGAACUGUAUAGGCAACCAAGUAGUCCUUUACCGCGGACACAGCUAUUCGAAUAGAUCAUGAUAACCCUGCAGGGGUGUACUUCUUCAUACACGCUCUCACCACUUACCAUCGUUUACACAACAUGUACUCGGCAACCUUCAAGCGGAAGCCCAACGUGGGUGUCGGCCACGACCUACCUAAUCACCUAAGUCUCUAGUCCAGGUUUAUCGCCUAUUCGGCUUCCAUCCAUGAGGAGAUCCGGCCGAGGUUUCGCUCACAGCCCCAAACGAUGUGAACAGGGUUCCCGAGAUACCUAACGGGUAUUCGGUACACCGUGCCACGUACCUACCGCAUCACAGCCCACCCCUACGGUCAGCGCUGUCCACGGCCUCCAGUAGGCUACAAACACCAGAAACUACUUGCAACUCCUGGACAGAGAACUAGGGUGAAUAAGAAGUCGAGAGGGUCCAUUGGUUUCGGGCCCAAUGCAUGGUAGUAGCUGAAUCUUAAAUCACACAUACAGAUCUCAGUGCUUAAGGUCGGCUUCAAUGAAACAACCCCCCAUGUACUCCUACAUGGCCUCUCAUCGAUACCUUUACCAAAUCAUGUUCACCACACCACUUUCAUUACCGACAUAAUCAUUUCACUCUAGUCCAUCACCCAGAUGAACCAGACCUAACACGACUCUAAGCAUAGCAGGCAUAGCAAGGUAGGAACAACACAUACAUAUGGCUCAAACAACUCCUACACAUGCUAGUGGGUUUAAUCUAGUUACUGUGGCAAUGACAGGUCAUGCAGAGGAAAUGGGUUCAACUACCGUAACACACAGCAGUUUGAAACGCGUUGUCUUAAUGCAGUAAAAGAGAGCAGGAGCGAGAACAUGGGAUUGUAUCGAUAUGAUCAAAUGGUUGGUUGCUUGCCUGAUGAUUCGAUGCACUGAUACGGUUCUUCGUUAGGGUAAUCACGGUACUCCUCGGAGGCAGAUCCUACCGCAAAGAACACCGAUACACAACCAUCACCAAACAAUGUGCAACAAUAUGAUGCAUGCAUGAAACAUGGCAAUUUGAGUGUGUUGGGCUAAUCCAACUAAGACCAGAAGGGUUUGAACCAAUUUGAAUCAAAGAUUCAAAUUUCAAACUCAAACAUGGUCCUUUAAAGUGUUUUUCGUUGUUCUGCAUUAAACAUCAAGUUAACUUGUUUAGUCAUGCUUGAAAAUAGUACAGAUGGAUAGAUUGGAUUUUUCUGAUCAUUUUUCAUAUAUAAUUUGUCUGAUUUGGAGUUACAGAAUAAAAGUUAUGAAUUUUUGAAGUUUAAACUAUAUUCUGGAAUUUCCUAUAUUAGAUUAAAUCCAGAAAAUCAAUUACUGCGUCAGCGUGACGUCAGUGUGACAUCAGCAGGUCAACGGGACACGUCCGGGUCAAAUCUGACAGUGGGUCCCGCGUGUCAGUGUGAUUAAUUAAACUAAAAUUAAUUUAAACUAAUCCUAAUUAGUUAACAGGGCUGGGCCCCACCUGUCAUUGACUCAGGGGAGUCAACCAGGGCCCACCCGUGGUCAAACCCGGGUAGGCUGCACCGGCGUUUAGCCGCCAGCGAGCCCGACGCGGCGGCGGAAGUGGUUUUGGCCGUUUCAGCCACCAAAUGGGUCGCGGAGACCACCAGAGUGGAGCUGAGGACGAGCCGCAGCUCUUGGUGGAGUCCGUUGGGGUCGGGGUGGCCGGAGUUGGCGCCGACGAUGACUUUGGCGGCCACCGGAGUUCGGCCGAGGGCGAACUUUACGCUAGAGGGGUCGGUGAGGUGCGGGGAGUAGCUAGUUAGGUGCUACGUGACGCGGUGAGCAUGAUGGACACCAGUUUGUGGCCGGAGGGUGACCGGGAGCACAUCGGCGACGAACUCCACGGUGGUGGGUGCGGUUGAGCUCCGGGAGGUCGCUACACGGCUCGGGAGCAAGAAAAGAAGAGAGGGGAAGAUGGCUAAGCUCACGGGGAGUUCGACGAAGCCCUUGGUGCGGCCGGGGACGGACCGGAGCGACGACGGCGUUGAAGGGGAUCUCCGGCGACGGCGGUUCGGGCGAGGUCGUUGCGGUGGACUCGGGCGUUGCGAGCGCUCGGGGCUCGGCUUGCUCNNNNNNNNNNCAGAUCUCAGUGCUUAAGGUCGGCUUCAAUGAAACAACCCACCAUGUACUCCUACAUGGCCUUUCAUCGAUACCUUUACCAAAUCGUGUUCACCACACCACUCUCAUUACCGACAUAAACAUUUCACUCUAGUCCAUCACCCAGAUGAACCAGACCUGACACGACUCUAAGCAUAGCAGGCAUAGCAAGGUAGGAACAACACAUACAUAUGGCUCAAUCAACUCCUACACAUGCUAGUGGGUUUCAUCUAGUUACUGUGGCAAUGACAGGUCAUGCAGAGGAAGUGGGUUCAACUACCGUAGCACACAGCAGUUUGAAACGCGUUGUCUUAAUGCAGUAAAAGAGAGCAGGAGCGAGAACAUGGGAUUGUAUCGAUAUGAUCAAAUGGUUGGUUGCUUGCCUGAUGGUUCGAUGCACUGAUACGGUUCUUCGUUAGGGUAAUCACGGUACUCCUCGGAGGCAGAACCUGCCGCAAAGAACACCGAUACACAGCCAUCACCAAACAAUGUGCAACAAUAUGAUGCAUGCAUAAAACAUGGCAAUAUGAGUGUGUUGGGCUAAUGCAACUAAGACUAGAGGGGUUUGAACCAAUUUGAACCAAAGAUUCAAAUUUCAAACUCAUACAUGGCCCUUUAAAGUGUUUUACCUUGUUCUGCAUUAAACAUCAAGUUAACUUGUUUAAUCAUGCAUGAAAAUAGUACAGAUGGAUAGAUUGGAUUUUUCUGAUCAUUUUUCAUAUAUAACUUGUCUGAUUUGGAGUUACAGAAUAGAAGUUAUGAAUUUUUGAAGUUUAAACUAUAUUCUGGAAUUUCCUAUAUUAGAUUAAAUCCAGAAAUUAAUUUAUUGCGUCAGCCUGACGUCAGUGUGACAUCAGCAGGUCAACGGGACACGGUCCGGUCAAACCUGACAGUGGGUCCCGCGUGUCAGUGUGAUUAGAUUAGUUAAAGUUUAAUUAAAACUAAACCUGUUUAAUUAACAGGGCUGGGCCCCACCUGUCAUUGACUCAGGAGAGUCAACCAGGGCCCACCCGUGGUCAAACCCGGGUCGGCUGCACCGGCGUUUAGCCGCCGGCGAGCCCGACGCGGCGGCGGAAGUGAUUUUUGCCGUUCCGGCAACCAAACGAUCCGCGGAGGCCACCGGAGAGGAGCUGAGGUCGAGCCGCAGCUCUUGGUGGAGUCCGUUGGGGUCGGGGUGGCCGGAGUUGGCGCCGGCGACGACUUUGGCGGCCACCGGAGUUCGGCCGAAGUCGAACUUGUCGCUAGGGGGGUCGGUGAGGUGCGGGGAGUAGCUAGUUAGGUGCUACGUGACGCGGUGAGCAUGAUGGACACCGUGGAGUGGUCGGAGGGUGACCGGGAGCACGUCGGCGACGAGCUCCACGGUGGUGGGUGCGGUUGAGCUCUGGGAGGUCGCUACAUGGCUCAGGAACGAGAGAGGGAGGGUAGGAGGGGUAGCUAGGCUCACAGCGCACCCGUAGAGGCCACCGGCGGGGUCGGGGACGAGCUGAGGCGGCGACGGUGUUGAAGGGGAUCUCCGGCGACGGUGGUUCGGGCGAGGUCGUUGCGGUGGACUCGGGCGUUGCGAGCGCUCGGGGCUCGGCUUGCUUGAUGAAGUGGACAGCGGCGGAGCUCCUGGACACGACGAGAGGACGCACGGGCGGCGGGGAGCGCGGCUACGACGUAGGCACGGCGGCGGUAGCGUCGGCCAUGGCUGGGGGGCGCGAGGNNNNNNNNNNNNNNNNNNNNNNNNNNNNNNNNNNNNNNNNNNNNNNNNNNNNNNNNNNNNNNNNNNNNNNNNNNNNNNNNNNNNNNNNNNNNNNNNNNNNNNNNNNNNNNNNNNNNNNNNNNNNNNNNNNNNNCCGGGGGGGCACGAGGGGGAGGAGCUGGAGAGGAAAGGGGGUGUCUGGGGGUUUCGGGGGAGAGAGGGAGGGCGAUCCAUGACGUCACCGGGCGAGGGGAGCGGCGAGGCGGCGAGCAGGUGCGUGGCGCGCGCUGCGGUCGCCGUCGGGCACCUGCCUGCCUGCCUGCCUGGCCGGCAAGCAGCUCGCUGGAGCGGCGCUGGGCUGGGCCGGCAGGUGGGCCGGGUGCUGGCGCCAGGUAAGUUUUUCUAUUUUUCUCUGUUUUCUGUUUUUUUAAUACUUCUACAACUUUGUUGAAUUAAUAAAAAUACUUAGGAAACUCCUAAAAUCACCAAACUACUCCUGGUCCAUAGUUGGAUUAUUUCCAACAUGAAACAUUUUAGUUUGGAGAUAUUUGAGCAUUUAAAUAUUUUAUAUUAUUUUAAAUGCCCAAAUUCAAAUAUUUAUGAUUUAAUUCACAAACCCUAAGAUGGCCUAGGAAAAUGUGCAUCACUUUUGGCAGAGGUUCUGAACCAAGACAAAAAUGAUGGGCGUUUUAGAAGGGCAUUUCAGGUUCAUUGAAAAAGUUUUUAGUAAACCCUAGUUGGUUUCAGAGGGGGCUGGGGGUUCUGUCAUCCCCAUUUCAGGUUUCUGAUGAAAGAGUAAAUAUGAUGCAACACUCUAAUGCAUGAACUAGCUAGGGUGUGACAACUCACCCCCACUCAAAAGAAUCUCGUCCCGACAUUUGGGUUCUUCCAGAAAGAAGGCGGGGUACUCGAGUCGAAGACGAUCCUCCCUUUCCCAAGUUGCUUCAUCCUCAGAAUGGUGCGACCAUUGAACUUUGAGAAACUUGAUAUUAUGACGUCGAGUGGUACGCUCGGCCUGAUCGAGGAUGCGAAUGGGGUACUCUCGAUACGUGAGAUUAUCUUGGAGAUCAAGCGUUUCGUGGUCCACUCCACGGAUAGGAUCCGAGAAGCAACGCCUGAGUUGAGAAACGUGAAAGACAUCGUGUACUCUGGAGAGGUGCGGAGGUAGUUCCAACUGCUAGGCAACUUCUCCUCGUUUAGCGAGGAUACGGAAAGGUCCAAUGUAACGAGGAGCCAAUUUGCCCUUGAUACUGAAACGAUGGGUUCCCUUCAGAGGAGUAACCCGAAGGUAAGCUUUCUCGUCAACCUCGAAAGUCAUAGCCUUAUGUUUUCGGUCAUACUGACUCUUUUGACGAUAUUGGGCUGUUUUCAACUUUUCACGAACGAUGCGAACUUGCUCUUCUGCUUCCUGAAUCAUAUCCGGGCCAAAGAAUUGUCUUUCCCCGGUUUCUGACCAGUUAAGGGGUGUUCGACACCGUCGUCCAUAGAGAACUUCAAAAGGGGCUUUACCCAAACUAGAUUGAUAGUUGUUGUUAUAAGCAAAUUCGGCAAAUGGAAGGCAUUUCUCCCACUCCAUUCCGAAUGAGAUAACAGAGGCUCGAAGCAUGUCUUCUAGGAUCUGGUUGACGCAUUCCACUUGACCAUUUGAUUGAGGGUGGAAGGCGGUGCUAAAAGAGAGACGGGUUCCCAUAGCAUUUUGGAAACUUUCCCAAAAUCGAGACGUGAAAAGACUUCCUCGAUCCGAGUUAAUUUCCAAAGGAACACCAUGGAGAGACACUAUUCGGGAGAUGUAUAAGUCUGCCAAUUGACUAGCGGUUAUACUCUCACGAACAGGUAAGAAAUGGGCUACCUUGGAAAGACGAUCGACAACGACGAAGAUAGCAUUAUUCCCUCUCUUGGUCCUGGGAAAACCGGUAAUGAAAUCCAUACCAAUUUUAUCCCAUUUCCAUUCAGGAAUAGCUAGGGGUUGAAGGGUGCCAGCAAGCCGUUGAUGCUCUGCUUUUACACGACGGCAGACGUCGCAAUUAGCAAUAUACUGAGAAAUUUCUCUCUUCAUUCUAGUCCACCAGAACCUCUGGCGUAGGUCCUGAUACAUCUUGGUACUACCGAUAUGAAUGGUGAGAGGAGAUUCAUGAGCUUCCUUAAGGAUCAAUCGCCUCAGGUUUCGCACUUUGGGAACCACUAGUCGAUUCCCAAAGUACACGAUCCCUUGACCAUCAAUGGAGAAACAAUUCGCAACUCCUUUCUUGAUGUUUCUCCUGAUGCGGGAAAUUCCCGGAUCUACCUUCUGUGCUUUGAUGAUCUGAUCCGUAAGGGUAGGUUUCGCCACCAAGGUGGAAAGAAAACCUUGAGGAACAAUGUGAAGGUUAAGCUUCCGAAAUUCCUCAUGGAGAAGCGGUUGACUUUGUUGUAACAUCAGGUUGUUACAAUAAGAUUUACGACUUAGCGCAUCAGCCAUGACAUUGGCUUUCCCUGGGGUGUAAGUUAUUCCUAAGUCGAAAUCUGUGAUCAACUCGACCCAACGUCUUUGCCUGAGAUUCAAAUCCGGUUGGGUGAAGAUGUACUUCAGACUUUGGUGAUCAGUGAAUAUUUCGCAGCGAUUACCAAGGAGGUAAUGUCGCCAGGUUUUAAGUGCAUAGACUACGGCUGCAAGCUCUAGAUCAUGAGUAGGAUAAUUCUCCUCAUGUGGGUGCAAUUGCCGUGAAGCGUAAGCAAUUACAUGUCGAUCUUGCAUGAGAAUGCAACCUAGUCCUUGUCGCGAGGCGUCGCAGUAGAUAACAAAGUCCUUAGAGAAGUCUGGCGGUACCAGUACGGGAGCAGAAGUCAGGCGUCUUUUCAGUUCCUGAAAGAUGUGCUCACAUUGUGGAGUCCAUUCGAACAUUUUAUCUUUCUUGAGGAUUUCGGUUAGAGGUUUAGCAACUUUGGAGAAAUUUUUGACAAAGCGACGGCAAUAGCUCGCUAAGCCCAGAAAACUCCAAACUUGCUUGACUGAUUCAGGUGGAGUCCAAUUAAGGAUGGCUUGAACUCGCUCAGGGUUAACAGCAAUACCUUUACCAGAUAUUACAUGACCCAGAUAGGUCACUUCUAACAACCAAAAUUCACAUUUAGAAAACUUGGCAUAAAGGCGAUGCUCUCGAAGUUUCUUCAACACUAGCCUUAGAUGUUCGGCAUGUUCUUCCUCGUUGUUGGAGUAGAUGAGUAUAUCAUCAAGGUAAACCACGACGAAUUUAUCCAAAUACUCCAUGAAGAUUGAAUUCAUCAAUCGAGAAAAAGUGGCUGGAGCGUUGGUUAAACCGAAGGACAUGACGGUGUACUCGUAUUGGCCAUAACGAGUAACAAAGGCCGUUUUAGGAAUGUCCCCAUUCCUGAUUUUGAUUUGAUGGUAGCCCAACCUCAAAUCCAUUUUGGAGAAGACUGAGGAUCCAGCGAGCUGAUCAUACAGGUCGUUGAUCCUGGGGAGCGGAUAUUUGUUCUUGAUUGUGACCAAAUUGACAGGUCGAUAAUCUACAACCAUCCGGUCCGUACCAUCCUUCUUCUUGACGAAGAGGACGGGGCAAGCCCACGGAGAUGAACUAGGUCGGAUGAAACCCUUUUCCAAGGACUCAUCGAGUUGUUUCUUAAGCUCGGCUAGUUCUAGUGGUGCCAUCUUAUAGGGUCUUCUAGUAAUCGGGACGGUUCCUGGAAUAAGGUCUAUUACGAACUCAACAUCCCUGUCAGGUGGAACACCUGGCAAUUCCUCUGGGAAGACAUCCGGGAAGUCACGGACUACCGGGACGUCCUCAAGGUCUGGCAAAGGGCUGGCGUUAAGAGAAUAUAACUGUCGCUUGGCUAUUCGGGUCAAGACAUUGACUAUCUUCCCCGAGGGAUGGGUGAGUUGAACAGUCCUAGAGAAGCAAUCAACUUGGGCAUGAUGAGCUGACAUCUAGUCCAUACCCAAGAUGAUAUUAAUAUCCGAAGAUUUAAGGGCUAUCAAAGAUGCGAGAAAAACAAGUCUGUCGACUUGGAUUUCGUUUCCAUGGAUUACUCUAGAAGUUUGCCAUUUGGAUCCCGGAGUUUGAAUUACCAUAGAGGAUGGCAUGUCACAGAAUGCGGUGUUAUGCAGACGAGCAUAGCUCUCGGAUAUAAAUGAAUGAGAUGCUCCUGUAUCGAAAAGAACAGAUGCCGGGUGGCAAUUAACAAGGAGCGUACCGAGAACGACGUUGGGAUCCUCUUGAGCUUCUUCGGCAGAGAUACAGUUGACCUGGCCACGUGUAGCGGUGGCCGGCUUGGCGUGGAACUUUUUUCCUGUCGGCUUGCCACGGCCAACAGUUUUAGCAGAUUGGUUGGGGUUGGUCUGGGGACACUCGCGCAUAUAGUGGCCAGAUUCCCCACACUUAAAGCAAGUCACAGAACUGGUACGUGGAGGAGCAUUGUUGGUUGGACCACCAUAGGGCUUGGCUGGUGCAGACUGUUGAAUGGGGCGAGGCGCCUGGAAGGAUGGCCUCGGUGUGAACCUGGGUGGCAGGGCAGUGUUGGGCACCCACACGCGGCGCUUCUGAGGACCAGCACCGGAUGAGGAACCCACGUCACGGCCAUGCUUGCGUGUUGCGUCAUAAUCAGUCUGACCAGUCUCAGCACUGAUGGCCUUGUUAACAAGCUUCUGAAAAGAUGUGCACUCAUGCAGACGGAGGUCGCGGCGAAGCUCAGGACUAAGUCCCUUACGGAACCUUGCUUGCUUCUUAGCAUCAGUAGAAACUUCCUCAGUUGCAUAUCGUGCGAGGUUACCAAACUCCCUGCUGUAAGCAUCCACAGAGAGUCGGCCUUGGGUGAAACUGCAAAAUUCCUCACGUUUACGGUCCAUGAGACCCUCCGGAAUGUGAUGUUCACGGAAAGCCUCGCUGAAUUCAGCCCAAGUAGUGACAUGGCCCGCUGGGCGCAUAGCUCCAUAAUUCUCCCACCAUAGACUGGCGGGGCCUUCAAGAUGAUAUGCAGCAAAGGUGACCUUGUCAGCCUCGGCUACUAGCGCGGAGUGCAGUUUGUGAGAAAUACUGCGAAGCCAGUCAUCAGCGUCGAGAGGCUCGACGGAGUGGUGGAACGUGGGUGGAUGUAACUUGAUGAAAUCACUGAGUGACACCACGUUAGUCCUCUGAUGGUGUGCUGUGUUCUGUUCAAUACGCUCCAACAAACGGUUGGUCUCCCACUUGUUUCUUUCGGCUUCCAUCAUAACCUCGGCUAGGGAAGGAGGAUGAGGCAGAUUUGCGUUCCUGACUUCACUGCCUUCGGCCUGCUCUUGAGGAGCAGGGUUAUUGCGCGUGUUGACCAUCCUAGGUAAACAAGACAAUGAUUUAGUCAGAAUGAUAAGAUUCCGACAUAGAAUACAGAAUGUAAGGAGUAACUCGGAAUGCAAGAUGAUCAUCCGUAUGACAUGGUAGAUACAGAAACUACUUCUUUAUUCCAUCGUCAUACACACCAUACAAGGUUUAGUACAAGACCAAACAAGGUACUAUUACGGUGAUAAGAGGAUUACAUCUCAUCGGAGGCAUCCCAAGCUCCUAUACAUUAUUUUUCUACACCUCCGAAAGGCGGUACAAACUAGGUCAUAUCCCACGAGUCACGCAGGACGAUAGACGACACAGCUAGUACGAACUAGUGAUACUACCACUAACUCAGACCGAUCCGUAGUAGUCCUCGUAGAAGUCACCUCCAUAGCCUGGAAGCUCAACAUGAUCAUCCGGGAACAGACGAUCCCGCGGAGCUUGAGGACCAUAGGGGCUAGGAUGAGGUCUUGGACCAAGAGACGGUGGCCUGCGGGGACCGCAAGGUGGGGUGAUGCCUCCUACAUCACACCAACCCAUCACGUCUAGCAAAGCAGAUCUCAUAGGAUAGAGAUCGCGCAUAUCCGAAUAUCCAGCUUGCACCGCCGGUGCAAACCAAGUCAGCGUGGCCCAAUGGUCAGCACGGGUAUUGAAGAGCUCUAGCCUCAAGGCCCGAUUUUCACGGUCCUUAUCCUCGAGCAUCUCAGCAGUGGUGCGAGUCCGUGAAUCCUCCUGAGUGGGGUCAGCAUAGAUAGCCUGAAGAUACCCUUGUGCUCCCGGAAGUGAUCCUACCAUAUACCGGAAAUCAGAGUCCCGAAAUAGACCAGACCUGACUCGCAUGAUGGUCAUCAUAGAGUAGGCGGCGUCCUGCACAGCCAUCUCAAUAGUAACCCCGAGUCCAUAGGAGCAGUGAAGGGGCUCGGUGGAUCCAGGAUAAGAUGGAAAUAUCCUGACAGUGCAGAGAUACUGGCUUUGAUUAAAGUCUCGAAAUUGCUCUUCGACCGUGUACUCGGGAUACCAACGGUAUCCAGCCUCAGUCAUUACCCUGACCAACAUGGUGGUAUGGCCGGGUACAUCUAGGCAUCGAGUCAGGCGAACCACUUGAUUGAGGUCGCGAGUGGCCAUCUGAAAGCACAACCAUAAUGCAAAGGCAUUAGAAUUUCUAGCAAAAUUUCGGCAGCAUAACAGCUAUAAAUGCUCAAGAAGGAUUUUGAGACAUUUGACAAGGGAUUUCAUACACACUCAACAUCAUCAUAUCAAAGUUCUGAGUCCAUCCUAACAACAUAAUGUGGUAGUAGAACUGAACUAGACUUGUAUCCAUCAAACCUAUAAGGUACUACUGAUUAGUAACAUGUGAACCUGAUAGAGAGAAUAGAUCCUAAUUCCUUAACCCCCGGUGGAAGAAUAGACUGACUCAGAUCAGAAUGUCAUAAGAUAAAGGAGUAAAAAGAGCCUUACGUUCCAACCCACAAACAAUUCCCCUACAUAUAACUAAAGAAUUUCUACACUCAACAUCGACCAGUUUGGCUGGAGAACCUACAGGCAGCCUGGCUCUGAUACCAACGCUGUCAGGACCCCGACUCGAUGCCACAUAGGUCUAGCAUGUAACACCUCAUAUCACUUUGCGGCCUCACGCACGGUAUUCCCACGGGUGUCGCCUUACCUUUGCCCGGGACCGUUUGUGCCUUUUGGCACACGUAUAUGAUAGUGUCGCUAGUACCCAUAUGAUAAGGAGCCCGGGCUGACAUGGCUAGUCGUAAACCCAAAGUGGCACAGACUUACAGGGACAGGCAUCCAUGACCCAGCAAUGAACGUGUCGGUCAUCAGCAAGUGGGUCCGGGCUGUAGCACUGGGCUAGCAGGACUCCGGUAAACCGGGCUGUAGCGGGCUAACAGGACUCCGGUACUCAAUGCGUGACAUUUCCCUGAAGGGACAGACACAGGAACGAAGAAGGACACAUGCCGGCCAGCCUAAGUGUUCCAGAGCAGUAGCAAGCUACCAUGGCUCAGUGGUAACACUAGGAGACAUUUCCCGGUAAGAGAGGCUACUAAGGAUAAACAACUAGAUAGUCAGAUCCCACACAUACCAAGCAUUUCAAUCAUACACACAAUAGGCUCGAUAUGUGCAAAUACAACAAGGCAUCACAACAUGACUCUAUGACACAAGUACUUUAUUUAAGGCUCAGAGAGCCAUACAUAACAUACACAAAGGUACGGGUCACACGACCCAGCAUUCAAGUCAUACAGUCAUACAAACCAGCAGCGGAAGUAACUUGUCUGAGUACAGACAACUAGUAAAAUAAAAGAGGCUUGGAAAGCCUAGCUAUAAUACGUGGUCCUUGACAAGCUCAGGAUCACCACCUAGGCCUUAGCCUACUCAUUGAUGUCAACGUCUACGAAGAACCCAUCAGAAGGGGUUGCAGCGUCUUCUGUAAAAUGUAAAUUAUAGCAACAUGAGUACAAAGGUACUCAGCAAGACUUACAUCAGAUCCUACAUACAUGCACAUUAUCAAGAAGGGUUGGUGGAGUUAUUGCAGCAAGCCAGCUUUGACUCUUGGCUAGACUAUCCUAUGAGACUCCAACUUGAAAUGGUUUUGCGUACACGAGUCCACUACUCACCACUUCAAUACACUACCGAGGAUCCACCUCCGUCUUCCUACGGAAGAGCCAUCCUCGGCACUCACACUUAUCUUGAGGCUUUUAGUAGUUUCCAUUUACUUGUCUAUGAACUCUAUAGGCAACCAAGUAGUCCUUUACCGCGGACGCGGCUAUUCGAGUAGAUCAUGAUAACCCUGCAGGGGUGUACUUCUUCAUACACGCUCUCACCACUUACCGUCGUUUACACGACAUGUACUCGGCAACCUUCAAGCGGAAGCCCAACGUGGGUGUCGGCCACGACCUACCUAAUCACCUAAGUCUCUAGUCCAGGUUUAUCGCCUAUUCGGCUUCCAUCCAUGAGGAGAUCCGGCCGAGGUUUAGCUCACAGCCCCAAACGAUGUGAACAGGGUUCCCAAGAUACCUAACGGGUAUUCGGUACACCAUGCCACGUACCUACCGCAUCACAGCCCACCCCUACGGUCAGCGCUGUCCACGGCCUCCAGUAGGCUACAAACACCAGAAACUACUUGCAACUCCUGGACAGAGAACUAGGGUGAAUAAGAAGUCGAGAGGGUCCAUUGGUUUCGGGCCCAAUGCAUGGUAGUAGCUGAAUCUUAAAUCACACAUACAGAUCUCAGUGCUUAAGGUCGGCUUCAAUGAAACAACCCACCAUGUACUCCUACAUGGCCUCUCAUCGAUACCUUUACCAAAUCAUGUUCACCACACCACUUUCAUUACCGACAUAAUCAUUUCACUCUAGUCCAUCACCCAGAUGAACCAGACCUGACACGACUCUAAGCAUAGCAGGCAUAGCAAGGUAGGAACAACACAUACAUAUGGCUCAAACAACUCCUACACAUGCUAGUGGGUUUCAUCUAGUUACUGUGGCAAUGACAGGUCAUGCAGAGGAAAUGGGUGCAACUACCGUAACACACAGCAGUUUGAAACGCGUUGUCUUAAUGCAGUAAAAGAGAGCAGGAGCGAGAACAUGGGAUUGUAUCGAUAUGAUCAAAUGGUUGGUUGCUUGCCUGAUGAUUCGAUGCACUGAUACGUUUCUUCGUUAGGGUAAUCACGGUACUCCUCGGAGGCAGAUCCUGCCGCAAAGAACACCGAUACACAACCAUCACCAAACAAUGUGUAACAAUAUGAUGCAUGCAUGAAACAUGGCAAUAUGAGUCUGUUGGGCUAAUGCAACUAAGACCAGAAGGGUUUGAACCAAUUUGAAUCAAAGAUUCAAAUUUCAAACUCAAACAUGGUCCUUUAAAGUGUUUUUCCUUGUUCUGCAUUAAACAUCAAGUUAACUUGUUUAUUCAUGCAUGAAAAUAGUACAGAUGGAUAGAUUGGAUUUUUCUGAUCAUUUUUCAUAUAUAAUUUGUCUGAUUUGGAGUUACAGAAUAAAAGUUAUGAAUUUUUGAAGUUUAAACUAUAUUCUGGAAUUUCCUAUAUUAGAUUAAAUCCAGAAAAUCAAUUACUGCGUCAGCCUGACGUCAGUGUGACAUCAGCAGGUCAACGGGACACGUCCGGGUCAAACCUGACAGUGGGUCCCGCGUGUCAGUGUGAUUAAUUAAACUAAAAUUAAUUUAAACUAAUCCUAAUUAGUUAACAGGGUUGGGCCCCACCUGUCAUUGACUCAGGGGAGUCAACCAGGGCCCACCCAUGGUCAAACCCGGGUCGGCUGCACCGGCGUUUAGCCGCCGGCGAGCCCGACGCGGCGGCGGAAGUGGUUUUGGCCGUUUCGGCCACCAAAUGGGUCGCGGAGACCACCGGAGUGGAGCUGAGGACGAGCCGCAGCUCUUGGUGGAGUCCGUUGGGGUCGGGGUGGCCGGAGUUGGCGCCGGCGACGACUUUGGCGGCCACCGGAGUUCAGUCGAGGGCGAACUUUACGCUAGAGGGGUCGGUGAGGUGCGGGGAGUAGCUAGUUAGGUGCUACGUGACGCGGUGAGCAUGAUGGACACCAGUUUGUGGCCGGAGGGUGACCGGGAGCACAUCGGCGACGAGCUCCACGGUGGUGGGUGCGAUUGAGCUCCGGGAGGUCGCUACACGGCUCGGGAGCAAGAAAAGAAAAGAGGGGAAGAUGGCUAAGCUCACGGGGAGUUCGACGAAGCCCUUGGUGCGGCCGGGGACGGACCGGAGCGACGACGGCGUUGAAGGGGAUCUCCGGCGACGGCGGUUCGGGUGAGGUCGUUGCGGUAGNNNNNNNNNNNNNNNNNNNNNNNNNNNNNNNNNNNNNNNNNNNNNNNNNNNNNNNNNNNNNNNNNNNNNNNNNNNNNNNNNNNNNNNNNNNNNNNNNNNNNNNNNNNNNNNNNNNNNNNNNNNNNNNNNNNNNNNNNNNNNNNNNNNNNNNNNNNNNNNNNNNNNNNNNNNNNNNNNNNNNNNNCUCGGCUUGCUCGAUGAAGUGGACAGCGGCAGAGCUCCUGGACACGACGAGAGGACGCACGGGCGGCGGGGAGCGCGGCUACGACGUAGGCACGGCGGCGGUAGCGUCGGCCAUGGCUGGGGGGGCACGAGGGGGAGGAGCUGGAGAGGAAGGGGGGUGUCUGGGGGUUUCGGGGGAGAGAGGGAGGGCGAUCCACGACGUCACCGGGCGAGGGGAGCGGCGAGGCGGCGAGCAGGUGCGUGGCGCGCGCUGCGGUCGCCGUCAGGCACCUGCCUGCUUGCCUGCCUGGCCGGCAAGCAGCUCGCUGGAGCGGCGCUGGGCUGGGCCGGCAGGUGGGCCGGGUGCUGGCGCCAGGUAAGUUUUUCUAUUUUUCUCUGUUUUCUGUUUUUUUAAUACUUCUGCAACUUUGUUGAAUUAAUAAAAAUACUUAGGCAACUCCUAAAAUCACCAAACUACUCCUGGUCCAUAGUUGGAUUAUUUCCAACAUGAAACAUUUUAGUUUGGAGAUAUUUGAGCAUUUAAAUAUUUUAUAUAAUUUUAAAUGCCCAAAUUCAAAUAUUUAUGAUUUAAUUCACAAACCCUAAGAUGGCCUAGGAAAAUGUGCAUCACUUUUGGCAGAGGUUCUGAACCAAGACAAAAAUGAUGGGCAUUUUAGAAGGGAAUUUCAGGUUCAUUGAAAAAGUUUUUAGUAAACCCUAGUUGGUUUCAGAGGGGGCUGGGGGUUCUGUCAUCCCCAUUUCAGGUUUCUGAUGAAAGAGUAAAUAUGAUGCAACACUCUAAUGCAUGAACUAGCUAGGGUGUGACAUGUUACUUGCCCGAGAUUCGAUCGUCGGUAUCCCAAUACCUCGUUCAAUCUCGUUCCGGCAAGUCACUUUACUCGUACCGUAAUGCAUGAUCCCGUGACCAGACACUUGGUCACUUUGAGCUCAUUAUGAUGAUGCAUUACCGAGUGGUCCCAGUGAUACCUCUCCGUCAUACGGAGUGACAAAUCCCAGUCUCGAUCCGUGUCAACCCAACAGACACUUUCGGAGAUACCCGUAGUAUAGCUUUAUAGUCACCCAGUUACGUUGUGACGUUUGGUAGACCCAAAGCACUCCUACGGUAUCCGGGAGUUACACGAUCUCAUGGUCUAAGGAAAGGAUACUUGACAUUGGAAAACUCUAGCAAACGAACUAUACGAUCUUGUGCUAUUUUUAGGAUUGGGUCUUGUCCAUCACAUCAUUCUCCUAAUGAUGUGAUCUCGUUAUCAAUGACAUCCAAUGUCCAUAGUCAGGAAACCAUGACUAUCUGUUGAUCAAUGAGCUAGUCAACUAGAGGCUUACUAGGGACAUGUUGGUGUCUGUUAUUCACACAUGUAUUACAAUUUCCGGAUAACACAAUUAUAGCAUGAAUAAAGACAAUUAUCAUGAACAAGGAAAUAUAAUAAUAAUACUUUUAUUAUUGCCUCUAGGGCAUAUUUCCAACAGUAGCUGGUGGGUCCCAGCAGUCAGGAGGGAAACUGACGAGGACAUCAAUACCAUUGUUACACCCACAGCCCCUGCUGUUAUUCAUACUGGACCAAUUACUAGAGCUCGCGCACGCCGAUUGAAUUAUCAGGUACUUUCGUUUCUUGGUAACAAUUCUAAUGUUCAUGAGAAUAUGAUGCUGCCUAAAUUGGAUAAAUUUGUUUUGCUUACAAAUGAAGGGCCUAGCUUGGACAAGAAAGAUGAACCUUGGAGCAAGUUCAAGCAUGGAGAUGAUGGCAUGCGCAAGGGGAGCAAGAACGGAGUUACAAGUGAUGAUUCCAGGACUAUGAAGCCACCAUAAUGAGUGCAUGAAGCAUGGGACAAAUUAUACAAGAUGCCACUUCAUAAAUUUCGUCCAGAGGCUAUUCUAGGUGUUGCGUCACCUUAUUAUUGGGCCAGGCCCAUGUAUUUUCGAAGUACUUAAGUAAAGGAUGUUUUUUAGAGUCCGUAUGUGUGGGGAAACAAGAGUUAGGGUUGGUUUUGGACCCCUCCCCCAAGGGCCACGAAAUUCCCCCUCUCUCCACCAUGUAUUCUCGAAGUACUUAUGUAUAGGCUGUUUUUUAGAGUCCGUAGUCGAAUCGUCAAGGUCGACUCCCUCAGAAACUAUAGCCACCAUCUCAUCGAAACAUCGAGACACCUUUGCCUCUAUCAAGUGGUAUCAGAUUUUCAAGUUGCUCGGUGAGAUUUUCUAGUUUUUCAUAGUUUAGAUCGAGUCUGUUCUUCAUACCUACAGUCCACGAAAAAAGCCAAAAAAAAUUAGGGUUAGUUCAUCAUAUCCGAACCAAUCUGAGACUUUGCGUAGUCUUUUCAGUAUUUUGCUUUGUUGAAUUUGCGGUUGCAUCUCGUGUGUAUUUGCUGGUCUUAGAGUCUAGUCUUUUAGAGUUUCGAGUUCUGGUCAUAAGUUGUCACGCCGCCGCCGCACCAUCAUCAUCGCUCCUGCCAUCUACCACCACCGCUUAUCCGCCAUAGAUUCAUAUCCAUAUACCACCACCAAUCCGUCUCCAUAUACCAUCACCAAUCCGUAUCCAUAUACCACCACCAAUCUGUAUCCAUAUACCACCACCGCUACCAUAUCCUACCAUCAUAUAUCCACUACAAAUUCGAGUUCCUUUCAUAUUAGGUUUGUUUUCGAGGUCCGUCUAAUUUCCGAUUCGUGUUUCCUUGCCUGAGUAGGUCUCGGAAAAAAAAUAUUUUCACAGGCAAACAUAUUUCCGUGGGCAGUUUUAGGCCAAAAUUUUCACGAGCAAAACUAUUUUCCCUAUCCUAUUUUUAGGCUUUUCUGAGUGUUUUGAGCCACGUGCCAUCAUAGUGAUUUUUGGUCGCACUUUUUCGUCGUCGCUGCCCUGAUUUCCAAAAAAACAGUCAAAAAAAUUCCGUGCGCAUCCUAUCAGUUUGACGAGGGAAGAGUUAUGAGACACUCACCAUUAUAGUGAUUUUUCGCAAAAAAAAAGAGGAGCACCAAAAAAACAGAGCGAAAAAAAAAUUCCCAAGUGUGCUUUUCCCUUGUUUACGUGCAGCGCCGUGAUUUUUUUAGUGUUCUAGGCUCGCGUCUCUAGCACGGUCUAGCCUAGGACCAGCACAGUACCGUCGUUGAGCGUUUAUUCUACUUUGCAUCUCUGAAUUGAUUAUUGCUGACCCUUUUUGCUACCAUAUUAUAAGCCUUCCUAGCUCCACAUACAUCUACGUCGUGCGUUUGACUCUCCCUGGUAAUCGCUCUAUCCAAGCUUUGAGAGUUUUGACUACGACGGUUGCCGGUCACCGCCUGCUGCUGGGUAAGAACUAGUAAGAAUUUGAGAUUUGCUUGACGGAUUUGUGACACUCCACCACCGCCAUUUUCUAGUAGUCUGUAGGAUCAUAUUCUUGUGUGUUUCUAUUGCUGCUAACCAUGGCAGGAUCACAACCUGACGCGAUUGACUGGGAGAACAUGACGAACAAAGAGUUACAUGAUAAGUUUCAGCAAAUGAUGAGUUGACAGGUGGAAGAUGUGCUAAACAGAUUUGAAGAGGCCAUGGAGAAGAUAGAUGGCAUGGAGAAGACAUUCGAAACAAAGCUCGACAACAGGUUUAAUGAAUUGCUCGCGUGUCUUCCACCACCACCACCGGCUGCACCUAACGCACCUCUACAACAACAACAACAACGGCUACCUCCACAUCGUGAAACAACCCUCCGCCGAGCGAGCCGUCUCCCUCUUGCACCUGGCCAAACUGUUGGUGCUGCUGUUGAUACUUCUGUGGCUCCUGCUGCUGAUGCGGAGGGGGAUGAUUUUGCAGGAGAUUACGAGGAUGAGGUUGAUCAAAAUCAGAACUACGUGCCACCACCAGCACCGCAGCCACCAGGAUGUCCACAUGCAAAUAAUGGCAAUGGGAGGGCUCACCCUCACAUACGAGAUCAUGACCAUCUCCCUAAACUCAAAUUGAAUAUUCCACCAUUUGAGGGUAGAUAUGUUCCUAAUAUAUAUCUUACUUGGGAGUUAGAAACUGAACAACGAUUUACAUGUUUACAAUAUCCCGAGGAGAGACGUGUUCCUACUGUUGUUUGUGCAUUCACUAGUUUUGCAUGUGUUUGGUGGUCUGAGCAUUGUAGAUUAUAUCCUAUUCCAGCUACUUGGGCUGCUUUGAAAAUUGCUAUGCGUACUCGUUGGGUUCCACCAUAUUAUCAACGUGAAUUACUUCAAAAAUUGCAGCAUUUAAGACAAGGGAAAAAUUCUGUAGAAGAAUAUUAUCAGGAAUUACAAACCGGCAUGAUUAGAUGUGGUAUUGUUGAGGAGAAUGAAGCUAUGCUUGCACGUUUUAUGGGUGGAUUAAAUAGAGAGAUUCAGACCAUUCUAGAGUAUAAGGAGUAUACUAAUAUCACUCGUUUAUUCCAUCUUGCUUGUAAAGCUGAAUGUGAAGUGCAGGAUCGACAGGCAUUGGCGCGAACUAACUUUUCUCCAGGUCGAUCUUCAGCAUGGACACCACGUGCAUCCUCUACUUCCACUCCACCAGCACCUCCAUCAGGUGCCACCUCCAGCCGUGAUACAAGAAAGCAGGCACAACCACCACUAUCUGCCAAGAGCACACCUCCCGGGCCUGCGCAGAGUUCUUCUUCUUCUAUGGCAUCAGCAGGGCACACAAGUGGUAUUAUUUGUCGUUGUUGUAAGGGAAGAGGACAUUUUGCGAGAGAAUGCAAAUCUCAGCGUGUGAUGAUUGCUACUGAGGAUGGUGGGUAUGAGUCCACUAGUGACUAUGAUGAGGAGACUUUGGCUCUUAUUACAUGUGAAGAACAUGGUGGAGAUGAUUCAGAUCAUGAGACGCAAUACAUGGCUCCUGAAGAUGUUGACAUGUAUGAAUGUUUAGUUGCUCAAUGUGUUUUGAGUGUGCAGGUCACACAAGCUGAGCAAAAUUAGAGGCAUAAUUUGUUCCAUACAAAGGGAAUUGUGAAGGAACGUUCUGUUCGCGUCAUCAUAGAUGGAGGGAGCUGCAACAACUUGGCUAGCAUGGAGAUGGUGGAGAAGCUAUCUCUCACUACAAGACCACAUCCACAUCCUUACUACGUCCAAUGGUUCAACAACAGUGGCAAGGUUAAGGUAACACGUACUGCUCGUGUGCAUUUUAGGAUCUCUACAUAUGCUGAUUAUGUUGAUUGUGAUGUGGUACCUAUGCAAGCAUGUUCCUUAUUACUUGGUAGACCAUGGCAAUUUGAUAAAAAUUCUGUACACCAUGGUAGAAACAAUCCGUAUACUCUUGUUCAUAAAGAUAAAAAUAUUACUUUGCUUCCUAUGACUCCUGAAUCCAUUUUGAAAGAUGAUAUUAAUAGAGCUAAUAAAGCAAAACAAGAGAAAAAUAAGAGUGAUAAUUAGAUUGUGGCAAAAGAAUUUGAGCAACAAAUGAAACCUAAUAAUAAACCAUCUAGUGUUGCUUCUGAAAUUAAAUUGAAAAGUGCAUGUUUACUUGCCACAAAAUCUGAUAUUGAUGAGCUAGAUUUUAGCAAAUCUGUUUGCUAUGCUUUUGUGUGCAAAGAGGCAUUAUUUUCAUUCGAGGACGUGCCUUCCUCUUUGCCUCGUGCUGUCACUAACAUUUUGCAGGAGUUCACUGACGUCUUUCCAGAAGAUGUGCCACCGGGAUUACCACCUAUUCGAGGGAUUGAGCAUCAAAUUGACUUAAUUCCCGGUGCAUCAUUACCCAACCGUGCACCAUACUGUACCAAUCCAGAGGAGACGAAGGAGAUUAUGCGUCAAGUACAAGAACUGCUCGACAAAGGUUAUAUACGCGAAUCCCUUAGUCCUUGUGCUGUUCCUAUCAUUUUAGUGCCGAAAAAGGAUGGUACGUCGCGUAUGUGCGUUGAUUGUAGAGGCAUUAAUAAUAUUACUAUUCGUUAUCGUCAUCCUAUUCCUAGGCUAGAUGAUAUGCUUGAUGAAUUGAGUGGCUCUACAAUAUUCUCCAAAGUUGAUUCGCGUAGUGGAUACCAUCAAAUUCGUAUGAAAUUGGGAGAUGAAUGGAAAACAACAUUUAAAACUAAGUUUGGAUUAUAUGAGUGGUUAGUUAUGCCUUUUGGGUUAACUAAUGCACCUAGUAAUUUCAUGAGGUUAAUGAAUGAAGUUUUACGUGCUUUCAUUGGACGAUUUGUGGUAGUUUACUUUGAUGACAUAUUGAUUUAUAGCAAAUCUUUGGAGGAACAUUUGGAACAUUUACGUGCUGUUUUUAUUGCUCUACGUGAUGCACGUUUGUAUGGUAACCUUGGAAAGUGCACCUUUUGCACCGAACGAGUAUCUUUUCUUGGCUAUGUUGUUACUCCACAGGGAAUUGAAGUUGAUAAAGCCAAGAUUGAAGCUAUUGAGAGUUGGCCGCAGCCCAAAACGGUCACACAAGUGAGGAGUUUCCUUGGCCUCGCUGGUUUCUAUAGGCGUUUUGUGAGAGAUUUCAGCACCAUUGCUGCACCUCUCAAUGAGCUUACAAAGAAGGAUGUGCCUUUUGUUUGGGGUACCGCAUAGGAAGAAGCCUUCACGGUAUUGAAAGAUAAGUCGACACAUGCUCCUUUACUCCAACUUCCUGAUUUUAAUAAGACUUUUGAGCUUGAAUGUGAUGCUAGUGGAAUUGGAUUAGGAGGUGAGUUAUUACAAGAUGGCAAACCUGUUGCAUACUUUUCUGAAAAAUUGAGUGGGCCUAGUUUGAACUAUUCUACUUAUGACAAAGAAUUAUAUGCUCUUGUUCGGACCUUAGACACAUGGCAACAUUAUUUAUGGCCCAAGGAAUUUGUUAUACAUUCUGAUCAUGAAUCUUUGAAACACAUUAAAAGUCAAGCAAAACUGAACCAUAGACAUGCGAAAUGGGCUGAAUUCAUUGAGACUUUUCCUUAUGUCAUUAAACACAAGAAGGGUAAAGAAAAUGUUAUUGCUGAUGCAUUGUCUCGUCGUUAUACUAUGCUUUCACAACUUGACUUUAAAAUAUUUAGUUUGAAGACCAUCAAAGAUCAAUAUGUGCAUGAUGCUGAAUUUAAAGAUGUAUUGUAGAAUUGUAAGGAAGGGAGAACUUGGAACAAGUUCAUUCUUAACGAUGGAUUUGUGUUUCGUGCUAACAAGCUAUGCAUUCCAGCUAGCUCUGUUCGUCUUUUGUUGUUGCAGGAGGCGCAUGGAGGAGGAUUAAUGGGACACUUUGGCGUCAAGAAGAGGGAGGAUAUACUUGCUACACAUUUCUUUUGGCCAAAGAUGAGACGGGAUGCUGAGCAUUUUGUUGCUCGCUGCACUACAUGUCAAAAAGCUAAGUCACGACUCAAUCCUCAUGGUUUAUAUAUGCCUUUGCCUGUACCUAGUGCUCCUUGGGAGGAUAUAUCUAUCGACUUUGUUUUAGGUUUACCUCGAACAAAGAAGGGGAGGGAUAGCAUAUUUGUUGUCAUGGAUAGGUUCUCGAAAAUGGCACACUUUAUACCAUGUCAUAAAAGCGAUGAUGCUGUUAAUGUUGCUGAUUUGUUCUUUCGUGAAAUUAUUCGCUCGCAUGGUGUGCCCAAUACUAUUGUUUCAGAUCGUGAUACUAAAUUUCUUAGCCACUUUUGGAGAUGUUUAUGGGCUUAGUUGGGGACUAAACUGCUUUUUAGUAGUACUUGUCACCCCCAAACUGAUGGACAAACUGAAGUAGUCAAUAGAACAUUGUCUACUAUGCUUAGGGUUGUUUUGAAGAAUAACAAGAAAAUGUGGGAAGAAUGCUUGCCUCAUAUUGAAUUUGCUUAUAAUCGUUCAUUGCAUUCUACUACUAAGAUGUGCCCUUUUGAAAUUUUGUAUGGUUUCCUACCUCGUGUACCUAUUGAUUUGUUGCCUCUUCCAUCUUUGCAGAAGGUUAAUUUUGAUGCCAAAGAACAUGCUGAAUUGAUUUUAGAAAUGCAUGAGUUAACUAAGUAAAACAUUGAGCGUAUGAAUGCUAAAUAUAAACUUGCUGGAGAUAAGGGUAGAAAACAUGUUGUGUUUGCACCUGGAGAUCUUGUUUGGUUACAUUUGCGUAAAGAUAGAUUUCCUAAUUUGCGCAAAUCAAAGAUAAUGCCAUGUGCUGAUGGUCCUUUUAAGGUGUUAGAGAAAAUAAAUGAUAAUGCAUAUAAACUUGAGCUGCCUGCAGAUUUUGGGGUUAGUCCCACUUUUAACAUUGCAGAUUUGAAGCCUUAUUUGGGUGAGGACGAUGAACUUUCGUCGAGGACGACUUCAUUUCAAGAAGGGGAGGAUGAUGAGGACAUCAAUACCAUUGUUACACCCACAGCCCCUGCUGCUAUACAUACUUGACCAAUUACUAGAGCUCGCGCACGCCAAUUGAAUUAUCAGGUACUUUCGUUUCUUGGUAACGAUUCUAAUGUUCAUGAGAAUAUGAUGCUGCCUAAAUUGGAUAUAUUUGUUUUGCUUACAAAUGAAGGGCCUAGCUUGGACAAGAAAGAUGAACCUUGGAGCAAGUUCAAGCAUGGAGAUGAUGGCCUGUGCAAGGGGAGCAAGAACAGAGUUACAAGUUAUGAUUCCAGGACUCUGAAGCCACCAUAAUGAGUGCAUGAAGCAUGGGACGAAAUAUACAAGAUGCCACUUCAUAAAUUUCGUCCAGAGGCUAUUCUAGGUGCUGCGUCACCUUAUUAUUGGGCCAGGCCCAUGUAUUUUCGAAGUAUUUAAGUAUAGGCUGUUUUUUAGAGUCUGUAUGUGUGGGGAAACAAGAGUUAGGUUGGUUUCGGAUCCCUCCACCAAGGGCCACGAAAUUCCCCCUCUCUCCUCCAUAUAUACAGCCCUUAGGGCAUCGUUUAGACUUGGGGUUUUGUUUAGAUUAAAAUUCGCCAUAGCUGCAACUUCACGUACUUCGUUUGUGUUCAACGACCAGACAAAGGCGUCACAGGACCCCACCUUGAUCAAUAAAGCUUUCAUCUUAUAUUCGCAAUAUCCAGAUUGCAAUCUCAGUUUCUUGCUUGUUCUUCGUUUGCUCGCAGGAAAUAGACCCUCGUGGUGAGGUUGAUCGUGCUCCGACAUGGUCAAUAACCCUCGGAAGUUGGUUUAGCGAUUGCUAAGGCGCGACGUCUUGCAUGAUCGUAGUCGAAUCGUCAAGGUCGACUCCCGCAGAAACGAUAGCCACCAUCUCAUUGAAACAUCGGGACACCUUUGCCUCUUCAAGAAAUACGGUGGCACGUCCUGUGGGUCCCUACUGUCAGGUGGAGGAAUCAUUAUUUUCCGUGUAAUAAGGAGGCACUUCCUUGUUGCGGCCGUGGACCCAACAGUCAGCCUCUCCGCGUAUAGUACUCUUCGAAUGGAAGUCAUUCCUUGUAACAACCUGGAUUUUUGCCCUUUUAUAUUUCCUUUGAUUUUCUUGGAUUUCCGGUUUUGAUUUGAUUUUCUGUGGCUAUGUGGUUCUGAAACUUGGGAAGAUCAUGUCUUCCUAGGUUUUAUAGUUUCUUGUCACCCUCUUCAUCAUCCCAAGAUCAUGUCAUUUCCAUCCUUGACCUAACCCAAAAUUCUUUUGUUGGGAAUAUUCCUUUUUUGAUAAAGGAAUAACCCUUAAAACCCUAGGUUUUGAAGCAUCCUAUAUUUCUAUCACUCCUAAAAUUCCCAAAUAAUUCUCAUAAAUUGUUUGGCUAAUAUCCUCCUCAAAUAUGGCAAAAUAUAUCAUUGUCCAUGUUUCCCAUCAUGCUCAAUAAAUUCAUUUCCUAUUCUAUCCUAAAUGGCACAUUGUGAAGCAAGUGUCAUUUAUCUUUGCCCAAUUCAACCCAAACUUCUUGGACAUCUUUUUAUGUCAAAGUAAUUGACCUGUGCCAAAAUUCAACCCAAUUUGCCUAGUAAAUAUUCCUGGGCAAUUUUUCAAAGUUCCUGUCUGAGGAAUGUGAUUGUGAAGGAAGUACAAGCUAGGCAUAUCCAAAUGAGUUGAAAUUUUGCGUGCCCCGAGCUCUCCCGCAGCUCAUCCACUCCUCACUUGCUUCCCUAGCCUACCGGAGUCCUCGGCCCUCUCUUCUUUUCGCCGGAGGACGCCAUGGCUGCAUCGGUUCCUCCUCGGUUAGGCAAACCUAGCCCCUCUCCUCUCCUCCCGAGCUGUCCACCAUCCUCGUCCCCGCGGUUCGCCCCAACCCCUUGCCCCUCACCGGAGAGCCCUGUGGCCGUGUCUCCCAAGUCCGGCCUCGCCUCCACCAUUCGAUCGCCUCGUCAUCCCGGCCAUUCGGUGCUCUUCUCUCUCUCCGGUAGCCACCACUAGCUUCCUCCCACUCCUGUGACUCUCCCCAUGCCCUUCUCCAGCCGCCGGAGCCACCAGGGCCGUCGUCCACGCAUGCAACGGCCACCGACCGCUCCUCUGUUCCCCUCGAAGCUCUGCUUCUUCUCAUCCUCCUCGGCACCUGCUAGCCCUCGGGAUGGAUGCGGGAGACCUGGCCACAGCCGCCAGUGCCCUCACCGUCGCUUGAGGUGGCCGGAGUCGCCCGCCAUGUCGUCGGCAGCGCCCCUGGUCGGGCCCUUCUCUGCUUCCGUCGGGGCAGGAAGCAGGAGGAAGAAGACGAGGCCAGGUGGGCCACUCGCUUUCCCCGACCCCACCUGGCAGUGUCUCAGCAUUGACUCUGCCCCGGGCCCUAGUCUGUAAGUCGAAACGUUUUCUUGAAAUGCGUUUUCGCUAUAUGAAGGUGUAUUUCCUACCUUUUUUUAUCCAAAAUGCGUUUUCCCUUCCGGAAAGCGUAUUCUCUUCUACUAUGGCUGAAAAUACGUUUCCCUUUUCAGAAAACGUAUUCGGCCCGAAGGCACGUUCAGUUUUUCCUUCAAGGGCCUGUUUGCUAAAGUUUAUUCAUAGAUUGGUCCCUGAUCUUCAACUCCUCAUAACUCUAAGGGUCUGUUUUUCUGAAGCGUUACUAGGCGUAUGCCUCAGCGCGCUAAAGCGCUUGGCGAUAGCCCAUCGCGUAGCUUUGGGCCUAAUCGGUCCUCUAGGUGGGCCCAUCGCUUAGGCGGAGCAAGGUGUGCACCUAAUAACGCUUUCGUCUAGUCAGGGUUGAAAAAAGUGUUAUUAGGCAUAUGCCUCAGUGCGCUGAAGCGCUCGUUGAUAGCCCAUCGCGUAGCUUUGGGCCUAAUCGGUCCUCUAGACGGACCCAUCGCUUAGGCGGAGCAAGGCGUGCGCCUAGGCACUAGGAAGCGGAGAAAAGCAGUGAGGAGGCGGCGCUAGGCGGAGCAAGGCGGACCAGAGAUGCAACGGGAGGGUGCUAGCAUGCGGGAAGGUGGCGCGAGAAUCACAAGAAGAUUGCGAGAUGAUUGCGUGCAGUUUGCCGGCGGGAGGAACGGAGAGAUUAGGUUAGGAUCUAUACAUAUAAACAGAGAAGGGGUGGCGGCGGCUCGAUCUAUUCUGUUGCUGCUCGUCCGCCGACCGCCGGGACGAAGUGCGCCAUGACCUCUUCCUCCUAGCUGUUUCUCCGUUCGACCACAGCUUGAGGUCCGGUCUUCUCCCCUGCUGUAUGUGAGCUGCCAUUGCGAUUUCACCCAUUCCUUCUCUCGUGUCUUUCACUAUGCCUGUGUGUUGCCUCUGCAUCACCAGUGGAUUGCUAGUUGAUUGUUGCUCCAUCUCUAUCAUGUAAUCACUCGAUCUGUAAUUUCUGUAUGAUCUUUUUACAUCCACAAAUGGUCUUCUAAAUUUAUAAACAGUAUUGGUUUAUCUAGAUUGCAUGUUGGAUGCUGCUAGAUUUGUCCUUCGCUUGUAAUCCCUUGAGCUGUAGUUUUGCUAUGCUCUAUUUCCUUCACAAAAAUCAAGAGGAAAUCGUUGGUUACUGUAAUCUUGCUACACAAUAUUCAGUUAGCAAGAUGUUUUCUUUUCUUCAGUUUCGUCAGAAUAAGCAGCUGGUAGCUUUUGUUUUCGCUAGAGCAAAACGUUGCAGUAAGUUGCAGGAAGCACCAAAAUCUCUUGUGUUUGUUUCCUUCCUGUGAUCGACCGAGAGAAAUGAGAUAGAAGCUAGGUAUCUGAACCAUCAAAAAUCUAUAUACCCAAAGAGAAAUUUUCUGUACUAAUUGCUGAACACUUCCUACAUAAAACAUGACUUUGAAUAAUUAUAACUCCGUGAUGCAGUUGUACUGACUGGUCUGAAGGUAAUUGUAGCGGAGGAACAAAGGGAGCAUCCACUGGUGUGAAGGUAAUCAUCCCGGGCACUAUUGGUGUUACUGAAGCUAGCUCUAUGAUUUUCUCAGUUACUAAGUUAUAUAUGGCAUGAUGCCAAGAGGUGAUACUGGGCGGUACUAGUACUAGCGUAGAAGUAGGAUCAGAUUUUGUUGCAUGAUGCCAAGAUGUGACACUGACACUAACUCGUACUAGUACUAGUCUAAAAGCAGGGUCAUAUGCGUGCGGAUGUGGCUGUUAUUAUUCUUGAAUGUAGAGACAUCAGGUUAUUAAACAUGGUAGUUCAAAUUAGUAUAUGAGUGUGCUGUCGUUUAACCGGAGGGAUUGUUCAGUUGGUAUAAAAAUGAAAUUGCUUCUAGAUCUGUAUCAAGGCAUCGAGCAUUGCAACUUGCAAGACUAAAUAAGUUUUGAAUCAGCAGAUUUAUAACUUUGUAAUGCAGAAAAAAAGUUGUUCUGUUUCCCCCACAAAAAUGAAAUUUUUUUGUAUUAUGUAUUUACUUCACAAUAGUUUUUUUCUUGGAAUCUCCUAGUAUACAGCUUGCUAUCUAUUUUAUAUUGCUCUGCAUAUAUUAUGUUAUUAUAAUUCAUAUUGGUUUGAUUCCUCCAUUUGCUACAGGAACCGAAUUGUGUACCUAAUUAAACAGUAAAUGAUUUAUCUUCUGCUAUAUAUUUCUAGGAUGUGGACUUACGCAUAGACGUAUAAACAUGCUAUAUAUUGAAUAGUUUUUUAAGGUCUAUUUAUUGAAUUGUUGCUUUGAUUAUUAUCUGGAUUUAUGCCUACUUGUAGUCUGGACUUUGGUAGAUGUGGUCCAUUUUUCUAGCAUUAGUGAAGCGAAUUACUGAAUAUUGGUUGUUUUGUAUUUCAAUAUUUGUAGGAUGUCUGGGAGAAAUGCAACAUCGGCAUUGCAGGAGGAGAAUGUCCUUAAGAGAAAGUCAUAUGAUGUGGGAUGGGACUAUGGGAGUCUAGCGGAUGCUUCCAACAAGGAUAAAGUGAAGUGUAUUUUCUGUAACCAUGUGAGCACUGGAGGUGUUUAUCGUCACAAGUAGCAUGUGGCUCAUGUUGGUAAUGCUGUGGUCAAAUGUAAAAAAAGCUCGCAGGAAGCUAAAGAUAGGUGCAAGAAAUCUCUUGAAGAGGCAUCUAAUAAGAGGCGGGAAGAGACUGCCCGUGAGAAAGAGCUCAGACAAAUUGUGAACAUUUCUCGCGUUGGAGAUGACGAAGCCGCUUGUAUCGGAAGUGCGGAGCCACACAAGUUAGGUCCCAUUGACAAGUGGACACGGCCUAUUGAUCCUAAACUGACUCAAGCUGAAGCCUUUCAUCAACAGAAGAUAAACAAGGAACUUUGGAAAAAGAGAACACAUGAAGUGCAGUAGUAUGUGGCUAGAUGGGUGUACAAUCAUGGUAAUUAAAUAUUUAUUUUUACCCACACUACCAUUGAUUAUUUACUUCUUUGUAAUGUUUGACUGUUGGUUGACUUUUCAGUUACUAAUUUUGUUCAUAUUACAUUUGUAGCUAUACCAUUCAAUGCUUGUGACAAUGAUGAUUUCAAGUUAAUGUGCGAAGCCAUUGGGAGCUUUGGCCCUGGAUUUGAGCCUCCGUCUAAACAUGAUCUUCGAGAGACUUUGUUGAGUGAGGAACAUGCAAGAGUAAAGAGUUUGGUGCAAGAACGUGAUGCUGAAAAGAUGAAGAAUGGCUGCUCCAUUAUGACUGAUGCUUGGUCAGAUAGGAAGAGGAGAAGCAUAAUGAACUUGUGCACAAAUAGUGCUGACGGUUCUAAUUUCAUAAGGUCGAGUGAGAUGUCGGCUGUAUCACACACAAGUGAAGUCAUCUUCCAAUUAGUGGAUGAAGCAAUUGAGGAAGUAGGUCCUGAACAUGUGGUGCAAGUAGUGACUGAUAAUGCUUCUAAUAACAUGGGAGCAAAGAAGAUGUUGUUGGAGAAGAGGCCAAACAUGUUUUGGAGCUCUUGUGCGACGCACACCAUUAACCUGAUGUUGCAAGGAAUUGGUGACCUACCAAGGUUUAGUAAGGUACUUGAAAAAGCAAAAGCAUUCACUCUCUUUGUCUAUGGGCACACAAGGACCUUGGACUGCAUGAGACACUUCUCUUCUGGGAAAGAGAUCAUAAGGCCAGGGGUCACUAGGUUUGCUUCUGCUUAUGUAACUCUGGAAAGCCUUCUAGACAAAAAGGAUCAACUGAGGAAGAUGGUGGUUGAUAGUAGAUGGGACAAGCUGAGAGAAGUUAAAUCAAAAAAGGGAAAGGCAGCAACAGCUACGAUGAUGAGCAUGGCUUUUUGGAAAGAUUUGAAGCUUUGCCUCAUUGUCUUUGAGCCUUUGGUAAAAGUCCUUCGCUUGGUUGAUGGGGAUGUCAAUCCAUCUAUGGGCUUUGUUUAUCGAGAAAUAGUUAAGGCAAAGAAAGAUAUCAAGGAAGUCUAUGGCAAUGUGGAGUUACGUUACAAAGAUGUGAUUAAUAUUGUUGAGAAAAAGAUGAAAGAUAGACUUGACUCUCCAUUGCACUUGGCUGCAUAUUUGCUGAAUCCAUAUUAUAGUUAUGCUGAUACUAAUAUUUUUGAUGAUGGAACAAUAAACGAAGGGUUCAUCAGUUGUGUCGAAACCUUUUAUUAUGGUGAUGAUGACAAGCAAGAUCAAACUGUCAAUUUUGAAUUAAAGAAAUUCCAGAAUAGAGAAGGAUCAUUUGCAAAGAAGCUUGCGAGGAGUUGUCAGAAUUUUGAUUAUAAUGCAGGUAUGCAUUGUGAUUUUGUGAAGUCUAACUUAUUCAAUAUUUAUUCAGAGUUUAUGCAAUACAUGUUAACUUGAUUCUCUGCUCUCAUUCAUAGCAUCUUGGUGGAGGCUCUAUGGAACUGAAGCACCGGCUCUACAAAGGAUGGCUGUGAGAAUCCUCUCAUUGACCUCGAGUUCUCAUUGACCUCGAGUUCUUCCUGUUGCAGAUUCAUACAAAGAAAAGAAAUAGGCUAACUACAGAACGUCUAAACUCUCUUGUGUUUAUACAAUUCAACUCAAGAAUGAUGGCCAAGAAACAAAUGAUCAAGGAGAAGAAGAUCACUGAUGUCCUCUUAUCUGCUGAAACUACCGAAGGUCAAGGUUUUCUUUUUGAGGGCGGAGACGAUUAUGCAGAAGUCGUCUAUAGGGAUGAUGAGGAGGAGAUGGAUAGUAUAGGGAUGCCAGGGAGUGCCAUUGGAGAAACAAUGGGAGGUGAUGAACUGCUCGAGCCACGUAGAAGUGCGAGACUAAGACAACUUUAUGAAGAAGAAGAAUUCGAUUCUGAAGAAGAGGAGUUUGAUGAUGAGGAGGAGAUGCAUUCAAAGGAUGAGAAUGAAUAUUGAUAAUUAAGGAGACCCAAAUGCAUGGAUGUCCUUUGUUAAGUACUUCGUUUUCAUCUUAUAUCUUUUAAGUCAUUAUGUGUCGAACUGUUUGUGUGUGCAUCCAUGUGGAAUUUUCACUUUUUGACUUGUGAGAGAAGUCUUCCAAAUAAGAUUCUAGGAAUAAAGAACUUCAUUCUGAAGUGUGAACUGUUGAACUUAUAAUAUAUAAUGCUAUGCCAAUUCGGUCUUGCGUGAUGUUUGACUCUCCUGUAUUUGAACAUUUGAUAUUUCUAUGGGCGUACUACUUUCAUUGAAUAGAUUAUAUUUAGUUCUCCACAGUGUGUCAUGUAUGUUAUUUUUAUCAUCAAAUUAUCCUUCUAACAUGAUAUAGUACAAAGUCUAGUUAAAAAAUGAUCAUCCUAACAUUCUACCAUACAAAACGCCUUGGCCCGCCUAGGCUACGCCUAGGCAGGCUAGGCGCUAGGCAGAGGGUCACCGCCCGCCUAUCGCCUAGCGCUUUGUCCAACCUUGCUUUCUAGUAGUACAUGUUGAUGUUACUGAUGGUUUUUGGUGCAUGACUGAGGUCUGUCCCAAGUACCAUUGGUAUGCAUGUUCCAUUGCAUCCAGUUGGUUAAAUGCUUGCAUGAUGGCAUUGUUGAUAUGUUCUUGCAUGAUAUUUAUUGUUGAUGCCAGUGGUCAUGCUAUGUUUCGGAGAAGUAUGUACUUAUGAUUUUCAUGCUAGUCAGUAUGCCAUGCUUAGUUGGUUAUGAUCCAUUGUUGAUAUGGUGGAUAGUUAUGUGGUACCCUCAUAAUUAUCUUGAUAUCAUGCUCAUGCAUUGUAAUUGCAUCAUGCAUUUUAUCAUGGCCCAGCAUAUUUGCAUUCAAGUUUAACGCGAUUAAAUUGAAGUUGAACAACGGUUGGCUGAGUCAUGGUACCACCAUAUCGAACUGACCAGUGCAACCACGCAUACCUUUAUGGGAAGGUCCUAAUUGGGUCUAUUAUCGUGCCUCUCACUGGUGCCUCUAGCGAGGGAAGGUUAUGGGCGUGCGGUACCAUGGCCCGGUAAGAAGACAUAACCUUGUGUGCCCGUUGUUGUUGUUAUGAAUCCGGGUCCCCGUUUGGGACCAUUUAUGUUUGGCCACGACGGUGGUCGUUGUGUCUUUGGUAGACACGGGACCACCUAGGACUAGCCCAGUGGGGAGUGAGUCGGAGUGGCCGGGAGAGUGUCGUGGCAGUAGACCGGUUUUGUCGGAACGCCAUUGGUCCACCCGAAUUGGAGUGUGAGGCUAUGGGUUCUGUAGUGUGGGUACAAUGUACUAACCUCUGAAGAGUGUAUAUUAAAUCUAUCGAUAGCCGCGCCCGCGGAUAAGGUCCCAGUUCGUAGUUGGUCACACUAUGAGUCAACAGUAAUAAUAAUAAUAAUAAUAAUAAUAAUAAUAAUAAUAAUAAUAAUAAUAAUAAUAAUAAUAAUAAUAAUAAUAAUGUGCUUUAUAACAACCACGGUUCAAUAAGGAGAUAAGUUGGUUGUGAUCGCUGGAAGGAUCACCGUUUGAGGCCAGGUAUUGGUCGUGGUUGUGAUCGCCGGAAGGAUCACUGUUUGAUACCAAGUGCUGGUCGUGGCUGUGAUCGCCGGCAGGAUCACCGUUUGGUUACGAGGUAACCCGAGCAUAAUAUAUGGUGCAUAUAGUGUCAUCAUGUUGCAUGCUGGUAUCGUCAGAUUUAUAUGUUCAUGUCAUGCUCAUAUUGUUCUAGCAGUGCUAUGUUCAUGUUGUUUAUGUCAUGAUCAUAUUGUUCUAGCAGUAUUAUGUUCAUGUUGUUCAUGCCAUGAUCAUAUUGUUCUCGCAGUAUUAUGUUCAUGUUGUUCAUGCCAUGUUUUUCUGAUGAUCUCAUGAUAAUUCCUGCUUAACCUGUAGUUGCCAUGCUGUUGUUUGUCUUGGAUGCUUCUGGUUAUUGUGAGCUUGCAAGUACAUUCAAUGUACUGACCUGGCAUGUCAUGCCAGUUUGCAGGUCAUGCCUGGAUUGCUUGCUUGUUUGGUGUUGUUCCUGUGUUCGCGAGCUAGGAUAAAUAUUCCAGCUAGAGUCCCUGCGGAUUGGAGUCCAUCAUCGUUGUUCGUUGUUCCGCUGCCAGUAGUAGUUCCGCUGCUUCGAGUUGUUAUGCUGCUUGUAUAGAUCAACUGUGGUUGGCGUAGUGUUGCCGUGCCGAUGUUAUUCAUUGUAAUAUCGGAACCCUUGUAUUCAUAUUCGUGUUGUAAUAGAGAGCUGGUUUGUUCUAUACUAAGUAUUGUCGUAUUCCAGAAGACUUCACCUCGAUCUCUAGGAUGGAAUACGUGGCGCUCCGGUUUUCUCUGAGUCGGGGUGCCACAUUCCUUGACCAUGUUGAUCACGCCGCGGCGAGAGCACCAGGGCGGUGGAUGAUGGUGAGGCCUAGGAAGGGGACGCCGCUAAGCCGUGGAAGAAGCGAUAGUGGAUGCCCACGCAGAGGGGAGUACGUGGGUUGACUGCUCCGGCUGCUGUGUGAGGCUGUCAUCGCCGGAGAAUAAUAGGAGGUGUGGGUGAGUAUAGAGAGAUGGCAUGGCCAGCGGUGGCAGCACAACGAGACACGGGAGGCAGGAGCAGGCGGCACGGCCGACGCUAGUUUGGGCGGUUGGAGCAAGAAGACCAGAGGUUGAAGAAGCACGACGGCCGUUGGAUGGACAUUGUACGGUCACUGCAGCUAGAAUCAUUUAUAUUGACUAAGUUGACAAAGCCCCUAGUACGCAUGAACUUAGUAGGCCCACAUGCCAGCCUCCAAAAUGGUGCCCCUAGAUGUCAGGGGUAGGAAUCAUUUUGUGGGCGGCUGAAGAUAGAAUAUUCGAGAUUGAAGAAGAAGCACGACAUUCGUUGGAUGGACAUCCAACGGCCACUACUGCUUGAACCGUGUGUUGACUAUAAGUUGACAAAGCCUUGCAUACGCAUCAACUUACUUAUUUUAGGGGACGCAUCAACUUAGUUGGCCCACACGUGUGUGGCAGAGAACUUAUAGCCCAUUUGCAAUUUGUAAGAAUGUACAUCCCAUUUUUGAAUUCUAAUGGAAUUUACUACAACCCAUUUGCAAUUUGUAAGAAUGUACAACCCAUUUUCGAAUUCUAAUGGAAUUUACCAUAGCCCAUUUACAGUUUGUUAAAUGUACAACCCAUUUUCUAGCUAGGACAACGAUUAAUAAUUUCAACCAACCAAUCAAAAAAGAAUUCAAUAAAAUUUACCACAUUUUAAUGGGAUCCGAAAUAUUAUUAUCCUGAAAUUUCUAGUCAGAUUAAAUACAAUUUCAAUAUAAAUUUGUAUUACGUAAAAAUCAACCAAACAUUAUGCGCGAAACAAUUAAUGAAAUUAAAAUUUUCAAAAUCAAAAAAUAAUAUUUUAUAAACUAAUUACGUGUUUGGUGCAUUUUUUAUAGUUACUGUCCAGUUUUUAUAAUUACAUCCCAUUUAUUAUUUCUGAAAGCCCAUUUUCUUGGUAAUCCUAAUGCAUCCCUCCUAGGAAAGAUUUGCAGCCCAGCAGGGCGGAGAAUAACAAGUUGACCUUGCCUAGGUAUUCCUCAAAAAAAGUAUAGCUGGGCUAGCCAUUUUCAACUUGAAAAAAAUUAAUAUCUGGGCUGGAUAUCUGCCCUGGGCUAGACAGGUCACAGCCCGCCUAGUUAAUACCUUGCUCUCCUCUGAACAACAAUGAAAACAUUGCUCAAAAAAAAACUUUGUAGUGCUCACACCUCAAAAACACAAAAUACUGCUCGAGCUACUUGGUCCCAGCUGUCGGCCGCUCCUUGUGCAAUUCUCUCGUUUAUUGACUACAUAGGUUGAUAAUGGUGUGGGACUGUGAUGUCAAGAAACUAGGAGGAAGCAAAAAAAGUUAUAGUUGUAUAUAAUAAGAUGGCACUUGCAUUCGUACGUGCGGCUAUGGCCCUGGUAGGUCAAAACUUUCAUCCUCUCCAAGUAAAGUCAUCUCCUCAUUCCUCAUGUCUGUUGACCGUGUUGACAACACGAGACGGCGGCGCCACGACGUGCGCAACAACUCGAAGGAUGACGGAGAGGGCCUCGCGGACACUACAGAUGGUCUGAUACAUCGCUCGCUGCUCAAUCGGGAAGCCAGGAUCAUAGGGCCACAUAUCCGUGACGGCAUUGUUGUUCGCUUGUUCACCGGUGCUCGUUGAGGAGACGGAGGUUGCAGCACAGGUUCUCCUGCACUGGUAGCUCUUCCGCCAUUAGGGCGUCGAAGUGUAGCCGUACCUGCUCUUUGGUGAACAUGACAUGAACCGGCUUGGACAGUGGCGCAAGCUCCUGGUCGGAAGCAACGUCCAUUGUCUGAUUGUCGUCGCUCAGCUCGGCGAGCUCGCUGGCGAGCCAGCAUGUCCGACUGCUAGACCGACAUGCUGCUAAGCACGAGUCUGACUGCCUUGGCCCACCCAGACCGCCUCCCUCGCCCGCGCGCGCUUUCCGCCCAAAAUUGUUAGCGCCGCCCGCCCCACUUCCCGGUGCAUGCUAUUGCUUCGCCUUCAAAUGACACAAGUGCUGUCCGUCCGGCUGUCUGUCGCCCACAUUAAUGAUACGCAGUUGCCGAAGCAGCUACUCCGGCGCCACAUGACCAUCCCCCCGCCACCCACCAUUGCUAUAUAAACUACUACGCCGACCAUAGUUGCAGUUAUCCGCCUCCGUUCCCUUUCUCCUGUCCACACCACUACUUCCCACCAUGGCUUCCUCGCGCUCCAGCGCUCUUCGGGACGGGUGGACAACGGACCAAGCCGGCAGGCAUGCGGAGGACAACGACGUCCCAAUGGAGGACAUGGUAGUCAACGAUCCGGUGCCAACCCCCUCCUCCGCGCCAUCCUCGCCAGUGCAUUGCACCUUGACCAUUGGUAAGGCACAUGCCAAAUACAUGGACACGAUGAGGCAGAAGCGUGAGGAGCAGUUCCGGGAGGCGCAGGCCGCCGCUGCCUACAACCACCCUAUCAUCUAGGAGCACCUGCAGGUGGAGGGGCAGAUCGCCACGGAGAUCUAUGUUGGAGAAGGAUGCUGCUUUAGUUACUUAACUACUGGUGCAGUUGGGUCACUGACACGUGGGCCCAACAAGCAUUUGGGCCACAUGUCAGUUACGCAACUGCACCUGCAGUUAACUAAAUGAAGCUCGGUUCACUAGAGAAGAAGCUUAUGUUCGGCUCAGCCGAACACAGGUGGGUAGCUUCGAUUAAUUAAUUAUACCUCCGGUGCACCCCUUUUUAGUUCAAGAAUGUACGAAAUAUAAUGAAAUCCGACAUGUUUAUAUGAAAUCUGACCGUGUAUGAAUGAACUUAGUGUGAUUAGUUCGAAUUCUUGUAUCACUGGCAUUGGAUGAACAUGCAAAAUAAUAUGUACUAGCAUUAUUCCCAGGGUGAUCACCUCAUUCACAAAAGCUUCACAUGUACUCCCUCCGGUCCUUUUUAGUCUGCAUACAAGUUCUGUCUGUAGUCGAAGUAUAUCUACUUUGACCAAUCUUAUAGAAAAAAGUAUGUACAUUCACAAUGUAAAAUCAACUGACUUGAAAGAAAUCUAAUAUGCCAAGUUAAAAGGAACAGAAGGAGUACAAAGAGUUUGAGCAGCUUUUUUGCGUUCCUAUACAUUGCAAUCAAACACACAGGCCUGGCAAUUCAUAGAGAAUAUUCAAAACAAUCGAUGAUUAUGCAUCUUAGUGAUUCACAUGUCAGAGCCAAUAUUUACUUCACAACUAAAGAAUAAAGAAAAAUCUAUCGAUGAUGGGCGUCCCAUUUGAAAAUAUCUGUAACACCCCCAGUGGUUAGCUACAGUAACCUCACCCUAAUGAUGCCAUGUCAUCAGGCUAGCUAAGCUAAAUGCCCACUUCAUAAAAAUCAAAGCCAUUUUCAAUUUAAAUUAAAGUCAAAUAAAUUAUUUCUUCGAGUAGUAAUGCUAAAAUGUUCACCUUAUUAUAAAAAUUCCCUUGAUCAUUGUUAAGUGGAAACCAACAAUAUUUGACUCACCUAGUAAUACUUAGAGAUUUAUUAAGUGGUCCAGCAGCAAACUACUUGGCCUUUUCAAAUUUUAAAAUAUUUGAAUAAGUCCCAUCUGGCUCCAAACUUUUUGUGUGCCUAUAGGAUAAAACCUGGUAUUUAUGUGCCAAGUUACAACUACAACUAAAAUCUUUUUCUACUAAAAGAAAAUAGAAAAGAAAAAUACAUAAUAGAAAUAAAAGGAAAAGAAACCCCCCGGCCCCCGAUGGGCCUCUGCCUCUCCCACAACAACCGGCCGGCCCACCCCCUUUCCCCCAUUAUCCCCACCCGACCGAACCCUAGCACCACUACUCGACCCACUCCCCUACCCACUCCCCACGUCUCUCUCCUUCCCCUCCCGAUUCUGAAUCGGGCACUCAGGGGCCCGAUCCCGCGCCGCCCUGCACCCCCGACGACGGUGCAUCCUCCCUAGAGCCCCCGCUCGUCGAUGCCACCGUCCCGCCGGCCCCUUCGGACCUCGUCGCGCCCCGUGGUCAUCGUCCACCCCACCAACGCAAGGCCACGGUGCCCCCCCAUCGCCGGAUUGUCGUCGCUCCUCCGCGUCGGCCAAUGCCACGAUGACCGUGUCGACCUGCUGCUCCGACGCCUCCCUGACCCCCUCGAGCUCGCACGCGACCUCCCCUGUGAGCCCCUUGCCCAAUCCCCCUCCGUCUCCCGCCAUAGGUCGCCGCCACGCUCUGGCCCGACUGCUCGCGCCCUGUCUAGCCCCACUCGGGCCCCGCGCGCAUUCUACCCGACCACGUCACGUCCGCAGACCUGCCCUCGCCCCUGUACCCGUGCCGCGCGCUCGUCGCCGCACAAGCCACGCGCCCCACACCCGUUGGCGCCCGCCGGCGCCCACCCUACUCCCCCACUGCACUGCUCUGCUGCUGCCUUCUCGCCUCCCCUGCUCCCCUCGCCCGUAGCUCCCUCGUGCCCUCCCGCUCACCACGCGUGCCCGCGCGAGCCUCGCUGCUCCAGGAUGCAGCCAUGGCCGCCUUGCCAUCCGCCUUCGUCAGCCCGUCUCCGCCUGACCUCGCCGGCGGUGAACCGCAUCCGCCCCGCGGCCACCACUGCCGCCGACUGCGCCACCGCCCUGGCCGGCGCCCCGCCGCAGCCCCGCUUGCCUCGCUCGGAAACACCUUGUCGGGCGCCCGUGCCCAACGCCCGCUCACCCAUUAGGGCCCCUGGCCCAAUGACAGCCGGGGCCCAGCCCCUGAACGUUAAAAAAAGAAUUAAAGAAUUAAAAUAAUAAUAAUAAUAAAAUUAAUUAAUUAAUUAAUUGACUAAGCUAAUUAACUUAAUUAAUCUAAUUAAACAUUAGAUACCUAAUUAACUAAUUAAACUGAUUAAUAGGUUAAUUAGGUUAUUGCACCUAUGACGAACGGGACCCACAUGUCAGUUGACCAGUCAACACCCCUGUUGACUGCUGACAUCAUGCUGACAUCAGCAUGCACUAUUCUGGAUAAUGUUGAAUUAAAAUAAAUAAAUAAAUGCUAAAAAUGAUUUAAAUCUUCUAAAAUCAAUAUAAAAUAAACCGUAGUUCGGAUGGAAAAACUUUGUACAUGAAAGUUGCUCAGAAUGACAAGACAAAUCCGGAUACACCCUCCGCUCGUCUGCCACAUGCCCCUAGCAUAGAGAACCUACAACUAUCCCCUCUAGUUCGUGUGUCCGAUAAUGCCAAACUUCGGGAAAACUUUCCCGGAUGUUUUCCCCCUUCGCUGGUAUCGUGUAGCACCGCGUUAGAACACCCCUAGCCCUGCGUGUUACCACCGUCAUGUUUCUGUGUUGCAUCUGUUUGCUUUAUAUUUACUGUUUCUUUCCCCUCUUCUCUUCGGUAGACCCCGAGACCGAUGCUGAUGCCGCUGUGAUCGACUACACAAUCGAUGGACCCUCCUUCUUGUCUGAGUUUCUAGGCAAGCAAACCCCCCUUGAGCAUUCCGAUAUCGCCCAUCUCUUUCCCUCUUUUGCUUGCAUUAGAACUACUACUUCCUUAUGUAUGAUCCUACUCUGAUGCAUAGCCUGUUUUUGUUACCUGCUUUCAUACCUUACCUGCUUGUCCUAAACUGGUUAGUAUAGGUUGGUUAGUGAUCCAUCAGUGACCCCCACCUUGUCCCAGUUGCCCCGCUUUAUGUUCGAUGACUCGAUCAACGUGAUCAACGUCCAGGCCCCAACACCGCACAUCACCCCCAUUAGUUGUAUGACUCUGUAGAGAUACCAUCGAGUGCCGAGGGUGGAACCUCUUACAUCACUCCUGAUGAGAUCUCUAUAGUGUAGCUAUACGGUCGAGAUCAUCGAGGGUGAUUUCCUCCUUAACCACUUCCUUUACGGCUCUGUCAUGCAACCUCUCAAGUGUGAACCUCGAGGGUGGAUCCUCUUACGUUCACCUUGAUGACAACAUCGAGUGGAAUUCAUCGGGGGUGAUUCCUCAGGUUUUCCCCUUGGUGUUAGACACACAGUUACUAUGGUUACUAUGACUUUACCCUGAUCCAUGUUACUAAAGACGGGUUGGCCCUGAGGGGUACCCGCGCGAGCUUAAUAGCGAGUGAUGUGGAGACGGGUUGACCUGGAGGGUGCCCGCGAGAUACUUACGAGGCGUGGCCGGGCAUUCUUAGCCCUUGCCGCAAGUACUCGAGACGGGGCGACGGGGUCACAUCUCUCGUGAGUCUCUGCUUGUUACCGCGCGUUCCUAAUCCACUAUGAUUUGGAUAUUUGAUCCGAGGGGCCUCUGCCCUCAUAGCACUAACCAUCACGUGGGCGUUGUAUGGGUGUUCUGCGUCGUAUGCAUCAGCCGAAGCUUAAUUGACGUCAGCGACUGAGCGGCGCUCGCCGGGUUGGACUGCGUAAGCUCCUGCCUUGUUUAAGGAGGUAGCUAGGUCUGCUCACCGGCCGCGUACGCAACGUGCAGGAGUUCCCGGGGAGAUGGCCCAUGACCCCUAGGGGCAUAGGUUUAGUCCGUCUUGCUGGCCUCUCUAUUAAGCCUAGGUCAGGUUGCGGCGUAUUCUUUUGCCGAGGCCGGGCAUGACCCAGGAAAGUGUGUCCGGACGGAGUUAAUCGAGCGUGGUGGGUAAGUUGGUGCACCCCUACAGGGAAGAAAACAUCUAUCAAUAGUCUGUCCUACGGUAACGGACACUUGGAGUUGUAUCUCGAUCGAUACAACUAGAACUGGAUACUUGAGAUGAGGAAUGGAUAUGAGAAAUGGAUAGUAUGGCUCUGGGAUUGCUUUCUCGUAGUGAGUCGAGAAAGGAUCUCUGGCCGAGGUUGAUAACACUACCUACUUUACAUUAUGUUGAUAUGUACUCUUCUAUAUGCUGCAAGAUGCUUGAAGAUGCUUGAAGAUUCUAGUCUAGGAUUUCCCCUUCUCUUCUGUCAUUCUGCAGUUUAGUCCACAGAUACAACCCUUUUCCUUUGAUACAGAUACAUACUUAGUUUAGAUCUGAUGUAAGUCUUGCGAGUACUUUGGAUGAGUACUCACGGCUGCUUUGCUACCUCUUUUCCCCCAUACCCGAUUGUUGCAACCAGAUGACGGAUCCCAGGAGCCAGACGACACCACUGAAGACUACUGCUACCCUGAGGGUGCCUACUACUACGUGACGGCCGCUGACGACUUGGAGUAGUUAGGAGGCUCCCAGGCAGGAGGCCUUGCCUUUUCGAUCGAUGUUGCUUUUGUGCUAGCCUUCUUAAGGAAAACUUGUUUAACUCAUGUAUGUGCUCAGAUAUUGUUGCUUCCGUUGACUCUUGUGUUCUCAAGAUUAUGUAUUCGAGCCCUCGAGGCCCCUGGCUUGUAAUAUAAAGCUUGUAUUAUUUUAAUUUGUGUCUAGAGUAGUGUUGUGAUAUCUUCCCGUGAGUCCUUGAUCUUGAUCGUACAUAUUUGCGUGUAUGAUUAGUGUAUGAUUGAAUCAACUGCGUCACAAGUUGGUAUCAGAGCCGACUGCCUGUAGGACUCCCCCUUCCACACUCCUUGGCCGAAGUUGAGUCUAGUCACUGAAAAACUUUUUUACUAAUAUGGCUGUGUGUCUUAUGGGCCCAUGUCGCCAUCGGGUGGUAUUAUGAUCUUUUAUUCCUCGUCUUUACUCUGGGAUCAUGAUCUCUCUUAUUUGGGUUAAAGAUUUUUCUAACUCUUACACUAGGUUCUCGUAACUACUUCCUCCCGGAGAGUCCCUUCAUUCCAGAUGAUCGCCUGUUCACGAGAAGACUUUGAAGAUACUCUUCGAUGUUACCCGAGAUCCUUUUGACCACCGCCUUUGCAAUUCCCUACCACUGAUAUAUCCUUGUGUAUAGCUAAUACACUUGCCAUUUAUACAUUUAUCCCUAGUUGCUCCUGUUAUUACAAGAUACCCAUAGUACUCUCCGUUAUUGUGAGAAUCAUUUGUGCCUUCUGCUUUGCAGCUUCUUUUCGCACUACGGAUAAUUCACUUAAUCGGGGUUCGUUCAUCCCCAGUUGUUCACAUUCUUUCCAAAAUACCUGAAAUGCUAUCUGAUCUUUCAAAAUCCUCUACAUCCUAGUGCUCCCGAAAGUAUUGUCUGCCUGCAUUAUGGUUAAGUCCAUAUGUCCAGCAAUAUUCAUCAACAUCCUUUGUCAUUGUCUUCCUGAGCCUAUUGAUUCAUUAUGUUGCGAUUGCUCGCAAUCAUCAGCUGUACCCUCAAAUUUCACCUUCCUUCUCAUACGUCAUUCUAGACAUGGCUGGAUCUCGGCCAAUCAUGUUGUAAUUGAUUGUCCACCUAGUUCCCUUCAACUUGAACGUCAAAUUAUUCAGCUGUUUCUAUAAUCUAAUGCCUUUGCAUUCUUUCCCUCUUCUGGUUGAGUACUGAUGCUCACAUCAGAUCCCUUGUGGACCAACAAACCCUCCUUUUUCGGAUUUUAUCCGACAACGUCCUUCAUAUUCAAUAGGCUUGUGAGCCUUUCCACGGAUACAUAACGCUUUUGGUAAAUUGUAUCCCCCGUUUUCUCAAGCAUGCUCCACUACCGAGAUCGUGUUAUUUAUUCUUGAAAUUUAUGAUAUAUGUUCCUAAGAUGCCUCGAUGGGUGAAGCUAUGCCUUCCCUAAUCGGUGUGAACUCGAAAGUUAUGCGGGUUAUACUCUACUGGCUUUUCGUCAGAUAAAAUUUCAAUACUACAGCUUCAUCAAGAGCGAGAAAAAAAUGAAAGGUUAUGCAUUGUAGAAGUGGGAGUCGACCUUGAAUUCUGUGUUCAUGGACCCGAUGUGGAACUUAUCAUGAAGCUUCUUGUAAUAAUAUUAUUCCCCUUGUUAUAACUUCAUCUUGUAUCUAUGCUUGGUCCUUUGCAACCGUGGUUCCGACCAUGAUUUUUUUUCUUUGAUUGCAUUCCUCGGACAAGUUAAAGCAUGUGUCUUCUACAGAUCAAUGCAUCUCCGCAACCUCUAUUUUGAUCUUCCUUCGAGUAUUGCCCUCAUGUAUCUCGAGAAUAACAAAGAACUGUGUUACUUCCUAUGAGUCUUCAUCUGGUAUUCCUUCUCGUCAAUUUCAGGAUUCCCCGGGUUUUGAGUUGUUAGUCACUCGAGAACGCCGAUAAGUGAAUCGAUUCCACACUCCGAUUCUAUAACUCUAAGUAAUUUUUGUUGCUUACGAGUCUAAUAAUCCUUCAAGUCAUUCCUAGCCUGAUCGGCUAUAUCAUUAUGGUGCUAAAUUUUAACUCUGCUACCUGGUCCUUCUUCCCGGAGCACAACUUUUGACGAUGAGCUUAGCCUACAUCGAUCUUCCUUGUCAUAUCAUUUCGCCUUGAACAACAAGCUUUAUUUCGAGUUUGUGUCAUACCUAUGGUUUCAAUAACCUUUCGCUUCAUCAUUCUUUUGACUGGAUGUCAUCACCGAUUGAUUACAUCUUCAUGAAAUCUCUCGACAAAUGUGUCAUGAUCAUCAUCAACAUUCUGAGCUUUUCCAGGAUAUCAAUCGAAUUCAUGAUGAGAAAUACAACCCUUCCCCUCAAUGAUUUAUGUUAUCAUCGGCAACAUUCUUGCCUUCCCAAACACAAACUUGUUCAUAUAAUUUUGGAAAUACAUCCUAUUCGGCAUGUCGAUGGAUUGUCGCUGAGCCUGUCAGCCACACCCUCAUCUUUUCCUUGCUGAAAUUGUAUGACUUAUUUUUCUAAGUUGUUUCCGAUGGAUCCUUUGCGUAUCCAAAGUCUAACCUUUGCUUGAAAACCAUUUCAAUGCUAUCUCGAAGCCUGUCUAUAGUAAUCCGUUCUUCAAUAAGAACAAUUGAAGCACAAUACUAAAUUUUCUUUAUCAAUUAUCCAAACACUGUUGUAUGGGUAAUGUCAUGCAAUUUUUCCCCUUACCUAAAUGGUUUUAUACUUCUAUCAUGUCAUGGAUAUCAUGUUCUGCUUGUCAUUGGGAAGGAUAUACCCCCUGAAAUAUGUGUUUAAACACAUUUUCCUUUCCAUUGUUCUGAUUAAUAUACUAACCAUAUUUUCCUUUCCAUUCUUUUGUUUAACCUUUCCGGCAAACUAAUUUAUCUCAGUAGAGAUAAUUUUCUGCUUAGGUCAACACCUCAAUGUACAACUCUGUCAGUAAAGAGCCUGUUACUAUUGUUGUUGACAUUCCGGUAGCCACUGAUGGAUGAGAACUUUGCCUAAUGGCCUGCCUCGUUCAACGAGCAGGAAAAUGGUUCUCUUCGUCCCUCUCCCUUGGUACCAACGUUGUUGGCAACAUACCUGACAGUCUAUUAUAUGACAUGCCUUCCUAUCGGCCCCCUUGCUACUUUUAACCCACAUGGUGGGCCCAUUACCCACAGUUCCACAGGAUCAGAACCUCACUCUCUUGUAUAUAUUUUAUUCCGAAGUAUCAUUGCUCUUGGCUUUGUGUGUUGUCACGAGCCACCAUCCGAGAGAUGAUCUAUUCUCGAUGCUCUGAACCCCCUUCUCACACUCUGUUCAUGUAUAGAUCGUUUGUCCAUUCACUUGGAACUUCCAAUUGAACCUUCUUACUUUACUCUCGAUAUUUUCUUAAGUAUCUAUUCGAGAAUUACUUCUACCACAAUCCCUGAGUUAUCUUCCAGAUGAUCAACCUUGUAAGGUCCGCUCUUCCGAAGUUACUCCUUGUCCUUUCGUAAGUACGAUGAAAUUUUCGAAGAAAGGAUGAUGACUUCAUCAUGAUGACCUGAAGCCGAGUAAUCAAGACAUCAACGUAAUGGAUCGACCUCUUGGAGAAGAGCAACCAAGGCCAAGAAGAUUCACUAGAAUUUCGUGACCAGACGUCUCCCCCUUAUUCCACCUCUUAAAUCUCGGGACGACAUUUCUUGUGGAGGAGAUUUGCAACACCCCCAGUGGUUAGCUACAGUAACCUCACCCUAAUGAUGCGAUGUCACUAGGCUAGCUAAGCUAAAUGCCCACUUCAUAAAAAUCAAAGCCAUUUUCAAUUUAAAUUAAUGUCAAAUAAAUUAUUUCUUCAAGCAGUAAAGCUAAAAUUUUCACCUUAUUCUAAAAAUUCCCUUGAUCAUUGUUAAGUGGAAACCCACAAUAUUUGACUCACCUAGUAAUACCUAGAGAUUUAUUAAGUGGUCCAGCAACAAACUACUUUACCUUUUCAAAUUUUAAAAUAUUUGAACAAGUCCCAUCUGGGUCCAAACUUUUUGUGUGGCCGUAGGAUAAAACCUGGUAUUUAUGUGCCAAGUUACAACUACAACUAAAAUCUUUUGCUACUAAAAGAAAAUAGAAAAGAAAAAUAUAUAAUAGAAAUAAAAGGAAAAGAAAGCCCCCGGCCCCCCAUGGGGCUCGGCCCCUCCACAACAACCGGCGGGCCCACCCCCGUUCCCCCAUUAUCCCCACCCGACCGAACCCUAGCACCACUACUCGACCCACUCCCCCACCCACUCCCCACGUCUCUCUCCUUCCCCUCCCGAUUCUGAAUCGGGGCACUCAGGGGCUCGAUCCCGCGCCGCCCUGCACACCCGACGACGGUGCCUCCUCCCUGGAGCCCCCGCUCGCUGACGCCACCGUCCCUCUCCACUGCCGGUGCCUUCGGACCUCGUCGCGCCCCGUGGUCGUCGUCCACCACACCAACCCAAGGCCACGGUGCCCCCAUCACCGGAUCGUCGAUGCACUUCUGCGUCGGCCAACGCCAUGACGACCGUGUCGACCUGCUGCUCCGACGCCUCCCCGGCCCCCUUGAGCUCGCACGCGACCUCCCCUAUGAGCCCCUUGCCCAAUCCCCCUCCGUCUCCCGCCGUAGGUCACCGCCACACUCUGGCCCGACUGCUCGCGCACUGUCUGGCCCCGCUCGCGCCCCGCGCGCAUUCUACCCGACCUCGUCGCGCCUGCAGGCCUGCCCUCGCCCCUGUACCCGCGCGCCCGUCGCCGCACAAGCCGUGCGCCCCGCACCGGUUGGCGCCCACCGGCGCCCACCCUACUCCCCCACUGCACUGCACUGCUGCUGCCCUCUCGGCUCCUCUGCUCCCCUCGCCCGGAGCUCCGCCGUGCCCAUAGUAGCCGGAAACGAGGAACGGUAGUCCAUCCCUCGAUCCCGAUUCAUCGACCCAGAAUCGGAUUCGGGAACGAGGUCGGAUUCGGCACGAUUCGAUGAAGAUUCGGCGUCCUCGCAGCCUGCUCCUCGAUUCAGGUUCUAGGAUCCAAUAGCCAAAAUGCGAGGCAUAAUUUACUCACGCUUCGAUUCUUUUCUCAAGGACUCUUCGUUCUUCCUCCAAUCCAUUAAUUCCAAGGGGUCCAUUAACAGCAAGGAAUGCUGACCGUGAGGGAGUCGUCGUUUUUCAGGAACUGCGUUCCUCGACCCAUGGUACCGUACCGAGUUCAUCGUACCCAAACAGAUUGGAUCGCGUCCCCGCUAUAAAAAAAUCGUUCGAGAGAUGUAUACCCUCGUUGUACCCUAUUUUUUCCAGCCACCGACUCUCGUCCCUCGUUCCCGUUCCUCGUUCCCACCGUACCGGAAACAUGGCAACUAUGGCCGUGCCCUCCCGCUCAAAGUGCGCGCCAGCGUGAGCCUCGCUGCUCCAGGCCGCAGCCAUUGCCGCCUCGCCACCCGCCUUCGUCAGCCCGUCUCCGCCUAACUGUGCCGGCAGUGAACCGCAUUCGCCCCGCGGCCACCCCUGCCGGCCACCGCGCCACCGCCCUGGCCGGCGCCCCGCCACAGCCCCGCUUAACGUGCCCAACGUCCGCUCACCCAUUAGGGCCCCUGGCCCAAUGACAGCCGGGGCCCACUCCCUAAACAUUUAAAAAAAGAAUUAAAGAAUUAAUUAAUUAACUAAAUUAAUUAACUUAAUUAAUCUAAUUAAAAAUUAUACCUAAUUAACUAAUUAAACUGAUUAAUAGGUUAAUUAGGUUAUUGCACCUAUGACAAACGGGACCCACACGUCAGUUGACCAGUCAACAACCUGUUGACUGCUGACGUCAUGCUGACAUCAGCAUGCACUGUUCUGGAUAAUGUUGAAUUAAAAUAAAUAAAUAAAUGCUAAAAAUGCACUAGUAGAAAAAGGGUCAAACAUUAAGCACAUUAGUGCCGGUUAGAAUUUGAGCCGGCACUAAUUUGUGCAUUAGUGCCAGUUCCAACGGCUAGCCGGCCGCUCUCAUUAGUACCGGUUCGUGGCGAACCUUUAGCACCGGUUCGUGCCACGAACCGGUACUAAAGUGAGUGGUGGCAGGAUGUUGUCAGUCCGGGGCCCCUCCAGCACCUUUAGUACCGGGUCGUAUCACAAACCGGUACUAAAGGUCGUCCUACAUAGACCCUUCGUCCACCCGAGCUCGCUCUGUUCUUCCCCUUUCCCCUCUCCUCUUUGUUAUUUUCCCUCUUCCUCUCAAGCUCAUCACACAUUUUGCCCAAAAUUUGUCAAGAUUUGAAGGCCCCCAUCCAUUCAAAUGAUCACAAAGGUUAGCAACUUUUUCCUUUCAUCUCUCAUUGCUAGAUUAGCUCGUGCGAUGCUUUAUAUAGUGAUUGAUUUUUGAGUUUAGUAAUUUGGGAGGAAUUAUAUAUAUGUGCUAGUAUUUGAUUUAUAUGCAAUUUGAGGUCAAAAGUAACACUUAGUUUGCAUAUGUAGGUGUGGUUUACUUAGUACCUUCUAAAUCUCUGUCGUAACCACCGUCGAUCGCUCGCAACGUCCCGUCGCCGGCACCACCUUGUGGUGAGCCUCUUGUUCAUGAAGUUUUAUAUAAAAAAUUGAUGUUUGUGUGAUUUGGAUAUAUAGUUACUCAUAUAAUUAUCUUACCCAUACGUUGUUUGUUAUACAUAGUGCCAUGGUUUUGAUAUCCGUCCCCGCCGGCCCUCGUCCGGGUUAUAAUUCGGAUGUGGUAUAUUCUCUUUUAAAACUAUUCAUUUCAUUUCGUGUUUAUGACAAAUUAUGCCCAUCAAGUUGACAUAGAUAUUAGUAUGUGGGAGGUAGUUGAACUGGAAAUUGCAACCGACCCUAUUGUCGAGAGGUUAAAUUUAGUUGAAAGAGAAAACGAGGAUUUGAAGGAAAAAUUGAAAAGAAUUGAGGGGGAGAAGAUGGAAUUGGAGUUGCAUGUUGCCGAUGUCGUCGAUGAUCACAAGAUUAAGAUGGAGAAAAUGCGCUUGAAGAUUAGAAAGAUUAGAAAAUAUGCCAUUCAUAGUGAGGCUUGGUAUCAUUAUGCUGUUGGAUCAAUUGUUACCUUAGUUGCAAUCUUGAUCACAUUUGUUGUUGCAUUUAAAUUCUUUAGCGAGAGAGUUAUUUGUUGGUUGCAUUUAAGUGUUGUAUGAUCUUUAUGUAUGAACUUUAUGUAUUGUAUUAAUUUGAUGUUUUCGGUGUUGUGUAUUGAAGAUGAGCCGGCAAUGGAUGUAUGAUGAUCGAUGCUCUCCCGAGUUCAUUAAUGGCGUGCGUACUUUUCUACUUGCGGCUGAGGCAAACAAGCGAGCGGAUGGUUUUAUGCCUUGUCCAUGUGCUAGCUGUAAGAAUGGUCACAAUUACUCUACGUUAAGAACCAUUCAUGUCCACCUGUUUGAGUCCGGUUUCAUGCCCCACUAUAAUGUUUGGACCAAGCAUGGAGAAAGAGGGGUUAUGAUGGAAGACAAUGAAGAAGAAGAGGACGAUGACAGCUAUCUUGGCCAUGGGUUCCCUGAAUACGAUGAUACAACAAUGAGGGAAGAAGCUGAGCCGGUAAUGCGGGAAGAACCUGAGCCGGCAAUGCGGGAAGAAGCUGAAGAAGAGGCAUCAGAUGAGUCCGUUGAUGAUCUAGGUCGGGCCAUUGCCGAUGCAAAAAGAAACUGCGCAAGUAAUUUGGAGAAUAAGAAGUUGCAGCGCAUGUUAGAGGAUCUCAAAAAAUUGUUGUACCCGAAUUGCAUAGGUGACAAGAAAAAGCUGGCACCACACUGGAAUUGCUGCAAUGGAAGGCAGAGAAUGGUGUAUCUGACAAGGGAUUUGGAAAGUUGCUGGUAAUGAUAAAGGAUAUGCUUCCAAAGGACAACGAAUUGCCCGAGAGUACGUACGAAGCAAAGAAGGUUGUCUGCCCUCUAGGGUUAGAGGUGUAGAGGAUACAUGCAUGCCCUAAUGAUUGCAUCCUCUACCGCGGUGAGUAUGAGGAUUUGAACGCUUGCCCGGUAUGCGGUGCAUUGCGCUAUAAUAUCAGCCGCGAUGACCCUGGUGAUGUUGAGGGCGAGCGCCCCAGGAAGAAGAUUCCUGCCAAGGUGAUGUGGUAUGCUCCUAUAAUACCAUGGUUGAAAUGUUUGUUCCAAAACAAAGAGCAUGCCAUGGCGAUGCGAUGGCACAGAGAUGACCGUAAGAAAGACAGAAAGUUGAGAGUACCCGCUGACGGGUCGCAGUGGAGAAAAAUCGAAAGAAAGUACGGAAAGGAGUUUGCAGAUGACGCAAGGAACGUAUGGUUUGGUCUAAGCGCAGAUUGCAUUAAUCCUUUUGGGGAGCAGCGCAGCAACCAUAGCACCUGGCCUGUGACUCUAUGUUUGUAUAACCUUCCUCCUUGGUUGUGCAUGAAGCGGAAGUUCAUUAUGAUGCCAGUGCUCAUCCAAGGCCCUAAGCAACCCGGCAACGACAUUGAUGUGUACCUAAGGCCAUUAGUUGAAGAACUCUUACAACUGUGGAAUGGAACAGGUGUACGUCCAUGGGAUGAGCACAUGGGGGAAGAAUUUGACCUAAAGGGGUUGUUGUUCGUGACCAUCAAUGAUUGUCCUGCUCUCAGUAACCUUUCAGGACAGACAAACAAGGGAUACCGCGCAUGCACGCACUGUUUGGACGAUACCGACAGUAUAUAUUUGGCUAAUUGUAAGAAGAAUGUGUACCUGGGACAUCGUCGAUUUCUUCCGAGCAGGCAUCCCGUAAGAAAGAAAGGCAAGCAUUUCAAAGGUGAGGCGGAUCACCGGACGAAGCCUCGCCACCGUACUGGUGCGGAUGUACAUGAUAUGGUCAAGGAUUUGAAGGUGGUCUUUGGAAAUGGUCCUGGUGGACAACCUGUUCCGAAUGACGCUGACGGACGCGCACCCAUGUGGAAGGAGAAAUCUAUAUUUUGGGACCUGCCUAUUGGAAAGACCUAGUGGUCCGCUCCGCAAUCGACAUGAUGCACGUGACGAAGAAUCUUUGUGUGACCCUACUUGGCUUCUUGGGCGUGUAUGGGAAGACAAAAGAUACACCGGAGGCACGGGAGGACCAGCAACGUAUGCACGGAAAAGACGGCAUACAUCAGGGUCAUGCAAGCUACACUCUUACCAAAGAAGAGAAGGAAAUCUUCUUUGAAUGCCUACUCAGUAUUAAGGUACCGUCUGGCUUCUUGUCGAAUAUAAAGGGAAUAAUAAACAUGGCAGAGAAAAAGUUCCAGAACCUAAAGUCUCAUGACUGCCACGUGAUUAUGACGCAACUGCUUCCGGUUGCAUUGAGGGGGCUUCUACCGGAAAACAUUCGAUUAGCCAUUGUGAAGCUAUGUGCAUUUCUCAAUGCAAUCUCUCAGAAGGUAAUCGAUCCAGAAAUCAUACCAAGGUUAGAGAAUGAUUUGGUGCAAUGUCUUGUCAGUUUCGAGUUGGUGUUCCCACCAUCCUUCUUCAACAUCAUGACACACGUCCUAUUUCACCUAUGCAAAGAGAUUAACGUUUUGGGUCCUGUAUUUCUACACAAUAUGUUCCCCUUUGAGAGGUUCAUGGGAGUCUUAAAGAAAUAUGUUCGUAACCGUGCUAGGCCAGAAGGAAGCAUCUCCAAGGGCCAUGAAAAUGAGGAGGUCAUUGAGUUUUGUAUUGACUUUAUUCCCGACCUUAAGCCGAUUGGUGUUCCUGAAUCGCGGCAUAAGGGCACUCUGGAUGGAAAAGGCAUGCUAGGAGGGGAACAAAUAAUAUGUAUGGACGGACAUUCUCUCACUGAAGCAGACUACACAGUUCUACAGAAUUCCGCCUUGGUGGCUCCGUAUAUGGAUGAACACAAGAAUUUGCUACGCUCCAAACACCCGGAGCGGUCGAUGACUGGAUUACACGUGAACAAACCAGGAGUUUUGCCAGCUAGUUGCAGACACGUACCAUGCAUGACACCUCUAUUGAAGAUGACCUGUACUUGCUGUCCUAGUUACCAUCUUCGAAUAUAAUGACUUUCAAAGGGUACGAGAUAAAUGGUAUUACAUUUUACACGAUCGCCCAAGAUAAGAAGAGCACCAACGAAAAUAGUGUUGUCCGCUUUGAUGCAGAAACCAAGAUGGGAAAGGAAACACAUUAUGGUUAUAUACAGGACAUAUGAGAACUUGACUAUCGACGUGGUUUGAAGGUCCCUUUGUUUCGGUGCAAAUGGGUCAAUAUGACACGAGGCGGGGUAAAGGAAGACCCGCAGUACAGAAUGACAACAGUGGAUCUCAAGAAUCUUGCGUAUGCAGACGAACCAUUCGUCCUAGCCAAUGAUGUGGCACAGGUUUUCUAUGUGAAGGACAUGUCUACCAAGCCAAGAAAAAGAAAAGAUAAGGAAGCGAAUGCAUCGUACGAUUAGCCAAAGCGGCACAUAGUUUUUUCUGGGAAGAGAAACAUCAUGGGAGUGGAUGACAAGACAAACAUGUCAGAAGAUUAUGAAAAGUUUGAUGAAAUUGCUCCAUUCACAGUGAAUAUUGACCCAAGAAUCCCGUUAAAUGAUGAAGAUUUUCCAUGGUUACGGCGCAAAGGGACACACACGAAGAAAAAGUUUCACACCCAAAGAUAUGGGAUGUGAUCGGCUUCACUAUCAUCACUUUCUUCUGUGUUUCACACCCAGGAGGGAAUCUCUGUAAUAGUUAGGGUAGUUAUGUGUUUUGGCAUUUGAAACGCGAAGAAUUUUAUGUGCAAACAAGUUCAUUCAUGCCUUUACUAAUUUUUAAAGUUAUGUUAUUCACAAACUAGUGAUUCACACUAAUUUCAAAUAAUUCAAAAUUCAAACUAUUCACAUUUGAAAACUACGGGCACUAAGAGAGAGUUUGUAAUUUUUUGUACCUAAAGCAAAAAUAUUCACAAAGAAACUCUAAAUACAAAAAAACAACUCAAAAAAUUAAAGCAAAAAAAUAAAAAAGCCCGCCUACUGGGCCAGAGCGGCCUGCAUACGACUAGAAACCCAACCUGUUGUUGGGCCAGGAUGCAGGCCCGCAAAGGCCCAGUAGGCCCACAGGGCAGCACAGAACAUGUAGGCCCAGUAGGCCUGCUUUGGAGAGGAGCUCGAGAGAGCUACCGCACGGGGGGUUAUAAACCAGUGCGGAUGCCCCUCGGCUAGCGAGGUGGGACUAAACUUGCCGCACCGCACCUGCGCCAGUGCACCCCCUUUAGUACGGGGUGGUGGCACCAACCGGUACUAAAGUGGGGGCCUUUAGUACCGGUUGGAGCCACCACACGGUACUAAAGGGGGUGCGCUUCCCGCCGCUUGGCCUGGCCAAAACAGGCCUUUAGUACCGGUUGGUGGCUCCAACCGGUACUAAAGGUCCAUCCUAUAUAACUAAACACUUCAAAAAUUUCAGUUUCUCAUCUGCUUCUUCUCCUCUGGCCCUUUGCCCGCCGCCCCCGUCUCCAUAUCCCUCAUUGCCGCCCCCGUCACCGCCCCGUGCCCGUCGUCGCCGCCCCGUCGUCCCCGUCGUCACCACCGCCCUGUCCCGGCCCGUCCCGCGUCAUCCCCAUNNNNNNNNNNNNNNNNNNNNNNNNNNNNNNNNNNNNNNNNNNNNNNNNNNNNNNNNNNNNNNNNNNNNNNNNNNNNNNNNNNNNNNNNNNNNNNNNNNNNNNNNNNNNNNNNNNNNNNNNNNNNNNNNNNNNNNNNNNNNNNNNNNNNNNNNNNNNNNNNNNNNNNNNNNNNNNNNNNNNNNNNNNNNNNNNNNNNNNNNNNNNNNNNNNNNNNNNNNNNNNNNNNNNNNNNNNNNNNNNNNNNNNNNNNNNNNNNNNNNNNNNNNNNNNNNNNNNNNNNNNNNNNNNNNNNNNNNNNNNNNNNNNNNNNNNNNNNNNNNNNNNNNNNNNNNNNNNNNNNNNNNNNNNNNNNNNNNNNNNNNNNNNNNNNNNNNNNNNNNNNNNNNNNNNNNNNNNNNNNNNNNNNNNNNNNNNNNNAAUAGUUAGAAUUGUUAGAAAUUUUUCUGUUUUUUAGUUAUAGAAAUAGUUAUAAAAAAGUUAUAAAUUUUUCUUAUUUUUAGUUAUAGAAAUAUUAGAAAUGUUAUACAAAUGUUAGUUAUAUAUAUAGAAAUGUUAUAAUUUUUUUCUUCUGUUUUUUAGUUAUAGAAAUAUUAGAAAUGUUAUAGAAAUGUUAGUUAUAUAGCAUUGUUAGAAAUGUUAUAGGAAUGUUAGUUAUAUAGAAAUGUUAGAAAUUUUAGUUAUCAAAAUUCAAUCAUUAAAAAACUGUUACUUUUUGCGGGCAUAUAGCAAGUAUUUGUUCUCGACGAUGCCCGGCCCGCAUCCUCGCCGUCGACUCGUCCGCGACGACGUCCGGCUGACCCAUGUCCGGGACUGGGCUCCGCCGGGCUGGCACUAGGAGGCGCUGCCUGGAGGGGCGCACCGCUUGAUGAGGAACCCAGCCCCAGGUCCCGUCGUCGACCCUGAUCUUGUUUGGUGGCGUUCGCGUGGGCCAGUUUCGGUGCGGAGGGAGCCGGCCCCGCCGGAGGUGGUACGUCGCCGUGUCAGGGAGGAGGACGAGCACGUCCAUCGCUACAUGGUUGCACUAGAGGGAGGCAGGUUCUCCAAUACCUGGCAGUUUCUUCAGGGAUCUCACUUCAGCUAUGAUCCUGUGAGGGUUCCUUCUCUUUGGGUGUCCACCACCCACGCCGCAGGAACCGUGAGUGUCCUAGAUUAUUCUGUAGUAUUCGAUCUUUAUUAGCUACCUAGCUAGUGAUGUAUUCGAUAUAUAAUAUUUGAGACGAUGUAUUCGAGAUUAUAUAUUAUUCGAGACAAUGUAUUUGAGAUUAUAUCUAUUAUUCGACACGAUGUAUUCGAGAUUAUAUCUAUUAUUCGAGACGAUGUAUUCGAGAUUAUAUCUAUUAUUCGAGAUGAUGUAUUCGAGAUUAUAUCUAUUAUUUGAGAUGAUGUAAUUUGAAUACUAAAUUGUUUUAUAUUUCAUUUGGAUUAGUUAAACAAAACCUAUGGCAGACAAUACCGGCAGAGAGGGAGAAGAGGCCCUAUUCAAUAUCAUAGGCAAUCCUCGUGGGCCAGAUGAUGAUCAGAAUGAAGAAGAUUAUGACGACUCCGAAUAUCUAAACAAUACUGGGGAGGGUGAUAUGAUAUUCGAUCGCGACGACCGAAUUGAUGAAGUCAUGAACUAUGAACAUGACAAAGAAAAUGUUGAUCUUGAAACAACAAAGACCGGCGAGGUAUAUAUAUUUAUAUAAGCAGGCAUCUGGUGAUCAUCACAUGUUUUAAAUGACUUGAAGAUAUAUUAACGAAUCGAUCUUUCUUCUAUCAGCCAUCCGGAUCGAGCAAAUCUUCAGGCAACAGGAAACGUGGCCCGAACAAAAAGUUGAAGGAGGGAGUAAAGUACAAUAUCGAGGCCAUCAGACCUAAUGGCGAACCAUUAGCGCCUAAGAAUAUCGCGGACAAGUUCAUUCGUCAGUGCAGAGUUUUUGUGAAGGACCAACUCCUGAUCUCCCUUCAAGAAUGGAGAGAGCCAGCAAAGCCACGUCCAGGAGUUACUUUUGUCGACGACAAACAAAAGCUUCUGCUUUGGGAAACGCUCAUGGAACAUUUCACCCUACCAAAUCAUUUCAUAGAUGUAGAUGUGGAGAAAGUCAAGGACGCUGCUCUUAGGAAGAUGGCGGUUGCAUUCAGGAACCACAAGAUUCGUGAAUGGGCCAAGUACGUCAACGGAGGAAGGAAGACUCCAGUAUUCGAGGGAACACUAGAGAAGCAAAGUGCUCAUUGGGACAAUUUCGUGAAAUUCAAGUAUUCGGAAUUAUCUAAGGAACGGUCGAGAAUAAACAAGGCCAAUGCCGCAAAAAAGAGAUGCUGGAUAAGUCUAAGAAAGAGAUGCUGGAUGCAGGUGUCACUCUAGAAACAUUGAGCUGCCCCCCCCCCUAGGUGCAGGACUUGGUUCUAUGCGCAUGGGGGGGAGUUGGACCCAAAGACAGGCAAAGUUUCGAAGAAGGCAUGUCUGGACGAAGCCGAAGAUAAGCUACUUGUUGCAAUAGAAGAGGCUCGAUCAGGGUUGUUCGAGCCCAACAGAGAGAACGACGAGCUUACGCGUGCCCUGGGAAAUCCUGAACACCCGGGAAGAACACGAAGCAUGGGCGCUAUUCCAUGCUAUGAGGGGUUUUCGGACUGGAACACCAACUACAGAACCCGUGCGAGAAAGAAGAUUAUGGAGGAGAAGAAGAGGAAGAUGGAGGAGGAGCAUAGGAAGCUAGACUAUGAAUGCCUUCAAGGCCUAGAAUCAGCGCACGCAGACUUGGCACUCAAAUUCCAGCGGCAGCAGGAGCAGAUCGACUCACUUAGCCAGCAAAGGGGGUCUCAGCGGCUAGCGGAUGAUCCACCAUUGGAUAGAACCAUCCCAUCCAUGCCGACAAGCAGCAUGGGUUCCGCCCCGGGCGACGCAUUGCUGGAUAGCUACCCAGUGGAUGACAUCAUGGAGAACACUAACUGCGAGCUACACUUCAAAAUGAAGAACAUAUCCAUGAAGGUGGCGGACGCCCUUGCUUUUACAAAUCCCCCCGAGGCAACCUUCCAUUGCAACCCUAUUCCAGCGGGCUAUGCUCGUGUCUUGGUUGAUGAGGUGGUGGACCAAUAUUCAGGGCUAGAGCUUGACAUUCUUGGAGGUGACGAUGAGCACACACUAGGAGAGGCCAACCAUCGUAUCGUCCUAUGGAGAAAGGAUUGCAUCAUCUUUCGAAGGCCACCGACACCGCGUCAUCCGACUCCUCGUCGCAGUUCACCACCGAGUCAGUAGACUCCCGCUCCUCCAAGUCCACCAACACGUCAGGCCACUCCUCCUCCAAGUUCAGCACAGCUUCAGGCCACUCCUCCUCCUCCAAGUCCACCAAAGCAUCAGGCCACUCCUCCUCCAUGUCCAGCACAGCUUCAGGCCACUCCUCCUCCAAGUCCGGCACAACUUCAGGCCACUCCUCCUACUCCAACUUAGCCACGUCAGCCGUCUUCGCCGCCUCAGCAAUCAAGGAAGAGAGCUGCCUCAGCUAUGGUGUGUAGCGGUACAAGUUGAGGUAGUAGUGGAGGUACAGGCGGAGGCAAGCGAUUUCAAUAUGGUCCAAGCCUCGUGCCUCUUCCGCAGAGGCCUUACGACAAGUCCGAGGAGGAAAACGUAGCCAUAUCAAAGGCCGAGGUGGAAGCCCAUUUUGCACCGAAACCGCCACCGCCGCCAAGGGAGAAAGUGCGUGUGGAAAAGAUUGACCACUUCAUUUGUAUGGCUAGAGCACCAGCUCCCAAGCCUGUUGACACAGACUAUGAGCGCCACAUCAAGAAGUUAAAUCGAGCACGUCUACAGAAAGAGGCGAGCUCGAGCUCGAGCAAAUCAGCUGGCAAAAGGAGCGGUAAAACCGUUCCCAGCUGGGAGAACAGGUGGCGCAAUCAAUCCCCCCGCUUGUUGUGCCAAGAACACAUGAGAGUAGGCGCGCCCAAUAUUAUUGUGGGCAAACCGUUAACGUUCUCGGGGUGGGCGAUGUGGUAAUAACCGAGGAGCAUAUUGCGCAGGCUGAAUCGAUCGGGAUCACUGUUGGAUAACUCCUUGAUAUCGAGCCCAUGUCUCCGACUAGAGAGGAGGAAAUAAAAUGGAAAUAUGCCCGGGGCCAACCUUUGGUCGAGCCAAAGGAGGUCCAUAAGCUCCCAAUGAGAAUGUAUGAAUUGCAUCAAUGGUACAUGGACAUUACCAAGAUUUCCAAUCAAGAGUCCCUCAUGGUGAAUGUCACCAAGGAUCAUUACUACCAUGAGAAAGCUGUGACCAUUGAGUAUUCAGAACUAUUUCAGCUAUACAAUCAAGAUGCACUCGACAAAUCUAUCGUCAGUUGCUAUUGUCUGUAAGUGAUUUCUUUCUGUAAUUUAAGUCUCAAGCUAGCUGUAGUGAUCAUUUUGAUCAAUCAUUACCUGUAAUUAUCCUCACUAUAUUCUUUUCUGUGGUAUUAUGCAGGAUGAAGAUUUAUGAAAUGAAAAAAGGUGGACGAUAUGGCAUUGGGUUCGUUGACCCAAAUACCAUUAAUGAAUACACAUGGAAAAUAGAUCCAUAUCACGAAAAAGUGUAGAGGAAAGCAUGCUAGAGUUCUUCAAGGAACUCAAAUACAAUGAAGAUAUAGUACUUCCUUACAACUUCCAGUGAGUCACACUGUCUUGUACUACAAAUUCUGUGUUUCCCUACUAGCUAGCUACAUGUUUUUGCUUACAUAUGCCCUCUUAAUUAAGACAUGCAAACGUGUGUGCAUGCAGAUUUCACUGGAUCUUGUUAAUCAUUAAAGUUGAUGAAGGAACAGUUGAAGUACUAGACUCACUACUUAAGAAAGCAAGUGACUACACCAUCGUGAACGGGAUAGUCAACAGGUAAUUUCAAUCAUUAUUAACUAUAUCUCGGCCUAUUUAAUUAGUUCGUCAUUUCCUGAUAACAACUAUUUAAUAACCCAUUUAUUCAUUUUCUUUGUCGGCGGGCAGGGCUUGGGCAAAGUUCAUCAGGGCCACUCCAGGCCCAUGGAAACAAAAUCUGAAAUGGUAUGGACCCAAGGUAAGUAAUUAAGUAGUACUAGCUAGCUGCCAUCUCUUUAAUUAUCAUGCUUGAUUAAUUAUUAUCCGAUCAAAUUCCAUUCAUGUAAAGGCCCUGAAGCAGGCGCCGGGGAAUGAUCUAUGUGCAUACUACGUUUGCGAGAACAUUCGCAUGAUGGCGUCCGAAAGGAGCAAAUCUCAAAGAUAGGAGUGGGUAUGAUAUCGAUUGUCAGAACACUAUUCACAAUUUUUACACCAUUAUCGAUAUCUAGUCACACAACUAAUACAAAUGCAUAUUGAUCUCCUUCUUAACAAUUCAAAGAGGUGCGGGACAAGCUCCUAGCACAGGACCGCAUAGAAGCAAUUCAAGAGGAAAUAGCGCGAUUUUUGCUCGACCAGGUCAUAGAUCCCAAAGGAUAAUACUAUUACCCGCUACCGCCCCCAUGAACCACUUCCAAUUGUUAUCGUGCUCCGAUGGCACCAAUUAGCUAGGCUAAUGCCACUGGCUCCGAAGGCACCAAUUAGGAGAAAUUAUAUAUAUAUAUAUAUAUAUAUAUAUAUAUAUAUACAUGUGUGUAUAUAUGUGUGAAUUAAUUAAUGGUGGUUGUGAGACAUUCGAUGAUAUAUAUAUAUAUAUAUAUAUAAUCAUCGGUUCUACUAGAAAUUCUAUUUAUAUAUAUGCAUAACGUGUACAAUAUAUAGUAUCGUAAAAUACCAGCAAAUGAAAAAUAAUUAAAUGGAAAACACAAAAUUAAAUGAAAAAUAAAUCAUAAACCCCAAACCCCCCCAACCAUUUAAUACCGGUUGGUGACACAAACCGGUACUAAAGGGCUCCCUGCCCCCGAAGCUGGCUCGUGCCACGUGGUUGCCCUUUAGCACCGGUUCGUGCUGAACCGGUACUAAAGGGGGGGGGGGCUUUAGUGCCUACACUUUAGCACCGAUUACCAAACCGGCACUAAAGGGCCUUACGAACCGGUGCUAUUGCCCGGUUCUGCACUAGUGAUGAUUUAAAUCUUCUAAAAUCAAUAUAAAAUAAACCGUAGCUCGGAUGGAAAAACUUUGUACAUGAAAGUUGCCCAGAACGACAAGACGAAUCCGGAUACACCCUCCAUUCGUCUGCCACAUGCCCCUAGCAUAGCGAACCUACAACUGCCCCCUCCAGUUCGUGUGUCCGAUAAUGCCAAACUUCGGGAAAACUUUCCCGGAUGUUUUCCCCCUUCGCUGGUAUCAUGUAGCACCGCGUUAGAACGCCCCUAGCCCUGUGUGUUACCACCGUCAUGUUUCUGUGUUGCAUCUGCUUGCUUUAUAUUUGCUGUUUCUUCCCCCUCUUCAUUUCGCUAGACCUCGAGACCGAUGUUGAUGCCGCUGUGAUCGACUACGCCAUCGACGGCCCCUCCUUCUUGUCUGAGCUUCCAGGCAAGCAAACCCCCUUGAGCAUUCUGAUAUCGCCCAUAUCUUUCCCUCUCUUGCUUGCAUUAGAACUGCUACUGCUUUGUGUAUGAUCCUAUUCUGAUGCAUAGCCUGUUGUUGUUACCUGCUUUCAUACCUUACCUGCUUAUCCUAAACUGCUUAGUAUAGGUUGGUUAGUGAUCCAUCAGUGACCCCGACCUUGUCCUAGUUGCCCUGCUUUAUCUUCGAUGACUCGAUCAACGUGAUCGACGUCUAGGCCCCGACACCGCACAUCACCCCCCUUAGUUGUACGAGUCUGCAGAGUUACCAUCGAGUGCCGAGGGUGGAACCUCUUACAUCACUCCUGAUGAGAUCUCUGUAGUGUAGCUAUACGGUCGAGGUCAUCAUGGGUGAUUUCCUCCUUAACCACUUCCGUUUCGGCUCUGUUGUGCAACCCCUCAAGUGUGAACCUCGAGGGUGGAUCCUCUUACAUUCACCUUGAUGACAACAUCGAGUGGAAUUCACCGGGGGUGAUUCCUCGGGUUUUCCCCUUGGUGUUAGACACAGGGUUACUAUGGUUACUAUGACUUUACCCUGAUCCAUGUUACUAAAGACGGGUCGGCCCUGAGGGGUACCCGCGGGAGCUUAAUACUGGAUGUGGAGACGGGUUGACCUGGAGGGUGCCUGUGAGAUACUUACGAGGCGUGGCCGGCCAUUCUUAGCCCUUUCCGCAAGUACUCGAGACGGGGCGAUGGGGUCACAUCUUUCGCGAGUCUCUGCUUGUUACCGCGCGUUCCUAAUCCACUACGAUUUGGAUAUUUGAUCCGAGGGGCCUCUGGCCUGAUAGCACUAACCAUCACGUGGGCAUUGUAUGGGCGUUCUGCGUCGUAUGCAUCAGCCGAAUCUUAAUUAACGUCAAAGACUGAGCGGCGCGCGCCGGGUUGGACUGCGUAAGCUCCUGCCUUGUUUAAGGAGGUAGCUAGGUCUGCUCACUGCCCGCGUACGCAACGUGCAGGAGUUCCCGGGGAGAUGGCCCAUGACCCCUGGGGGCAUAGGUUUAGUCCGGCAUGUUGGCCUCUCUAUUAAGCCUAGGUCGGGUUGCGGCGUAUUGUUUGGCCGAGGCCGGGCAUGACCCAGGAAAGUGUGUCCGGCCGGAGUUAAUCGAGCAUGGUGGGUAAGUUGGUGCACCCCUGCAGGGAAGAAAACAUCUAUCGAUAGCCUGUCCUACGGUAAUGGACACUCGGAGUUGUAUCCCGAUCGAUACAACUAGAACUGGAUACUUGAGAUCAGGAAUGGAUAUGAGAAAUGGAUAUGAGAAAUGGAUAGUAUGGCUCUGGGAUUGCUUUCUCGCAGGUAGUCGAGAAAGGAUCUCUGGCCGAGGUUGAUAACACUACCUACUUUACAUUAUGUUGAUCUGUACUCUUAUAUAUGCUGCAAGAUGCUUGAAGAUGCUUGAAGAUGCUAGUCUUCGAUAGGCUAGGCUUUCCCCUUCUCUUCUGGCAUUCUGCAGUUUAGUCCACAGAUACAACCCUUUUGCUUUGAUACAGAUGCAUACUUAGUUUAGAUCUGAUGUAAGUCCUGCGAGUACUUUGGAUGAGUACUCACGAUUGCUUUGCUACCUCUUUUCCCCAUACUCGAUUGUUGCGACCAGAUGACGGAUCCCAGGAGCUAGACGACACCACUGAGGACUACUGCUACCCCGAGGGUGCCUACUACUACGUGACGGCCGCUGAUGACUUGGAGUAGUUAGGAGGCUCCCAGGCAGGAGGCCUUGCCUUUUCGAUUGAUGUUGCUUUUGUGCUAGCCUUCUUAAGGCAAACUUGUUUAACUCAUGUCUGUACUCAAAUAUUGUUGCUUUCGCUGACUCUUGUGUUCUCAAGCUUAUAUAUUCGAGCCCUCGAGGCUCCUGACUUGUAAUAUAAAGCUUGUAUUAUUUUAAUUUGUGCCUAGAGUUGUGUUGUGAUAUCUUCCCGUGAGUCCUUGAUCUUAGUGUACGAUUCAAUCGAGGGCAUCACAAUAUCAAACUCAUGUCUUCUCACUAACACCAAUGAGGAAACUUUGACAAGGUUGUCCCAUUCCAAAAUAUCAAAUUCCUGUCAUUGUGGAAUGGGCAGGGUUUGCCAUUAGUUUGGACAUUGACAUGGCACCCCGUGCUAAAUAAAUCAGCUGUUCUUUUUGUGCAUUUCCACCAAAAUCAACCAAAUUCGCGCGUAGCUUGUAUGAUUUUGCCUUUAUAUGUUGCAAUGCCUUGAACAUAUCAACACCUCCUUUCUUGUGGUGGAAAUGAAUGAUUCGAUGUAUUCAUGAACAUUUUGUGCAGUUCCCAUUGAAAUCAAGCUGAGCACCCCUGUUUGCACAAAUACACAAUAAGUGAUUAGUAUAAAGUAGACUGUACAAUGAAUUUGCAGUUUAAACAGGCACCUACAUGGUCCAUGCAGUGCACACUUUAAAAAAAAUGGAAGUCACCGGAAAGAAUCCUAGAACAACAUUGUACUUGCGCAUCACAGCAAAAAAGAUGGAGAUCUAUCAGUCCUUCUGAGCUGAAGUUAGUUUGGUCUUGUGGGGAGUAAUGUAACCAUCCUUCAACUGCUCCUUCCGAUGAGAAGAUAGACAGGGCUUCUUCAUCCGGGCACAAUUGAAACUAGUCACUUCACGUACUCCAUAUUCUUCUUCAGAGGAGGAUGAUCCUGUUGUGCAAAGACAAGAGGACAACUAAAUGCUAGCAUCCCUAUUUUCUCGAAAAAAGGAAAGGAAAUAUUUAAAACAACACAGAUGAAGCACUUCUCAAGGACAAUACCACUUUCUCAUGACAGUAUCUAAACAGUAGCACAACCCCAAUAGAGAUGACAAAGCUCAAUCAUAUGGAUGAAAUCCGUGGCCGAGUACCAACCUUUGUGAGGAGGCUUAUUGUGUAGAGCAUACAUAUCAAGCACUUCUCCGGAACCAUCUGUUUUUAUCUACUAUGGUUGCCAUGCUUACUAUAUACUCCUUGAUUUGUUUAAUGUUUCCAACAUCUUCUUGUGCAGUUCCACUUAAAUAUAUGGUAUCUUCAAAGAAGAUCCCUGUUUGCGCAAGCAAAGAUAAUUACAUAUUACAUUAAGAGUGGCAUCAAAUGAGUGGCAAAACAAUUGCUCUUUCGAUCCAGGGCAAUAAAUUAAGAUCCAAAACUAUAUCAUUAGUUGUGUCAUCACAGUUCCAGUGCUUCAUUAUAGCACCGGGAGUUGAUUUUUGUUUUUUUUUCUGCUUGUUCUUCCCCUUCAUCACUUGGUUCCAUAACGGACAAGCUUCGCCUUCAAUGUAAGAUUUUGCAUGUCAAUUACGGAGCACAAAUAUAGUACUAAACAGUGACAUUAAUUUUCUGAUGAAAGUGGCAAAAAUAUAGGCCAACACUUGUGAAAUAUCCUUAUCUUACCUCAAUGGGAUAUUACGGUGCACAUAUAGAUGGGAAGUCUUGUCUCCAUUUGUGUAGUUCACUAAAAUAAAGCAACAUUACCAUACAAGUAGCACAACAUAUGAAAGCACACUACACAAUCAUAUGAAAGAAGGCUAGUACUGACCUCUCAUGACGCAAAAUUCAAACAACUCACAAGAAGAAGAUCUGAACCAAAUUUGCCAACACGGAUAGGAAGUAAGAUCUCCUCUUAUGCAGUUACAGCAAGAUCAAGCAAUUAAGCAAUGUUGUCGGUGUGACAUUUUGGUUGAACUGCACAAAACACUCUUAAAAAAGUGUUUUGUGCAGUGCAAGAAAAGGUCACAAUAGCAACGAGGUGAUGUAGAUAACCCUGUUUACAUAGAGGUGCCAAGGAACCAACUAGUGGUCAAUAACGGUGGAUGACACAGAAGCCAACAAAAAGAAGCAUCUAACUUAUCUAAAUGGGAAAGAAAGCAAGACAGUGGCACUGAUUCAUAUUAACAUAGAGAUUAUAUUAACAAUAAAAAUCGUUAAACAUGUAAUUUGCUUUUAACUGUGGCAUUGCAUCAAUUUUCCAGCGGCAUUAUUAGAGGGUGUUUGUUCACAAGUCCCUUUCAUUCCCAUCUAAACCAAACAGGAGGGACAUUUAGGGACUAAAAGUGGGCAUUUGGGACUAAAGAAGGAAGACUGCGAGGGAGCGUCUUUUUGGGACUUUUUCCAACAGUUGCCCCUGCCCCGCAUCACACCUUAUCUCUAUUUGUUCAUUACUAGGGGUAAGGUGGUCUUUUAGCAUGUCAUUUAAUAACCUCUAGUCCAUGUUUAGUCCCUGGAACCAAGCAGGUAGGGACUAGGGACUUUUUAGUUGGGACUGAAAAAAGUCCUAGGACUUUUCAACCAAACAGGUCCUUAGAUUAACAACAGCUAAAGAGUUGCACGACACAGUGGACGCACCAGCACCAUGUGCAUCUACCGAUGUAUUAAGGGGUGAUGCACAAUCUAUUUCAACAAAGAACAAAGAACCAAGGAGCAUAUUUGUGUUGGUCCCAGUUUUGUUAUCUUUAGACACCUUUCCCUAUGUGAGCGCAACAAAUCUAGCCCUGCUCAAACUCUAUAGGCUUGUCCCCCAAAACAAAAAGAUCAGUUUGUGACAGAUGUGUGUACUGUGUUUGUCAAUGUUUUCCCGUUUCGACCAACGUAGGUGCUGGAUAGCCAGUCUGUACUCAUACAUACCCCUUCCUUACCUCUUUGAACCACGUCCUAGAUUCAUGUUAUAAAACUUUCCCCACAACAUCCCCCCUUUCCUCUUUGAACCACGUCCUAGAUUCAUGCAAUACAACUUUCACCACUACUUUCCCCCCUUCCUUUUGUUUUAGAACCACUUCCUAAAUUCAUGCUAUACAACUUUCCCCACAACUUUCCCCUAUUCCUUUCCUCUUAGAACCACGUCCUAGAUUCAUGCUAUACAACUUUCCCCACUACUUUCCUGUUUGAUCCAACACCUAGAGUCGAGUGCAGAAGCAGAAAAAGCCCACAUGCAUCUAGAGCAAUGCACGUGGAAUAAGUAAAUUAUACCCUAAGGUUCUUGGGGUGUGGUUCGGUGGGAAACUGGAGGCCGUUCUGCCCACACUAUGUACGGCGGCGAGGAAUAAGGGGUCAGAAGCCCUCCCACGCCGCCGCUGGGUGAAAGAGAACAUCUGCACCGGUAGUGGAUUCCUUCCCUUAGCGAUGGCGACAUCGUUAAGCCUCCUUCCCUUCCCGGCGGACGGAUCCCGCCGGCUCUUUGACCAACAGUGAGGGGAGAGAGAGAGAGGCCAACGAAGUUUUGUUUAGAUGUGGAGAGGGUGAGAGAGUGUGAAGAGAGCAACUACAAGCGCUGAGGCUCCAGCGUGUAUAUAUAGUAGAGUGAGUGUGAAGAGUGCAAACCCUACAAAACAAGCACCGAGGCUGCAACGUAUAUAGAUGGAGUGGUUUUCUUUUUCUCUCCAUAAAAAUCGUUUUAAAUUGUGCACGAAACAGAACUCUUUAUUUAACAUAGUGAAGAAAAAUGCUAGGGGCUAUGCUAAUACGUGAAGAAAAUUUAACGCUUGAAGGAGUCAACUCACAAUUAAUAGUGCAUGCCUCCCGGUCGCGCUUACUGACGUUCACGUGUGGUACACGACCCUCUGAACUAAACAAAAACUGAACCACACACGGUCAAAAUAUCGAAAAGGUGGGCUGCACCAUCCUCUAAUUUUAAAUAUUUUGGGCACUUGUAUUCAGCCUAAGUCAGUGUGCCACCGUAUGUACUAAGGUUACAGCGGGUGCUAAGAAACUAGGGCGUAUUGAGAUUAAUUGCUAAGUUCACUUUUGUCACUGUACUCAAGAAUAUGGUCACUAUAUACGUGAUGAGGUGAUUGUACGGUCACUGUGAGAUCGUAUAGCUCCGUAUCCAUCCAUUUUGACCAGUCAAAGAAUCCUCCUGGCACCGCCCCAGAUCACUUUCUGUCUCUGUCAUGCGGGGCCUACCUGUCAUUGGGUGGAAGAAAGAAGUGGAACAAAAACAAAAUUAUGCUCAAGUGCGGUUAUCGAACCCGAGACCUCAGGUUUGAUGACCGAAUAGGCUAACCAGCUACACCACCCUCACGUUAUGAUUAACAAGAGGAAAAUAACCUUUUAUACAUUCCUGCAUUCGUGUGACAAUCAUGCCGUGUUUUUUUUGCGUGGGAGUCAUUGGGAUUUAAACCAUAAUCGUGUCAUCUAGCUUUGGUGGUAAGGUCUUUUGGGAUUUGAAGCAGUGUUGGUAGUAAAGAAAUAAUGCAGCCUUAUUCACCUUACCUCACUCCACGUAGUAUGUUGGGUCCCACUAGUCAGAGGGUGAAACAAAAAAAUUAAUAAGAAAAAAUAAAAGCACCAGUGGUGUAUCUUACCUCACACAUCUCGCUACUGCUUGUGAACACAGUCCAAUUGAUCCCUGUGUUUGCUCACAUACUAUUUUAAGUGAAUCCUUAUUAUAACAUGCACACAAUACGCAUGCAUGCACUCGCACACUAGCACGCAAUGGGCAAACCCACUAGUUAGCACACAGCACGCACACACCGGUGACCAGUGAUGAAGUUGAGGCCAAGGGUCGUACUUCGAUAGCCGCACAUCAAUUGUGCGCACAAGGUGAGUAGAGUGACCUAGUGUGGGUGUCAUCGUAAUCAUCAUUGAUGGCCAUGUCAUCUCACGGAGAUGGAGUUCAUAUGUGUUGCACCACAAGCAGCGAGAGCUCAGACUUGGCGUAGUGGUAGAGCAACAGGUCGAGAACCUCAGGUGGCAGGGUCAACAAUGGGAACGGCGGACAACAGGCAAGUUAGUGCACGAACUUGCGGCAAUAGAGGCCAGCGUGCGACUUGAGUCUGUGCUAGUGCGUGUGCAUGCACUACAAGCUGCACGCUGCAUUUGUGUGCUGCUACUACAGGUAGAAAACUAUAUUUGCCACUAAUUAGUCACAAUUGGAGGUUUGUGUGGUCAAAAUGGACGAAUAUAGAGCUAUACGAUCUCGCAGUUACUGUAUAAUCACAUCAUCACGUAUAUAGUGACCGUAUCGACCGUAUUCUUGAGUACAGUGACCAAAGUGAACUUAUAUGAUAAGUUCACUGACCAAUAGUGCAUUUUACUCUUUUAAUUAUUUAGUUUGUACACAGUAUCUUGUAUUCGACCUAAGUCAGUGUACCACAGUAUCUUGUACUACUCCCUCCAUCUAGGUGUGCCACAGUAUCUUGUACUACUCCCUCCGUCUAGGUGUAAGAGCAUCCCUUGUCCAACCUCUAAUUUCAGCUGAAGAGUGUGUAAUGUAUAGAGACUGCACGUUGUCUCUAAGUAGACCCCAGGUUCAAAUAUAAUAUAAUGCCAAAGCAUGUACUUUCUCCUAUUCAAUGUUGUGCACUGAUACAAACUAGUGAAUGACAAGGGGGUAAAGAGAUUAUUUUAAUCAGGCAAGAGGCUUGGAGGCCACCUCUUCCCUUGGAGGCGUCGCUAGGCAUUUUUUGCCAAGAGGUUGUGCGCACAAUGUAUGUCGAUGGUGCAAAACAACUAGAUGCGCCAUUAGAGGCGAGAAAAACCAACAUUGUGGAUGCCCUAAGUCAUGUUAGAAGGUGCAUCGGGACCAAGGUGCAAGCAGAUUGGAGGAGGAGAAACUUGACCGGUCCUUCCUGCAAUCAAAGCCCUGAUUUCUAUCUCUAAACACAACAAUUAAUCACAACAACUAAGAGAUGCCGUUUUAGCUACCAUGCAGGGCCACAUAUUAACUCGCAAGUAAGCUGACUUUGAUUUCUUGCCUGAUCAACGCGUAGUUGUGAUCCAUGCAUUGGGUUUGCGGGGGAGAUAACAAGGCAGAGUAAGGAGCGUCUGGUUACCUUGCUUAGGCUGGUCAUAGUGGGCAUGUUACUAGUCUAUGUUACUACCUUCAUAGUGGGUAAUGACAUAUGCAUGGUAACAUGCAAGUCUUAGUUAAUUGAGAUAUAGACUCAUUUUACCUCGGUGUGUGUUAUGUUACACGUGUGUGGGACCGUAUGAGAGACACGAGGCAUGGACACAAAAAGGAGGAGAUGGAAGGUGCGUGUGUAUGUUGUAGGCAGACAUCGCUGGAGAGGUUUAUCAAUCGGUGUGUCUCGGAAAGGAGUUGUGGAUACUAUGGGAGAAUGACCUAAAGAAAAAAAAUGAAUGUGCGCGAUGGAUAGAAUGCUGAGGGAGGGUAGGGCUAGGAGGGCGUGUGCAUGCAGGAGAAAAAGUUAGUGCUAGCUACAAAGGUUAGAGGAUUGUGUGGGCGUAAGAGACUAACAAAGAUCAUAAUUUGAUAUGAAAGUGGAUUCAUAUAUUUGAAUAGGGGAUCAUAGUGUUAUAAACACAUGCAUGCAUGAAUAUAGCGGUGAUACGCGUGUUGUGGUUUUGCACAUGUUAUACCAUAAUGUGAUAAUGCAUGGCGUUUGCAACUCACAGCUAAAUGUCGAACAAUCUAAACCAUACUAUACAUCGAACCAUCUCACAUUUUAUUUGAAUUUGUGAUAAUGUGUGGCGUUUGCAGCUUACAACUAAAUAUCAAAUAAUCUAAACAAUACUAUAUAUCAAACAAUUUAAACAAUUUGUGGUAAUGUGUGGCGUUUGCAACUCACAUCUAAAUACUUGUAGGUGUAGGGGGCAGGGCACCAUACAUUAUGUGAUAAACACAUUAUACAUAUGAGACAUGGUUUAGAUUAUGAAGAUCUAGCUAGAUCUUGAAAUGUAUGGUGAUUUGGAAUAAACAUAAAGUGGAUUCAAAAAAUCGAGUUCGAGUUCAUAUAGUACACAUAGUUCAUAUCUAACUCGAAAGUAAUCAUGUGGUGUGCUGUGAAGAUAAUACACAAACGAUGGUUUAACUUAACAAUAAUGAUGAUUGUAGAUCUUAUUCAAAUAGACAAACAAAUUGAAAUGAUUUUACUUCACAACAAUCAUUAUUGUAGAUCUUAUUCAAAUAGAGAGACGAAUUCAAAUUUAGUUCAUAUUGAAGCGGUAGUAUCUACGUUUGGAAUGAACUAAAACGUUCAUUUGAGUAGCAGGUUGCAUGCAUUACACACGUAGCAAAAUAUUUUGAUUGAACAUAACAUGAAUUCAAAGUUUUGAAUGGCAUUUGUAGUGCGAAUUGAUUUGAGACCUGUUUGGUUCAGCUAUUAUCGACGGAUUCCGCUGCUGCAUAGCAGAAUCUGAACCAAAGGGCGAACCCAUCAGAAUCCGAUUCCAGAAAUCCGCUGGCAAAAUCUGAACCAAAAGCGGAAGCAGCCCAGGACAUGCUCUCCAAAAUCCGAUUCCGCUACGGGCCAAAAUCUGAAAAAAACCGUAUCAUCUGGUUUGCCAAAUGACCUAAGUCUUUUUCACAUUAGAUUUUCCACAGCUGUUUUUCCAUAGCAAAUUUUUCACAGCCGCUUUUAGAAAUCCACAAUCGAAGCAAACAAGGCCUUGGUACAGUACACGUGAUUAGACUCUCUUGUGUGGUGCGAAUUGAUUUCUUUUUGUUUUUUCAUCGAUGGAAGUGCGAAUUGAUUUGGUACAGUACACGUUAGGCUUGUCUGGAAAUUUCAACCCGCGCCUUGUUACCCCGAAAUAUUUAAGAUAUGUCUUUGUCUCAUUGUGCUCCGCAAACUCCCUCCAUCUCAGCCCGCGCCUUGCUAUCCCAAAAUUACAAUGAGUGUGAAAGCUCCCACCUCCUGCGAAAUCCUGACACACGAAAUGCCCGUGAUACCCCUGAACCGAAAGAACCGCCUAGCUCAAAUCGGUGGGGGUACUUUCUUAACUUACCCCACAUUUUGGACAAGCGCGUCCCUAAGCCAUGGUUCACCACUCCCGUCCCAUCCGCCCACCCAUUCGCACACCGAGGCCGCAAAAACCCGCGAAGCCCCACACCCUCCUCCGUCCGCCACCCAUUCGGAGCCUCUUCCCCGACGAUGUCGUCCACAACAACACCUCGACGUCCCUCAUCCACCGUACCGGAUGAGGAUCCAUUGUCAAUCUCGUCGUCCCACCGGUUCAGCCACCCCGUCCUCCACCUCCAAGGAGCUGCCCUGAUGUUCCCCUCUUCUUUCACGCCACCUCCAUUCCCACACCGCCGUCUUCACCUGCACCACCGGAAGAGCAGCAUCAUCACCGUUUGCUCGACUGAAGCUAAGGCCUAACUAGCGCCACCAAAGAGGUUGUACACUAAUCGCCGCAUUUUAUUCUUGAUUCGAUCUCACAGUGCUGUCGGCACUCGGUCCUGAGCCAACAUUGCGCGGCUCCAUCCACGAUGGCGUCGCCGGCCACUUCCUCCACGGCGUCGCUCCCUCGGCGGUGACGUCCAUAUCAGUAGGAGUUGCUACUGCUUCAGCUCUUGUCUUGCUCUCGGUCCCCUGCCUGGUCUACUCUUGUUAUUUCUCUUGCCCUUGCUUGCGAUGCUGCUCCGAUUUGGCUACACGUUAGUCAACUGAAUCAACUUUUGGGUCAGUCAAUUUUCAGGGGGUGGGGGCGCUCGCCGGAGUUAAGGAAGAACUAGCCGCAGUGGGGAGGGGGGCUCGGUGGUGAGGUGGUUGUGUGGGGAUUGCUGGAGAAAAAUCUCAGCACGGGGGGCCUAGAGGGAUGGCCGGGGCAGUGGCGGACCUCGGUGGUUAGUGGUUUUGGGGAGGGCGGGGCGGCGCACCGCCGGCCCCGAGCAGUGGGGGGGCAGCGGUUUGGCCGGUGGUGGCUGGCAGCUCAAGGGGUUGGAGGUUCAAGAUGAAUUGCUAGAAGACCAGCCGCCCCAGCUCUCGCACGCGCUACUGCUACUGCUUUUCUGCUACUAGUGCGUUUAGUUUCGACAGUAAAAUUCAGUUUCGACAGCAAAAUUCAGUUUCGAUAGUUAAGUUCUGUUUCGACAGUUAAAUUCAGUUUUGACAGUUAAGUUCAGAGAUGAGUGGCUAAUAUAUUUUACGCCUAGCACUUUGUAGUUAUGUAUUUUACGUCAUGUAUUGGAGAUGCUAUUAGAAUUCCACUCAGGUUAACAUUGUCUCUCUUGUCCUGCUUCAGCCUCGGCGUCGGACAACUCACUAGAGUUGCUCCAUCGACGAAACCCUCCAUCAUAGCGGAGCAUUACUCCAUUCUCCGUCUCAAGAUGCCUAAGAUCUUCUUCCCCUCCUCUGACAGCCAAGUCAGCCGGAUCAUCCUCACCGACCAACCCACACGCUGAGAUUGACAUGGCUUCGCCAAAGAGGUUGUACACUUGUUGCAUCUAUUUUUUACUCUACAAGUUAGAUAAAUUAUCCACUGAGCACACGUAGUAACAUGAAAUAUGAUUAGUUUCUCCUACUAUAAGACAAGCAGUGAGGUACCAGGCAACUUAGCUAUCCGUGAUGGACUCUCAUGGACGCCAUCAUUAUUUAUCUCCGCGUGUUUGAGCUGUGCAUUUGUCGAUGGGCCUGGGAGUUGAGCUAGUAGGGUAGUGGCCUGGUCCAAAGUAGUAGAAGUAGCACAAAAACAUUUUUUGAGUGUACGGUUUUCCUUGCAGAAGUAUGCCUACUAGAAUCGCCAGUGGUUGAAAGGAAAAGUGAAGCAAAAACGUAGGAAUUGGAAAUUUUCCUAUGGUUCUACUAUUCAUGCAUUUGGUUCAAAGGAAUGGAGCAAAGCAAAAUUGUAGGAUUUGUUCUUUAGUGUCUCCUUGAAAGAAAAAAAAUCGUAGGAAUUUUAAUAUCCACUUGUCCUCCUUUUCAAAUUCCUAUUCAUGAAGCACAAGACUAAGAGAUAGGAGUAUAAUAGCAUUAUAACCAUACAUUUUCUUGUGGUUUGACUUAAUCUCACCAUGCUUCUUUGCAUCCUGUGAUCUUCCAAUUCUUGUGAACCAAACACCCAGAUUGGCAGAAAUCUUGUGUUUUUAAAAUCUCUAUUUAGCAUGUGCAUUCCUAUCCUAUUACUAUGUAUUGCUAUCCCUGUGUUGUUUGAAUCCUCCAUUUCAAACGAGCCCUUACGGAAUUACUUCUCUUACAGACAGUUGUCAAAGAAAACCUUGUGUGGUUUGUCCCACUCCUGCUGCGCCGUCGUCCACCCCAGCUCAGCUACUCCAACGACAGAAGGGUCCAGCACAGCAAGGAUCCGUCAUACAGACUGUCUUUCGCCGCCUCGGAUCUUCUUCCCCGCCGCCGGCAGCCAUGACAACUGCAUUACCAUCAUCAACCGAGUAGAUGACCUCAUGGACUACACGGGUCCACAAGAGAGGUCGCAAUCUUUCGUGUCUGCUUAUGUUAUGCAUCGCUUAAUAUUACAUGCUACUUUAUCAUCCUGUUCACCAAUUAGACUCGGAGUCAGCUCCAAACUAAUGGUCAAACUUGAGUUUUUAAAUGGUUGUGGGGUACAUAUCGGGGCCAAAAUCAACAGUAUCUAUCUACUAUCUGGUUAAUCUCUGGUGUCUACUGUGAGUUUCAUGUUGGGUGGGAAACAAAUAAUAAAGAAGCCAUUAUCUGUAUUUUUUAACUGAAGCCAAUAUCUGCAUGCUAUCAUUGGUUUUGGGUCUAUCCACAGGUUGCUAUAUCACUAUGUUUUAUUCCUAUGCAUGUCAGUUAUUAUACACAAUGGAACUGAACAUGUAGAGCAAAAGAGACGAGCCUUGCGUGGCAAUAAAAUUUCAUGCAGAUGUCGCUCCAUGGUAGGCGCAAAGGCAGCCCCCCUCCACCCAUUUCGGAUUGUAAUCAAGAGGAAGAUAUCUGUUCUGAGGGGGAUUCAGAAGGAGAAGACCACUCAUAUUUACCCCCUGAGGUUUUCGCCCUAACUUGGCAUGCUGAUAUUGGUUAUAUCAUGCAGAUGGUGCCUUGCAUUACUUACUUUAUACAUCAAAUAUGUCAUCUUCUUAGUUUAGACAUGCUUUCUAUGAAUGCCAUCUGUAUAGUUUAUUCAUCGUUUAUGUGAAUUAUGGAACGCCAUCUUGUUUAGCGAGGCAUCAUAUAUGUGAAUUUUGCAAUGCCAUCCUGCUUAGCCACUCAUCAUUUAUGUGAAUUAUAUCAGGCCAUCCUUUUUUUCGUUAUGUAUUACAUUUGUCAAUAAUGUUAGUACAUUCAACUACUCUUCGUGUGCAUCAGCCAUUUGACACGGUGAUGGAAAAUUCUAGAGUGAAAACAAGGUCUUUAGAGCAGACUAUGUGUGACGCCUUCGACUCAAUCGUACACUAAUCAUACACGAAAAUGUGUACAAUCAAGAUCAAGGACUCACGGGAAGAUAUCACAACACAACUAUAGACACAAGUUAAAAUAAUACAAGCUUUAUAUUGCAAGCCAAGGGCCUCAAGGGCUCGAAUACAUAAGCUCGAAUACACAAGAGUCAGCGGAAGCAUCAAUAUCUGAGCACAGAUAUAAGUUAGACAAUAUUGCCUUAAGAAGGCUAGCACAAAAGUAACAAUGAUCGAAAAGGCAAGGCCUCCUGCCUGGGAGCCUCCUAACUACUCCUAGUCGUCUGCGGUCUUCACGUAGUAGUAGGCAUCCUCCGGGUAGUAGUAGUCAUCAGUGGCGUCGUCUGGCUCCUAGGAUCCGUCAUCUGGUUGCAACAAUCGGGUAUGGGGUAAAAAGAAGUAGCAAAGCAACCGUGAGUACUCAUCCAAAGUACUCGCAAGACUUAUAUCAGAUCUAAACUAAGUAUGCAUCUGUAUCAAAGGAAUGGGUUGUAUCUGUGGACUAAACUGCAGAAUGCAAGAAGAGAAGAGGAAAGCCUAGCCUAUCGAAGACUAGCAUCUUUUGGAAACCACCAUCUUGCAGCAACAGGAGGGAGUAGGGUAGCAUAAAGUAAAGUAGUAAAAGUGUUAUCAACCUCGGCCAGAGAUCCUUUCUCGACUCCCUACGAGAAAGCAAUCCCAGAGUCAUACUAUCCAGUUAUCAUCUCAUAUCCAAGUCUCAUCUCCAUGUCUCACCUCAAGUAUCCAGUUCUAGUUGUAUCGAUCGGUAUACAACUCCAAGUGUCCGUUACCGUAGGCCAGGCUAUCGAUAGAUGUUUUCUUCCCUGCAGGGGUGCACCAACUUACCCACCAUGCUCGAUUAACUCCGGCCGGAUACACUUUCUUGGGUCAUGCCCGGCCUCGGCCAAACAAUACGCCGCAACCCGACCUAGGCUUAAUAGAGAGGUCAAGCACGCCGGACUAAACCUAUGCCCCCAGGGGUCAUGGGCCAUCUCCCAGGGAACUCAUGCACGUUGCGUACGUGGACGGUGAGCAGACCUAGCUACCUACUUCAACAAGUCAGGAGCUUACGUAGUCCAACUCGGCGCGCACCACUCAGUCGCUGACGUCUAUUAAGCUUCGACUAAUGCAUACGACGCAGAACGCCCAUACUAUGCCCACGUGAUGGUUAGUGCUAUCAGGCCAGAGGCCCCUCGGGUCAAAUAUCCAAAUCGUAGUGGAUUGGGAGCAGGCGGUAACGAGCAGAGACUCACGAUCGAUGUGACCCCGUCGCCCCGUCUCGACUACUUGCGGCAAGGGCUAAGAAUGCCCGGCCACGCCUCUUAAGUAUCUCGCGGGCACCUUCUAGGUCAACCCGACUCCACAUCACUCGCUAUUAAGAUCAUGCGGGUACCUCUCAGGGUCGACCCGUCUUCAGUAACAUGGCUCAAUGCAAAGUCAUAGUAACCAUAGUAACUAUGUGUCUAACACCAAGGGGAAAACCCAAGGAAUCACCCCUAGUGAAUUCCACUCGAUGUUAUCAUCAAGGUGAACGUAAGAGGAUCCACCCUCGAGGUUCACACUUGAGGGGUUACACGACAGAUCCGUAACGGAAGUGGUUAAGGAGGAAAUCACCCUCGAUGAUCACGACCGAAUAGCUACACUACAGAGAUCUCAUCAGGAGUGAUGUAUGAGGUUCACCCUCGGCACUCGAUAGUAACUUUGUAGUGCGUACAACUAGGGGGGUGAUGUGCGGUGUCGGGGCCUGGACGUUGAUCACGUUGAUUGAGUCAUCGAACAUAAAGCAAGGCAACUGGGACAAGGUGGGGUCACUGAUGGAUCACUAACCAACCUAUACUAAGCAGUUUAGGAUAAGCAGGUAAGGUAUGAAAGCAGGUAACAACAGGCUAUGCAUCAGAGUAGGAUCAUACAGAAAGCAAUAGCAGUUCUAAUGCAAGCAUGAGAGGGAAAGAAAUUGGCGAUAUCGGAAUGCUCAAGGGGGGUUUGCUUGCCAGGUUGCUCUGGCAAGGAGGGGUCGUCGGGGAUGUAGUCAUACUCAUUCGCAUCAACGUCGGUCUCGGGGUCUACCGGAGAAGAAGAGGGGGGAGAAAUAGUAAAUAUGGGGCAAACAAGCAUCACAAAAUAUAACAAGGCAAAACACGGUGCCAGGGGUGAUCUAAUGCAGUACUAGGCGAUACUGGCGAAGGGGGGAAACAUCUAGGAAAGUUUUCCUGGAGUUAGCAUUUUUGGACAGAUGAAACGGAGGGGGACGGUUGCAGGUUUGCUAUGCUAGGGACAUGUGGCGGACGAAUCGGUUGGGUAUCCGGGUUCUUCUUGUCGUUCUGAGCAACUUCCAUGUUCAAAACUUUUUCAUCCGAGUUACGGAUUAUUUCCUAUGAUUUUUCAAAGUUUUAAGCACUAUUUUGAAAUUAUUAUUAAAUCUAAAAUGGGGUUAUUGCAAUAGCAUGACGUCAUCAUGACGUCAGCAGUCAACAGAAUUGACCAAAGUCAACCCUGACGCGUGGGGAGGUUCUGUCAUAGUCUAACAACUAAUUAACAGUUUUAAUUAACUAAUCCAGGUAAUUAGGUACUAAACAUAGUUAAUUAAGUUAAUUAAUUACCUAUUUAAUUAAUUAAUUAACUAAUUAAUUAAUUACUUUUAUUUUUAAAUUACAUUUUAUUUUUCGUAUUUUUCGACAAGACAGGGGGCAUGGGCCCUAUCUGUCAUCUGCCUAGGGGGCCAUAGCGGGUGUUGGGCGUCGGGUGCGGGUGCUUGAGCGCCAGCCCGCUUGGGCACACGCCUAGGGGCGCGGCAGAGGCUGGAGUCGCUGGCCGGCGGCCAGGGGCUAGCGAGGACGACCGUCAGCACGGGGCGAGGUGCGAGCGGGCGUGGACUCGCACGGGCGUCUGGGCGCGUAGGUGAGGCGAGAAUGGGCUACAGGGCGAAGGUCGGCGCGGGACAAAAGCGGGAGCGCGACGCGGGCGAGGGCGAGUAGCGCGCGGGCUGAGCGUGGCAGGUGCGGGACCGAGACGGCAGUGCGCGACGAGCGCGGCAGAACGGAGCAGGGCAAGGCGGAGCACCGUGUUAGGGCCGCAGCCAGGGGGUGCACCCCGGUGUCAGCGAGUAUUACCAGUGGGGCGGCAGCAAUGCUGCGGGGCGACAACGAUGUUGGCGAGCACGGGAAGAGGCGGCCACAAGACGCAGCGGCGGCACGGCCAUGCGCGGGUGCACGCGCACGAGGGACGGGAAGUGAGAGGACCGGGGUCCUCACCGUCCGUUGGAGGGAAGGGGGCGUCGAGGCGCGAUGGCGACCGUUGAGGGGGAGGACAGGUACGGUCCGACAAGGGAGAGGCGGUAGAGUUGCGCCGGCAUGGUGACGGAGCACGGCAGCGACGGGAUGUGCGGGGCCUCGAAGGCUCGAAUACAUAAGCUCAAAUACACAAGAGUCCACGGAAGCAUCAAUAUCUGAGCACAGACACAAGUUAGACAAGAUUGCCUUAAGAAGGCUAGCACAAAAGCAACAAUGAUAAAAAAGGCAAGGCCUCUUGCCUGGGAGCCUCCUAACUACUCCUAGUCGUCUGCGAUCUUCACGUAGUAGUAGGCAUCCUCCGGGUAGUAGUAGUCAUCAGUGGCAUCGUCCGGCUCCUGGGAUCCGUCAUCUGGUCGCAACAAUCGAUUAUGGGGGAAUAAGAAGUAGCAAAGCAACCGUGAGUACUCAUCCAAAGUACUCGCAAGACUUACAUCAGAUCUAAACUAAGUAUGCAUCUGUAUCAAUGGAAUACGUUGUAUCUGUGGACUAAACUGCAGAAUGCCAGAAGAGAAGGGGAAAGCCUAGCCUAUCAAAGACUAGAAUCUUCUGGAAACCACCAUCUUGCAGCAACAGGAGGGAGUAGGGUAGCAUAAAGUAAUGUAGUAGAAGUGUUAUCAACCUCGGCCAGAGAUCCUUUCUCGACUCCCUCCAAGGAAGCAAUCCCACAGCCAUACUAUCCAGUUAUCAUCUCAUAUCCAUGUCUCAUCUCAAGUAUCCAGUUCUAGUUGUAUCGAUCGGGAUACAACUCCAAGUGCCCGUUACCAUAGGACAGGCUAUCGAUAGAUGUUUUCUUCCCUGCAGGGGUGCACCAACUUACCCACCAUGCUCGAUUAACUCCAGCCGGACACACUUUCCUGGGUCAUGCCCGACCUCGGCCAAACAAUAUGCCGCAACCAUACCUAGGCUUAAUAGAGAAGUCAAGCACGCCGGACUAAACCUAUGUCCCAAGGGGUCAUGGGCCAUCUCCCCCGGAACUCCUGCACGUUGCGUAUGCGGCCGGUGAGAAGACCUAGCUACCUCCUUCAACAAGGUAGGAGCUCGAAUACAUAAGCUGUCGACCGGGGUCCUCACCGUCCGUUUGAGGGAAGGGGGCGUCGAUGUGCAAUGGUGACCGUUGAGGGGGAGGACGGGGACGGUCCGACAAGGGAGAGACGGUAGAGCGGCGCCGGCGUGGUGACGGAGCACGGUGGCGACGGGAUGCGUGGGAUCGAGCUCCUCCCCGAUCGAGAACCUAUCGUGGGAGUGGGGUUCGGGGAGGAGAACAAGGAGGCGAGGCGCCAUCAACGGGGCAGCACCGGGGAUGGGCGCCGGCAUGGAGGCGCGGGGCAGCGCGGUCAACGGAGUUGCUGCGGCGGCGGACGGCCCGAGCCAAAUCGAGUCGCGGGGUGGGGGAAGAGGAGCGAGGGGAUCAGGAGGAGUGGGGGUGGAUAAGGAGGCCCGGCUGGGCCUGGUGGGCCGGCCGGUGCGGUGUCCAGCUGGGCCAUUCGGCCCAGCUUGGAGGGGUUGUUUCUUUCUUUUUUUUCAUUUAAAUUUGUAUCUUUUCUGUUUGACAUUUUUAGCCUCAGUUUUGCAUUUUCUUUUAGUACCAAAUAAGUUUUGUUUUGAACAAAACUUGGCACAUAAAUCUAACACAAUACCUUGAGAUGGAAUAAAAAGUUUGGGGUCAAGAGGAGUUGUCUAAUCAUUUUUAGAAAUUUGAAAAGGCCAAUUUUCAAACUUGCUGGACCACUAAAUAAUUUCCAUGAGCACUUUCAGAAUCUAAAAGAGGUUGGUUCCAACAUGACAAAUACCUAGGGAUCAUUUGCCACACUUUGAACAUUUUAGUUUUCAGGUUUGGCAAAUAUGAAUUUUUGACUUUAGAUUGGAUUUGAAUUUGAAUUGUGAUUUGGAUCAAGUGAAGAUUAGCAACAGUAACAUGAUGACAUGGCACCAUUAACAGGGGAUUACUGUAGCAUGACACUGGGGGUGUUACACUAUGCUAUCUGAUGAAGUGCAUAUCUUGCUAGUUACGGAUAGCUCCUCAGAGGAGGAUUCAGAGACAUAUGACCAGUCCUAUUCCCGCCGAGGUGUAUGCUCUAACUUAGCAGGGUUAUGUUGCUCAUAUCGUGUGUAUGUGUCUUGCAUUGCUAUGUCAUUUGAUUAGUUUAGACAUGCUUCGCGUCAAUGCCACGUGUUUAGUGUCUAAUUACCAUGUAUGUGAAUUAUGCAUUGCCAUCUUGUUGCAAGACAUUAUAUAUGUGAAUUAUGCACUGCUAUCUUGUUGCAAAGGCAUUAUAUAUGUGAAUUAUGCAAUGCCAUGUUGUUUAGCCAAUCAUCAUUUAUGUGAAUUAUAUCAUGCUAUCAUUUUUCUAUAUUACGUUUUCCAUUUGUCGACAACGUUUGUAUCAUAAACUACUCUUCCUGUGCAUCAGCCAUUUGAAGCGGUGAUGGAAGUAUCUGGAGUAAAAACAAGGUAUUCAGAGCAGAUAGUGCUACCUGCUGAAGCAGAAAUCUUGCUGGUUACAAAGAGCUUCUCGGAGGAGGAUUUAGGGACUAAUCAUUAGUCCUAUUUCCCCCCUACGGAGGAGGGUUAUAUUACCCAUGUCAUGCAUGUUGUCUUUCAUUGCUUAGUUUUUACAUCAUAUAUGGAUUGCCAUCUACUUACUUGCUUACUAUGUAAAUCAUGUAUUUGAAUUAUAUCAUGCCUUCAUGUUUACAUACACAGCAUCUAUCUGAAUUAUGGCAUGGCAACCCAUUUAAUAAAGACAUCAUAUAGUUAUAUCAUCUCAUCAUGUUUAGUGUUUAUAGUCAUCAUAUUUUAAAUUAUGUCAUUCUAUCCGUGAAUUAUAUCAUGCUAUCAUGUUACCAUAGGCGGCAUGUAUGUGAAUUAUGGAAUGCCAACCUAUUUAAUAAACACAUUAUAUAGUUAUAUCAUGUUAUCUUGUUUACAUAGUCAUCAUAUUUUGAACUACGUCUUUCCAUAUUUUUUUAGUUAGCCAUCAUAAUGUGAAAUUGUGUCAUGCUAUCAUGUUUGGUUAGGCAUCAUAUAUGUGAAAUUAUGUCAUGCUAUCCUGUUUGGUUAGACAACAUAACUGUGAAUUAUUUCAUGCCCUCUUUUAUUCCCCACUGUCCAUUGCACCCGUCUACCAUACAAUGUUUGUACAUCCAAUUACUUUUCUUGUUUAUCAGCCAUUUGAAUUGGAGAGGGUGAUGGCAGUAUCUAAGGGAGUAACAACACGGUUUUCAGAAAAGAUAGUGCUACCAGUUGAUGCAGAUAGAACCACAUUUGUACUUGCCAAAGAACCAGCCCCACCACACAUAACCCAGACUCUCACAGAUUGUACCCCUACUCAAUUGGACAGAGAACCAGCUACACCGCUUCUAACCCCAACCCAAGAAGAUAGUAACCCAGUUCCAGUUGACACAACACCGUCUCCACCAUACAGCACCCAAACAUAAGCAGUUAGUAAGGGAACUGCAGUGCCCAAAGCACGAGGACCACCACUCCGAGUCCCAACUCAAUGCUUAAAGGAGAAGAAGAAUUGUUCUCAAGUCAGGUUCUGUAGGUAUGGUUCAUACUCCUUCGCUCUUGCAUCAUUAUAUUUACUCAUACCAACUAUUUUCAAAUUUGAAGGAUGGAAUUGAAACUCCAAUGGCACAAUAGGUAUGUUUUAAACCGGUUUAUUUAACUGGUUUGCUGUUGUAAAUUGUUCUAUGUUGAUUUCAGUUUCAAUUGAAUAAACAGUUAUGUUCUCCCGUCAUGCACAUUACAAGUGUUGUUAUUGCUCUAAAGUUUCCCACACAUAUAUUCUUACUAUUCCGCUUUGUCUUGAACAAAUAUUAUUUGAACAGUGUCUCAAUCUUGAUUUGGCAACAAAAACUAGAAUGAUAUAGACCAUAAAGUGACCAUGGUACAUAGAUAUAUGUUUGUUUCAUGUUGUAAUCAUGUCCACUUUACUACUGAACUGAUUUACCGAAAUGACUUCCAUAUACAACAUGGUAAACCUAUGAUGUGUCUGCUUGUUUCUCUUUCAGAAUGUAGACAACAUAUUGGAGAAUAGUACCCCGUUAUGCAAUGGUAAAGGAAGUAAUGCAGAUAAGGUUCAAGAUAGUGAGACAUCCUUGUUGGUCUCCAAGAAAGCUGAUAAAAACAAUCUUGAUGAUAGUGAGAGAACCCAAAAGUCCUGUCUUGAUGUAGUGUUCGAGUUACUGGCCACUACUGCUGGCACUAGCUCUUCGAACUCACUACCUGAAUCAGUUCGUCUUCUUGAGUCUCAACUUCAAGUUAAAAGUCAUCGAUUAGAUGUGCUGCGACAGGAAGCUGAAGGACUGAGGAAGUCCCUGCAGAAUUCAGAUGCAUACUUUCUGGUGCAACACCAAGCGCUAGAGGAUUUACCCGCCGAACAAGAGAAAGUUAAUAAGCUUGCUAAGCAUCUUGCGAGCAUUAUGGGUACCCAGGAUAUUGUUUCUUGAGCUCUUCUGAAGUGGUUUCAGUUCUGAACUUGUCUUGCUGCGGCGUUUAUUUGCACUGGUCGUGUAACACCCCGGAUGUAACUUGCCAUAUUUUUAACUUUGACUCUGCCAUUUUUGGCUUUAAGUUAUGAGAUUCCUUCCGUGGUUGGGUUUUUGUCUUCGUUUUGCUUUUUGUUCAGGUCAUGCAUUUCAUAUCAUGUCAUCAUGUGCAUCGCAUUUGCAUUCGUGUUCGUCUCAUGCAUCCGAGCAUUUUGCCCGUUGUCCGUUUCGCAAUCCGACACUCCCACGUGCACCGACGCACCCCUCUUGUCUCUUUUCGUGAGCGGGUGUUAAACGUUCUUGGAAUGGACCAAAAUUUGUCAUGUGGCCUUGGUACACCACCGGUAGACCGCCUGUCAAAUUUUGUUCCAUUUGGAGCCUGUUUGUACCCCAACGGUUAACAGGGUAACCACAAAAGCCUCUUGUGUGUUGCAGCCCAACACCCCUCCAAAACAGCCCAAUAACCCAUCUAAACCAUCUCCAUGUCCUCAAUUUCCAUGUCGCGGUCAGCCCUAGUCCGCGAGGUGAUAUUUUCCACUAAGUCCCGAACCCCAUGUUAUUUUUAUUCCCUGUUUAUCAUGCCGUAUCUCGGUGACCGUGACUCUGAUUCAUGCAUAUGAUAUGGCGAAUUGUUCAUCUCAUUGUGCUCUUCAUGUUAUAAGCUUUUCCAUGCAUGAUACUGCCCAUUAUGAUGCCUUUUUCAUUGUUGCAAAAGUGAUAUAAAAUGUUAACUGGUGGUACUUAUCAGAUCAUGAGGUUUUGUCAUUUUUGUUGCAUUUGAUGUGUGCGUCGUAUGAGCUUGAGUUCUACAUGUGUUUUGAAAUACAACAUGCCAUAUUUACAGGGGUGAUUGUUUCGUAUUUUCGUGAUCUAUGUGGUGACUAGCACAAGCAUGCACAAUAGGUUGCACAAUGUUGCUGUUUUCACGGACAUAGGAUUUUGCCGUCUUUUCCCUGCUGUUAUUUUGAUGCUAUGUAAACUUGAUGCUACAGUGAGAUCCAUGCUUAUUUUGAGAUACUUCAGUAAGGAUGUUUUGAACAUGUGGUUAUGCGAUAUCCAUCGCUGCCCCUGUUUGCAAUUAUGGAGUUAUUUAGCAUGUCAUUUGCUUGCUCUACUUUUGCUAUAAAAUGUUCCUGGCAGAAUGUUAACAUGUUAAUCAAUAUUUCCAAGGUUGUUGCUAGUGAUCCAUGCAUCCUAUGAACUUUAUCUUGCCAUGGUUAGCUUCAUGAACAUGUCAGAUUUCUACUGGUAUGUUUAUAUUGUCAUGCAAUACUUUAUGGUGAGUGGCAUGAGCUCGCAAAGUUUCUAUCGUGAAUUUGUUUAUGCCAUGCUCUGUUUUUCUGCUAAGUCUGAAACUGUUAAUAAAUCUUACUAUGUUUACAUGGGUGCCAUCAUAUCUUCUGUGCCUUUUUGGCUCAUGUUCAGUAAGGGACUUUUGUUCUAUGCAUAUAGUAGAAUCAUGCCAUGCCUUGUUUUGCUAUGAUUUGUUCUUGUAGCAUGUUGUUUGCUUGCUCUAGACAUUGCUUCCUCAUGUUGUUUUUGACAUGUUAGUAUUUUCACCAAGUCUGUGAAGCUGAUAUCUUUUGCACUUUUUCCAUGCUUGUUUGAAACUGUUCUAGUGUGAUUUAGCCGUAGCUCAGUGUUCUUGUUUUGUCACAGAUCUCUUGUACAUCACUGCCAUAUGCUUUGUUGAUAUGUUGGAGUGCAGUAGCUUAGUUUCUUGUUGCAUUCUAGGUGGCAUCAUGCUGUUAAUCGCAGAAUAGCACCAUUCUUGUUUUGCUUGCCUUUUGCAAACCGUGCAUCCAUUUCCGGCUAUCCUUAUAUCGUUUUCGACCAAAAUCAUCUCAUCUUUCCAGCGGCAUACUUGGUUUGCCAAUUUGAUGCCUUGAUCAUUCUUUCUCUUCCGGAGCACGCAUAUGCAUUGCAUAUCUUAUCUUGCAUAUUGCCAUGUUUUGCAUCAUGUUGCUUGUGCAUUGCACCGGGAUUGAUUGUUGUUCCUUUGCUUGUGUUCUUGCCUUGGGUAGAGCCGGGAGACGAGUACAUGAACAAGGAACCUGUUGAGUAUGCUUUCGAGGAUCAAGCUUUCGACAACUCUGAGAACUUUGCAGGCAAGAUGACCAUAGCCUCGAAAUCACUUUUAUCUUUGCUUGCUAGUUGUUCGCUCUAUCGCUAUGUCACACUACCUACCACUUGCUUAUCAUGCCUCCCAUAUUGCCAUGUCAAGCCUCUAACCCACCUUUCCUAGCAAACCGUUGUUUGGCUAUGUUACCGGUUUUGCUCAGCCCCUCUUAUAGAGUUGCUAGUUGCAGGUGAAGUUGAAGUUUGUCCAUGUUGGAACAUGGAUUUUGUUGGGAAAUCAUUAUUAUAUCUUAUUUAAUUUAAUGCAUCUAUAUACUUGGUAAAGGGUGGAAGGCUCCGCCUCAUGCCUGGUGUUUUGUUCCACUCUUGCCGCCCUAGUUUCCGUCAUAGCGGUGUUAUGUUCCUUGAUUUUGUGUUCCUUACGCGGUUGGGUGUUAUGGGAACCCCUUGACAGUUUGCUUUGAAUAAAACUCCUCCAGCAAGGCCCAACCUUUGUUUUAACAUUUGCCACCUAAGCCUUUUUCCCUUGGGUUCCGCAGACUCAAGGGUCAUCUUUAGUUUAAACCCCCGGGCCAGUGCUCCUCUGAGUGUUGGUCCAAACUGGGUGAUGUCCGGCGCCCCCUGGGUAACCAGGGUCUAUGCCAACCUGACGUCUUGCCCAUCAGGCGUGCCCUGAGAAUGAGAUAUGUGCGACUCCUAUCAGGAUUUGUCGGCACAUCGGGUGGCUUGCUGGUCUUGUUUUACUAUUGUCAAAAUGUCUUACAACCGAGAUUCCGAGACUGACCCGGUCUUUCCGGGAGAAGGAAUUUCCUUCGUUGACCGUGAGAGCUUGUUAUGGGGUAAGUUGGGACACCCCUGCAGGGUAUAAACUUUCGAGAGCUGUGCCUGCGGUUAUGUGGCAGAUGGGAAUUUGUUAAUAUCCAGUUGUAGAGGACUUGACAAUUAACUUAAUUAAAAUGAAUCAACCGCGUGUGUAGCCGUGAUGGUCUCUUUUCGGCGGAGUCCGGGAAGUGAACACGGCCUUGUGUUAUGCUUGAAUGUAAGUAGUUUCAGUAUCACUUCUAGCUUCUCGACCAUGCGUUUCUUAUCUUCUCACUCUUAUUUGCGUAUGUUAGCCACCAUAUAGCUAGUGCUUGCUGUAACUCCACCUCACUACCCUUUCCUACCCAUAAGCUUAAAUAGUCUUGAUCUCACGGGUGUGAGAUUGCUGAGUCCUCGUGACUCACGGAUACUUCCAAACAGUUGUAGGUGCCGAGGAUAACAGUGCAGGUGACGAUACCGAACUCAAGUGGGAGUUCGACGAGGAUUCAGGCCAUUACAAUGUUUCUUUUCCGGAUGAUCAGUAGUGGAGCCCAGUUGGGCAAUUCGGGGAUCUAGCACUUGGGGUUGUCUUCUUUUAUUUUGGUUCCGUAGUAAGACCUUUGAUUGUAGUUUGGAUCUUGUAUGGAUUAUUUAUGUUUUGAGUGAAGUGGCGAUUUUAAGCCAAUCUUUAUCCCUUUGUUAUUACAUGGGAUGUGUGAAGAUUACCCUUCUUGCGACAAGCCUACCAUGCGGCUAUGACUCUAAGUCAUGCCCCGACACGUGGGAGAUAUAUGUCGGAGUAAAUAACCAUGGGUAGACUAGCCGGCUCCCCCUGUCCCUUCUGAAAAAAUUACGAGCCGAUUCGGCCCUCAAGGAUCCAAGACACAGGGCCGCCUUCCCCUUGCCGGCUGUCUCCAGGCCGGCUAUCGGAAGGCGGCCCGACUUCAGCCCUCAUGAAGAAAAGCCACGGGAGGGCCGGCUCCGAGAAGCCGGCCGCGAGAAGGCCGACUCCAAGAAGCCGGCUCCCAUAAAGCGGUCAAGAUUGUACCCUCGAAGUCUGCAUCCACAUAACGACGAUGUGAAGGGGCGUGGCUACAGUGAAGCCUGGCCACCCCCGAAUCCCGGAGCACGCCUUGCACAGUCCGCCAUACGGGUGGCCAUGACCCAUCCGGUGCAGCACUGUUGCCAGGUUGACCCUGAUGUCAUCCACGACGGGCUACCAGUACGGCCCACGGGCGGUGGGCCCCUUCAGGCAGAGAGACACCCGAAGGCGGCCAGACCUCCCCCAGUCGGCCCAAGAUAGAGCCGGCUCCCCAUAGCUGGCUUGCCACCUCCCUCGAAGAAGACGUCCCAUUAAGGAGACAAGACGCGGUGGGGCUACAGUGAUCGCCCGCCGGGCGGCGGCACUGUAGCCACGCCCACUUCGGUGAAGCCCUCGCCACCAAGAUUGAGCACCAGUAACCAGCCGCUGACAAGGCCCUGACAGUGGGGCCUGCCUGUCGACCAAGGAGCUGGCAGCCGGCGGGACCCACUAGCCGGCGGGCCCCAACAGCCGGCGCAGAAGCCGGAGAGCGUAGACACAGACGGCUGGGCCCCGCACCCAGCCGGAUUACCAUUGUACCCCUGGGGGGUAGGCCUAUAUAAACCCCCCGGGGCAUCCAUGCAAAGAGAGAUCAAUCCCUGCUAGUCUCAGACACCAGAUAGGGAGGAGAAGAGAGCAAGCUGUGCCCUUCUUCCUCCUCUCGCCAAACAGCUCAAGGAGCACCGUGUAGCUACUUGUUCAUCUAGUGACCACGCGGAGACCCCGCAGAGCAGCAGUAGGGGUGUUAUCUCCACGGAGAGCCCCGAAGCUGGGUAAGAUUCGCCGGCGUGCAUGUCUUCGCCUCAUCCCGUUUCCAGGCACCGGCGACGUCUUACUGGCUCCCACAAUGAUAAGCCACCCGUUGGCAUAUGUCGCACCUACCACCCGACAUUUGGCGCCCACCAUGGGGCCAGGUGCACCGCCGUCCGGAGACCUGUUCUGGACGGGAACCCUCUUCCUCCCCCGCGAGCGUAGCCAGCCCGGCACGCCCGAUGGCGCUUGCCACGACGCGCUACAAGGUGUCACCAACAUCUGUGCGGCGAGAAGCCUCGCCGAUCUCCUUGACAAGACUCUCAUCUCUGACGAGCUCGCCUCCGACACGGGCACCGACCACCUCGUCAACCUCCUCGGCCAGCUCCACGUCUCCGGCGAGCCUGCCGUGGACUUGGAGUUGGUUGGCUCCACUGAUCCGAUGCCUGUCGACUCCGACACGGCCUCACUCGACACGUUCCCCACCAACGUCGCGAUCUACAACGGCCCGCUUCCCCGGGCCGAUGGCUGCAACGCUGUCACCACCGAGGUGAUGGUCAUCGGCCAUGGCGGCGCUUCUGACGAGAGCACCCACGACGCCCCGCACGCGGCGGUCCACGACUUGUCCAUCCCCCUCCCGGCCGAUGCCGACGCUGAAGCACUGGAAGCUCGCCGCCUUGCCCUCCUCACGGAGGGCCGGAAGUUGGUUUCCAUGAGACGCCUCACGGAGGCCCACCGAUGCGAGGCCGACCGCGCCGCCUUUGGCACGCCGCACCCAGGCGGGCCUAGCCGGGCCGGCGUUGUCAGACAGCGCGACGCUGUCGUCGCCGAUACGCUAGGAGUCGACCGCCCAGUCUAUGCUACUCCACUCGAGAACCUGCGCGCCGCCUAGGCGGCCGUAGACGAGCUAGAUGGACUGGGGGCCGAAGAACUCCCCCACAUGACCCGACGCAUCCAAUAGCUGAUCGAUGCAGCCGCGCAGCGGCACGAAGCCGACGCACGCGCGGAAAGCCCUCCCCCGCGCCGAGAUCAUGGCGCGAUGUCCCGGACGCCGACUACGGGUAAAACCCGCGGGCGACGCGAUAAAGAACCGGCUGCCAGCCGAAGCCGAACCCGAAUCUCCAUCGAGCGAGACGCAGAAGGCCACCCCCGGGCCGUGGAGUGGUGGGGCAACCCGCCUCCGCCCCAACCCCAUGGAGAGAGAUAUCCCACCCUGCCACCUGUUGUGCAUCCGACUCUCAGCGGCCGGCUAGGUCGCCGUGAAGGAGUCGGCGAGAACGACGCCCACCAUCGGAUCGACCGCCUGGCGCGAUCCCUGGCGCUAGAAGAAGAAGACGAUGUCAGCCCGCCUUGCUUUGGCCCCCGCAUCCGCGACGAGCCUUUCCCCAAAGGGUUCUCGCUCCCAAGAGACACGCCCAAGUACAAUGGCUCCGUGAAGCCGGAAGAUUGGUUGAUCGACUACUCCACGGCGGUUAGCAUAGCCAACGGCAACAGGUGCGUUGCCGUGAAGUAUGUGCCCCUCAUGUUGCAGGGCAGGGCGCGGACCUGGCUCAAGAGCCUCAAGCUAUACAGCAUCAACAGCUGGCUAGACUUCACAGAAGCCUUCGUCCGCAACUUCACCAGCACCUACAAGAGGGCUCCCAAGCCCAGACAGCUCUCCUUGUGCGUACAAGGCCCCGCCGAGUCCACUCGCGACUACCUCACACGUUGGGCCGAGCUCCGCAACUCUUGCGAAGGGGUGCACGAGGUGCAAGCCAUAGAAUACUUCACUGCCGGGUGCCGAGAAGGCACCCUCCUCAAGCACAAGAUCCUCUGCGACGAGCCGACUACCCUCGACGAGCUUCUGAUCAUAGCGGACAAGUACGCCACCGCCGACUCCUCGAUGAAGACUGAACUCCGGGUAGACGCGUCCGGAAAGGUACUCAACCUGGCGCCCAAGACGCCGACUGGGGACUCCGGCCGACGCCCCCAUCAGAAUGACAACAAGCGCAAGGGCCCGGUGCCGCCCUCCACCAGUCGGCAGGUGGCCACAGUCGAAGACGAGCAGCCCGAAGCGCGGCCCGCACCAAAGAAGCAGAGGGGCGGCAAGCCGGCUUGGUAGUCGGCCUUCUCCUACGAGCAGACUCUCGACGCCCCAUGCAAGUUCCACAGCGGAGCGAAGCCGUCCAACCACACGACCCGGAAGUGCCACUAGCUCACCCGAAUCUCUAAAGGCGAAGGGCUCGCACCGCCUCCGCCUGCCGGUCCGCCGCCUCCGGCUCCGCAGCCGCCGGCCGCUCAGCCCGCAGUCGGAGCCGUGCACGAUGAGUUCCCCGACGAGCAUGCCGCCUAUAUCAUGUUUACAAGUCAGCCCGAAGACCGGCGCAGCAAACGCCGAGAGCACCAAGAAGUCAGCAUGGUUGCUGCCAACCCCGCCGAGCACAUGCACUUGUCAGAAAAACCUACCAGCUGGAGCCGGACCGACCACCCAGAGGUGAUGCCGUCUCCCGGCUCUUAUGCGUUGGUUUUGGAUGCCACCCUUGCAACGGAUAGACGCGCUGCCCAAUUCUCCCGCGUGCUGAUAGACGGCGGGAGCAGCAUCAACAUCCUGUACUGUGACACCAUGGAGAAGCUGAAUGUCAAGACGAAGCAACUCAUGCCUACUCGGACUGUGUUCCAUGGCAUCGUACCCGGCCUGUCCUGCGCCCCCAUUGGCAAGAGCAAGAUUGAUGUACUUUUUGGGGACAAGGAGCAUUUCCGCCGGGAAGCGAUCUGGUUUGAAGUGGUGGACCGGGAGAUCCCUUACCAUGCAUUGCUUGGCCGACCUGCCUUGGCCAAGUUCAUGGCAGUUCCCCACUAUGCAUACCUCAAGAUGAAGAUACCGAGCACCAAAGGCGUCAUCACCGUAGCCGGCAAUUACAAGAUGUCCUCUGAGAGCGCAGCAGCCAGCAGCCGGCUGGCCGAGUCCCUUGUGAUUGCCGAAGAAAAGAAGAUGUUGGACCGAGUCAUGGCCAUGGCCGGAGAGCAGUCGGCCUUGUCCCCUGAUCCCAAGGAGCAUGAUGCUCAAGGAUCUUUCCAGCCGGCCAAGGAGACGAAGAAGAUACCUCUUGACCCCGAGCACCCAGAGAGGUUUGCCGUCAUCGGGGCAAACCUAAACAGCAAAUAGGAAGGCGAGCUCGCCAAUUUCCUGCGUGAGAAUCGGGACAUCUUUGCAUGGUCCCCCAAGGACAAGCCGGGCGUUCCGAAGGAAUUCGCCGAGCACAAACUACACGUCCGAGAAGACGCCAAGCCAGUCAAACAACCCCUCCGCCGACUGUCGGAGGAGAAACGCAGGAUUGUGGGAGAGGAGAUAGCCCGACUUCUGGCAGCCGGCUUCAUUAUGGAAGUUUUCUUUCCAGAGUGGCUCGCCAACCCGGUCCUCGUGCUAAAGAAGAACAACAAGUGGUGCAUGUGUAUAGACUACACGAGCCUCAACAAGGCCUGCCCCAAAGAUCCCUUUGCCCUGCCAAGGAUUGACCAGGUGAUAGACUCCACGGCCGGAUGCGAGCUGUUGAGUUUCUUGGAUGCUUACUCAGGGUAUCACCAGAUAAAGUUAGAUCUGGCAGACCGCCUGAAGACCGCCUUCAUCACGCCAUUCGGAGCCUUCUGCUACCUGACUAUGACAUUCGGCUUGUGAAAUGUCGGUGCCACUUUUCAGCGUUGCAUGCAGAAGUGCCUCCUCAAGCAACUCGGCAGAAAUGCCCACGUCUACGUAGACGACAUUGUGGUGAAGACGGAGAAGCGCGACACCUUGCUGGAAGACCUCAAGGAAACAUUUGAGAACCUACGCCGGUUCCAAAUCAAGCUUAACCCCGAGAAAUGCAUGUUCGGAGUGCCAGCCGGACAGCUCCUAGGCUUCCUGGUCUCCGAACGCGGCAUCGAAUGCAACCCAGUAAAGAUCAAGGCCAUUGAGAGAGUGGCGAUUCCCACCAAACUUCGAGACGUCCAGAAGUUUACCGGAUGCUUGGCCUCCCUGAACCGCUUCAUCAGCCUGCUCGGAGAGAAAGCUCUUCCCCUCUACCGCCUCAUGAAGAAGACCAACCACUUCGAGUGGAAUGACCAAGCUGAUCAAGCUUUUCACGAGCUGAAGAAGAUGCUGGCCACGCCGCCUGUCCUGGCGGCGCCGACAGAGAAAGAGCCCAUGCUCCGCUACAUUGCCGCAACCAGCCGGGUGGUCAGCACCGUCAUCGUAGUCCAACGCCCAAAAGAAGGCCGAGCCUAGCUGGUCCAGAGGCCGGUGUACUAUUUGAGCGAGGUGUUGUCUACCUCGAAGCAAAACUACCCGCACUACCAGAAGAUGUGCUACAGCGUGUACUUCGCCGCCAAGAAGCUGAAGCCCUACUUCCAAGAGCAUCCCAUCACGGUUGUAUGCACCGCCCCGUUGGCCGAGAUCAUAGGCAGCCAGGAUGCAUCCGGCCGGGUGGCGAAAUGGGCCAUCGAGCUGGCCCCCUAUACGAUCUUCUACCAGCCUCGCACCGCCAUCAAGUCCCAAGCAUUGGCCGGCUUCCUCGUCGACUGGGCCGAGACCCAGUACCUACCACCGGCUCCCGACUCCACUCAUUGGCGCAUGCACUUCGAUGGGUCCAAGAUGCGCACCGGCUUGGGAGCCGGCGUCAUCCUCACCUCUCCCAAAGGCGACAAGCUCAGAUAAACGCUGCAAAUUCACUUUGCCGCCUCCAACAACGUGGCCGAGUACGAGGCGCUCAUACACGGGCUCCGGCUUGCCAAAGAACUCGGCAUUCGCGGGAUCCUAUGUUAUGGCGACUCGGACUUGGUGAUCCAGCAAUCAUCCGGCAACUGGGAUGCCAAGGACGUAAAUAUGGCAAGCUACCGCUUCCUCGUUCAGCAGAUCAGUGGGUAUUUUGAAGGAUGUGAGUUCCUCCACAUACCACGAGCCGACAACGAGCCAGCUGAUGCCCUGGCUCGAAUAGGCUCCACUCGGCAAGCAAUACCAACCGGUGUCUCUCUACAACGCCUCCUCAAGCCGUCUAUCAAGCCGUCUCCAGAGUCCGAUUCCAUCUUCGUGCCGCCUGACCCCGACGUAGCCGGCUCGAAGAACCAAGCAGGUGACCUGGGGACUUCGAUAGUCGGCCAGGGGGUAUCAGCAGGCGGCUCGAGGACUUCCGUAGUUACGCCCGACCCGGGGACUGCCUCACCCGGCUCGAGGACUGCGGUAGUCGGCCCGGAGACUACACCAACACAACAGGCGGCGGCCGACUCCAGCAUUUCACCGCCCAGCCCGCCCGCCCUGGUCGCAGUAGCCGUUUUGGCAAUAGAAGAAGUCACAGCUCCGUCAUGGGCUCAAUCCAUCCUCAACUUCGUAAUAAACCAAGAUCUGCCGGCUGACAAAGUAGAGGCAAGACAAGUCCAACGCUGAGCCGGAGCAUACACAAUCGUCAACAGAGAACUUGUCAAGCGCAGUGUCACUGGAGUCCUCCAGUGAUGCAUCGAGCAAGAGAAGGGCAUUGCAAUCCUCAGAGACAUCCACCAAGGAGAAUGCGGCCACCAUGCGGCCUCAAGAUCACUCGUUGCCAAAGCCUUCUGCCACGGUUUCUUUUGGCUGACUGCUUUGGAUGACGCCAAGGAGUUAGUUAAACAUUGCAAAGGGUGCCAACUCUUCAGCUCCAACCAACACAUGCCGGCUUCAGCACUCAAGACCAUUCCCCUCACUUGGCCCUUCGCCGUUUGGGGAUUGGACAUGGUGGGCCCAUUCAAGACGGCGCGCGGCGGCAUGACACAUCUGCUUGUCGCCCUGGACAAAUUCACCAAAUGGAUUGAGGCAAAGCCGAUCAAGAAGCUGAAUGGGCCGACUGCCGUGACAUUUAUCGUAGAUAUAACAACUCGGUACGGCGUGCCACACAGCAUCAUCAUCGACAAUGGCACGAAUUUCGCCAAGGGAGCCUUGGCACGUUUCUGCGCGACACAAGGCAUCCGGUUGGACCUAGCGUCCGUCGCCCACCCGCAGUCAAACGGCCAGGUCGAGCGAGCCAACGGCCUCAUCCUUUCCGGCAUCAAGCCCUGACUGAUCGUACCACUAGAGCGUUCAGCCGGCUGUUGGCUCGAUGAGUUGCCGGCUGUCCUCUGGAGUCUGCGCACUACACCAAACAAGUCAACCGGCUUCACUCCUUUCUUCCUUGUAUAUGGUGCCGAGGCGGUCAUCCCAACUGACACCGAGUUCGACUCGCCUCGGGUAACCAUGUACAUGGAAGCCGAGGCCAAGGAAGCACGAGAAGACGACAUCGACCUGCUGGAAGAAGGCCGGCUGUUAGCCCUCAGCCGGCCCGCCAUCUAUCAGCAGGGCAUGCACCGCUACCACAGCCGGAAGAUCAAGCCAAGAUCCUUCCAAGAGGGCGAUCUUGUGCUCCGGCUGAUCCAGCGAACAGCCGGCCAGCACAAGCUCUCGGCCCAUUGGGAGGGCCCCUUCGUCAUCAGCAGAGCCUUAGGCAACGACUCCUACUACCUGAUCGACGCGCAGAAGCCGAAGGCACGAAAGAGAGACGACUCCGGCAAGGAGUCGGAACGACCAUGGAACGCCAACCUCCUCCGAAGGUUUUACAGUUGAAAUGCAGUAUGUAUCACGCUAACUUUUGUACUAAGUACGAGACAAUAGGCCCCCCGAGGAGAGCUCGGGGACUGCCAUCUUUUGUCUAUGAUGAAAAGUAUCAUGCUUAUGGCCUUGUCAUUGCAUUCACUUUUUUCUGCCCAGCACCGGGUUCGACUAGUCGGCCCGGGGACUGGCCGCCUGGAGUUAUAUUAGAAGUCCUACCCGCAGUCAGACAAGUAGUGUGCCGGCUCCUAAGCCUUCUCUUGCCAAAAGUCGCAGUUCAAAGAACCGGCUGUCCGGCUGGCAAGAGUUAAGGGCAGGAACGGGUGCCCACACAAAAAAUGGCUAGGGACUAAUGGACUAAUAUAACAAAAGCCGGUUUUUCUCCCAGCGCCGACCGGCUACCAGAGUAGCGGGACGGCCGGCUUCCAUUCACCUCGCUCCAAUCUAACAAAGCUCAAGUACUUGCCUUCCCAGAAGGGGAAGGCGGCAAAGGAAAUAGCCUAAGGAUAAAAAGCAUACAUGAAUGGAAACCAAACACGCAAUAAUAUUUACAUAAAAGACCUUCAAAAGGCCAGCAUUCAACAUAGUUCGAGUACACCCCCAUUGGGUGGAACUGCGCAAGUUUAAUAAAGUUGUUCAAAAGGUAACAAGCAGGAAAAAACAAGGACGGUAGACUAAGCCAAGGGAGCGACUGGUGAGUCGGGCAGGUCGGUGGAGACGGCAUGCCGACUGGAGGAGUGGCUGGCUGGCGAACCUCGGCAUGAUCACCGCCUCUCGCAGAGGGCACACUAGCACGCGCCUUGUUGCCGGAGGCACGAUCAGGCUGAGGUUGGCUGCCUGCUUCACCAGUCGGCUCAACAUCUUCGCCGUCCUCUCCUUCGUCGUCUUCGCCUUCAUCACUGGAGGCCAUCUCCUCUGCCGAGUCUUCACCCGCUGCCGGGUCCAGCCCGAACCGCCCCUCCGGCUGGGCAACGCCGUCGUCAUUGAUCUUAGGAGCGAAGACGCUGAUGUCAGUACACUCGGCGAUCGUUGAAGCGCGCUGAGCGAUAGCCGGCCGCACCUCCUCCAACUCUUCGUCGGCCUCCAGCCGCCAGGUGCGCAGCUGGUCCAGGUUCAGCCACAGAUACCAGGCUCGGACAAACUCCAGCACCCGCCCAGCCCCAAGCCGGGCUGCCGACGCCUUCCAGGCCUCGAAGCGGCCAACUUCCACCUCCAGCCAGUCCGUAGUCCGACUCGGGGUCCGGGGAAUCGUCUCGCUUGGCCAGAGGGCGGCCAACACCUGCGCCCCGGCACGCUGGAGGCGGCGGAGCAUAUGGUGAGCCGGCUGCAGCCGGGCUUGGACCGCCAAGAGCUGCUCCUCAAGCGUCCGGCUCGCAUCCGGCGCGAUUUCAGCCCCCGCCUACCGGCGUACCUCGCGAUGGGCCUCGAUGGAUUGGGUGGCAAAGACGGAGUAGCCGGGAAAGUAGUCUGCACAGAGAACAAAAAGUAGCACAAGUCAGAACACAAAUCAGGGAUCAAAGGGCAAGCAGGGAGUGAAGAAGGUGGCUUACCGUCGAUCAGAUCCUCGAUACAGCUGAAGCCCUUGCUUAGCGCCUGCUUCGCUUCAGCCCAGCCCGCCGCUUCGGUCUCGAACUCGGCCUUCAGGGCGUCCUCGUUGUCCCGCGCCUUCUUCAGGGCCGCCUUGUGGCUCUCCUCCUGGUCGGCCAACUGCUUGACCAGGCGGUCACGCUCCAGGACCAAGGCGCUGUACUCAGCUUCCUUGGCGCGAACGGUGGCCUGGGCCCCGCUGAGCUGCUCCCUCAAGUCGGCAUUGGCUCCUACAAGCAUGAAGACAAAGGAAAAAUUAAUAAGGGGAAGUCGUCAAGGAAGAUCCGACCCGGCUGCUCAACAGUCGGCCCGAAUCUCGGGGACUACACCCAGUGGGUGUGCUGACGCGCCCCCAUAGGAGAUGAAUGAGACAAACACGCACUCCGGCUGCUGGUCAGGUCCUCAGUUCUCCGGCCCAGCUCCUGAGCCUGGGAGUUGAAGGCGGCUGCGCGAAGGUUAUGAUACUCCUGGAAGAUUAUACAGGAGGCAAGGAUAAGUUAAGUUGUCAGAACCUAGUAAGUUCCAAGCCGCCUGCGCAACAGCUGGCUUGGAACUCGGGGACUACACCCAGUGGGUGCGCUGACGCGCCCCCACGGAAGAAAUCGAAAGAGCAAAAUAACCAAGGACAGAAGACUCACCCGGAUGACGGCCCGCGUCGAGAGAAACUCUUGAGUGUAUCGCUGCAGCGAGGCGGCCUGAGCUUGAAGCCGGUUCUGGACCUCCUGGGCCAUCGCGUUCAGCUUGCCCGUCCCCCCGCUGGGAGUCCACUCGGUCGUGCUGACGCUGGCCGCCUCCAGGGCCUCCGCCGUCUAGCUGGCGGCCGCUGCUCGGUGCGGUUCCGGCACGGAGGCACCACCCCCUGCGCGCCGGCGCAAUGUCGGCUGCACCUCGAGGCCGGCCCCUACCGCCGGCUCGCCCCUGGAUGGCUGCUCUGGCGCCGCAGCUGAUUGGCCAUUUGGCCCGCUCCAGUCGGCGCCGUCUGCGACGCCCCCUCCACAAAGAUCACGGGGUCCUCCCGCCUCUCCAUCACCGACGGGCCUUGGUCGACCUCCUCCGACGGGGGCAUGGGAACGUCGGGGGCCACGGCGCGGAGGGGAACAACGAGCAGCGGAGGCCGGUUGUGCGAGGCCUCCGCCUCCUUCUCCGCGGCUGCCGCCUUCGCCCGGGCCUUGGCCGCCGCGUAGGCCUGCUCCUUCGUCGCCUGGGCGGUCCUUCGCUCCGCCGCCUCCCGCUCCUCCCGCGCCUCCCGCGCGUUCCGUUCCGUGGCCUCCUUAAGGUCGGCGUGGGGAUCCACGCGGCGGGAGCUUGAGGACCCUCCAGUCGGCCCGACUACGGAGCCGCCAGGACCUCGCUCGAGAGAAAGCGGCGCCCUGACCGGCAAGAAAAGAAAGGUUUAGAAGAGUUUCUGACGAAGAAGACAAAAAAAUAUAUACGCAAGACAUUCGAGGACUUAUGCAGAGAUCACCUGCGGCUGCUUCACCGCCUUGCAGAAGCGGCCCGCCUUCGAGGCCGCCUCAUCCCGCUUGGUCGCCGCCGUGGAGGCCCUGGAUUUUUUCGGCCGGCUGCCGAAGAAGGUCGACGCGGCCUGGCGCUUCUGCGCGCCGCCACGGGCAGCCGGCACGGCAGACGAGCCCGCGCCUUGAUGAUAUGGCGCCGGCUGGCGGUGCGGGGUGACAUCGACCUCGUCGUCAUCCGGCCAGUCCUUGAAGUUGGCCCCGAGUCCCGCGCCUCUGGCCUCGUCGCCUUCCCCCAUGAUGGCGUCUUCCAUGGCGGCCACUCCCAGGUCCGGAUCGUCGGCGUCGUCCACCGUGCGGUCGGGGAGGAGCUGGCGCUCUACCCCCGCGGCCCCGGCUGUCGGCGGGAGAAGAGGGUUCUGCAAAAGGCAGACCAAUUAAUCAAGAGUCGGCUAUCAUGAGGCCGGCUACAAAAAAGGAAGAAAAGAAGAAAGAACUUACGGCAGGCGGAGGGUUGGCGCGGGAAUACGGCUCCUUGCCGUAUCGCCAAUCCUCGGCGAGAUUGCAGUUGGAGAUAUAAUUCACCAUGUAAGACACCUCUGUGUGAGGCAUCUCCCUGGUGCUCAGCCGGCACGGGUCGAAGCGGCUGCUCAUUUGGCAGAUCAUGCGAGGCCGGCCUUGGAGCGGAAGAACCCGGUGCUCCACGAAGGCGGCCACCAAGUCGGCUCCGGUCAGGCCCUCCGACUGGAUCAUCACCCGAAGCCGGGAGACGGCUGUGUUCUCGGCCUGAGACAGCGACCUGGCCCGGUAGCUCCAUGAAGGCUGCCUCCCAGCCGGCGGGCCGGCUACGUAAGCCGGCAGGUUGACGUAGUCGCCUUGCUGGGCGACGUUCUUCACGUAGAAAUAAGACUUCUGCCAAAGCUUCACCGAAUGGAUCAGCGGAAUGGACGGGAAUGGAUUGUUCUCGCUCGCCCGCCUCAUGGCAAUGAAGGCUCCGCAGGGGGCGGGCAUGCUUGCGACGACGGUGCCGAGCUUGCUUUGGAAGAACUCCCCCCAGAGCUCGAGCGUGGGGAGAACUCCAAGAAAACCCUCGCACAGGGUGACGAAGGCUAACAGCAGCAUCACCGUGUUGGGCGUGAGGUGAUGUGGCUGGAGGUGGUAGAACUCGAGGAAGGCUCGAAGGAAUCCACUCGCCAGGAGGCCGAAGCCGCACAGGAAGUGCAAGCGGAAGAUCACCUGCUCGCCCUCCUCCGGUGCCGGCGAAAUCUCCUUCGCCGGUGCUUGACGAACCCAGACAAGGUUCUCGCCGGGCAGACACCGCGUCCGGCGGAGGAACUCGACAUGGUCCUCGUGGAUGUUGGAGCCAUCCCACGAGCUCGACAGCGCCAUGGGAGCAAUGCGGCGGGGUGCAAGACGAAGCGACGGUGAAACGGCACGGCAAAGGAUUGCUGCGCCGGGGGGCAAGACGAAGCGACGGCGGAAUGGUGCGGCAAAGAGUUGCUGCGGUGAAGAGAAGAAGAAGGAGGGCGAGAAGGGGCGGAGUGAGGGAGAGCGCGCGAGCCUCUUCCGCUCCCCCUCCUCCUCCUACUUAUAGACCGCACGGCGGAGCCGAGGAGGCGCGGUGUGGGGGAACGUGGGGAUCAACUGCGCCCACUCCCCCACGUCCCGCGAUUAUUGUGCCUUGAUGGCAGAAUAAAACCGCUGCGGGAAGGCGAGGGGGCCAUGUGGGCCGCAGAAGAUCCGCGCUCGGACCGAGGCCUGCGAGUGGUGGGCCCGGGCCUGCGGCGGUGUCCCGUCGCACGCGUGCAUUGGCAGGAUUUCCUCGCCACGUGGCCCGCGUUCCCGCCUAUGAGAAACAGAUCUUUUCCGAAGACGGCGCACACGAGCAAAGCCGGCCCCUCGGGAUAGGAAGCUGACCUAGCUUCUCAUCCCUUUGUCAGCCUCGAAGCUCGAUCCGCUUUGGGGACUACUGUCGGAGUAAAUAACCAUGGGUAGCCUAGCCGGCUCCCCCUGGCCCUUCUGAAAAAAUUACGAGCCGAUUCGGCCCUCAAGAAUCCAAGACACAGGGCCGCCUUCCCCUUGCCGGCUGUCUCCAGGCCGGCUAUUGGAAGGCGGCCCGACUUCAGCCCUCAUGAAGAAAGGCCGCGGGAGGGCCGGCUCCGAGAAGCCGGCCGCGAGAAGGCCGACUCCAAGAAGCCGGCUCCCAUAAAGCGGUUAAGAUCGUACCCUCGAAGUUUGCAUCCACAUAACGGCGAUGUGACGGGGCGUGGCUACAGUGAAGCCUGCCACCCCCGAAUCCCGGAGCACGCUUGGCACAGUGCGCCGUACGGGUGGCCAUGACCUGUCCGGCACAGCACUGUUGCCAUGUUGACCCUGAUGUCAUCCACGACGGGCUACCAGUAUGGCCCACGGGCGGUGGGCCCCUUCGGGAAGAGAGACACCCAAAGGCGGCCAGACCUCCCCUAGUCGGCCCAAGAUAGAGCCGGCUCCCCACAGCCGGCUUGCCACCUCCCUCGAAGAAGACACCCCAUUAAGGAGACAAGACACGGUGGGGCUACAGUGAUCGCCCACCAGGCGGCGACACUGUAGCCACGCCCACUUCGGCGAAGCCCUCGCCACCAAGAUUGAGCAACAGUAACCAGCCGCCGACAAGGCCCUGACAGUGGGGCCUGCUUGUCGACCAAGGAGCCGGCAGCCGGCGGGACCCACUAGCUGGCGGGCCCCAGCAGCCGGCGCAGAAGCCGGAGAGCGUAGACUCAGACGGCUAGGCCCCGCGCCCAGCCGGAUUACCAUUGUACCCCCGGGGGGUAGGCCUAUAUAAACCUCCCGGGCAUCCAUGCAAAGAGAGAUCAAUCCCUGCUAGUCUCAGACACCACAUAGGGAGGAGAAGAGAGCAAGCCGUGCCCUUCUUCCUCCUCUCGCCAAACAGCUCAAGGAGCACCGUGUAGCUACUUGUUCAUCUAGUGACCAUGCGGAGACCCCGCAGAGCAGUAGUAGGGGUGUUAUCUCCACGGAGAGCCCCGAAGCUGGGUAAGAUUCGCCGGCGUGCAUGUCUUCGCCUCAUCCUAUUUCCAGGCACCGGCGACGUCUUUCUGGCUCCCACAAUGAUAAGCCACCCAUUGGCAUAUGUCGCACCUACCACCCGACAAUAUAGCUGCAUUGUGGGUGUUUUAACUUGGUAAUCAGAGCCAUCCCCGACUUAGGAGCCCCCUUCUUGAUCGAAUCACUGACGUUGUUGAGUCUAGAAGAAAAUGUUUUGAGUCUUAGGAUUAUAUAUAUCAGAGAGUAGGAUUCUGUUUACUCCUCAGUCCCUUCGUCGCUCUGGUGAGGCCUCCUGACGUAGAAGUUUUGACUCUUCUCUCCUCAAAUUUCACUAAAAAAAUUUAGGAUGACGCGGGUAUCUUGGAAUCGUUCCGACAGUCUUGUCACGAGAACAUUUUUCUUGGUGCCUCCUGACAUUUAGGGGUUGUGGCAGUGUCCUGGGGAGUUGAGCUCUGAGGUGUUGUCAUCACAAUUUUAUCGUUGCAGUUCUGGAAUACCUGAGUUCGCUGACAUUGAAAAUCUCUUUUAUGCAGUUGUUGGUGAGAGAACCUCGAUGCCACCCAGUACUGGGGAGGAGUUCGGGAGUAUUGCCAUAACUUGUAUAACAAAUGCUUUUCGAAGGUUGAGGUACAAGAUUUCCGAAGGUUUCUUGGUUAUGUGUUGAAGGAUGGAUACAGCUGGAUGUAGGAAUUGUUAGUUUGGGUGACAUAUUAUGCUUCCCCUCUAUCUGCAACACCUGAUUGCAUAAACAGAAAGUUUCGGGAGUUUUAUGGGUGGGAAUUCAAGUAGCUCUAGUUUUUCUUCCAGCAGAUAUUUGGUUUAUGAUUGGGUAAUCCUUACCACUUAUUUGUUCAUAUCCGUACCUUGUUGCUUUAUUCCUCUACCUUUAUCUAUGUGGCUUCUCACCUUAUGGACGUGUGAUUUACUUUGGAAUUCAUUCGUUUGUCCUUGUUCGAAUGUUUAUUGUGAAGACUUUAUGUUGCAAUUUCGGUCAAUUGAUUCAGCUUGAAUAUCUAUCUUUCAAAAAUUCUAACGAAUGUCACCCUCUUCAAGAUGGCUCCUCCAACGCGUCAGAAUCCGCCACCACCUCCACCUCCGGAGGCAUGGCAAGAUGUCAUGGCAGCCACCAACACCAACACUCGGAUGCUUUUACAACUCUUGCAAGAGCGCAACCAAGGGCAAGGCAACCAAGGAAAUCAAGGCCAAGGCAACAAUCAGCCUCAGUUUGCUACCCUCAACCAGUUCCUCGCAAACCAGCCGAAGUCCUUCAGCAACUGUGUCGAGGCCACAGACGCCAACGACUGGCUCGUGGACAUCUGCAAACAUUUUGAAUGUAGCAAUGUCGGACCUGAGGACUUUGUCAAGGUUGCUUCAUUUCAACUCAAGGACCAAGCUGCUGAGUGGUUUCAACAAUACAGAGAUUCCAGAGGAGGUCGUGCGAUUACCUGGGAUGAUUACCGCCGAGACUUCAAAGCUCAUCACAUUCCUCCAAUUGUGGCUGAGGGCAAGCAUGAGGAGUUCCACAAUCUCAAGCAAGGCAGCAUAUCCGUGUAUCAAUACAAUAUCCAGUUUCAGAAACUUGCUCGCUUCGCUAAACAAGACAUUCAUGAUGAGGUGAGUAUGAUCUAUCAAUUUAGAGGUGGCCUCUGAGAAAACCCGCAGUUAGCUCUCGUGCUUCUUGAGCCAACCAAGUUCGAUCAAUUCUAUAACAUGGCAGUAAAGCAAGAAGCUGCUCAGCUCAAGUGUGAGGCAUCUAAGAAGAGAGUCAGGGACGCAGUCCAGUCUUCUUCCUCAUCACAAGUGGCAGCUAAGCAACAGAAGUUCUGGUUGCCUCCUCCUCAUCCGUUUCUCCAGCCCUACCAGCAGAAGAGCAAAGGUGGUAAUGGAUCUUCCCACCCACCCAACCUAAGCUAUCAGAACAAAGCUCAGUGUCAAAGUCCAAGGUCAAGUGCUCCUUAUCUCCGUCUGCUCUCAGAGGUUGCUUGCAACAAGUGUCAGCAGAAAGGGCACUAUGCAAACAAGUGCUUCAACCAAAGGCGCCUUCCGCCUCCUCCUCCUGUGAGAUCUUCCAACAAUGCAGUGGUCAAGCAUAAUUCCAAGUCUGCAAAGGUGAACAUGAUGAACGCAGCUCAGGCAGAGGAUUCUUCAGAAGUGAUCAUGGGUAAUCUUCUAGUCAAUGAUAUUCCUGCAAGAGUCUUAUUUGAUACUGGUGCAUUUAUUUCAUUCAUAUCAAAGCCUUUUGCAUCCAUGCACGAUUUGCAUACUCUCGAUUUGCCUAAGCCGAUAGCGGUUUCCUCUCCGGGUUUGUUCAUGAACACCAAAAUGAUGGCUCUAGAUGUUUCCAUCAAGAUGGGAGACUAUAAAUUUUUGUCUUCUCUAAUGGUCCUUGGUGACUCGGAUAUUGAUCUAAUUCUCGGGAUGGACUGGCUUUCUAAGCACAAGGCUCAGCUUGAUUGUGCUGCCAGGCAAAUUCAAUUGACACACUCUUCUGAGGAUGUGAUCAUUUAUGCCGCUCGUGAUGAUACCAUUCGACUGUUUUCUCUUAAUUAGAAGGGCGAGUUGAAUGUCAUCUCUCAGAUUCUAGUUGUUUUUGAAUACCAAGACAUCUUUCCAGAAGAGCUUCCGGGAAUGCCUCCUCACCGGCCAGUUGAAUUCGUUAUCGAUCUUGAGCCUGGCACGGAACCUAUUUGCAAGCGUCCUUAUAAGCUUGGACCAGAGCAGUUGAAGGAGCUGAAGAAACAACUCGAUGAACAAGAGCAUAUGGGUCUGAUCGGACUGAGUUCAUCUCCAUGGGGUUGUGGUGUCCUUUUUGUCAAGAAGAAUGAUGGAACGGAACGACUCUGCGUCGACUACCGUGCAUUGAAUAAGAAGACAAUUUAGAACAAGUAUCCACUUCCCAACAUCAAUGAGCUAUUCGACCAACUUAAAGGUGCCAAAGUAUUCUCCAAGCUUGACCUCCGUAUGGGUAAUCAUCAGAUUCGCAUUCGUGAACAAGAUAUCCCCAAGACAACAUUCAGAACAAGCUAUGGUUCUUAUGAAUAUAGUGUCAUGUCUUUCGGCCUUGUCAAUGCUCCUCCAACGUUCUAUCUCAUGAUGAACUUCAUCUUCAACCCUUAAACAAAUGACUUUGUCCUAGUGUAUCUUGAUGAUAUCUUGGUCUUUUCCAAGAAUAAGGAGGAUCAUGCCAAGCAUUUGAGAUUGGUGCUUGACAAACUCAGAGAGCAUCAAUUCUAUGCAAAGUUUUUCAAGUCUGAGUUCUGGCUUGACGAAGUUAUUUACCUUGGUCUUAUCAUCUCCGCCAAGGGCAUCGUUGUUAAUCCCGAGAAGGUGUCUGCAAUUGUGAAUUGGGAACCUCCUCAGAAUGUCAAAUAUCUCCGUAGUUUUCUUGGGCUUGCAAGCUAUUGUCGAAGAUUCGUUGAGAAUUUCUCUAAGAUUGCAAAUGCUCUUUCCAACCUCCUCCAAAAGCAUGUCAAGUAUGUCUGGACGGCUGAAUGUGACGUUGCUUUCAGCACCCUCAAAGAGAAGCUGGUCAUAGCUCUUGUCUUGACUCCUGCUGACGAAUCCAUGACAUUUGAAGGUUUCUGUGAUGCCUCCUUACAAGGUCACGGUGCUGUGUUAAUGCAACAGAAGAAAUUUGUGGCUUAUAUCUCUCGUCAGCUGAAGCCCAAUGAAAGGAACUAUCCCACUCACAAUCUUGAGUUGGCGGCAGUUGUUCAUGCAUUAUUAAUGUGGAGACAUCUCUUGUUGGGAAGGAAAGUGGACAUCUUCACAGAUCAUAAGAGCCUCAAGUACAUCUUCACUCAACCCAACCUCAACCCCAUAUUGACUCGAUGGGUCGAAAUGAUUAAAGAAUACAAUCUGAGUAUUGAAUAUACUCCGGGAAAGUCCAAUGUCAUUGCAGAUGCUUUGAGCAGGAAGGCUUACCGCAACAGCUUAAUUCUCCAGCCCUUCCAACCGGACCUCUGUGAAGCUUUCUGCAAACUGAAUCUCCAAGUUGUUCCUCAAGGCUUUCUUGCCAACCUCCAAGUAUCUCCUACUUUGGAAGAUCAAAUUCGUGUGGCACAACUCCUCGAUUCCAUGGUGAAGAAGGUAAAACAUGGGAUUGCCAAGAGCCAACCCAAAUAUAGUGCUAUCGCAUUGAUGACAAAGACACUCUAUUCUUCGAGGACCGGAUUGUGGUUCAUAAAGGUGAUCUAAGGAAAGUCAAAAUGAACGGGGCACACAAUUCCCUUCUACCAUUCAUCCUGGAAGUACGAAGAUGUACCAUGACCUCAAGCAGUCAUAUUGGUGGACUCGAAUGAAGCGAGAAAUUGCUCAAUUCGUGAAUGAAUGUGACAUCUGCAGAAGAGUGAAAGAAGAACACCAAUGGCCAGCUGGUCUCCUCCAACCUCUUGCUAUUCCAUAAUGGAAGUUUGACCAUAUUGAAAUGGACUUCGUGACGGGAUUUCCCAAGUCCAAGCUUGGAAAUGAUGCUAUCUUUGUUGUCAUCGACAAGCUUACAAAAGUGGCUCAUUUCCUUCCAAUCAAAGAAUCUAUCACAUCAGCUUAGUUGUUAGAGCUAUACCCCUCCAGGAUUGUAUCUUUGCACGACAUUACACAAUUGAUAUCUUCAGAUCGUGGAAGCAUUUUCACCUCCAAGUUCUGGGACUCCUUCCAGAAGGCCAUGCGCACCAACAUUCGCUUCAGCACAGCUUUCCAUCCUCAAAUAGUGGCCAAGUCGAGCGAGUCAAUCAAAUCCUUGAAGAUAUGCUCGGGGCUUGUGUCAUAUCUUUCGGCAUGAAGUGGGAAGAUUGUCUUCCAUAUGUUGAGUUCUCCUACAACAACAGCUUCCAAGCGAGUUCAGACAAGGCCCCAUUCGAAGUCCUCUAUGGCAGAACGUGUCGUAGUCCUCUCAAUUGGUCAGAGACGGGUGAACGCCAACUUCUUGGCAAUGACUUAAUCACAGAAGCUGAAGACAUGUGUAAAGUCAUCCGUGAAAAUCUCAAAGCCGCACAAUCGCGCCAGAAGAGUUAUUAUGAUAGCAAGCAUCGUGACUUGGCUUUCGAGAUCGGAGACCAUGUCUACCUCCGCGUCUCUCCAAUGAAAGGCACUCAUUGCUUCGGUAUCAAAGGGAAGCUUGCCCCUAGAUACGUGGGUCCUUUCAAGAUCAUUGGCAAAAGAGGUGACCUGGCCUAUCAACUUGAGCUUUCGUCCAACUUCGCAAAUGUGCACAAUGUGUUUCACGUGUCACAGCUUCGCAAGUGCUUCAAGACUCCUGAGCGCACCAUCAACUUCGAAGAGAUUGAUCUCCAAGAAGAUCUGUCGUAUCAUGAGCAUCCCAUUGCUAUUCUUGAAGAAACCGAGCGCAAGACUCGCAACAAGUCAAUCAAAUUCCUGAAAGUGAAGUGGUCACACCAUUCUGACCGAGAAGCCACCUGGGAGCGCGAGGAUCACCUCCAUUCCGAAUAUCCGGAGUUCUUUCAGUCCUAGAUCUCGGGACGAGAUCCUCUCGUAGUGGUGGAGUGUUGUAACACCCCGGAUGUAACUUGCCAUAUUUGUAACUCCGACUCCUGCCAUUUUGGCUUUAAGUUAUGAGAUUCCUUUCGUGGUUGGGUUUUUGUCUUCGUUUUGCUUUUUUUCAUGUCAUGCAUUUCAUAUCAUGUCAUCAUGUGCAUCGCAUUUGCAUUCGUGUUCGUCUCAUGCAUCCGAGCAUUUUCCCCGUUGUCCGUUUCGCAAUCCGACACUCCCACGUGCACCGGCGCACCUCUCUUGUCUCUUUUCGUGAGCGGGAGUUAAACGUUCUCGGAAUGGACCGAGAUUUUUCAAGUGGCCUUGCUACACCAACGGUAGACCGCUUGUCAAAUUUUGUUCCAUUUGGAGCCUGUUUGAUACCCCAACAGUUAACCGGUAACCGCAAAAGCCUCCUGUGUGUUGCAGCCCAACACCCCUCCAAAACAGCCCAAUAACCCAUCUAAACCAUCUCCAUGUCCUCCGUCAUCGGAUCACGACCGUGUGGGCAAAAACUACACCUCAUUUGGACACUCCAAACUCCCUCUACCAAUAAAAAGGCCUCCUCCUCCGAAAAUUCGGGAAAAACCCUAGUCUUCACUUCCUCCGCGCGCCGGACACGUCUGCCCAGCGCAGGCACGUCCGCCGCCAUCCCCUCGGCAAAUCGCACACCACCACGUCACUAUGCCGCCGCCCACCGCCGUGCGGGCCCGCUAGCUAGAGGCGGGCCCUCCCAGCCCGCGACCGCGCCCGAGCGCCUCACUGCAGCCCACUCGCCCCACCGCCCGCCGCCGCCUUUACCACGACUUCUGCGCCGCCUCCCCGUCGCAUCUUUGCCGGCUGCCCUGAGGCCCCUCACCGCUAGCGACCUGAGCUCCUCCUCACCGUGCUCUAGUCACAGAUCCGGCGGGACCUGGUCUCCCCGCGUCAGAUCCGGCCAUCCCCCUUGUGCCCGGCCUCCUCCUCCCCGGCUUCGGUGAACUCCGGCCAGAUCCGCCUCUCCUCGAUUUCCGUGCCGCGGUCAACCCUAGUCCGCGAGGUGAUAUUUUCCACUAAGUUCCGAACCCCCUGUAAUUUUUAUGCCCUGUUCAUCAUGCCAUAUCUCGGUUACCGCGACUCCGAUUCAUGCAUAUGAUAUGUCGGAUUGUUCGGCUUGUUGAGCUCCACGUUAGUAGCUUUUCCAUGCAUGAUACUUCCCAUUAUGAUUCCUUUAUCAUUGAUGCAAGAGUAUUAUAAAAUUUUAACUGCAGGUACUUAUCAGAUCAUGAGAGUUUGUCGUUUUUGUUGCAUUUGAUGUGUGCAUCGUAUUAGCUUGAGGUCUACAUGUGUUUUGAACUAAAACAUGCCAUAUUUAUAGGGGUGAUUGUCUUGUAUUUUUGUGGUCUAUGUGGUGGCUAGAAUAAGCAUGCAAAGUGGGCUCCGUAAUGUUGCUGUUUUCAGGGACAGGAUUUUGCUAAGUCUUUUUCCUGCUGUUAUUUUGAUGCCAUGUAAACUUGAUGCUACAGUGAGAUCCAUGCUUAUUUUGAGAUAUUUUAGUAAGGAUGUUUUUAAAAUGUGGUUAUUCUCUAUCCAUCCAUGCCCCUGUUUGCAAUUAGGGAGUGCUCUAGCAUAUCAUUUGCUUGCUCUACUUUUCCUAUAAAAUGUUCCUGGCAGAAUGUUAACAUGUUAAUCAAUAUUUCCAUGGUUGUUGCAAGUGAUCCAUGCAUCAUAUGAACUUUCUCUUGCCAUGGUUAGCUUCAUGAACAUGUCAUCUUGCUAUUGGUAUGUUUAUAUUGUCAUGCACUUCUUUGUGGUGAGUGGCAUGAGCUCACAAAGUUUCUAUCGUGAAUCCGUUUAUGAUAUGCUCUGUUUUUCUGCCAUGCCUAAAACUGUUAAUAAAUCUUGCUAUGUUUACAUGGGUGCCAUCAUAUCUUCUAUGCCUUUUUGGCUCAUGUUCAGUAAGGGAAUUUUGUUCUAUGCAUCAUAUGAGCAUGUAGUAGACAUGGCAAUCCCCAACUUACUCCGUGGGCAGAAAUACAUAUGAAGCAUAGAUAAUUACUAUGAUUUUCACGAAAUGGAACAUGCUGUUAACAACAUGACAUUUUUAUCAUGAUGGCAACUUGAGAGAAAGAAAGAGACAUGCUAUAGCAACUUUACAUGGCAAACAAUGGCAUGGCAUAAAAGUACACAUCACGUAGACCGAAUCACAUGAAGGAAUCACAUGCAUAUGACUUCUGGAUUAAUAGCAACCAUCAUGGCAAGUUGGAAUGUUUUAAUAGUUUUCUGCAGUUAAUAACAAGAUGCACUUUUGCAGCAGAUAUUAAAACAUGUAGAUGAACCACAACAUGCAUCCAACAGCCACUAGAAUGUAGAGCACAGAGAGUAGAUCAUUUCACAUUUAUAAGUCAUCUCCAUCUGAUCAACAUGCACAAAGUUACAAGCCACACAAGAUGUAUAUAUUUUGUAGAAUCUUAGGGACUUACUAGAAGAUCAACCUCGUGGAAAACGGGACAGGAUAGAUCUGUAAAGUUGUUUGGUUGGCGGGACGGCUCAAGUCCAAGACGAAACUGGAUGGGGAUGUACGUCAGGGUUGCAUGCCAUGUCAGUGGUGAUUCCGGCGACGUGCGGGCAAGGGGGCGACGCGAUCCAGUGGGGCCCGACCAAAUUCCGACAGAUCUUGUCAGUGCGGAUCCAUUCCCUACGGUGAGGAGACUUGGGGCGGCGAGAACAGGGAGAUCUCGGGCGGUCAUGGUGCUCCUGUAAGGUUCCAGAGAGAGAUCGUAGGUGAGAGGGAGAGAGAAAACGAGAGAGAGAGAGAGAGAGAGAGAGAGAGAGAGAGCAGAAUGGGAGGAGGAGAGGAAUGAGGGGCCGGCCUGCUAGUCGCUGGAGAUGGCAACGACGAGGCCCGGUGAGGUCUUGGCGGCGCGGGGCCCGGCGCAGGAGGCCGUGGAGCACUAGAUCGGGAGCUCCUCUCCAAAUCUAGAGCUUGGGAGAGGGGCUGCGGGAGGUGCGGGGCGCUCGAGCCAUGGACGGGCCAAACUUGGGCCUCGGCGGGCUAUGGCAGUGGGGAAGGCAGGGGUGACGUGGUGAGGCACGGUUCGCGGGGAGCGGCAGUGCUGACAGCAGCUGGUAACUGGGGUGGCGCCAGGUGCCAGAGGAGGAGGGUUUUGGCGUGGCUUUUGUGGAGGGAGGCGACUAGAGGUAGGUGAAGGGGUUAGCCUGCCCAAAAUGGCACAAAAGGGCGCCCAUAUAUAGUAGGGGGCUAGGGUUAGGUGUUUUAGUCCAUUUCCAGACCAUUCGAUUCUCAUCGGACAUUUCAGAUCAGCGGGUCUUAGAUGUGGAGGUGGUGGGCUGGUUUAGUGGGCUGUGUAGUAGGGUGUGGGCUGAGAAGAGAGGGAGGAUGGCAACUGGCACUGGUUUACGGAUACCGAACAUGUCCCGCGUUUGUCUCGCUAUAGUGUCGUUAUUGUUAUCUGUUGGGCUUCAAACAUGCCCCGAAUGAAAUGAAAUUUGGCAGGCGGUCUACCUACAAUAUAACAUGAUUGCACGCCAACUUUCAUCCCAUUCUGAGCACAUUAUUAUCCCACUUAUAAAAAAAUAUUUCGGAGAUGCCCCGGGCACGUGCGAGUGCGGAAGGACUCAGAACGGACAAAGGAGAGGACUAGGAAACCCGACAACUAUGGACGGAUGCACGUUUUGAAAAGAAUGAUGGCAUGUAUGCUAUGCAAUACGAAUGAUAUGGUGAUAAAUGUAACAAACAAAUGAAACACACGGUAACAACGACAAUAAAUGGAAGGCACCUGGAGCAUCGAUCUUGGGGCGUCACACGCAGGUCGGGGUACGUGGUUUCAUAGGUUCGAGCAGCUUCGUGGGAAUCGCAUGUGGCAGUGGUAGAAACAUAAUGGUCACCCUAGUUUAGGUGGCCCAUACAUCAUGAGCACAAAGGCAGAGGGGAGGUGGGGGCCAGAGGGGUGAGGCGCACAUUGUGGGACAUGGUGUCGUGGAAAUCGCGUGUGGCAGUGAUAGAAACGUGAUGGUCGCCGUAGUUCAUCUUCCAUGGACAAGUUGUCAUGUCUACUAACACAUGCAUUGCAUAUCGAUCAAAGCAAGGAGUAGUAGAGAAAACUAGGCGGAUAAAUAGUUCAUUAUAUUCAAGCGGAUCUAUGCUACUACACUUGUUCCAAAGACAUGCACACCAGUGAAAUAGUUCAUCUAUAAAUAUAUACAGAGAGGAAUUUUCUAUACAAAUAAGAGAGUAAUAGUCAUCCAUCUAUAAUGCCCUGCUGCUACAGCUUCUUCUUCUUCUUCUUCUUCUUCUUCUUCUUCUUCUUCUUCUUCUUCUUCUUCUUCUUCUUCUUCUUCUUCUUCUUCUUCUUUCUCAUUUUCUGUGGCAAACGGCUUUGCUACAAGCUCUUUCGACUUUGCAGCUAUCUCGAAACUCACACGGGCAUGGAGGGCAACAUAUUUUAUCCGCUCAUAGGUCAAUGGAUAAUUCUCCCAUCCAGACGACCAUAAUACUAGCGUCUCAUCACCCUUCUCAAGGUUUUUUCCGAGCACAUAAUUUGCUUCUUCGAAUAGGGAUGGUGUUGGUUUAUCACAAUCGUCUUCAAGAAUUUUGGUUUGUAGGUCAACGAUGUUUUCCAAAUGAAGGUUGUACAGCACCAGCUUUUGUUUGUCCCCUUCGAUGGAUACCCCACGGGAGUAUAUGUCCUCCAGAGACAUGAAAUCAUGGAGAUCACCUGGUAUGGAGGCGCGUGUAUGAUGUGAUAUACCAAAAAUUCAUCUUCAAGGCACACCUUAAGGACAUCAGCGCAUUGGAUCUUCCUAAUGGCAUGCUCUGUGUACUCUGUGUCGAGAUCGAUGACCUUCAUAUCCACCUUUUCAAGUGAUUUGGAUACACUGUUGAUCCACUCCCAAACAACCCAUGGGUGGUUGGUGACAGUGGCAGCUAUGCUCAAUGAGCCUUCGCUGAGGACAUGUUUGACGCUGAAACUAUGCACAGUGAUCUCUUUCGCCAUUUGGAACCGCUGGAGUAUUAUGAUUUGGUGGAUGGUCUAACUGGAAGAAGAUGAUUAUUUAAAAGGACUUCAGAAUUAUCCUAGGAGUUUAAACAAUGUGAAUGGAGGAGAGGUGAAGAAGCUGAGGAAAACCAGUUCCCGAUGGAGAAGUAAAUGGGAGAAGUGGCAUGCAGGUAGUUGAUUAGACGACUAGGUAGACCAACCUGCAAAAUUAAAAGGCUACACGAGUAGCAUACUGAGGAGUGAGACAUGUCUGUGUACGUGUGUAACGCUCCGGAUGUCACUUUCCAUAAUUGUAACUCCAACUCUUGCCAUUUCUGGCUAUGUGAUAUGUCAUUUCCUCCACGGUUGGUUUUUUCUUCGUUUUGCAUUUUGUUCAUGUCAUGCAUUUUGUUGGGGAUAUAACUACCAGGUAUGACCCGCCCAGGAGGGGCCGGGUCAAUCUUAAUGGCGGGUUACUCAAAGAAUCCCGACGAGUAAACAAGGCGACGGUUCAUUAUAAGACUUGUAGCAGGCCCAAGCCUAGAGGCGGCUUAAGGCCCAUAAUUGUAAACCGCCAUGUAUGAGUAAGACUUGUAAAGUAAGGCAUGUAAAAGAAGUCACCGAGCCGGACAUGUUGUAUGAGCCGGCCGAGACUCUGUAGGCCACCAGGCGUCAACCCGUGUAUAUAAGGGGACGACCCGAUGGCGACUUAGGGCAAGAAACAACAGAUCGAGAUCCAAGCUAGGGUAUUUCGCUCCUUGGUCAUCGAAACCUAGCAAUACCACAACAACUGGACUAGGCUUUACCUUCACCGCAAGGGGCCGAACCAGUAUAAACCUCUCGUGUCCUUUGUCCCGAUUAACCCCUUUAAGCUUCCUAGUUGUGAUGGCUCCACGACUAAGUCCUUUCACUAGGAUAUCUGCCGUGCCAAUUCCACGACAGUUGGCGCCCACCGUGGGGCCAGUGCACUGUGGAUUUGAGUUCUUGAAGGGUAGCUUCGAAGGGCUCAAGGGAUACGCUGUGGGCCAGAUGGCGAAGAGUCAUCGCGACAAGCUCUACAUCGAUGACACGGGCUGGGGCCCCGAGGCCCGCUCAAUUGAGUACGGGUACCGGGUCCCCUUCGGCGGAAUCCAUGUCUUCAUCGGCCGGAUCGGUGAGCCGGGCCCUGAGCCGGACAUCUGCACCGACCUUCUCGAGAUGGCUCAGCGUGCGAGACCUGCCCGGACUCAGCCGGCCGUAAGGCGUGCCUUCGUGGGUUGCAUCCAUGGAGGGGAGUUUAUUGAAGGAUCUGUGGAUGGCGGCGAGAGACUAUCCACUCUGACGGUGAGUGGUCCAUAGGUGAGACGGAUUCAUUGUAUCAACUAUAAGAUGGCGCGCUUGGGGGCUAUUCCAAUGGCAGCAGUAUUCUAGACCCCUUUGAGCUGCCAAAUCGAGCGGGGGUCAUCGUGGCUGGCACUCAACCCGGUCAGAACUCUACGGCCACGGCAGCGAUAACCACCGGAUCGGCAGCAGCCGGGUCAGGAGACCCCGUGCGCCCGCCGGCUCAGGUGGUGAUGGAUCUCAUGGAUAGGAUGAUGACCUUGUUGACCGUUGUGGUUGAACCGGCAGACAAAGCUCAUCACGAUGCAGAGGUGGCACGGUUACGUGGGGAGGUAGCACAAGCCAAGGAGAAUUUAGCAGCGGAGGAUGUAAGGAUGGCUGCAGAGUGAGUGGCUCUAGAUGCUCGUGCUCAGCAGCUUCUAGCAGGGACUUUCCGGCUCUCGAUAGAUCUAAACGCAUGAGGAGAAGGCACCAAAAGGCUCAAUCACGUCUGCCUCUGACUUAUGAUCCUAGGAACCUCUUCCACACACCUGGGGCGGGUCCCAGUAACCCGUCGGAGGCAAACCGGAUCACAACACCCGGGGCUAGGGCGCCGGUUCAACCGUAGGCCAUGGAGCCCCCUCGUGUGAAUACUGCUCUGCCUCAUUAUACACCAAUACCACUGGGUCACUUUUCUAACCCUUUGGAGAAUUUGAUCGCUGCAUCGGCUCGUUUGGCGGUCGAAACACGAAGGGUCAGAGAGCUUCUUCAGACGGCUCUGGCACAACAGGAUGCAUACUCUCAUAGUCGAGACAUAAUCCAUUCAACCCCUCGCCCAAGCCAGAGCCCGAGCUAUAGCAGGCAUAUCGACUCGGCGGCCAUGUCAAGCAACGCCCAACGGCGUAACCAACCACGCAGGCAUGACCCGGCGCAGGAUGGAGCUCUUAACUUGGUGGACCAGGAGAGGAUCAGUCAAGAGGCUGAGCAGGCGGUUCAAUAGGCAGCUGAGCUGGCGGGUCACCAGGCUUUUCCGGUUUAUCCAGCAACCUUUGUUGAAGUAGGUGUGGCCACAAGGAUAGGAGGUGUCCCUUGUCUAGUGCCGGCUCUGCGUAAUAUGCGUUUGCCAAAGGACUUUAAGGGGCCUCGUAAGGUACCUAAUUACAUAGCCGACCUGCAACCCGGGGCAUGGAUUGAAAGUUACAAGAUGGCCAUGGAGUUAUUGGAGGUCAGUGACGCAACAAUGGCCAAAUACUUCACUACGAUGUUAGAUGGAACAGCUCGCACUUGGUUGAAGGGGUUGCCACCCAACUCGAUCGCCUCAUGGGCGGAGUUAAAAGCCCGGUUCAUUUAGAACUUCAAAAAUACCUGUAAGCAACCCAUGUCGACCAUGGACUUGCCUAACUGUAAGCAAGAGGAAGGUGAAUACAAGACCCAUUGGGGGCACCGGGUCAAGGAAAUAAUACAUUCAUCUGAUAAGAUGGAUGCCGGCUCCAUGGUAUUAAUGUUGGAGAAAAAAAAUGUCAUUUUGAACCUCUAAAAUAGAAGCUGGGGCGGCUCAAGCGUGAUUGUAAUUACAUGGGCCAGCUGAUGGCGGCUCUGGUCAAGUACGCCGAUUCUGACAGUACCAAGGAUCUUGCGUCUGACGAAGAGAAGACAGGGAAGGGAAAGAAGAACGGCAACGUAAAAGGUCACCAGCGCAACCCGGCGAAUCAAGGAGGUAAUAAACUUAAGGCUGGCGGUAGUCUGGAGUUUGUGCCUAACAACAAUACAUAGUGCAACAAUCAACGGCUCAAGGGGAGGCCACCUCCGCGGUCUAGUGGGUUAGGUCCCACCCUCGAGCAGCUGCUAAAUGAACCUUUUCCAUGGCACGGCACCCGGGAGAAGCCUGCUACCCAUCUAUUUCAUGAACUGUACGAUCAUGAAGGCUUUUAAGAAUUCCAACAUGUUUGAUGUUAACCACACACCUGGCGGCGGCUCGGGCGGUGACGGCUUUCAUUGGCCGGGUGCCGGCUCAGGCAGUGGCGGUUUUCACGGCCAGGGCCCUCAAGGCAGUCAGGGCGGCUAUAAUUAGCAAUCAGGCCAAGGUAAUCAGCAACAACAGCAGUCCGGGUAUCAGAGUAACCCAAAGCAGUUGAACAGUGGUCUAUAUCACGUAUUCACCACCAGUUUGUGCAAAAGGGGCCAGAAACUUCAUAAGAGGGCUGUGAAUGUUGUUGAACCAGCGGUUCCAUGUUAUUUGAGAUGGUCUAAGCAGCCUAUCGUAUUGAGUAAGGAAGACCACCCUCCCCAGGUUGAUAAUCUGGGUCAUCUGGCUUUGGUGAUGGCGCCUCAGGUUGGCGGAUACAAAUUCACUAAAGUGCUCAUGGAUGGAGGUAGUAGCAUCAACAUCCUUUAUUAUGAGACGUUCCGUCGCAUGGGGUUGACUGACAAAAGUCUUAAGACAUCCAAUACUGUUUUUCAUGGAGUUGUGCCUCGUAAGUCGGCAUACCCUGUUGGUAAGAUUGAGCUGGAAGUAGCCUUUGGGGAUGAGUAUGAUUCUAGAGCAGAGAAGUUGACUUUUGAAGUGGUUAAGAUCAAAAUCCCAUAUCACGCUCUGUUUGGACGGCCGGCUUACGCUAAGUUCAUGGCACGGUCGUGCUAUGUUUAUCUGCAACUCAAAAUGCCAGGUUAUAAGGGCACCAUCACAGUGCAUGGAAGCUGGAAGAUAGCCCUGGAAUGUGAAGAAGGUGAUGGUGCUUACGCCGAGUCUGUUUGUGCAACUUAGGAACUGAAGUUUUAUAAGGAUAAUGUUGACCCGGCAGACAUGACGUCUUUGAAGAAGCCAACUACGGAGCAUGAGACGGCACUGAAAUUUAAGUCAGCUGAUGAUACCAAGAUGAUUGAUUUUGUGCCUGGCGACUCAUCCAAAUAGUUCAUUAUUAGUGCUAACUUGGAUCCAAAAUAGGAAGCCACGCUCAUCAAGUUCAUCCGCAAGAACCGGGACAUCUUUGCAUGGAAGCCUUCUAACAUGCCGGGUGUACCGAGAGAACUCCCUGAGCACACUCCCAAUAUUGAUCCAAAAUUUAAGCCGGUCAGGUAGUUUCUUCGGCGGUUUAAUGAGGAAAGGCGCAAGGCUAUUGGAGAAGAGGUGGCCCGGCUUUUGGCAGCUGGGUUUAUUGUUGAAGUUUUUCACCCAGAGUGGUUGGCUAACCCGAUGCUUGUGCUCAAAAAGAACGGUGGGUUGUGAGCGUCUGAGCUUUUUGGAUGCUUAUUCUGGUUAUCACCAGAUCAAAAUGGCAGUUAAGGACCAGGAGAAGACGGCUUUCAUUACUCCGUUUGGAGCCUUCUGCUAUGUGUCUAUGCCUUUUGGUCUUAAGAGUGCCCAGGUGACUUAUCAGCGGUGUGUAUAGAAUUUCCUUCAUAAUCAGAUUGGGCAUAAUGUUCAUGCUUACGUGGACGAUAUAGUGGUGAAAUCCAGAGAGAAGGAAACCUUGGUAGCUGAUCUGAAGGAAACCGUUGAUAACCUCCGGGUCUACAAGAUGAUGCUUAACCCGGCCAAGUGCAUUUUUGGAGUCCCAGCUGGCAAGCUUUUGGGAUUUUUGGUGUCUAACAGAGGCGUUCAGCCUAACCCGGAAAAAAUUAAGGCGAUUACAUCUUUGGCUAAACCGGCGUGCAUCAAUGAUGUUUAGCGGCUGGAGGGUCGAGUUGCAGCUUUGAGCCGGUUCAUAAGCCGGUUGGGUGAGAAGGCUAUGCCAUUGUAUCAAAUGAUGAAAAAGAUGGAUGACUUUGUCUGGAGUGACGCUGCCAACUCCGCCUUUGAAGAUCUGAAAAGAUAGCUUGCUGAGCCGCCGAUUCUUGCUACCCCCGUUGAGAAGGAGUCGCUGUUGUUAUAUGUGGCUGCUAACUCAUAGGCCGUCAGUGUGGCCAUUGUUGUGGAGCGCAAGGAGGCUGGCAAGGAACAUCCGGUUCAACGGCCGGUUUACUACGUCAGUGAGGUGCUCAUUGAAUCCAAGCAAAGAUAUCCACAUUGGUAGAAACUUGUUUAUGGGGUGUUCAUGGCAAGCCGGAAGCUUAAGCAUUACUUCUAGGGUCAUCCAAUCACUAUGGUUAGCUCUGCUCCUUUGGGAGAUAUUAUUCAAAAUAGAGAAGCCAUAGGUGCUUGAGCUGGAUAUUCGUGUUUGUGGGAGGAAGAAGAUGUGUAUGGGUGAAAGGAUAAGUGGAGGAGGGCCACCGUGGGCCCACGAGGCAGGGGGCGCGCCCAGGGGGGUAGGGCGUGCCCUCCACCCUCAUGGGCAGGUGGUUGACCCCCCUGCUGUGUUCUCAGUGCCAAAUAUUCUCAAAUAUUCUAGAAAAAAUCAUAUUUAAAUUCAGGGCAUUUGGAGAACUUUUAUUUUCGAGGUAUUUUUAUAUUGCACGGAUAAUCAGAUAACAGACAGAAAAAUAUUUUUUUUUAUUUUAUUUAAUAUAAAUAACAAAAAGUAAAAGUGGGGUACAGAAGGUUGUGCCUUCUAGUUUCAUCCAUCUCAUGAUCAUCAAAAUGAAUCCAAUAACAAGGUUGAUCAAGUCUUGUUAACGAACUCAUUCCGAAUAACAUGGAACUUGAGGAAUUUCAAAUAACACUAUGUUACCUCAACAGGGAUAUGCACAUCCCCAAUAAUAAGAAUAUCAUAUUUCUUCUUGACAGUAGGAAGAGGAAAUUCAAAACCUCCAAAUAUAAUCGAUGGCAUUUUUCCAAUAGAGUAGAUACUAUGAACUUGAGGUUGUUUCCUCGGAAAGUGUACCAUAUGCUCAUUACCAUUAACAUGAAAAGUGACAUUGCCUUUAGUGCAAUCAGUAGCAGCCCCUGCACUAUUCAAAAAGGGUCUUCCAAGAAUAAUAGACAUACUAUCGUCCUGGGGAAUAUCAAGAAUAACAAAGUCCAUUAAAAUAGUAACGUUUGCAACUACAACAGGCACAUCCUCACAAAUACCGCAGGUAUAGCAGUUGAUUUAUCAGCCAUUUGCAAUGAUAUUUCAGUAGGUGUCAACUUAUUCAAAUCAAGUCUACGAUAUAAAGAGAGAGGCAUAACACUAACACCGGCUCCAAGAUCACAUAAAGCAGUUUUAACAUAAUUUCUUUUAAUGGAGCAUGGUAUAGUUGGUACAUCGGGAUCUCCAAGUUUCUUUGGUAUUCCACCCUUAAAAGUGUAAUUAGCAAGCAUGGUGUAAAUUUCAUCUUCCGGUAUCUUUCUUUUAUUUGUAAUAAUAUCUUUCAUGUACUUAGCAUAAGGAUUGGUUUUGAGCAUAUCAGUUAAUUGCAUACGCAAAAAGAUAGGUCUAAUCAUUUCAGCAAAGCGCUCAAAAUCCUCAUCAUCCUUUUUCUUGGAUGGUUUGGGAGGAAAAGGCAUGGGUUUAUGAACCCAAGGCUCUCUUUCUUUACCAUGUUUCCUAGCAACAAAGUCUUUCUUAUCAUAACAUUGAUUCUUUGAUUGUGGGUUAUCAAGAUCAACUGCAGGUUCAUUUUAUAUGUCAUUAUCAUUACUAGGUUGAGCAUCAUCAUGAACAUUAUCAUUAACACUACCACUAGUUUCAGGUUCAUUACCAGAUUAUGUUUCAACAUCAGAAAUAGAAAUAUCAGUUGGAUUCACAUGUGUUUCAGUAAUAGGUUCACUAGAAGCAUGCAAAGUCCUAUCAUUUUUCUUUUUCUUCUUUUUAGAAGAACUAGGUACAUCUAUAUUAUUUCUCUGAGAAUCUUGCUCAAUUCUCUUAGGGUCUCCUUCAGGAUACAAAGGUUCCUGAGUCAUUCUACCAGUUCUAGUAGCCACUCUAAGAGCAUUAUCAUUAUCCUUACUAUUCAAUUCAUUGAGCAAAUCAUUUUGAGCUUUAAGUACAUGUUCUACUUGAGUGGUAACCAUAGAAGCAUGUUUACUAAUAAGUUUAAGUUCACCUUUGACAUUAGCCAUAUAAUCACCCAAGUGUUUAAGCAUAUUUGAAUUGUAUUUCAAUUGUCUAACAAAAUAAGCAUUAAAAUCUUCAUGUUUAGCCAUAAAUUUAUCAAACUCACCUAAGCAUGGUCUAGCAAAUUUAGUAAAUGGGAUUUCAGCUUUAUCAUAUCUGUAGAGAGAAUUUACCUUUACUACCUGUGUCAGGUUAUCAAGACCAUGAGUUUAUUCAAUAGGUAAUGGAUUAAGAUUAUAUGUUUCUUCAACAGGCGGUAAAUUAAGACCAUGUAUUUCUUCAAUAGGAGGUAAAUUCUUAAGAUCUUCAGCUUUAAUACCUUUUUCUUUCAUAGAUUUCUUUGCCUCUUGCAUAUCUUCAGGACUGAGAAAUAUAAUACCCCUCUUCUUCGGAGUUGGUUUAGGAAUAGGCUCAGGAAUUGGCUCCGGAGGUGUCCAAUUAUUUUCAUUUGUCAACAUAUUAUUCAAUAGAAUCUUAGCUUCAUCUGGUGUUCUUUCCCUGAAAACAGAACCAACACAACUAUCGAGGUAAUCUCUGGAGGCAUCAGUUAGUCCAUUAUAAAAGAUAUGAAGUAUUUCAUUUUUCUUAAGAGGAUGAACAUGCAAAGGAUUAAGUAAUUGGAGAAGCCUCCCCCAAGCUUGAGGGAGACUCUCUUCUUCAAUUUGCACAAAAUUAUAUAUAUCCCUUAAAGCAACUUGUUUCUUAUGAGCAGGGAAAUAUUUAGCAGAGAAGUAAUAAAUCAUAUCCUAGGGACUAUGCACACAACCAGGAUCAAGAGAAUUAAACCAUAUCUUAGCAUCACCCUUUAAUGAGAACGGAAAUAUUUUAAGGAUGUAGAAGUAACAAGUUCUCUCAUCUUUAGUGAACAGGGUGGCUAUAUCAUUCAAUUUAGUAAGAUGUGCCACAACAGUUUCAGAUUCAUAACCAUGAAAAGGAUCAGAUUCAACCAAAGUAAUUAUAUCAGGAUCAACAGAGAAUUCAUAAUCCUUAUCAGUAACAAAGAUAGGUGAAGUAGCAAAAGCAGGGCCAGGUUUCAUUCUAGCAUUUAGAGAUUGCUUGUUCCAUUUAGCUAAUAACCUCUUAAGUUCAUUUCUAUUUUUGCAAGCUAAAAUAGCUAAAGAAGCUUCUUGAUGAAAAACAUAACCCAUAGGAAUAACAGGUGAUUCUUCAUCAUCACUUUCAUCAGUAUGAUCAGAUUCAAUAUUUUUAAUUUCUCUAGCUCUAGCAAGUUGUUCAUCAAGAAAUUUACCAAGUGGCACAGUAGUAUCAAGCAUAGAAGUAGUUUCAUCAUAAGUAUCAUGCAUAGCAGAAGUGGCAUCAUCAAUAACAUGCGACAUAUCAGAACAAAUAGCAGAAGCAGGUGUAGGUGUCGCAAGCUUACUCAAAAUAGAAGGUGAAUCAAGUGCAGAGCUAGAUGGCAGUUCCUUACCUCCCCUCGUAGUUGAGGGAUAGAUCUUGGUUUUCGGAUCUCUCAAGUUCUUCAUAAUGAUAAGCAGAUAUAUAUCCCAAGUGACUCAAAGAAUAGAGCUAUGCUCCCCGGCAACGGUGCCAGAAAAUAGUCUUGAUAACCCACAAGUAUAGGAGAUUGCAACAGUUUUCGAGGGUAAAGUAUUCAACGCAAAUUUAUUGAUUCGCCACAAGGGGGCCCAAAGAAUAUUCUCAAGUAUUAGCAGUUGUGUUGUGAACUCAACCACACCUGGAAACUUAAUAUCUGCAGCAAAGUGUUUAGUAGCAAAGUAAUAUGAUAGUAGUGGUAACGGUAACAUAAUGUAACAGUAGUAAAAGUAAUGUUUUUGGUAUUUUGUAGUGAUGAUAGCAAUAGUAAUGGGAAAGUAAAUAAGCAAAGAACAAUAUAUGGAAAGCUCGUAGGCAAUGGAUCGGUGAUGGAGAAUUAUGCCGGAUGCGGUUCAUCAUGUAACAGUCAUAACCUAGGGUGACACAGAACUAGCUCCAGUUCGUCAAUGUAAUGUAGGCAUGUAUUCCAAAUAUAGUCAUACAUGCUUAUGGAAAAGAACUUGCAUGACAUCUUUUGUCCUACCCUCCCGUGGCAGCGGGGUCCUUACGGAAACUAAGGGAUAUUAAGGCCUCCUUUUAAUAGAGAACCGCAACAAAGCAUUAACACAUUGUGAAUAAAUGAACUACUCAAACUACAGUCAUCACCGGUAAGUAUCCCGAUUAUUGUCACUUCGGGGUUAACGGAUCAUAACACAUAAUAGGUGAUUAUAGACAUGCAAGAGGGGAUCAAGAACACUCAUAUAUUGAUGAAAACAUAAUAGGUCCAGAUCUGAAAUCAUUGCACUCGGGCCCUAGUGACAAGCAUUAAGCAUAGCAAAGUCAUAGCAACAUCAAUCUCAGAACAUAGUGGAUACUAGGGAUCAAACCCUAACAAAACUAACUUGAUUACAUGAUAGAUCUCAUCCAACCCAUCACCGUCCAGCAAGCCUACGAUGGAAUUACUCACGCAUGGCGGUGAGCAUCAUGAAAUUGAUGAUGGAGGAUCGUUGAUGAUGAUGAUGGCGACGGAUUCCCCUCUCCGGAGCCCCGAACGGACUCCAGAUCAGCCCUCCCGAGAGGUUUUAGGGCUUGGCGGCAGCUCUGUAUCGUAAAACGCGAUGAUUUCUUCUCUCUGAUUUUUUUCUCCCCGAAACACAAUAUAUGGAGUUGGAGUCAGAGAGGCAAUAGGGGCCCACGAGGUAGGGGGGCGCGCCCUAGGGGGCAGGCGCGCCCCCCCACCCAUGUGGACAGGUGAUGGGCCCCCUGGCCUUCAUCUUUUGCAGGUAUUUUUCAUAUUUUCUGAAAAGUUGCUCCGUGAAGUUUCUGGUCAUUCCGAGAACUUUUGUUUCUGCACAUAAAUAAGAUCAUGGUAAUUCUGCUGAAAACAAUGUCAGUCUGGGUUAGUUCCAUUCAAAUCAUGCAAGUUAGAGUCCAAAACAAGGGCAAAAGUGUUUGCAAAAGUAGAUACGACGUAGACGUAUCAACUCCCCCAAGCUUAAACCUUUGCUUGUCCUCAAGCUAUUCAGUUGAUAAACUGAAAGUGAUAAAGAAAAACUUUUACAAACUCUGUUUGCUCUUGUUGUUGUAAAUAUGUAAAGCCAGCAUUCAAGUUUUUAGCAAAGAUUAUAACUAACCACAUUUGCAAUAAUGCAUAGGUCUCAAGUUUACUCAUAUCAAUAGCAUAAUCAACUAGCGAUCCAUAAUAAUAAAUCUCGGAUGGCAACACUUUCUCAAAACAAUCAUAAUAUGAUAUAACAAGAUGGUAUCUUGCUAGCCCUUUCUGAGACCGCAAAACAUAAAUGCAGAGCACCUUUAAAGACCAAGGACUGACUAGACAUUGUAAUUCAUGGUAAAAGAGAUCCAGUCAAGUCAUACUCAAUGUAAACUAAUAGUAAUGAAUGCAAAUGAUAGCGGUGCUCUCCAACUGGUGCUUUUUAAUAAGAGGAUGAUGACUCAACAUAAAACUAAAUAGAUAGGCCCUUCACAGAGGGAAGCAGGGAUUUGUAGAGGUGCCAUAGCUCGGCUUUGAAACAGAGGUGAAUAAUAUUUUGAGCGAUAUACUUUCAUUGUCAACAUAACAACCAAGCGAUGGCGAUAUCUUCCAUGCUACACACAUUAUAGGUGGUUCCCAAACAGAAUGGUAAAGUUUAUACUCCCCCUUCCACCAACAAGCAUCAAUCCAUGGCUUGCUCAAAACAACGAGUGCCUCCAACUAACAAGAGUCCCAGGGGGAGUUUUGUUUGCAAUUAUUUUGAUUUAGUUUGCAUAAAGCAUGGGACUGGGUAUCCCGGUGACCAGCCAUUUAUCUCGUGAGUGAGGAGCGGAGUCCACUCCUCUUGAGAAUAACCCGCCUAACAUGGAAAAUACAAACAGCCCUAGUUGAUACAUGAGCUAUUCGAGCAUACAAAAUAGGAUAUUUAUUUGAAGGAUUAGAGUUUGGCACAUACAAUUUUACUUGGAAUGGUAGGUAGAUACCGUAUAUAGGUAGGUAUGGUGGACUCAUGUGGAAUAACUUUGGGGUUUAAGGAAUCUGAUGGACAAGAAGUAUUCCCGCUUAGUACAGGUGAAGGCUAGCAAAAGACUGGGAAGCGACCAGCUAGAGAACGACAAUAGUCAUGAACAUGCAUUAAAAUUAAUCAGCACCGAAUGCAAGCAUGAGUAGGAUAUAAUCCACAAUGAACAUAAAUAUUGUGAAGGCUAUGCUGAUUUUGUUUCAACUACAUGCGUGAACAUGCGCCAAGUCAAGUCACUUAAAUCAUUCAGAGGAGGAUACCACCCUAUCAUACCACAUCAUAACUAUCUCAAUAGCAUGUUGGCACGCAAGGUAAACCAUUAUAACUCAUAGCUAAUCAAGCAUGGCACAAGAAACGGUGAUCUCUAAUUGUCAUUGCAAACAUGUUUAUUCAUAAUAGGCUGAAUCAGGAACGAUGAACUAAUCAUAUUUACAAAAACAAAAGAGGUCGAGUUCAUACCAGCUUUUCUCAUCUCAGCCAGUCCAUCAUAUAACGUCAUAAUUGCCUUUCACUUGCACGAUCGAAUGAUGAGAAUAAUAAUAAUAAUAGUGCACAUGCAUUGGACUGAGUAGGAGUCUGCAGGCAUUCAAUAAACAGUAGAAGACAAGGCAAUAUGGGCUCUUUUGUCAGAUAAAAAAUAAUGCAUAUAAGAGCCACUUCAACAAUUUAAUCAUGGUGUUCUCCCAUCGACCCCCAAAGAAAAGAAAAGAAACAAAACUAUUUACAUGGGAAAGCUCCCAAAAAGCAAAAGAAGAAUAGGAAAUAUAUUUGGGUUUUCUUUUUAAUGACUACUACAAGCAUGGAAAUUAAAUUGAUUAAAAGCUACAACUAAUUUUUUUGGUUUUUCUUAAGGUUUAUUAAACACACAAGAAGAAAGCGUAAAAAGGAAAUAAACUAGCAUGGAUGAUACAAAUGAAAAAGUAUGAGCACCGACAUCUAGCAAUGAGUGUGUAAACAUAAAUGUAAUGUCGGUGGGAAAUACAUACUCCCCAAAGCUUAGGCUUUUGGCCUAAGUUCGUCUAUGGCCACGGUUGGCCUGGCAGAUAUCCAUAAUAGUAGCUGGGGUCGUACUGCGAUGCGGCGGCUAUCGCCUGCUGAGCUGCAGCGUGGCGAUGAGCGGCCUCCUCUCUCCUCUCGUACUCAUCUGCCUCCUCUCUGGUAAUAGUAUAUCUUCCUCUUGCCUGAUAAUCAAAGGAGGCAGGAGCAGGGAGAGUAAUAUGGACAGCAUGACGUCUGUCAAAGAUUAGUCGAUACUUGAGAGGUGAUUCGUUCCUCUCGACAAAUUGGUCGUGAACCAAGAAAAUUAGCUAUGCGGGUUGCAUAAAUUCCACCAAAGAAAUCUCUAUUAAAUCUAUUAAGAUGCAACCUACGUGCAAAAAUGGCUCCCAAAUUAUAAGAUUUGUCUCCUAACACAGCACUCCGAAGAAUACUGAGGUCAGGGACACACAUGUGACAUGCCUCAUCUUUACCAUUAAUGCAUCUACCUAUGAAGAGAGCAAAGUAAUGAAUAGCAGGAAAGUGAAUUGCCCCCUAUGCUAGCUUGUGUAAUAUCUCUAGAUUCUCCCACAGUUAUACCAGCAAGAAAAUCUCUAAAUUCAGAUUUGCGAGGAUCCCUUAUACUACCCCAUUGUGGAAGUUUGCAAGCAGUGGUAAAAUCCUCUAAGUCCAUAGUGUAAGAAUUAUCAUAAAGAUCAAACAGGACAGUUAGAGAAUUUUGUGAAGUUGAAAAUUCAAACCUCCUCACAAAGGUACUAGUGAGGUUGUGAUACUGACUGCACUUCUCUUCCUCAAAGCUCACGAGAUCAACAUUACGCAAAUAUGCGUUGAAUUAUUCCUUAAUUUCUGCUCGAUCCAUAAAGUUCUCAGAAGGCCAUUCACAAGGAUGCACUGGAGUGUCUCUUGGUGGCUCAUCAUCAGCAUCAUGCAUUGCAAGCCUAGGUCCAUAUAUCCUUGAAGAACCACCUUGGAACAUUUUCCUAAGCAUAUUUCUUCCUCUGAAAAAUUCUAAAAAAAAUUAGUAACUUUAAAACAAAAGUAAACCAAAUUCAAUAAUAUUGAUAGCAACUACUCCUACAAGUGCCUAGAGCCUAUAUCAUGCAUCAAAACUACUUUUAACCAUAUAAAUUUGACAUGCAAGCUCAAGAACUGGGUCACCUAAGCAGCAAAAAUUUGCAAUGAAUAAAGCACUAGAACAAAAACUAAUUGGACCAAUGUAGGAGUCACAUACCAAGGAACAAUCUACCCAAGCAGUUUUGUGAGAGGUGCUUUGAGCAAGGAGAUCGAAAAUGGCAGCAAAAUGAGCUAGAACUCGUGCUUGAGCUAGAUAUUCGUGUUUGUGGGAGGAAGAAGAAGUAUAUGGGUGAAAGGAUAAGUCGAGGAGGGCCACCGUGGGCCCACGAAGCAGGGGUCGCGCCCAGGGGGGUAGGGUGCGCCCUUCACCCUCAUGGGCAGGUGGUUGACUCCCCCUGCUGUGUUCUCAGUUCCAAAUAUUCUCAAAUAUUCUAGAAAAAAUCAUAUUUAAAUUUCAGGGCAUUUGGAGAACUUUUAUUUUCGAGGUAUUUUUAUAUUGCACGGAUAAUCAAAUAACAGACAGAAAAAUAUUUAUUUUUAUUUUAUUUAAUAUAAAUAACAAAAAUUAAAAGUGGGUAUAGAAGGUUGUGCCUUCUAGUUUCAUCCAUCUCAUGAUCAUCAAAAUGAAUCCAAUAACAAGGUUGAUCAAGUCUUGUUAACAAACUCAUUCCGAAUAACAUGGAACUGGAGAAAUUUCGAAUAACACUAUGUUACCUCAAUGGGGAUAUGCACAUCCCCAAUAAUAAGAAUAUCAUAUUUCUUCUUGACAGUAGGAAGAGGAAAUUCAAAACCUCCAAAUAUAAUCGAUGGCAUUUUUCCAAUAGAGUUGAUACUAUGAACUUGAGGUUGUUUCCUCGGAAAGUGUACCGUAUGCUCAUUACCAUUAACAUGAAAAGUGACAUUGCCUUUAGUGCAAUCAAUAACAGCCCCUGCAGUAUUCAAAAGGGUCUUCCAAGAAUAAUAGACAUACUAUCGUCCUCAGGAAUAUCAAGAAUAACAAAGUCCGUUAAAAUAGUAACAUUUGCAACUACAACAGGCACAUCCUCACAAAUACCGAUAGGUAUAGCAGUUGAUUUAUCAGCCAUUUGCAACAAUAUUUCAGUAGGUGUCAACUUAUUCAAAUCAAGUCUACGAUAUAAAGAGAGAGGCAUAACACUAACACCGGCUCCAAGAUCACAUAAAGCAGUUUUAACAUAAUUUCUAUUAAUGGAGCAUGGUAUAGUUGGUACACUGAGAUCUCCAAGUUUCUUUGGUAUUCCACCCUUAAAAUUAUAAUUAGCAAGCAUGGUGGAAAUUUCAGCUUCCGGUAUCUUUCUUUUAUUUGUAAUAAUAUCUUUCAUGUACUUAGCAUAAGGAUUAGUUUUGAGCAUAUCAGUUAAUCUCAUACGCAAAAAUAUAGGUCUAAUCAUUUCAGCAAAGCGCUCAAAAUCCUCAUCAUCCCUUUUCUUGGAUGGUUUGGGAGGAAAAGGCAUGGGUUUAUAAACCCAAGGCUCUCUUUAUUUACCAUGUUUCCUAGCAACAAAGUCUUUCUUAUCAUAACGUUGAUUCUUUGAUUGUGGGUUAUCAAGAUCAACUGCAGGUUCAAUUUAUAUGUCAUUAUCCUUACUAGGUUGAGCAUCAUCAUGAACAUUAUCGUUAACAUUACCACUAGUUUCAGGUUCAUUACUAGAUUGUGUUUCAGCAUCAGAAAUAGAAAUAUCAUUUGGAUUCUCAGGUGUUUCAGUAAUAGGUUCACUAGAAGCAUGCAAAGUCCUAUAAUUUUUCUUUUUCUUCUUCUUAGAAGAACUAGGUACAUCUAUAUUAUUUCUCUGAGAAUCUUGCUCAAUUCUCUUAGGGUGGCCUUCAGGAUACAAAGGUUCCUGAGUCACUCUACCAGUUCUAGUAGCCACUCUAACAGCAUUAUCAUUGUCCUUACUAUUCAAUUCAUUGAGCAAAUCAUUUUGAGCUCUAAGUACUUGUUCUACUUGAGUGGUAACCAUAGAAGCAUGUUACUAAUAAGUUUAAGUUCACCUUUGACAUUAGCCAUAUAAUUACCCAAGUGUUCAAGCAUAUUUGAAUUGUUUUUCAAUUGUCUACCAAAAUAAGCAUUAAAAUCUUCUUGCUUAGCCAUAAAUUUAUCAAACUCAUCUAAGCAUGGGCUAGCAAAUUUAGUAAAUGGUAUUUCAGCUUUAUCAUAUCUGUAGAGAGAAUUUACCUUUACAACCUGUGUUGGGUUAUCAAGACCAUGAGUUUAUUCAAUAGGUAAUGGAUUAAGAUUAUAUGUUUCUUCAACAGGCGUUAAAUUAAGACCAUGUAUUUCUUCAAUAGGAGGUAAAUUCUUAACAUCUUCAGCUUUCAUACCUUUUUCUUUCAUUGAUUUCUUUACGUCUUGCAUAUCUUCAGGACUGAGAAAUAGAAUACCCCUCUUCUUCGAGGUUGGUUUAGGAAUAGGCUCAGGAAUUGGCUCCGGAGGUGUCCAAUUAUUUUUCAUUUGUCAACACAUUAUUCAAUAGAAUCUUAGCUUCAUCUGGUGUUCUUUCCCUGAAAACAGAACCAUCACAACUAUCCACGUAAUCUCUAGAGGCAUCGGUUAGUCCAUUAUAAAAGAUAUCAAGUAUUCAUUUUUCUUAAGAGGAUGAUGAGGCAAAGCAUUAAGUAAUUGGAGAAGCCUCCCCAAGCUUGUGGGAGACUCUCUUCUUCAAUUUGCACAAAAAUAUAUAUAUCCCUUAAAGCAGCUUGUUUCUUAUGAGCAGGGAAAUAUUUAGCAGAGAAGUAAUAAAUCAUAUCUUGGGGACUACGCACACAACCAGGAUCAAGAGAAUUAAACCAUAUCUUAGCAUCAACCUUUAAUGAGAACAAAAAUAUUUUAAGGAUGUAAAAGUAAUGAGUUCUCUCAUCUUUAGUGAAUAGUGUGGCUAUAUCAUUCAAUUUAGUAAGAUGUGCCACAACAGUUUCAUAUUCAUAACCACGAAAAGGAUUAGAGUCAACCAAAGUAAUUAUAUCAGGAUCAACAGAGAAUUCAUAAUCCUUAUCAGUAACAAAGAUAGGUGAAGUAGCAAUAGCAGGGUCAGGUUUCAUUCUCUUAAGAAACCUUAUCAGUAACGCGAUGAUUUCUUCUCUUUGAUUUUUUCUCCCCAAAACACAAUAUAUGGAGUUGGAGUUGGAGUCGGAGAGGCAAUAGGGGGCCCACGAGAUAGGGGGCCGCGCCCUAGGGGGGCGCGCCUUCAUCUUUUGCAUGUAUUUUUCAUAUUUUCUGAAAAGUUGCUCCAUGAAGUUUCAGGUCAUUACGAGAAUGUUUCUUUCUGCACAUAAAUAACAACAUGGUAAUUCUGCUGAAAACAACGUCAGUCCGGGUUAGUUCCAUUCAAAUCAUGCAAGUUAGAGUCCAAAACUAGAGCAAAAGUGUUUGGAGAAAUAGAUACGACGGAGACGUAUCACGGGUAAGAUUAACAAUUUCUUCAAGACGUCACUUAAGAGGUUUGGUCCUUGGUUGGCUGGGGAUAUAAUGGCAAGCUCCCGUUGAGCUCCAGUGUACAGCUGCUCCACCAGGGUGUAAACCUCCUUGAGUUUUAUUAAACUGGUUUGGCUCAGAUUUUUGCUCCGGGGACCUGUGGGUGUUUUAAAAGGUUAAGAAGGCGGCUUAUACUUCUGGCAAAAAUAGAGUGUAAGUAUUAAAGGCAAAUAACUCACCAAAGAUUGCGGAGACCAUCUGAGACACACGGUUUUUAAGCCGGUGAGCUCCGUGGUAACCUCCUUGAGAGCCGCCUAUGCUGUCUCAGGGUUUCUUCUCCGCAUCAAAACUGGUCUUCAGUUUUUCAGCUUCAGAGAGGCUGAACUUGAGUUUGGAGUCAGUGUUCUUUAUCUCCGCCUCUUGAUCCGCCAGCCGGGUCUUUGCAUCAGUCAAUUGAGACCCCAGUUCAAUUAAGGCGGUCUGCAAACAUGCACAAGUGUGUUAAAAUGUAUUUCAAUAAAGGUUAUCAUGAUUAAAGUCCCAAGUGCAUUGCAACGCAACACCACUCGGCACUUGGGGGCUAAUGUCUACCAAAGCAAUUUUUAAAUGCAAAAUGGCUCUUCUAUGAUUAAAGUCCCAAGUGUUUUACAAGUAACAAUGCUUGGCACUUGGGGGCUAAUGCAUGAUAUUAAGAAAGUUUUUUCAUGUUGAGCCGGAUCACACUAUUUGUUUCGACUGAUUCAAGACAGUUAUGAAGUUAAGUACCGGCUCAUUCGUGAUAAAUUGAGCCGGCCCUUGGGGACUACAGGCGAAAUUUAGGCUGGACUUAAGGAAAAUCUAAGACAGAGCAUCAACCUAUAUCACAAGUCUACAGAUCAUUCAGGUUCAUCAUAAUCCGGAGACUUGGGGGCUGGCAGAGCAUAUAUAAGCUAGUGAAAGCCGGCGAAUGUACCUCAUAUUUCAGCUGCAGUUGCUUGACCAUCUCAAUUUCCGAGUCACGAAUGGAAUGCACAUGACUGAGGUAUCCAGGCAACACGUCACUAACGUACAGGUGAGUGUAAUGAGAGACGUCAAACCGCACCUUCUGCCUCUCUAAAGCCUCUUGCUUAGCAGAGUGCCAGGCGAGUAUAGUUGGGUUGCCCGACUCAACGAAUCAACUACCAGUAAUUAAGACAUCAUUGUCAGAAGUCGUCGGUGGGUUAGCUAAGCUAGAUGGCUUAGUGGUAGACGGCUGAGGAGGGUCUGAUUGAACGUUGACAGCCAGAUCUUCUGGCGCUUCAGAUUGUUCAGGAGGAGUUGGUAUUGCCGGUUCAGGUGCAGGAUUUUUCGAGUCUUCUACCGGUUUAGUCUCCUUGGUUUUCUUGGACUUUGCUUGACUGCUAAGAAAGAUUUUAUGAGACAGUUAGUAUAAUGAUGCAGUUUUAAAAAUGUAGAAGAAAGAUGAUUUUCCUUACCCAGGGGCAGUCUUGAAAGCCAGAAAUUGAGUUUGUGACGAGUUGCCAAAAGAGCGAGAAACCUCUUGCAAAGGUAAAAUAAAGUUAAGAGAGUAAGGAAAUAGAUUCAUUGAUAAAAUCAAAAGACAAAGGUGAAAGAAACCUCAUUCUGGCGUUUUUGAGGAGUUUUUUGUAAAUCGGAGGGCGGUUCAUUGUCGUCAUUAGUCCGAGCCUGACGACGGCUCUCAUGUUGCUGCUUUUUCAAAAGAAAAUGAGGGUCCAAAUAAGCCAAAGGGUGUGAAAACCUUACUUUCCGGGUUACCAGUCGAAGUUUCUGUCUUGGCAAAGGGGCUGAGUCGGAGGAAAUAGUUACCUCUUCUUCUACGGCCUGGCUAGCCCCCGUAUCAUCCUGGCAAUAGUCAGUGUCAAUAAGGUUGUUAAAAAACUGGCCAAGGGAGUCAAGGGCUAGCUCCGACUCAGAAACAUCAUCUAGCUGGAACAUGUCAGAUGCAGUCUUCUUCUUCUUGGGCUUCCGGGUCGUCUUCCUAGUGGCUAUGGCAGCGGCUCUAGCCUUCUUGGCAGCUUCGUGAUCAUAUUUGGCCUUCCAAAAGUUAGAUUUGGCCUGUAAGCAAAUAAUAGGUUAAAAAGCCAUGCAAGUAUUUAACUACUGAAGAAAAAGGAGGUCAAGGGGGUUCACCUCUGGUGUCAGGUCAAGUUUGCAGAAGGGGUUUAAUCCAACCUUACUGCAGUCCUCGUAUUUUUCCGUUCACGAGGAUGAUUGACAUUGCAACAAUGUCUUCUUAAGUUAGUUGUACAGAACUAUGACGCAGAGAAUCAUCUGGGCCUCCGCCAUAUUUAUACAUCAACUUGGAUCGGCGGCUUAGAGGGAUGACCCGCCAUGCGAUCCAGCAAUGGAUCAGGACAACUCCAGUUAAGCUAUUUCCCAAUAAGGCUUGAAUCCUUUUGAUAGAUGGGUUAAGCUUCUUGCGUUCAGCAGUAGUAAGCUUGUCAGGGAGCACAAACUUAGAAUCAAGACGCUCCGCGCGAUAACCCGGCAGUGGCUUUUCAUCAGUUAGAGACGUGUCUUGGCAAUAGAACCAAAUUUGGUUCCAAUCUUUGGGAUGGCUUGGUAAGACUAUUAAAGGAAAGACAGCACCCUGUCGGCGCUGAAUCGAGAUUCCGCCAAGUUCCAAGCUAGGGUCAUUGGUGCAUUCAUUCUGUCGGUUCAAAUAAAAGUACUCUCUGAAGAGCUCCACAGUCGGUUCUUCUUUGAGAUAUACCUCGCAGAGAACUUGAAAAUUGCAGAUAUUGGAUAUGGAGUUGGGUCCAAGAUCUUGUGGAUGAAGUUUGAAAAAAUGCAGAACGUCUCGGAAGAACUUUGAGCCGGGUUGUGAGAAAACCCGAUUCAUGUGGUCAGUGAAAACGAUAACUUCACCGUCUUUGGGCUGAGGCCGUUCUUCGACCACGUCAGGAGCAUGAUAAGACAUAAUAGUCUUCACCGGCAAAUAUACGAUCGUGAUAAAAUGUUUCAAGGUGUCCUCAGUGACUGUGGAAGGAACCCAGUUGCAGACCGUUGGCGCUUUUGGCGGCAUGAUGAAAAAAGGGAAACCUAAAAAGAAAUGAAUGUAUCGGUUCAAUUUAUUGGUGGAAUUAUAGGUUAAAUGAUGAUAGUACAGAUAAGUAAUGGCGGCUUAAGUAAGGGCUAAUGACAUAUAAAGGAAAAGUGAGCCGGCGUGAUAAGCCGCCAUGACUAAAGAUAUUCGAAGGUUGCUAGAAACAGAAUUGGAUAAGCGCUGAGACAAACAAGUUUCACAAGCUAUUGUUAUUAUUCUGGAUCAAGAUGGUUCAGAAAAGAAAAAUAAAUUUAGACCUAAAAAACCAGCGCAGAGGAGUUCGUCAGCUCUAAAGAGGCAUUUUUACAAGAGAAAGGGACCUGCUAGCAUCUAAAAUGGAUGUAAAACAACUUCCGCAUAUGUUCUACACUUCUCUUAGAUCAAAAGAGGGUGCGGUGGAGAAGUUGCAAGGAAUCUACGACGAACAACGAAGAACACAAGAAAGAACACGAACCCUAAUGCGGAUCUAAGGGGUGAAAAAGCAAGAGCUUACGGAUGCAGAGCUACUGCAGGGGAUCGCCGAUGUUUUUUCUGGACGAGCUCAGGGUGACGCAGUGGCCAAUGUUGAGGACGACGGCGAGCGUUGCGGCAGCGGCGGAGCUCGAGAGGGAGAGAGGUGGCGAGAGAAGGAAGAAGAAGAAAGUAGAAGGACCGGCCAUGCCUAUUUAUAAGGAACUAGGUGAACGGGCAGGUGCGAAAAUCAAGGGAUACCAAAGCAAUGAUUAUCCAGCUAAAUGGACGCCUCGAUUCAUGGAAAACAUUUAAAGAUAAGGAUCCGUUAAAGAUGACAUCAAGGCAGAUUUCCAAAUUUUCUGAAGAUGAUGUUAUGGCGGGUUACAGAGCUUUUACGAACAGCGGAACAUGGAUUUCAUCUAAGUGUUAGAGAUUGACAAGAACAAAGUUCAAAUCAACCUGGGGCCUAAUGUUGGGGAUAUAACUCCUAGGUAUGACCCGCCUAGGAGGGGCCGGGUUAAUCUUAAUGGUGGGUUACUCGAAGAAGCCCGACGAGUAUACAAGGCGACGGUUCAUUAUAAGACUUGUAGCAGGCCCAAGCCCAGAGGCGGAUUAAGGCCCAUAUUUGUAAACCGCCAUGUAUGAGUAAGACUUGUAAAGUAAGGCAUGUAAAAGAAGUCACCGAGCCGGACACAUUGUAUGAGCCAGCCGGGACUCUGUAGGCCGCCAGGCGUCAACCCGUGUAUAUAAGGGGACGACCCGACGGCGGCUUAGGGCAAGAAACAACAGAUCGAGAGCCAAGCUAGCGUAUUUUGCUCCUUGGUCAUCGAAACCUAGCAAUACCACAACAACUGGACAAGGCUUUACCUUCACCGCAAGGGGCCGAACCAGUAGAAACCUCUCGUGUCCUUUGUCCCGAUUAACCCCUUUAAGCAUCCUAGUUGUGAUGGCUACAUGACUAAGUCCUUUCACUAGGACAUCUGCCAUGACAAUUCCAUGACACAUUUCAUCUAAUGUCAUCAUGUGCAUCUCAUUUGUAUUCGCAUUCAUCUCAUGCACCCAGUCAUUCUCCUUGUUGGCCGUUUCAGAAUCCGACAUUCCCACAUGUAUGCGUUGCCCCUCUCACAUCUCGUGUCAUGAGCGGGAGAAAAACAUUCUCGGAAUGGGCCGAGAUUUGUUGGGUGGUCUUGGUACAUCACCGAUAGGCCGCCCGUCAAAUUUCAUUCCAUUUGGAGGUCAUUUGAUGCCCCAACAGUUAACUGGGUAACCGCAAAGGCCCCUCUCACUUUGUAGCCCAGCACCCCUCCAAAACAGCCCACUAGUCCUUCUAAACCCCCUCCAUGCUAUCCGUUGUUGGAUCACGAUCGUGUGGGCGAAAAUCACACCCCAUUUGGACUCUCCUAGCUCCCCCUACCUAUAUAUAUGUCCUCUCCCCCGAAAUUUGUGUCCAAACCCUAGCAAUCUUCCUCCUUGCGCCACCGGACACCUCCGUCCGUGCCGAACACGUCGCCUGGCCAAUCAGCAUCCGCCAUGUCACCAUCCGCCGCCCCGCAGCCACUCAGGGCACGCCAUGUCGCCGAUUCCCAUGCCUCCUGCGCCGCUCGCCCGCCGCCCCGCCGCAUUCAAGGUUGCCGGACAACGCCUCCCGCCGCGCCCAAGUCUACCGAACGCCGCCUCCUACGCUCCCAGCUAGCGUCCUUCUCCUCCCCUAGCAAGCCUCUCCUUCCUCUCCGGCCACCAUCACGCGAUCUCUGGAGGAAUUCCAGCCACCUCGAAAUUCAUGCCCAAGUCAAACCCUAGAUCCGAGGGGUAUAAAUUUCGUCCAAGUCCUGGAAUUUCUACAUUAAGUGCACCUCUUUGAGAUGUCAUAUCUCCAUGCUUGUAGCUCUGAAUUGCACUUAUGAUAUAUCAAAAUGUUCUUCUCGUGAUGAUCUUAAUGUUAGUGUCACUUUCAUGCAUGUUACUGUCCAUAUUGAUGACCUAACCUUCAUUGCGGAAGUGCUAUAUGAUGUUGUCUGCUGGAAUUUAUCAUAACUUGUUGAUUUGUCAUUUUCAUUGCAUUUUGUGUGUGCAUCCUAUGAGCAUCAUGUCUGUAUGUUUUUGGAGCAUCUCCAUGCCAUCUUUAGAGUGGUGUACACCAUGUAUUUUUAUGAGUUGUGUGGUGACUAGCACAAGCAUGCAAAGUAGGCUAUAAAAUGUUGCUGAUUCCAGACACUUGUUACAUUAUGAUGCUAUGUUGUCUUGUUGCCACAAGUAGAUCCGUGCAUAUUUUGAUGAAGUUCAGUAAGAGUGUUUUGAAGAUAUGGUUAUGGUCUACCCAUUCAUGCCUCCGGUUGUAAUUAUGGAGUAGUGUAGCUUGUCAUUAUUGUGCUCUCUUUUGCUAAAUAUUGUUGUUGGCUGAAUUGUUAACAUGAAGUUCAUUUUUGCCAUGUGUUUUGCUAGUGGUCCAGACACCCUAUGUACUUGCUCUUUCCAUGUUUAGCUUCAUAAAUGUGUCUUCUUAGUGUUGAUUACCUUGUGAUGCCAUGAAAUACUUUUAGGUGAGUGGCAUGAACUUGCCAAGUUGCUAUCAUGAAUCUGAUUCUGUCAUGCUCUGUUUUUCUUCCAAGUCUGAAAUAGAUCAUAUCACUUACCAUGUUUGCUUUGAUGCUACCACCUUGUCUAUGCAUAUUUGGCUAAAGUUCAGUAAGGGAGUUUUGUUCUUUGUCUUUAGUACUAGCAUGCCAUGACUUUUUUUGCCAUGAUAUGUUCCUUUAGCAUGUUGUUUGCUAGCUCCAAACAUUGCUACCUGAUGUUGUUUAUGACAUAUUUAGCAUUUUCUCUAAGUCCAUGAAGUUGUGAUCUUUUGCAUUUUUUCCAUGCUAUUUUAGGAUUGUUCUAUUGAGUUCUAGAAGGAUCUCAGUGUUCAUGAUUCAUAGAGCUUCACUUGUACUUCACUGCCAUGUGCUUUGUUGCUAUGUUGGAGUGUUAUAGCAUAGUUUCGUGAUACAUCUUAAGUGAUAUGAUGCUGUUAAGCGCAGUUUUGCAUCGUUCCUGUUUUGCUCGUCAUUUGCAAAUAGUGCAUCCAUUUCCGGUGAUCCUUAUAUCGAUUUCGACCAAAAUAACCCCAUCAUUGUAGGGGCAUGCUUGGUUUGCCAAGUUGAUGCCUUGAUCAUCUUUUCCCUUCCGGAGUACCCUUAAGCAUUGCACAUCAUACCUUGCAUUCCAUGCCAUGUCUUGCAUCAUGUUGCUUGUGCAUUGCACCAUGAUUGAUUGUUGUUUUGUUGCAUGUGUUCUUGCUUUGGGUAGAUCCGGGAGACGAGUAUGAGAACGAGGAACCUGUUGAGUACGUUUACGAGGAGCAAGCUUUCGACAACUUUGAGAACUCUGCACCCAAGAUGAUCAUUACCCUUGAUAUCACUUCUAUCUUUGCUUGCUCGUUGUUCUUUCUAUCGCUAUGUCGCACUACCUACCAUUUGUUUAUCACGCCUCCCAUACUUCCAUGUCAAUCCUCUAACCCACCUUCCUAGCAAACUGUUGUUUGGCUAUGUUACCGCUUUUGCUCUGCCCCUCUUAUAGAGUUGCUAGUUGAAGGUGCCUUGCAGGUUGUUCCAUGCUAGAACAUGGAUAUCUUGGGAUAUCACAAUAUCUCUUAUUUAAUUAAUGCAUCUAUAUACUUGGCAAAGGGUGGAAGGCAUGGCCUUUUGCUUGGUGUUUUGUUCCACUCUUGCCGCCCUAGUUUCCGUCAUACCGGUGUUAUGUUCCUUGAUUUUGUGUUCCUUACACGGUUGGGGUUAUGGGACCCCCUUGAUAGUUCGCUUUGAAUAAAACUCCUCCAGCAAGGCCCAACCUUGGUUUUAACAUUUUCCUAAUAACAAUUAAAACUUUGCCUAGGGAGUAAUUAACCCGAGGAUUAUCUUUAUUCAUCCCCCGCGCUAGUGUUCCUCUGAGUGCUGGUCCAACCUGGGCGAUGUCCCGCGCCCCCUAGGCCACCAGGUUCUCAGCCAACCCGACGUCUGGCCCAUCCGGUGUUCCCUGAGAACAAGAUACCUGCGACUCCUAUCAGGAUUUGUCGGCACAUCGGGCGGUCUUGCUGGUCUUGAUUUAGCAUUGUCGAAAUGUCUUGUAAUAGGGAUUCCGAGACUGAUCCAGUUCUUGUAUGUUAGCCACCAUACUUGCUGCAACUCCACCUCAUAAACACAUCCUACCCAUAAGCUUAAAUAGUCUUGAUCUCGCGGGUUUUGAGAUUGUUGAGUCCUCGUGACUCACAGAUACUACCAAAACAGUUGUAGGUGCCGAUGAUACCAGUGCAGGUGAUGCUACCGAACUCAAGUGGGAGUUCGACGAGGACCUUGGCCAUUACUACGUGUCUUUUCCUGAUCAUCAGUAGUGGUGCCCAGUUGGGACAAUCGGGGAUCUAUCAUUUGGGGGUGUCUUCUUUUCAUUUGGAUUUGUGUGUAGUCGGACUAUGAGUGUACUAUGAAUGAUGUAUGAAUUAUUUUGAUUAUUUUGUAACGUGGCAAUUGUAAGCCAACUAUCUAUUUAUCCCCUUCUUAUUCAUUACAUGGGAUUGUGUGAAGAUGACCCUUCUUGCGACAAAAACAACAUGCGGUUAUGCCUCUAAGGCGUGCCUCGACAGAUGGGAGAUAUAGUUGCAUCUUGGGCGUUACAAGUUGGUAAUCAGAGCCAUCCCCGACUUAGGAGCCCCCUGCUUGAUCGAAUCGCUGACGUUGUUGAGUCUAGAACAAAAAUGUUUUGAGUCUUAGUAUUAUAUAUAUUGGAGAGUAGGAUUCUUUUUACUCCUCAGUCCCCUUCGUCGCUCUGGUGAGGCCUCCUGAUGUUGAUGUUUUGACUUUCCUCUCCUCCAUUUCACUAAAAAAAUUAGGAUCACGCGGGUAUCUUGGAAUCGUUCUAAUAUUCUUGUGACGAGAACAUUGUUCUUGGUGCCUCCUAACAUUUAGGGGUUGUGGCAGUGUCCUAGGGAGUUUAGCUCGGAGUUGCUGUCAUCACAAUUUUAUCAUUGCAGUUCCAGAAUAACUGAGUUUGCCGACAUCGAAAAUCUCUUUUAUGCAGGUAUUGGUGAGAUAAGCUCAACGCCACCCAGUACUUGGGAGGGAGUUCCAGGAGUAUUUCCAUGGCUCGUAUAAUGGAUGCUUUUCGAAGGUUCAGGUACACAAUUUCUGGAGUUUUCUUGGUUAUGUGUUGACGGAUGGAUAUAGUUGGAGCGUAGGGCUUGUUAGUUGUGUGAUAUAUUUUGUGCCUCCCUAUAUCCCCAACACCAGAUUACAUAACCAGAAAGUUUCGGGAGUUUAUAGGUGGGAAUUCAAGUAUCUCUUAGUACUUCUUCCCGUAGAUAUUUGGUAUGUGAUUGGGUGAUCCUUACCAUUUAUUUGUUCCAAUUGUACCUUGUUGUUUCUUUCAUCAAUCUCAUUUAGUGGCUUAUCACCUUCAUUCGUUCAAUCUUUGUUUGUUCAAUCUUUGUUUGAAUGUUUAUUGUGAAGACUAUAUGUUGCAAUUUCUAUCCAUUGAUUCAGCUUGUCUAUCUGUCUAUCAUGGUUAUAAUGGUUGUCACCCUCUUCAGGAUGGAUCCUCCAACGCGUCUGAAUCCGCAACGUAACGAUGGGGAACAGGCGAACCCUACACCUCCGCCAUCUCCUCCGCCUCGGAGGCAUGGCAAGAUGUCAUGGCACUACAACAAGAACCCCCCUAUCACAACGCAUAUGUAGCAAUGAAAUACAACAUGUGUUGUUGGGUUAACCUCCACGUACCCACCUCCAUCUUCCCCAUGAAGGGAUAACCUCCCCAUACCCACCUCCACCUCCUCCGUGCAAAUAUCCCGCAACCAAGCAGAAAAAAAGGAACCCAACACUUAUCUCGACCUCUCCCCGGUUUCAGAUCUCUCACGCGAGCUCCGCCACAACACCGUCGCCGCCACCUCCGAUUCUAGGCUGCUUUGGCGCUUCCCUUCAGUGCCCCUCACAGGCUCAUCUCCCCCUCAUUUCUCUCGUUUGAUCCACCACAGUCGUGGCAUCCUCCAUGCCUCUGCGGCUCUACGAGCCCCCGGAAAAACCCUAGGUGCCAUGGGUCAUUGCCGCAGUUGAUGCGCUCGGCCCAAUAUCCCCAUGUCUCCACCCGCACGGCUGUUCGUUAGGCUUGAUAGUGCUGCUCCACGUCGGCUACCUCUACUCUAAUGUUGACGGUUCAGUAAGGCACUUCUGCACACUUCCCCUCCGCUCUUACCCUCUGUGGUGCUUUGUGUGGCAAGGAGCCAUGGACCAUAGCUAUUUUUUGUCUGCCAUUACGACAAUGAUUAACGCAUCUCACUCGCCUGAUUCCCUGUUGAGGGUGCUCGCUUGCACCGGCAGCCACAGCACACCAUGGUCUGUCACUAUGUGUUCCAUGGGCAGAGACAUGGAGGGGCGAACAGGGGCUGGAGACCCUUGCCAAUCGUUCAACCGCCUCAACAACUUUCAGCAUGUAGUUAGACCGUAUGUACACGCUAAUGGCCGGCUGGCCUCAGCUAAUUACUCAUUAUCCUAUAUGUUAGUGAACUAGCAUCAAAUUAGAGAAUCCCAACCAGCCGGCACUAGCCCAUCAAUGGUCAUGGCUGGCUUAUUGUGAUCAAUGAAUCGAUCAGGUUAUGACCCGCGUAUAUGCAUGUUCUGCACUUUCUGCGCCCGGAUAUAGUAACUUUGGUUUAGAAUUUAUUUUUGCUGUCAUCCUAUAGCAUAGCAGCAGCUGCUGCUAGCAGCCUGGUGCUUGAGCACUAGCAUCACAACAUUGGUCUUCACAAUAGUGUGUUUGCCGCGUGCCAUCAUGGACGAUGCACUGAUCCUCUGUCUUUGAAUCUGGCCACACAACUCAUGCAAGUCAUCCCUAAACAUAAGGUAUAGAGGUUUAUAUCGUUGUUAGGCAUUUAAAGCUUAUUGGUUACUAUUUUUUUAGAUCUACUUAAAUGUGCUUGCAUAUGUGCUUAUGAAAUGAAUCCAUCAUUAUGUACAGUACCAAAAUUUCUUACAUAUUCAUCCUUAGGAGAAAUUUCGGGACUGAAGAGGGAGGUACGGCUGCAUGAAUCUUGUUGGUUUGUAAAGUUGUAAGUGAUUUAAGUGACAUAAUGUACAAUGUAAUUCAAAAACCCAUGUUGGUUUUUUAAUCACUAUUCAGAUUAAUAUUAUUGUCAAGCAUCUUUAUAAAUCAAAAUCACUAGAAAACACACUUGUUAACAUUUAGUACAGCCUCCUGAUUUGGCAUUGUGUGAGUUAUUUUCUUUCAACUUCAAGUACUUAUAGAAAUUUUAAAUCGCUGCAUUUAUAUGUAUUGUUUUGGGAACCACAGUUUUGUGUUUGCAAUGAAGCAUGCUCUAUUUGUCGCACAUACUUUUUGGGCAUGUGCCUCACUGUAUCUUCAAUAUAUUAUUUGUAAGGUUUUAUUAAAUAAAUAAACAUAUCGAUGGUCUAUUCAUAAGGCUCUCUUUUCUCUGUGUGUGGAGUUGAGUGCUAUGGAUGGAACUGUUAAGAAGUGUUCAAAUGAUUAUAUAUAUCAUAACCUUCAGAGGUGAUGAUGUAUGCUGGACGAUGCAACGGUUAUUCUAUUCCGCUGCUUGGUACGACUUGGAUGUUCAGAGAAGUAAAACUACAACUAAUGUAUUUAGGGAAGCAACAUAUUGUUUCUCGAGUGAAACUUUCUCUAUCUGGAGGUGCAAGCAUUAAACUAGCAUGCAACUAAAGACAAGGUAUGCUCAUUUUUCUAUUGUUUGGAAUUCAACGUGGUUGAGCAACAAUUUAUUAUUGCUCAUAGUUUUUGCAAUAUGAAUGUGUAUUGUAGUUUCUGCUUAGCUUUGAAUUCUAAACAAGACUGUUGCUCUCCCUACGCCCCAAAGUAGCAACCUAGAAUAUAAAAAAAUUGAGAGUGCUGAACUUGGUAAUUUAUUCUUGCUUGAUAUGACCACUAAAACAAAACAAUUGGUCGUAUAGCAAGAUUAACCAUCACUUGGCCUUCAACCUUUGUAUGUUGCCCUUCCUCUGUUAACUUGAUUUUAUUUAAUGGUACCUUAUUUUUCUCAUUGCUUUGUUUUUGUAGAUUGGCAAGAUAAAUCGACAAUGCAUGGCUCAGAAGUUGAUUGCAAGAUCAAGAAGGUGUCAACGACUAGAUAGUUUCAGAUUAUGGUUUAGAAUGUCAUUUUCAGGUCAAUGUUUUAAACAUUAUGUUUUAGAUGUCUGUGACAUUGAUUGCAAUGUUGAGAAUCAAACUACGACUAGAUAGUUUCACAUAUUGUAAGCUUUGUAUCAUGUUCUUUGUAAAGCAACUGGGUUGAUUUAAUAUAUGUGACCAUUUUUUAUAUUUGUGUCUCCAAUGCACUAUCAGCAUUGACAUAGUAGAUCAUAAUGUUGAUAUACAAAACACCAUUAAUUUUCCAAGAUCAGAAUGUUGAUAUACAAAAUACCAUUAAUUGUUGAAGCAAAUGCGACAAUGCUUCUAGGCAAUACAAGGCUCCUUUUGGGGCCAACCAGCAACACCUAUUAAGUGUUGUUAAUCUCCAGCUCUACAUGUUGUUGUCUUCCAACACAUAUUCACAUUGGUUACCAACGCAUGCAUAUGUGUUGUUGUAGACCAUUGCAAUGCCACAAACGACAACGCAUAUAAAUCCGUUGGUGUAGCCCUUAGCAACGCUUAUAUGGACAUACGACAACACAUCGAUACAUUGCUGAAGGGGGGUUCUUGUUGUAGUUUGGAAGCCACCAAUUCCAACACCCAGAUGCUUUUGCAACUCUUGCAAGAGAGCAACCAAGGCCAAGGCAACCAAGGAAAUCAAGGUCAAGAGCAAUUCAACAAUCAGCCUCAGUUUGCUACCCUCAACUAGUUCCUUGCAAAUCAGCGAAAGUCUUUCAGCAACUGUGCCGAGGCCACGGACGCCGAUGAUUGGCUCAUGGACAUCAACAAGCAUUUUGAAUGUAGCAAUGUCAGGCCUGAGGACUACGUCAAGUUCGAUUCUUUUCAGCUCAUGGACCAAGCAGCUGAUUGGUAUCAGCAAUACAAAGAUUCAAGAGGAGGUCGAGUGAUUAUCUAGGAUGACUUCUGCCGAGACUUUAAAGCUCGUCAUAUUCGAACAAGUGCUGCUGAGAGCAAGCGUGAUGAAUUCCGCAAUCUCAAGCAAGGAAGCAUGUCUGUGUAUCAAUACAACAUCCAGUUUCAGAAACUUGCUCACUUUGCAAUGUAGGACAUUCCUGAUGAAAAGAGCAUGAUCUAUCACUUCAGGGGUGGCCUCAGAGAGGAUCUACAGUUAACGCUCGUUCUUGUUGAGCCUACUAAGUUCGAUUAGUUCUAUAACAUGGCCCUCUAGCAAGAAGGUGCUCAGCUCAAGUGUGAGGCUUCAAAGAAGAGAAUCAGGGAUGCAGUCCAGUUUUCUUCUUGCGCACAAGUGGCAACUAAGCAACAUAAGUUCUGGCUUCAUCCUCCUCCAUUUCGUCAGCCCUGCCAACAAAAGAACAAAGGUGGCCAUGGAUCUUCCCACCCACCCAACCCAGGCUAUUAGAACAAGUCUCAGACUCAAGCUCCAAAGAGAAGUGCUCCUCCUUCUUAUCACUGUCUGCUCUCAGAAGUUACUUGCAAGAAGUGUCAGCAGAAAGGUCACUAUGUAAACAAGUGCUUCAACCAAAGGAGCCUUCCGCCUCCUCCUCUUGCGAGGUCUUCAAGCAAUGUAGUGGCCAAGCAUAAUCCCAAGUCUGCAAGGGUGAACUUGAUGAAUUCAGUUCAAGUAGAUGAAUUCUUCAGAAGUGAUCAUGGGUAAUCUCCAACUUAAUGAUAUUCCUCCAGAAGUUUUAUUUGAUACUGGUGCAUCGUAUUGUUUCAUCUCAAGACCUUUUGCACCAAAGCAUGAGUUGGUUUUUCAAGAUUUUCCUAGACCGUUAUCAGUUCUUUCUCCGGGUAAAUUCUUGAACGCGAGCUAAGCGGUUCGGGUUGUUUCCAUCAAGAUGGGCAACUACAAAUUUCUGGCUUCGCCUGUUGUUCUUGGCGACUCGGAUAUUGAUCUAAUUCUCGGCAUGGAUUGGCUUUCUAAGCACAAGGCUCAACUUGAUUGUGCUGCCAGGGAGAUUAAAUUGACACACUCUUCUAAGGAUGUGAUCAUCUUUGCCGCUCGUAACGAAACCAUUCGUUUAUUCUCUCUCAAUGAGAAGGGCGAAUUAGAUGCAAUUUCUCUGAUUCCAGUUGUUUGUGAGUACCAAGAUAUCUUUCCAGAAGAGCUUUCGAGUAUGCCUCCUCACCGGCCAGUUGAGUUUGUUAUCGAUCUUGAGCCUGGUACUGAACCCGUUUGCAAGCGUCCAUACAACCUGGACCAAAGGAGCUGAAGGAAUUGAAGAAACAGCUCGAUGAACAAGAGCAUUUAAGUCUGAUCAGACCAAGUUCAUCUACGUGGGGUUGUGGUGUUCUUUUUGUCCAAAAGAAGGAUGGCACGGACCGACUUCCAAACAUCAAUGAGCUAUUCGAGCAACUUAAAGGUGCAAAGGUGUUUUCCAAGCUUGACCUCCAUAGAGGUUAUCAUCAGAUUCGCAUUUGUGAAGAAGAUAUCCCCAAGACAGUAUUCAGAACCAGCUUUGGUUCUUAUGAAUACACUGUCAUGUCUUUCGGCCUUGUCGAUGCUCCUCCAACAUUCUCUCAAAUGAUGAACUUCAUCUUCACCCCCUACACCAAUGAAUUUGUCCUGGUGUAUCUCGAUGAUACCUUGGUUUUCUCCAAGAAUAAGAAGGAUGAUGCCAAACUUUUGCGAUUGGUGCUCGACAAGCUCAGAGAGUAUCAAUUCCACGUGAAGUUUUCCAAAUGUGAGUUUUGGCUUGAUGAAGUUCUUUACCUUGGCUACAUCUUCUCCGCCAAGGGCCUUGUUGUUAAUCCCGAGAAGGUUUCUACAAUUGUGAAUUGGGAGCCCCCUCAGAAUGUCAAGCAGCUCUACACUUUCCUUGGGCUUGCGAGCCAUUGCCGAAGAUUCGUUGAGAAUUUCUAAGAUUGCAAAGCCUCUUUCGAACCUCCUCCAGAAACAUGUUAAGUAAGUCUGGACUACCGAGUGUGACGUUCCUUUCAACACUGUCAAAGAGAAGCUAGUCUCAGCUCCUCUCCUAACUCCUCUUGAGGAAUCCAAGCCAUUCAAAGUUUUUUGUGAUGCCUCAUUGAAAGUUCUCGAUGCCAUGUUAAUGCAAGAGAAGAAAGUUGUGGCUUAUACCUCUCGUCGGUUGAAGCCCAACGAAAGGAACUACCCCACUCAUGAUGUUGAGUUGGCGGCAGUUGUCCAUGCAUUAAUAACAUGGAAACAUCUCUUGUUGGGAAGGCAAGUGGACAUUUUCAUCGAUCACGAGAACCUCAAAUAUAUCUUCACUCAACCCAACCUCAACCACAGGAAAACUCUUCGUGUCGAAAUGAUUCAAGAGUGCAACCCAUGUAAUGAAUAUACUCCACGCAAGGCCAAUGUGAUUGCAGAUGCUCUGAGCAGAAAGGCUUAUUGCAACAGUUUAAUUCUCAAGACAUUCCAACCAUAUCUUUGUGAAGCUUUCCGCAAGCUCAACCUCCAAGUUGUUCCUUGAGGUUUUCUUGCCAACCUUCAAGUCACUCCAACUUUGGAAGACUAAAUUCAUGAGGCACAACUCAUUGAUACCAUGGUGAAGAGGAUGAAACACGGUAUUGCCAAGGGCUUACCCAAAUACAUGUGCUAUCGCAUUGAUGAAAAGGACACCUUAUUCUUCGAGGACAGGAUUAUGGUUCCUAAAGGUGAUUUAAGGUAGGUCAUAAUGAACAAAGUGCACAAUUCUCUUCUUUCCAUUCAUCCAGGCAGUCAAAGAGGUACCAUGACCUCAAGCAGUCGUAUUGGUGGACUCGAAUGAAGCGAGAGAUCGUUCAAUUCGUGAAUGAAUGGAUGUCUGUCGAAGGGUGAAAGCAGAACACCAACAACCAGGUGGUCUCCUCCCACCUCUUGCUAUUCCAUAAUGGAAGUUUGAUCAUAUUGAAAUGGACUUUGUCACUAGAUUUCCCGAGUCCAAGCGUGGGAAUGAUGCUAUUUUCAUUUUCAUUGACAAGCUUACAGAAGUGGCUCAUUUCCUUCCAAUCAAAGAAUCUAUCAUGGCAGCUCAGUUGGCAGAGCUAUACACCUCCAAAAUUGUCUCGUUGCAUGGAAUUUUGCAACUGAUCUCUUCAGACUGCAGAAGCAUUUUAACUUCCAAGUUCUAGGACUCCUUAUAGAAUACCAUGGGCACCAAUAUUCGCUUCAACACGAUUUUCCAUCCUCAAACAAGUGGGCAAGUCGAGCAAGACAAUCAAAUCCUCGAAGACAUGCUCAGAGCUUGUGUCAUCUCUUUCGGUAUGAAGUGGGAAGAUUGUCUCCCAUAUGCCGAGUUCUCCUACAACAAUAGCUUCCAAGCAAGUUCUGGUAAGGCCCCAUUUGAAAUUAUAUAUGGCUGAAAGUGUCAUACUCCUCUCAAUUGGUCCGAGACUACUGAAUGCCAACUUCUUGGUAAUGACUUGAUCAGAUAAGAUGAAGAAAUGUGUAAAGUCAUCCGUGAAAAUCUCAAAGCCGCGCAAUCACGUCAGAGGAGUUACUAUGAUAGCAAGCACCGUGACUUGGCUUUCGAGAUCGGAGACCAUGUCUACCUCCACGUCUCUCCAAUGAAAGGCACUCGACGCUUCGGUAUCAAAGGGAGGCUUGCCCCUAAAUACGUGGGUCCUUUCAAGAUCAUUGGCAAAAGAGGCGACCUCGCCUAUCAACUGGAGCUGCCGUCCAACUUGGCAAAUGUGCAUAAUGUGUUUCACGUGUCACAGCUUCGCAAGUGCUUCAAGACCCCCGAGCGGACUAUCAACUUCGAAGAGAUUGAUCUCCAAGAAAACUUGUGCUAUCAUGAGCAUCCUGUUGCCAUUCUUGUAGAAACCGAGUGCAAAAAUUGCAACAAGUCGAUCAAAUUCCUGAAAGUUAAGUGGUCACACCAUUCCGACCGUGAAGCCACAUGGGAGCGCGAGGAUCACCUCCGUUCCGAAUAUCUGGAGUUCUUUCAGUCCUAGAUCUCGGGACGAGAUCCUCUUGUAGUGGUGGAGAGUUGUAACGCCCCGGAUAUAACUUUCCAUAAUUGUAACUACAACUCUUGCCAUUUCCGGCUAUGUGAUAUGUUAUUUCCUCCGUGGUUGGGCUUUGUCUUUGUUUUGCAUUUUGUUCAUGUCAUACAUUUCAUCUCAUGUAAUCAUGUGCAUCUCAUUUGCAUUCGUGUUCGUCUCAUGCAUCCGGUCAUUUUCCAUGUUGUCCGUUUCGGAAUCCGACACUCCCACAUGCACCCAUUGCACCUCUCAGAUCUCGUUUCGUCAGCAGGAGAUAUACGUUCUCGGAAUGGGCUGAGAUUUGUCGAGUGCCUUGGUGCAUCACCGGUAGGCCGCCUGUCAACUUUUGUUCCAUUUGGUGGUCGUUUGAUGCCCCAACGGUUAACAAGGUAACCGCAAAAGACCCUCUCUCUUUGCAGCCCAGCACCCCUCCAAAACAUCCUACUAGUCCAUCUAAACCCCCUCCAUGCUCUCCGUCAUUGGAUCACGAUCGUGUGGGCAAAAACCGCACCUCAUUUGGAAUCACCUAGCUCCCCCUACCUAUAUAUAUGCCCUCUCCCCCAAAAUUUGCGUCCAAACCCUAGCAAUCUUCCUCCUCGCACCGCCGGACACAUCCGUCCGCGCAGGACAUGUCCGUCGGACACGUCACCUGGCCAAUCAGCAUCUGCCACGUCACCAUCCGCUGCCCUGCAGCCACUCAGGGUGCGUCAGUCGCUGACUCCCGUGCCUCCCUGGCCGCUCGCCCGCCGCCCUGCCGCGUUCAAGGUCGCCGGACGAUGCUGCCCGCCACGCCCAAUCUCGUCGGCCGCCACCGCCCGCUGCACGCAAGUCCGCCGGAUGCCGCCGCCCGCCGCCUCCUGCGCUCCCUGCCGGCGCCGAACGAACCUUGCCGAUGUCCUGCUCCUCCCCCUCGCCGGCCUCUCCUUCCUCUCCGGUCACCGUCACACGAUCUCUGGUGGAACUCUGGCCACCUCAAAAUCCAUGCUCGGGUCAAACCCUAGAUCCGAGGAGUAUAAAUUUCGUCUAAGUCCUGAAUUUCUACAUUAAGUGCACCUCUUUUACAUGUCAUAUCUCCAUGCUUGUAGCUCCGAAUUGUGCUUAUGAUAUAUCAAAAUGUUUGUCUCGUGAUGCUCUUCAUGUUAGUGUCAUUUGAAUGCAUGUUACUAUCCAUAUUGAUGCCCUAACCUUCGUUGCAAAAGUGCUAUAUGAUGUUGUCUUCUGGAAUUUAUCAUAACUUGCUAAUUUGUCAUUUUCAUUGCAUUUUGUGUGUGCAUCCUAUGAGCAUCAUGUCUGUAUGUUUUUGGAGCAUUUCCAUGCCAUCUUUAUAGUGGUGCAAGAAUUGUAUUUUUAUGAGCUCUGUGGUGACUAGCACAAGCAUGCAAAUAUGCUACAUGAUGUUGCUGAUUUCAGACAUUAUGAUGCUAUGUUGUCUUGUUGCCACUAGUAGAUCCAUGCAUAUUUUGAUGAAGUUCAGUAAGCAUGUUUUGAAGAUAUGGUUAUGCUCUACCCACUCAUGCCUCUGGUUGUAAUUAUGGAGUAGUGUAGCUUGUCAUUACCAUGCUCUACUUUUGCUAAAUAUUGUUGCUGGCAGAUUGUUAACAUGAAGUUCAUUUUUGCCAUGUGUUUUGCUAGGAUCCAUGCACCCUAUGAACUUGCUCUUGCAAUGUUCAACUUCAUAAAUGUGUCUUCUUACUGUUGGUUACCUUUUGAUGCCAUGAAAUACUUUGUGGUGAGUGGCAUGAGCUUGCAAAGUUGCUAUCAUGAAUCUGUUUCUGCCAUGCUCUGUCUUUCUUCCAAGUCUGAAAUUGAUCAUAUCACUUGCCAUGUUUGCAUUGAUGCUACCACCUUGUCUAUGCAUAUUUGGCUAAAGUUUAGUAAGGGAAUUUUGUUAUUUGUCUUUAGUACUAGCAUCCCAUGCCUUUGUUUGCCAUGAUAUGUUCCUGUAGCAUGUUAUUUGCUAGCUCUAAACAUUGCUACGUGAUGGUGUUUAUGACAUGUUUAGCAUUUUCUCCAAGUCUGUGAAGCUAUUAUCUUUUGCAUUUUUGCCAUGCUAUUUUAGGCUUGUUCUAGUGAGUUCUAGAAGGAGCUCAGUGUUCAUGAUUUGUAGAGCUUCACUUGUGCAUCACUGCCAUGUGCUUUGUUGCUAUGUUGGAGUGUUGUAGCAUAGUUUCGUGAUACAUCUUAAGUGCUAUGAUGCUAUUAAGCGCGGUUUUGCAUCAUUCUUGUUUUGCUCGUCAUUUGCAAACCAUGCAUCCGUUUCCGGUGAUCCUUAUAUCGAUUUCGAGAAAAAUCACCCCAUCUUUCCAGCGGCAUGCUUGGUUUUCCAAGUUGAUGCCUUGCUCAUAUUUUCCCUUCCGGAGUACCCUUAAGCAUUGCACAUCAUACCUUGCAUUACGUGCCAUGUCUUGCAUCAUGUUGCUUCUGCAUUUCCACUAUGAUUGAUUGUUGUUCCGUUGCUUGUGUUCUUGCUUUGGGUAGAGUCGGGAGAUGAGUAUGUGAAUGAGGAACAUGUUGAGUACGUUUACGAGGAGCAAGCUUUCGACAACUCUGAGAACUAUGCAGACAAGAUUAUCAUUACCCCCGAUAUUACUUCUAUCUUUGAUUGCUAGUUGUUCGUUCCAUCGUUAGGUAGCGCUACCUACCGCUUGUUUAUCAUGCCUUCCAUACUGCCCUGUCAAGCCUCUAAAGCACCUUCCAAGCAAACCGUUGUUUGGCUAUGUUACCGCUUUUGCUCAGCCCCUCUUAUAGCGUUGCUAGUUGAAGGUGGCUUGCAGGUUGUUCCAUGUUGGAACAUGGAUAUGUUGGGAUAUCACAACAUCUCUUAUUUAAUUAAUGCAUCUAUAUACUUAGUAAAGGGUGGAAGGCCUGGCCUUUUGCUCGGUGUUUUGGUCCACUCUUGCGGCCCUAGUUUCCGUCAUACCGGUGUUAUGUUCUUUGAUUUUGCAUUCCUUACGCGGUUGGGGUUAUAGGACCCCCUUGAUAGUUCACUUUGAAUAAAACUCCUGCACCAAGGCCCAACCUUGGUUUUAACAUUUGACUAAUGACAACUAAAACUUUUCCUAGGGAGUAAUUAACCCGAGGGUUAUAUUUAUUCAACCCCCGGGCCAAUGUUCCUCUGAGUGUUAGUCCAACCUAGGCGACGUCCGACUCCCCCUAGGCAACCAGGUUCUCAGCCAACCCCAUGUCGGGCCCAUCCGGUGUGCCCUGAGAACGAGAUACGUGUGACUCCUAUCAGGAUUUGUUGGCACAUCAGGCGGUCUUGCUGAUCUUGUUUUACCAUUGUCGAAAUGUCUUGUAACCGGGAUUCCGAGACUGAUUGGGUCUUUCCGGGAGAAGGAAUAUCCUUCGUUGAUCAUGAGAGCUUGUGAUGGGCUAAGUUAGGACACCCCUGCAGGGUAUAAACUUUCGAGAGCCAUGCCCGCGGUUAUGUGGGGAGAUGGAAAUUUCUUAAUAUACGGUUGUAUAUAACUUGACACUUGACUUAAUUAAAAUGCAUCAACCGUGUGUUUAGCCGUGAUGGUCUCUUUUCGGAGAAGUCCGGGAAGUGAACACGGUGGGGAUAUGUUUGAACAUAGGUUGUUCAGGAUCACUCCCUGAUCACUUCUAGCUUCACGUCCGUUGCGUAGUUUCUCUUCUUACUCUUGUACUCGUAUGUUAGCCACCAUACUUUCUUAGCACUUGCUGCAACUUGACCUCAUAAACACAUCCUACCCAUAAACUUAAAUAGUCUUGAUCUCGCGGUUUUUGAGAUUACUGAGUCCUCAUGACUCAUAGAUACUACCAAAACAGUUGCAGGUGUCGAUGAUACCAGUGCAGGUGAUGCUACCGAACUCAAGUGGGAGUUUGACCAUGACCUUGGCCAUUACUACGUGUGUUUUCCUGAUGAUCAGUAGUGGUGCCCAGUUGGGACGAUCGAGGAUCUAGCAUUCGGGGUUGUCUUCUUUUCAUUUGGAUUUGUCCAUAGUCAGACUAUGAGUGUACUCUGAAUGAUGUAUGAAUUAUUUUGAUCAUUGUGUCACGUGUCAAUUGUAAGCCAACUAUCUAUUUAUCCCUUUCUUGUUCAUUACAUGGGAUUGUGUGAAAUGACCCUUCUUGUGACAAAACCAACAUGCGGUUAUGCUUCUAAGUCCUGCUUCGACACAUGGGAGAUUGUAACAUCACAAAUUUUCAAUUUGGAAUGUUAUACAUUAUAUCAUCAUUGCAUACCAUAUUUUAUUUUUGCAUUUUGGUUGAUCCUAGAAAUUCUACGCAACUCAAUGACCCACGGAGAGAGUUGGGGAUUUCGUUAUUUUCAUAUUUGAGUUUUCUCAAAUUUUCACAAUAGGAUCAUUUGAUUUUAAUUAUUUUAUCAUCAAGUAUUUCUAUUACAAAAAUAUGAGAGAGGGAAUAAAAUGACUUUCCCAAAAUAAAGAAAUAUUGAGGAUUUAAUAAUAAAAUCAUAUAGGAUUUUAUUUCGGAGUUUUUCGGUGUUUUAUUUGAAUUUAGGAAAAAUGUGCGUUUUUCAAAAUUGCAUUUAGGUCCCAAAUAAAUGUUCACCUUGUGCGGCUUGAUGUUAGAAGCUCGUGAAAAUUUAUUUCGGAAUUUCUGGAGUCCAUUUAGUAUUUCUUUUCAUUUUUAUUCCGAGCGGAAUAAUAAUAAAAAAACGAACCGACCUACGGGCCGUGUCCUGAUAGGACUCCGGCCCGAGGUGGCCUUUAAAAGCCGGCCCAGCCCCCCCCCCCCGAGAGAAACCCUAGCCGCCCAGCCCCUAGCUGCCGCCGCCACCCGCUCCUGCGCCGCCGCAACCGCUGCCGCCGCCACCGCCGAGGUUCGCCGCGCCUCGACUUCCGUGCCAUCGUUUUUUUUAAAAAAAAUUAGAUCGUUUUUCAUCGGUUUUUUGCCGGUUUUUUUGUUUCGGUUUUUUAAAUAGAUUGGUUUUUCCGGUUUAUUUAAAUAGCGAGCGUUCGUUCGUUCAUUCGUUCUAGCGAACGUUCGUCGUUUUUCUUUUUCUCGUAUUAAAUCCGCGAUUUUUCUGAUCGUGAUUCCUGAUCCGAUUUUCUUUUUGGUAUAACUUUUCGCUCGUUUAUCGGAAUCAGGCGAUUCAAGCGCCUAGAGUUUCGUAUCGAAACCCUCUAUCCGUUUAACCAACUUAAACAAGAUUUUUCUACUGUAAAAUUUGCCCUAGAUCCAGAUUAGUAGAACAAAGUUGUUUUCUUUUGCCGUUUGACUUUCGUUGCUUCGUUCGAUUUGAUUGUUUUUGCCAACCAGAGUUUUUAAGUUGAACCUUCUGGUUAGAUCUCUUAUUUAAAUUUUACCUGUGCAUUAGAUGAGUACUUAUUGUAUGCUUGUUUGUUUGUCUGCGAUAGAAUACCCGGAGUGUGCCGCCUGUUACUUCGAAUCACUAGGUUUCUCGGAUCAUCAGCAAGGCAAGUAACAAUUUGAUCAUACCUUUCCUACUACCCAGUUUUAUUGCAUUAGAUCAAUCCUCAAACAUUGCAUGAUUAGGAUCUAAUUAAAUUGUGGGAUGGGAAGUAGAUGAGGUAGUACCUAUUACCUGUUUAUUAACAAACCUUUGGGAGUUACUUCUACGUUUGCUUAUUAUGCCAUGCUAUGCUAGUAGACGUGGAUUGGGUGAGUGAUAUCCCUGACAGAUGUGAGUUUUGUUACUUAAUGGUUAUCUAAGGUGGCAACUUAAACACACAUCUUGGUGGAUUGAGGCACAUGGGUAUUCCAGGACUUGCCUAUUUUCUUUUGGACCGCCACCCAGGCUCAAAGGGAUCAUGAGACUAUUCAUACUAGAAACUUCCGUGUGCAGCCACAAGCUAUUAUGGGCUCUAGCAUAGUUGACUAAGUCAUGCGAACUCUUACAAUGGCAGACUAGCAGAUGUAGGGGAUGUAGGUGGUACGGUCUACCCGAUCGUAAGGUGCUAGCGCUUCUGAAAGACUAUGUCUCGGUCAUCCGUCUUCUCAAACACCAUGUAGUGCGAGAAACCAAACGGAGGCGAUCAAGUCUUGUGGGGAAAAGUGCGCAAACCUCUACAGAGUGUAAUAAACUAAUCAUGGUUAGCCGUGUUCCCGGUUAUGGACAUCUUGAGUAUCUAGUACCUGGAUUAUCAUGUGAAUCUCAACAUGUUACUGUAAAUUAAUUUUGUUGGGUUAUGUUUAAUGAUGAUGCUUAAUUGGGACUGAGGAUGCUGUCAACCAUUCUCAAUGUUUAACAACUACCAUGAUAGUUAAAUAAAUUUUAUUUCUUUGAAGUAGGGAAAAAUUGGCUUUACAUAAAACUGUAACCAUAGAGCUUUCCACCAGCCAAAUAUGCAUAAAGUAUGGAUGUUUCAUUCCAUUACUCUCUAUGUGUUACAUUGCCAGCAUAUUCCAUGUGCUGACCCGUUUCGGGCUACAACGUUAAUGUUGCAGACUUUUCAAACGAUGAAUAAGGAGUUUUUAGGUUGUGGUUCUGUACUCAGUGAUGCCGUUGGAGUUGAUGGACUCACUUAUCUUCCAAACCUUCCGCUGUUAUCGUUAUUAGAUGGCCUUAAGCCAUAUUUAUUGUAAUAAGUUCUCUUUUGAGACACUCGAUGUAAUAAGUGUGUGAUUGCUACUCUGCUAUAAAUCCUCCGAGUACUGUGUGGCGUCAGCAUUACUGAUCCAGGGAUGACACCGGAGCAUAGAGAUCAGACUAUUUGAGGUCUGGUCGCUACAGAGAUGGUAUCAGAGCACACACACUGACUGUAGGACACGACCACUAAGCUAAAAGACCUAGAUCACUAUUUCACUCUCUUCUCUUCUGACCUCUCAUCUUUUCUACUCUUUUAGGAUGGCAGAUGCAAGGAAAAAGUCCACGCAACCAGAUGAUGAUACACCCUUUGGACGACACUUGAAGGAAGUCACUAGAUACCUGAACAUAGGAGUACCAAGCUUCACCGGGACCUACAAUGCCACAUUACCUGAAGAAGAGCGCUGGAUGAUUCAAGUUCAAGUUCCAGGAAGGACGUUCAUGCCAGUCACUGAGCCCAUAGAGUUUUCUUUUGAUACACCAACUUGGAGUCUAGGACAGAGCAUGGCAGCUCACAUCGCCAUGGGACGCAUUGGAGAAGUCUACCGCAAUGACCUCAAGGAUACUAUCUACAGAUUUGUAGGCGCCGAGAUGAACACUAGGAGAUAAUCAGCACCAGGAAGGAUAGAUCAAUCGCAGCUUUUAUCCAGGAGCUAAACCAGCACAUUCAACGACAGGAGAACCAGAUGUGCGCCGACAUGAUAGAUCUGAAGAAGGCUAAGACUAGAAUCAAGGAACUGGAGGAAGAACUCAAGGCUACACGUGAAGAUUAUGAAGAGGAAAUUGAAGUAUUGGUGGAGAAGAAUGAUGACCUGAUCAAGAAGAUUGGAAUAUUUAUGGGAGGCCCUACGCCAGUAGAGGAAGAUGAAGAACCCAAGGAGAUUAGCCCGGAAGAAUACAUCAUCAUCGACGACACCGAUUGGGAUCGAGAUAGUAGCGAUGAUGACUAUGUUGAUGAAGCUGGACCAGAUGUCAUGGAGUCUGCAACCGAAGAAUAUUUCUAGUAGACCACCUCAUUAGUAGUAGUAGUCCACCAUGUAAAUAUAGUAGUCCGAGCACUUUUGCGAUAGAUAGAUCGAUUGUAUGCCCUUGUUUGAUUGAAUGAAGUGAAUUGUUUUCUUUUUCCUCAUGUGCAUAUGGGUAGUGUUUUCUCUUUAGGCCCCCUCUAUUCUUAUAUCUCAUCUUUUCUAAACCCUCAGAUGCCUCCGAGACGUGACCCCAGAUUUGCCUUUCCACCGGAGCUCACCCAAUUGAUCCAGCAGUAGAACACAUUGAUGCAGUUGCUAGUCCAGAAUCAGAAUCAAGGGAACAACAACAACAACCCACCACCACCACCACCACAUGUUGAUCACUUAGCCCAUUUUCUUAGGCUGAAUCCGCCAGUGUUUUCCAAUAGCACCGAGCCGAUAGUAGAAGAUGAUUGGCUCCGCAAGACCGCUAGAGAGUUGACCACAGCAGGAUGCACAGAUGCGGAGAAGGUGAAGUUUGCCGCACAUCAGCUUGAAGGACCCGCAACAUCAUGGUGGGAAAAUUUCACAGCCACUUUUCCAGUCGACACUGUCACAUGGAACCAGUUUCAGCAGGCUUUUCGUACUGCACAUGUUUCAGCAGGAGCUAUGGCCAUGAAGAAGCGUGAGUUUCACAACUUGCGCCAAGGAGGACGGACAGUUGGCCAGUAUGUGGAGGACUUUAGUAAGUUAGCACGUUAUGCCCCACAUGACGUCGCUACGGAUGCAGCUAAGCAGGAGAACUUUCUAGAAGGACUAAAUGAUGAGUUGAGCAUGCAGUUGAUGGUAGCAACCUUCAACAACUACCAGGAGUUGGUAGAUCGUGCUCUUAUGAUUAAAGGGAAGCAGCAGCAAAUUGAGAAUCGCAAGAGGAAGUAUGGACAAGGAAAGUAUAGUUCUGGAGCUCAGCAGAAGCCACGUUUUACCGCUAGACCAGGAGGACAUUUUCAGCAUACCCAUGGAGGAGGUAGCUCGCACAAUCACAAUGGCACCAGGAAUGGUAAUGGGAAUGGAGGAAGGAACAGCCAGAAUCGCACCAACCCAUCGACCCCAUCACAAUGACCUGAGCCAAGUCACUUGCUUUAAGUGUCAGAAGACCGGACAUUAUGCCAAUGAAUGUCCUGAAGGCCCAAAUGGCAAUAGAAGUUCUAGAAAGAAGCCGAACCCUUUCAACAGGGGACAGGUGAACCACGUUAACGUGGAGGAGAUUGAAUGUCAGCCCGAUGCAGUAAUAGGUAAGUUUUUGGUUAAGUCAUUUACUUCACUCGUUCUUUUUGAUACUGGUGCAUCGCAUUCAUACAUCUCAAGGGGAUUUGUGGAUAAGUAUAACCUAUCAACCCAAGCCCUUAGGUCACCCAUGUUAGUAACCUCGCCUGGAGCAGAGUAUGUGGCUAGCCUAUGGUGUGAUCGGUUACCAUUAAGGAUUGGUAACUAUGUUUUUCCCUCAGACCUAAUAGUAUUGGAAUCCCAAGGAUUGGAUGUGAUAUUAGGCAUGGAUUGGUUAUCAAAGUAUGAAGGGAAUAUUGAAUGUGCUAGUAAGUCAAUUUUUCUUACCACCCCAGAAGGGAGAAGUAUCAAGUAUGUAUCCCGGCAUGUGCCAAAGAGGACUCAAGUAAAUUGCCUAACAGGAGUUGUGCAGGAGGAAGUACCAGUGGUAAGGGAUUUCCCUGAAGUAUUUCCAGAGGAGUUGCCAGGCAUGCCACCGGAUAGAGAUAUCGAGUUUUUGAUUGAGCUAUUGCCAGGCACCGGGCCAAUAUCAAAGAGACCAUAUAGGAUGCCAGCAAUGGAUUUGGUGGAAAUUAAGAAGCAGAUUAAGGAGUUACUGGAUAAGGGAUAUAUCCGCCAAAGUUCUUCGCCAUGGGGAUCGCCAGUACUUCUAGUGGAGAAGAAGGAUGGAUCGUUAAGGAUGGUUGUUGAUUAUCGAGGAUUGAACAAAGUAACAAUCAAGAACAAGUACCCACUACCAAUGAUUAAUGAUCUGUUUGAUCGAUUGCAAGGAGUUAAGUAUUUUCCAAGAUCGAUCUGCGAUCAGGAUACCACCAGUUGAAGAUUCGAGAACAGGAUAUUCCCAAGACAGCUUUUACCACCAGGUAUGGGUUGUACGAGUAUACCAUUAUGUCAUUUGGUCUGACUAACGCACCUGCCUAUUUUAUGAACAUGAUGAACAAAGUGUUUAUGGAAUUUUUGGAUAAGUUCGUCGUAGUGUUCAUUGAUGAUAUCCUGGUUUAUUCAAAGAAUGAAGAGGAGCAUAAGGAGCAUUUGCGUUUGGUACUUGGAAAGCUCAAAGAACAUCCAUUAUAUGCCAAGUUCAGCAAAUGUGAGUUUUGGUUAAAGGAAGUAGGAUUUCUCGGACACGUUAUAUCUGGAGAGGGAAUAGCAGUAGAUCCCGCUAAAGUUGAUACCGUGACCAAGUGGGAAGCCCCAACAACAGUUGGAGAGAUCCGGAGUUUUCUUGGACUCGCAGGAUACUACCGGAGAUUUAUUGAGAAUUUCUCAAAGAUUGCGAAGCCUAUGACUGAGUUGCUAAAGAAAGAUACCAAGUUCAUAUGGACAGAGGAAUGUGAGGCUAGUUUCCAGGAGUUGAGGAAACAUUUGGUUACCUCACCAGUGUUGAUUUUGCCAGACCAGACCAAAGAUUAUGAGGUGUAUUGCGACGCUUCACGUCGAGGACUUGGAGCAGUGCUUAUGCAGGAAGGGAGAGUUGUUUCAUAUGCCUCAAGACAACUGAAACCUCAUGAGUUGAAUUAUGCUACGCAUGAUUUGGAGUUAGCAGCCGUAGUGCAUGCUUUAAAAACAUGGAGGCAUUUCCUCAUUGGAAAACAUUGUGAGGUGUACACGGAUCAUAAGAGUUUGAAGUACAUUUUCACACAGAAGGAGUUGAAUCUCAGACAAAGGAGAUGGUUGGAACUCAUCAAGGAUUACGAUAUGAGAUUGCAUUAUCAUCCCGUAAAAGCUAAUGUAGUAGCUGACGCAUUAAGCCGUAAGAGCCAUGUCAAUACGUUGAUGACGGGAGAAAUACCCAAGGAGUUAGCAGAAAAUCUACGUGAACUAUGUUUGGAAAUAGUUCCGAGAGGCCAUGUAGCAGCAUUGGAGAUUCAGUCAACUUUGAUGGAUAGAAUCAGAGAAGUCCAGAAGACCGACAAAGAGAUUGACUCUAUUAAGGAGAAACUGAGCAAAGGAAAGGCUCAAGGAUUUCGUGAGGAUGAGCACGAUACCCUAUGGUUUGCAGACCGCGUUUACAUGCCCAAUGACCCGGAGGUCAGGAAGUUGAUUUUACAAGAGGCACACGACUCACCGUAUUUGAUUCACCCAGGAAAUACCAAGAUGUAUUUGGAUUUGAAAGAUAUUUUCUGGUGGACCGGAAUGAAGAAGGAUAUUGCGGAGUAUGUAGCAGUUUGUGAUGUAUGUCAGAGAGUAAAGGCAGAGCAUCAGAAGCCAGCAGGAUUGUUACAACCAUUGCCGAUACCCGAAUGGAAGUGGGAUAAGCUAGGCAUGGAUUUUAUCAUGGGAUUGCCCAGGACUCGUUCAGGCUAUGACUCGAUUUGGGUUGUAGUUGAUCGAUUGACGAAGGUAGCUCAUUUUAUCCCGGUAAAGACCACUUACACCAGUGCUAAGUUGGCAAAGAUAUACAUGACCAGGAUCAUAUGUCUGCAUGGAGUUCCAAGGAGUAUCGUAUCAGAUAGAGGAACCCAGUUUACCUCAAAGUUCUGGAAGCAGUUGCAUGAAACUUUGGGUACCAGGCUAGAAUUCAGUACAGCUUUUCAUCCACAGACAGAUGGACAGACCGAGAGAGUCAAUCAGAUUUUGGAAGAUAUGCUGAGAGCUUGUGCACUAGAUUACGGAUCUAGUUGGGACGAUAAUUUGCCAUAUGCAGAGUUCUCUUACAACAACAGUUACCAAGCCAGUUUAAAGAUGGCCCCUUUCGAAGCCUUGUACGGAAGGAGGUGCAGGACACCGUUGUCAUGGGACGAAGUUUGAGACCGCCAGUUGUUUGGACCUGACUUGAUUAAAGAGUCUGAACAGAAGGUGAAGUUGAUUUGCGAUAGGCUCAUGGUAGCCCAGUCCAGACAGAAAAGUUAUGCAGAUUCUAAACGCAAGGAGACAGUUUACGAAGUCGGAGAUAGAGCUUAUCUUCGAGUAUCUCCACUUCAGGGAACAAAGUGUUUUGGAGUUAAAGGGAAGUUAGCACCACGAUUUGUAGGACCAUAUCGAGUUUUGGAGCGUAUGGGAGAAGUGGCCUACAAGUUGGAAUCGCCUGAAGGAUUGUCAGGAGUUCAUGAUGUGUUCCACAUUUCUCAGUUAAAGAAAUGUCACGCGGAGAUGGCUGACAUACCGUUGAGAGACACAGUGCCCUUAGAAACUAUUCAAUUGGAUAACGAUUUGACCUACGAGGAGAAGCCAAUUAAGAUCCUCGAGUUUGCCAGCCGAGUUACCCGCAGCAAGGUUAUCAAGUUUUGAAAGUUCAGUGGAGCCACCACACAGAGGAUGAAGCCACCUGGGAGCGAGAGGAGGAUUUGCUCAAGGACCACCCUCACCUAUUUUCUAGCCAACCCGAAACUCGAGGGCGAGAUUCAACUUAAGGGGGGUAGGUUUGUAACAUCCCAAAUUUUCAAUUUGGAAUGUUAUACAUUAGAUCAUCAUUGCAUAUCAUAUUUUAUUUUUGCAUUUUGGUUGAUCCUAGAAAUUCUACGCAACUCAAUGACCCACGGAGAGAGUUGGGGAUUUCAUUAUUUUCAUAUUUGAGUUUUCUCAAAUUUUGAGAAUAGGAUCAUUUGAUUUUAAUUAUUUUAUCAUCAAUUAUUUCUAUUACAAAAAUAUGAGAGAGGGAAUAAAAUGACUUUCCCAAAAUAAAGACAUAUUGAGGAUUUAAUAAUAAAAUCAAAUAGGAUUUUAUUUCAGAGUUUUUCAGUGUUUUAUUUAAAUUUAGGAAAAAUGUGCGUUUUUCAAAGUUGCAUUUAGGUCCCAAAUAAGUGUUCACCUUGUGCGGCUUGAUUUUAGAAGCUCGUGAAAAUUUAUUUCGGAAUUUUUGGAGUCCGUUUAGUAUUUAUUUUUAUUUUUAUUCUGAGCGGAAUAAUUAAAAAAACGAACCGACCUACGGGCCUUGUCCGGAUAGGACUCCGGCCCGAGGUGGCCUUUAAAAGCCGGCCCAGCCCCCCCGGGAGAAACCCUAGCCGCCCAGCCCCUAGCCGCCGCCGCCACCUGCUCCCGCGCCCCCGCCGCCGGACGCCGCCGCCGCCGAGGUUCGCUGCGCCUCGACUUCCGUGCCAUCGGUUUUUUAAAAAAAAAAUAGAUCGAUUUUCGUUGGUUUUUCACCGGUUUUUUUUUGUUUCGGCUUUUUUAAAUAGAUCGGUUUUUCCGGUUUAUUUAAAUAGCGAGCGUUCGUCCGUUCGUUCAUUCUAGCGAACAUUCGUCGUUUUUCUUUUUCUCGGAUUAAAUCCGCGAUUUUUCUGAUCGCGAUUCCUGAUCCGAUUUUUUUAGUAUAACUUUUUGCUCGUUUAUCGGAAUCAGGCGAUUCAAGCGCCUAGAUUUUCGUCUCGAAACCCUCUAUCCGUUUAACCAACUUAAACAAGAUUUUUCUACUGUAAAAUUUGCCCUAGAUCCAGAUUAGUAGAACGACGUUGUUUUCUUUCGCUGUUUGACUUUCGUUGCUUCGUUCGAUUUGAUUCUUUUUGCCAACCAGAGUUCUUAAGUUGAACCUUCUGGUUAGAUCUCUUAUUUGACUUUUACCUGUGCAUUAUAUGAGUACUUAUUGUAUGCUUGUUUGUUUGUCUGCGAUAGAAUACCCGGAGUGCGCCGCCUGUUACUUCGAAUCUCUAGGUUUCGUGGAUCAUCAGCAAGGCAAGUAACACUUUGAUCAUACCUUUCCUACUACCCAGUUUUAUUGCAUUAGAUCAAUCCUCAAACAUUGCAUGAUUAGGAUCUAAUUAAAUUGUGGGAUGGGAAGUAGAUGAGGUAGUACCUAUUACCUGUUUAUUAACAAACCUUUGGGAGUUACUUCUACGUUUGCUUAUUAUGCCAUGCUAUGCUAGUAGACGUGGAUUGGGUGAGUGAUAUCCAUGACAGAUGUGAGUUUUGUUAAUUAAUGGUUAUCUAAGGUGGCAACUUAAACACACAUCUGGGUGGAUUGAGGCACCUGGGUAUUCCAGAACUUGCAUGUUUUCUUUUGGACCGCCACCCAGGCUCAAAGGGAUCAUGAGACUAUUCAUACUAGAAACUUCCGUGUGCAGCCACAAGCUAUUAUGGGCUCUAGCAUAGUUGACUAAGUCAUGCGAACUCUUAUAGUGGUAGACUAGCAGAUGUAGGGGAUGUAGGUGGUACGGUCUACCCGAUCGUAAGGUGCUAGCGCUUCUGAAAGACUAUGUCUCGGUCAUUCGUCUUCUCAAACACCAUGUAGUGCAAGAAACCAAACGGAGGCGAUCGAGUGUUGUGGGGAAAAGUGCUCAAACCUCUGCAGAGUGUAACAAACUAAUUAUGGUUAGCCAUGUCCCUAGUUAUGGACAUCUUGAGUAUCUAGUACCUGGAUUAUCAUGUGAAUCUCAACAUGUUACUCUAAAUUAAUUUUGUUGGGUUAUGUUUAAUGAUGAUGCUUAAUUGGGAUUGAGGAUGCUGUCAACCAUUCUCAAUGUUUAACAACUACCAUGAUAGUUAAAUAAAUUUUAUUUCUUUGAAGUAGGGAAAAAUUGGCUUUACACAAAACUGUAACCAUAGAGCUUUCCACCAGCCAAAUAUGCAUAUAGUAUAGCUGUUUCAUUCCAUUACUCGCUAUGUGUUACAUUGCCAGCAUAUUCCAUGUGCUGACCCAUUUCGGGCUGCAACGUUAAUGUUGCAGACUUUUCAGACGACGAAUAAGGAGUUUUUAGGUCGUGGUUCUGUACUCAGUGAUGCCAUUGGAGUUGAUGGACUCACUUAUCUUCCAAGCCUUCCGCUGUUAUCGUUAUUAGAUGACCUUAAGCCAUAUUUAUUGUAAUAAGUUCUCUUUUGAGACACUCGAUGUAAUAAGUGUGUGAUUGCUACUCUGCUAUAAAUCCUCCGAGUAUUGUGUGGUGUCAGCAUUACUGAUCUAGGGAUGACACCGGAGCACAGAGAUCAGACAGUUUGAAUUCUAGUCGCUACAGAAAUAUAGCCGCAUCUUGGGCGUUACAACGUGCUCAUCCUUCUAUCGCUACAUGUGCCACUAGCUAGUUGAGGUCACUCUUUCCAAUCACUAUGGCGAAACAUUUUAUGAUUCCUUGUUACUUUCUGCACGCCUCCUGACAGGUGGGACCUACGCAAAACCAACUUGGGUGGACGAAUAGAUAUACAAACAUAUCCAUCUCUUUUCACGCGUCCACGUGCAUGAGAAUUUGGUUCCGCUUACAAUAUGGAUGCUACCUGGAUGAUGAAGUGAACCCAAACGCAUGCUAGCAUGACAUGUUCCUGCUAUACAAUACUACUCCGUAUGUUACUACUACUAGUAGUACAACUGUAGUACACUUGUUGGUCAAAAUAUUAUUCAUCCGAUCCUCACAGUGGAGUGACACUAGUCCAGGCGGCAUGUUCGAGUUACCAAAGUCAGCCUCACCUUGUGCACUGUGUAGUCACUGUCAUUGCCGUUGUAUAGCAUGCCUCGCCUCGUCUCCCUAUCCCCUAGCACCACUGCAUCUCCAUCUCAUCGGAGAUCCUGAGGUCGCUCUUCAUCAUCUCACUGUGCCCCCGUGUACCCUCGCCUUGCUCGCCUCCCCUAGUACCACUAUUCCCUCACUAGCCGCUCCUGCCCCGAGAGCCUUCUCCCCCAUAAAUCAAGCCCCAAAAAACCCCAUAUUCCAAAAUCCACCAAGGUCGAACCCGAACCGCACAACAUCCAUAUCAGCGCGACUAGAGCGAUCUCCCGAGUGACAUCCACGACCUCUAUUGUACGCGUAUGGAUAUGUUGAGCACUGUGCGGCUGGCUGCAUGCUCGAGGGACAUGCACGCAGUCAUCGUUGAAGCGAGGCCUGAGCUUUUCAAGACACCCUGCUUGCUCCUAUCAGCUCUUGCGAGAUGCGCUUGAUACGUCUCCAGCUUAUCUAUAUUUUUUUAUUGUUCCAUGCUAUUAUAUUACUAUCUUGGAUGUUUUAUAUGCAUUAAUAUGCUAUUUUAUAUCAAUUUUUGGGACUAACCUAUUGACCUAGUGCCUAGUGCCAGUUGCUGUUUUUUCCUUGUUUUUGCCUUUUACAAAAAAUUAAUACCAAACGGAGUCCAACCAAAAUGAAACUUUUUGAGGAUUUUUCUUGGACCAGAAGACAACCAUCAAGCUUUGGGAGGAGGGUAGGCAAGCCACGAGUGGGCCACAAGUUCACAGAGCGCGCCCCAGGGUGGCGCGCCCUGCAAGCUUGUGGGCCCCUCGUAGCUCCCCUAACCCUAAUUACAUCUCUAUAAAUACCCAAAUAUUCCCCGUAUACCAAAGGGCACACCAAAAAAACUUUUCCACUGCCGCAAGCUUCUGUUCUCGUGAGAUCCCAUCUUGAGCCCUUUCUGGUAAUCUGCCGGAGGUGGACUCGAUCACUGAGGGCCUCUACACCAACCUUGUUGCCCUAUCGAUGAUGUGUGACUUAUUUACCACACACCUACGAUGACCCACAAGUAUAGGGGAUCAAUCAUAGUCAUUUCGAUAAGUAAGAGUCUCGAACCCAAUGAGAAGCUGAAAGAAAUGACAAGUGGUUUUCAUCAAGGUAAUUUCUACAAGCAAUGAAAUAGUCGGUAAUAGGUAGUUUGAUAGCAAGAUAAUUCGCAACAAGUAACAAUAGUAACAAUAAGUGCAGCAAGGUAGCCCAAUCCUUUUCAUGGCAAAGGACAAGCCAGUACCUUCUUCAAUAAUAAGCAAAGCAUUCUCGAGGGGACACGAGAAUUUCAUCCAGUCACUUUCAUCAUGUUGGUUUGGUUAGCGUUCGCUAAUUUCAUAAUUUGAUAUAUGGGUGGACCAGCACUCGGGUGUUGUUCUUACUUGAACAAGCCUCCCAAUUAUGAUUAAACUGCUCGCAAGCAUCCGCAACUAAGAGAAAGUAUUAAUAUAAAAUCAAACCAUAGCAUUAAACAUAUGGAUCCAAAUCAACCCCUUACAAAAUAGCCCAUAAAGGUUUAAGCUUCUGUCACUCUAGCAACACAUCAUCUAAUAACUACUCCAUAAUGCAUUCCCUUAGGCCCAAAGAUGGUGAAAUGUCAUGUAGUCGACGUUCACAUAACACCACUAAGGGAAUCACAACAUACAUAUCAUCAAAAUAUCGAACACAUAUCAAAUUCACAUGAUUACUUGCAACAUGACUUCUCCCGUGACCUCAACACCAAAGGUAACUAUUGACAAAUGAUAUUCAUGCUCAAGAUAAGAGGGGUAUUAAAUAGCAUAAUGGAUUUUAAAAUAUAAUCUUCCACCAAACAAACCAUAUAGUAAUCAACUAAAAGAUGUAAUCAACACUACUAGUAACCCACAGGUACCAAUCUGAGGUUCCGGUACAAAGAUUGAACACAAAUGGUGAACUAGGGUUUGAGAUGAGAUGGUGCUAUUGAAGAUGCUGAUGGAGAUUUCCCUCCCAAACAUGAGAGGGUUGUUGGUGACGACGAUGGCUUCGGUUUCCCCCUUCGGGAGGGAAGUUCCCCCGGCAGAGUCACUUCGCCGGAGAGCAAAAGUGCUCCUGCCCAAGUUCCGCCUCGAGACGGCGGCUGAUACGUCUCCAACGUAUCUAUAAUUUUUAAUUGUUCCAAGCUGUUAUAUUAUCUGUUUUCGAUGUUUUAUAUACAUUAAUAUGCUAUUUUAUAUUAUUUUUCGGACAAACCUAUUAACCUAGAGCCAGUGCCAGUUUCUGUUUUUUCCUUGUUCUUGAGUUUUGCAGAAAAGGAAUACCAAACGGAGUCCAAAUGAGCUGAAAAUUUAUGGUGAUUUUUUAUGGACUAGAAGAAGCCCCUGAAGCAAAACAGUUGGGCCAGAAGAGCCACGAGGAACCCCCAAACUUGUUCCUGACACCAAAAAUUCCUAUAAUAUAGGAACCCCCAGAAAUAAACCUAGAUUGGGAGUUCCGCUGCCGCAAGCCUCUCUAGCCACGAAAAACCAAUCGGGGUCCCAUUCCGGCACAUAGACGGAAGGGGAAACCUUCACCGGUGGCCAUCUUCAUCAUCCCGGCGGUCUCCAUGACGAGGAUGGAGUAGUUCACCCUCGGGGCUGAGGGUAUGUACCAGUAGCUAUGUGUUUGAUCUCUCUCUCUCUCUCUCUCUCUCUCGUGUUCUUGAUAUGGCACGAUCUUGAUGUACCGCGAGCUUUGUUAUUGUAGUUGGAUCAUAUGGUGUUUCUUCCCCUCUACCUUUUUGUGUUGACUUGAGUCUUGCUCUUUGAGGAUUCAUUAAGUUGGAUUGAGUAUUGGAUUUGAGAACACUUGAUGUAUGUCUUACGAUAGAAUAUCUGUCGUGACAAUGGGAGGUUCUAUUGAUUUACUUGAUGUAUGUUUUGGCACUCAACUUGCGGAUUCUCAUGGUGACAUUGGGGUAAUCUAUGCAUAGUGCUUGAUGCACGUUUUUGUCCUACGUUCUCCGAUAGAAACUUUGGAGUGACUUUUGUCGCACGUUGAGGGAUGUCCAUAUGAUUUAAUUGUUUUAUCAUUGUUGACAGAACUUGCACUAGUGAAAGUAUGAACCCUAGGCCUUGUUUCCAAGCAUUGCAAUACCAUUUUCACUCACUUGUUUUAACUUGCUACCUUGCUGUUUUUAUAUUUUCAGAUUACAAAAACCUAUAUCUACCAUCCAUAUUGCAUUUGUAUCACCAGCUCUUCGCCGAAAUAGUGCACCUAUACAAUGUACCAUUGUAUUGGGUGUGCUGGGGACACAAGAGACUCUUUGUUAUUUGGUUGUAGGGUUGUUUGAGAGAGACCAUCUCCAUCCUAUGCUCCCACAGAUUGAUAAACCUUAUGUCAUCCACUUGAGGGAAAUUUGUUACUGUCCUACAAAACUCUGCACUUGGGGGCCCAACAACGUCUAGAAGAAGAAGGUUGCGUAGUAGACUUCAAGCUUUUUUCUAGCGCCGUUGCCGAGGAGGUUAGUGCUUGAAGGUAUAUCUUUAGAUCUUGCAAUUGAAUCUUUUAGAUUCUUGUUUUAUCAUUAGUUUAGUCUAUAAAAGAAAACCACAAAAAAUGGAACUGAGGUUGCCUCACAUGCUUCUUCUUUUUAAUAUCUUUCGUGAAAAUGAUGGAAAGGAAAGUUGUGCUCAAGUGUUAGAAGGAGAAGUUCAUAAAAUGGUUGGCACUAAAUAUUUUAAUGAUGAGCAUGAUUGCAAUGUUGUUUGUAUGAAUUCAUUGAAUAUCCAUGAUGCCAAUGAUAUGCAAAGCCAUAAGCUUGGGGAUGCUAUGUUUGAUGAAGAUGAUAUUUUUCCCCCAAGUUUUGAUGAGAUAAUUUAUUAUGAUGAUAGCAUGCCUCCUAUUUAUGAUGAUUAUAUUUAUGAAAGUGGAUUUAGAGUGGUCAUGACAUUAUUUGGUGAUGAAUCCACUAUUUUGGAAGAGGUUCCAAUUGAUUGUGACAACAAUGCUAUAAAGAAUAAUGAUAACCAUGAAACUUGUCAUCAUGAUUUACCUUUAAAUUGGAUUAUGUAUCUCAUGCUAGCUAUAUUGUUCAAUUCAUACAUAAUGCUACUUAAAAUUAUUAUAAGAGAGUACAUAUGCUUUUACAUAUCUCAAUAAUACCAAGUAUUCUCUCUAUGUGUUGAAAGUUUUGAAGUCAUGCUUGUUUUGCCUUCCUAUGCUAGUUGAUUCUUGUUCCCAUAAGUUGUUUGCUCACAAAAUCCCUACGCAUAGGAAGUGGGUUACUCUUAAACUUGCUUGCCACAUAUGUUUCUUGAUGCUCUCUUUGCAUUUCAAUUAUUUAUCUUUUAUGUGAGCAUCAUUGAAAUCAUCAUGCCUAGCUAGAAAGGCAUUAAAGAAAAGCGCUUGUUCGGAGACAACCCAACACUUGCACCUACUAUUUUUGUGUGUUAACAUGAUUAUGCUACUGUAUUAAUCAUGUUUUACAGCUUUUGUGUCACAUCCUAGCUAGCCAUGCAUUAGAGUGUUGCAUCAUGUUUCCUUUUUCAUCAGAAACUUGAAAUGGGGAUCUGUGAAACCCUGAGAAUCAUUUUUGAAAAUGAUCCAAAUAAAAAUUUCUCCAAAAAGGUCCAAGAAAAUGCUCAUGUUGCUCUCUGAAAAUAUUGGACAGAGAUAAAAAUCAAACCAAUAUUUUCAAUAGCUCAUAGGUAUUUAUUUUGGGCACUUGGAAUUAAUGCAUAAUUAUUUGCUUUGGAAAUAUAUUAUUUAUAUAUAUUAAUAUAUGUCCAAAUAUUAUGCCAUUUAUAAAGGAGCUCUGGAAUAAUAUAUCUAGCUCCUGCAAAAAUUGGCAUAAGGAAAUAAAAUGAUUUAAUAUUUUAUUUAAAUCAAAACAAAUGUCAGAAAUUAGAAAACAGAAAAUAAUUAAAAGGGAGAAGCUUACCUGGGCUCCUCCCUGUGCAGCCCAGCCAGCUGGCCGGCCCAGCCAGCAGGCGGCCCAGCCCACCACUGCAGCCCUCCGUCGUCUUCCUCCCCUCGCCCCGAAGCUGCUGCGUGCUCGCACGCGCACGGCCGCGCGGCCACCUCCUGCUUGCCGACGAGCUCCUGGCCGCGUGGACGACUCCCGCAGGCCGUCCCGAUCCCCCCUGCUCUCUCUCACUCUCCCCCGGCUCUUCCCUCCUCUCCCUCGCUCUCUCUCUCACACGGCCGAACACCACCGUCGCCGCCGUUCGCCAAAGCAGCCGUCUCCGGCCACCCCUCACUCCCCCGACUAGCUCAGGAGCUCCGCCUCGACCCCCUCUUCCUCCCCACCGCUCCACGGGUCCCCGGAAGCCCUGCAUCGCCGCCACGUCGCCGUUCCCCUCUUCGGGCUCCGACCAUCGUCGCCGUCGAAUUCGUCGUCUCCAGCGCGUCCCCGAGCCCGCUAACCAUCCCUGCAGCUCCGCGGUGAGCCCCCGGAUCGUUUCCCCCUUCUUCCCUGGUCUCUUCCGACCUCUAGGCCCUAGCCCCACCUUGGCCGAGAGCUCCACGCCGCCGACGAUGUCGCCGUCGUGGCCACGGUCACCGUAGCACCCAACCGAGCACACUAUCGUGCUCCACACCUCACUAGGAUCACACAGCACGCACUAACGCCUCCCCAAACCCCCUGCAACACCGAUCCCGACCUCACCCGAACUCCGGCGGCCGUAGCCGAGCUCGCCGCCGUCGACUCCGGCCACCCCAGGCCCAGCCACGGCCACCGUUCGACGCGCGGGAGCAAGAGCUUUCCAACGAACCCAAGCACGGCCUCGCCCGUGCCCUGUAGCGUGAUCCCGCGUCGCGCCGCCGUCUCGGACCUCGCCGGCGUCACGUCGCCGGUGGGUUUGACCCACUUUGACCACGGCAGGACACCCCCUGAGUCCCUGACAGGUGGGCCCAGCCCUGUAGCUAAUUAGGAUUAGUGCUAACCACUAAUGGUUAACCCCUGACACUGACAGUGGGCCCCCAGCGCCACUAACCUCUAAUUAGGAUUAAACUAACCCUGUUUAACCCCCUGUCACUGACGUGUGGACCCCACACGUCAGGUUUGACUCCAGCCAGCCGCAGUUGACCACUGACGUCAUGCUGACAUCAUGCUGGCGCAGUAAUUAUAAUUUCUGGAUUUAAAUUUAAUCAGGAAAUUCCAGAAUAUUAUUUAAACUUCAAAAAUUCAUAACUUUUAUUCUGUAACUCCAAAUUAGACAAAUUAUAUAUGAAAAAUGAUCAGAAAAAUCCAAUCUAUCCAUCUGUACUAUUUUCAUGCAUGAUCAAACAAGUUAAAUUGAUGUUUUAAGCAGAACAAGGAAAAGCACUUUAAAAGGCCAUGUUUGAGUUUGAAAUUUGAAUCUUUGAUUCAAAUUUGUUCAAACCCUUCUGGUUUAGUUGCAUUAGCCCAACACACUCAUAUUUCCAUGUUUCAUGCAUGCAUCAUAUUGUCGCAUAUUGUUUGGUGAUGUUUGUGCAUCGCUGUCCUUUACGACAGGUUCUGCCCCCGAGGAGUACCGUGAUUACCCUAACGAAGAACCGUAUCAGUGCAUCGAACCAUCAGGCAAGCAACCAACCAUUUGAUCAUAUCGAUACAAUCUCAUGUUCUCGCUCCUGCUCUCUUUUACUGCAUUAAGACAACGCGUUUCAAACUACUGUGUGCUACGGUAGUUGAACCCAUUUCCUCUGCAUGACCUGUCAUUGCCACAGUAACUAGAUGAAACCCACUAGCAUGUGUAGGAGUUGAUUGAGCCAUGUGUAUGUGUUGUUCCUACCUUGCUAUGCCUGCUAUGCUUAGAGUCGUGUCAGGUCUGGUUCAUCUGGGUGAUGGGCUAGAGUGAAAUGUUUAUGUCGGUAAUGAGAGUGGUGUGGUGAACACGAUUUGGUAAAGGUAUCGAUGAGAGGCCAUGUAGGAGUACAUGGUGGGUUGUUUCAUUGAAGCCGACCUUAAGCACUGAGAUCUGUAUAUGUGAUUUAAGAUACAGCUACUACCAUGCAUUGGGCCAUGAAAUAUGACCCCGCUCGACUUCUUAUUCACCCUAGCUCUCUGUCCAGGAGUUGCAAGUAGUUUCUGGUGUUUGUAGCCUACUGGAGGCCGUGGACAGCGCUGACCAUAGGGGUGGGCUGUGAUGCGGUAGGUACGUGGCCGGGUGUACCGAAUACCCGUUAGGUAUCUCGGGAACCUUGUUCACAUCGUUCGGGGCCGUAUGGGAAACCUCGGCCGGACUCCCUACGGAUGGAACCUGAAUAGGCGAUAAACCUGGACUAGAGGCUUAAGUGUUUAGGUAGGUCGUGGUCUACACCCACGUCGGCUUUCGCUUGAAGUCUGCCGAGCACAUGUCAUGUGCAGACGCUAAGUGGUGGAAACAUGUAUGAAGAAGUACACCCCUGCAGGGUUAUCAUAAUCUAUUCGAAUAGCCGCGUCCGCGGUAAAGGACUACUUGGUUGCCUAUACAGUUCAUAGACAAGUAAAUGGAAACUACUAAAAGCCUCAAGAUAAGUCUGAGUGCCGAGGAUGGCUCUUCCGUAGGAAGACGGAGGUGGAUCCUCGGUAGUGUAUUGAAGUGGUGAGUAGUGGACUCGUGUGCGCAAAACAAUUUCAAAUUGAAGUAUCGUAGGAUAGCCUAGCCAAGAGUCAAAGCUGGCUUGCUGCAAUAACUCCACCAACCCUUUUUGAUACUAUGCAUGUAUGUAGGAUCUGAUGUAAGUCUUGCUGAGUACCUUUGUACUCAUGUUGCUAUAAUCUACAUUUUUACAGAAGACGCUGCAACCCCUUCUGAUGGGUUCUAUGUAGACGUUAACAUCAACGAGUAGGCUAAAGACCCAGGUGGUGACCCUGAGCUUGUGAUGGACCACGUAGUAUAGCUAGGCUUUCCAAGCCUCUUUUAUUUUACUAGUUGUCUGUACUCAGACAAUGUAUUUCCGCUGCUGGUUUGUAUGACUGUAUGACUUGUAUGUUGGGUCGUGAGACCCGUAUCUUUGUGUAUGAUAUGUAUGGCUCCCUGAGCCUUAAAUAAAGUACUUGUGUCGUAGAGUCAUGUUGUGAUGCUUCGUUGUAUUUGCACAUAUCGAGCAUAUUGUGUGUAUGAUUGAAAUGCUUGGUAUGUGUGGGAUCUGACUAUCUAGUUGUUUAUCUUUAGUAGCCUCUCUUACCGGGAAAUGUCUCCUAGUGUUACCGCUGAGCCAUGGUAGCUUGCUACUGCUCUGGAACACUUAGGCUGGCCGGCGUGUGUCCUUCUUCGUUCCUGUGUCUGUCCCUUCGGGGAAAUGUCACGCUUUGAGUACCGGAGUCCUGUUAGCCCGCUACAGCCCGGUUUACCGGAGUCCUGCUAGCCCAGUGCUACAGCCCGGACCCACUUGCUGAUGACCGACACGUUCGAAGCUGGGUCAUGGAUGCCUGUCCCUGUAAGUCUGUGCCACUUUGGGUUUACAACUAGUCAUGUCAGCCCGGGCUCCUUAUCAUAUGGAUGCUAGCGACACUAUCAUAUACGUGAGCCAAAAGGCGCAAACGGUCCCGGGAAAAGGUAAGGCAACACCCGUGGGGAUACCGUGCGUAAGGCCGCAAAGUGAUAUGAGGUGUUACAAGCUAGAUCGAUGUGACAUCGAGUCGGGGUCCUGACACUUAGGUACGUGGCCGGGGAUACCGGGCACCCGUUAGGUGUCACGGACCCCUGUACACAUCGUUCGGGGCCGUAUGGGAAACCUCGGCCGGACUCCCUGCGGAUGGAACCUGGAUAGGCGAUAAACCUGGAUUGGAGACUUAGGUGAUUAGGUAGGUCGUGGCCGACACCCACGUUGGGCUUCCGCUUGAAGGUUGCCGAGUACAUGUCGUGUAAACGAUGGUAAGUGGUGAGAGCGUGUAUGAAGAAGUACACCCCUGCAGGGUUAACAUAAUCUAUUCGAAUAGCCGCGUCCGCGGUAAAGGACUACUUGGUUGCCUAUACAGUUCAUAGACAAGUAAAUGGAAACUACUAAAAGCCUCAAGAUAAGUGUGAGUGCCGAGGAUGGCUCUUCCGUAGGAAGACGGAGGUGGAUCCUCGGUAGUGUAUUGAAGUGGUGAGUAGUGGACUCGUGUGCGCAAAACCAUUUCAAGUUGGAGUAUCGUAGGAUAGCCUAGCCAAGAGUCAAAGCUGGCUUGCUGCAAUAACUCCACCAACCCUUCUUGAUACUAUGCAUGUAUGUAGGAUCUGAUGUAAGUCUUGCUGAGUACCUUUGUACUCAUGUUGCUAUAAUCUACAUUUUUACAGAAGACGCUGCAACCCCUUCUGAUGGGUUCUAUGUAGACGUUGACAUCAACGAGUAGGUUAAAGACCCAGGUGGUGACCCUGAGCUUGUGAUGGACCACGUAGUAUAGCUAGGCUUUCCAAGCCUCUUUUAUUUUACUAGUUGUCUGUACUCAGACAAUGUACUUCCGCUGCUGGUUUGUAUGACUGUAUGACUUGUAUGUUGGGUCGUGAGACCCGUACCUUUGUGUAUGUUAUGUAUGGCUCCCUGAGCCUUAAAUAAAGUACUUGUGUCGUAGAGUCAUGUUGUGAUGCUUCGUUGUAUAUGCACAUAUCGAGCAUAUUGUGUGUAUGAUUGAAAUGCUUGGUAUGUGUGGGAUCUGACUAUCUAGUUGUUUAUCUUUAGUAGCCUCUCUUACCGGGAAAUGUCUCCUAGUGUUACCGCUGAGCCAUGGUAGCUUGCUACUGCUCUGGAACACUCAGGCUGGCCGGCAUGUGUCCUUCUUCGUUCCUGUGUCUGUCCCUUCGGGGAAAUGUCACGCUUUGAGUACCGGAGUCCUGUUAGCCCGCUACAGCCCGGUUUACCGGAGUCCUGCUAGCCCAGUGCUACAGCCCGGACCCAUUUGCUGAUGACCGACACGUUCGGAGCUGGGUCAUGGAUGCCUGUCCCUGUAAGUCUGUGCCACUUUGGGUUUACGACUAGUCAUGUCAGCCCGGGCUCUUUAUCAUAUGGAUGCUAGCGACACUAUCAUAUACGUGAGCCAAAAGGCGCAAACGGUCCCGGGCAAAGGUAAGGCGACACCCGUGGGAAUACCGUGCGUGAGGCCGCAAAGUGAUAUGAGGUGUUACCGGCUAGAUCGAUGUGACAUCGAGUCGGGGUCCUGACAUUUUGUUUCAAUAAAGUGCCAAGUAAGACCUUUGAGAUGGUCUAUGGUGAUAAUUGAUUUGAUCUUGCUGAAAAACAGAAACUUUUGCGCCCAGGAAAAUAAUUUUCAGUUUUUUUACAGGAGUGCGAUGAAAUACUGAUUCUGUUUGAAGAUUAAUAAAAAAAAAAUCUUAGUCUCUCCUAAUUUGUCAGCAUCCUGGGAACGGGGGUACUCAGACCUGCCUGCAUGCGGCCUAGGGCGUGGCUCCACCAACGGCCUAGUAUGGCCCAUCUUCAUCAGCAACCACUCAAGACCCUCGCGAGGGGCCAAGCCUCGCGAGGCGGAUGACACCAAGACCUCCCCAGUGGCGGCCUCGCUUGGCUGGCUCUAGAGGAGCGGAGAUAUCUAUGCAAGGGGCACCCCGUGAGGUCCAUGUGACAUGAGCCAUGAUGACCAAGGCUAGGUAGACGCCAGCGGGCGCAGAGUGCAAGUUUCCUCUUUGGUGCUAAGGAAGCAGGCGCAUGCGAGGAGUCCCGAGGCAUCAAGCAAAGGUUGACAUAUCGGUGCAACAAGACCAAGACCAGCAGGACGGCAGGAUGGAGGUCACCACGGAGCCCACGGCGGCGUCACCACCAGAACCUUUGGCAGGCGAAGACCACCUUUUGUCAGGAUAACUUGUACUAGUUGUCUCCCUUCAAAACUGGCCGUUGUGGGAUCCCUUCACGCCUAAGAUUUGGGAAGAGGGCCAGGGCUUGUAUAAAUAGGGCUAGCCACCACCAUACCAAGGGACGGAUCAUUCAAAUCAUCCUCAAACACACCAGCUCAUCGAGCUCAAUAACACCUCUCCUCAGUAGGCUAUUCAUCGACUAUACUAGUUCAUCUUUAGCCCACAAGCCAAUCCACCACACCACACUGGAGUAGGGUAUUACACCACAACAGUGGCCUGAACCAGUAUAAACUCUUGUGUCUCUUGUUCCUUGGGUUCGGCGAGCUAGGCCUUUGUGACGCCCCGAGACCGAUGUGCCAGGUGUCCUCCGCUUAUUCGUUGUUGUUGCCUUGUCAUUGCUUGCGUGUCAUGCAUUGCAUAUCAUGUCAUCAUGUGCAUUUCAUUUGCAUACAUGUUCAUCCCAUGCAUUCGAGCAUUUUCCCCGUUGUCCGUUUUGCAUUCCGGCGCUCCUAUGUCCUCCGAUGGUCCUUUCUACCUCUUUUCGUGUGCGGGUGUUAAACAUUUUCGGAUUGGACCGAGACUUGUCAUGCCGCCUUGGUUUACUACCGGUAGACUGCAUGUCAAGUUUCAUACCUUUUGGACUUCGUUUGAUACUCCAACGGUUAACCGAGGGACCGAAAAGGCCUCGUGAGUGUUGCAGCCCAACACCCUUCCAAAGUGGCCCAAAACCCACCAAAACCCCCUCCAUCAUCUCGGUCGUUCAAUCACGAUCGUGUGGCCGAAAACCGCACCUCAUGUGGACACUCCUAGAUCCCUCUACCUAUAAAUAUGUGUGCCUCCCGGAUUUUUCGCGCAGAUGAAACCCUAGCCCCGCUCCUCGCGCCGCCGGACAAAACUUCCCACCACCGGUCGGACAUGUCCGCUCCUCGCCGCCACCUCACUCCGACCUAUCAGAGAAGGCCACGUCAUCACUGCAGCCUCUCGCAUCCAAUCGUCGAGCGCCACCUCAGCCGCCGUCCUCCCGCGCGCCAACGAGGCCCGCCAGGCCCGCGUCAAGCCCCCACGGGCCCAGCACCGCCGCUCGCGCCCGGUAUCUCCUUCCGCCGAGGCGCGCCUCGCCGCUGCCACCUCGGUCGUUGUGCUCGCCGCCGACCACCGUGACGCCUGCACCAGGUCGCCGUCCACCGCGCCGCCUCAUCUUGUUCUGCCUUGGAUCGGUCUCUCCUCACCUCUCUCUCUCUGCACUUUGAUAGGGAUCGCGCCGCCACCUCGAUCCGCUCCUACCAUCGUCUAGAGUCCCUCUGAGCUCGGAUCCGGCACCCUCUCCUCUAGAUCCGCCCAUUCCCGCAGCUCCCCAUGGUGCCCGCCUACCGGAGUCGACGUUUGCGCCGCCGUUGUCCUAGGGCGCCGCCGCCCCUGUUCCUGUUCGUGCGCCAGGCGCGAGGAGGACGACGCCCUCGCUCGCGUGGGCCGCCUUCCUCUCCUCAGGCCCAACAGCCUCUGGCCCAGGCCGCCUCCUCUUCGCAUGGGCCAAGCCCAGGGUGAGCUAACCCCUAUCCUCCGCCCCUGUGCAACUUUUACUAUUUGGCGCUCACUGAAAAACUGCUAAGUCCCACAGAUCUCAGUAAUUUUAUGCAAUCUUGAUCAUGCCAUAACUCUGCAUUCGUAGAUCCGAUUUGUGCGUGUAGCAUAUCAAAAUAUUCGUCUCGACGAGUACAUCAUUUCAUCUAAUCGCAUCAUUUUCAUUUGAGCUCAUCUUGAUGCCCGAAAUGCUUUUGGAAGAGGGCUAUGUGAGGAUUAUGUCAGAUCUGUUUCAGCAAAUGGCCUUUUGUCAUUUUUGCCAUGAUUAAUGUGUGCAUGCUAUGAUCCUGAGCUCUACAUGUGUUUUGUUAUAUGGCAUGCCACCUUUACAGAGGUGCUUGCCAUGUAUUUUUGCGAUCUUUGUGGUGACUAGCACAAGCUUGCAAUGUAGCAUAAUCGGUAAUGCUGAUUUUAGGGACUUAGAAUUUCACUAAGUCCUUGUGCUGUUUUUGUCGUUAUGCCAUAUGUUCAUGUUGUUUCCUAGUGAUCCGUGCCUCUUUUGAGGAUGAUCAGUAAGGAUGUUUUGUUAACAUUGUGGUGCUCUAUCCAUCCAUGUCUUUGUUUGCAUUUUUGGAGCAACCCAGCUUGAGUCAAUCGAGCUCUACUUUUGCUAUAAGUUGUUCCUGGCAGAUCGUUGACAUGUUUAGCAAUUUUGCCGAGGUUGUUGUUAUUGAUCCGUGUAUGCUAUGUUGUUGUUCUUGACAUGUCUAGGUUAUAUGCCAUGUAUUCUUGAUGGGUGUAUGCUUAGUCUAUCAUGUCAUGCUUUGUAGUGAGUGCAUCGAGCUCGUAAACAUGCCUACUCGUUAACUGUUUUGCAUGCUCCAGUUUUCUGAUCCCUUUUGGCUCAAGGUCACUAAGGGACUUUUGUUAAGUGCUUUGAGUAGCUUCAUGCCAUGCCUUGCUUUGCCAUGUAAAGUUCCUGUAGCAUGUAGUUUUCAUGCUCUAAAGUGUGCUUCCUGAUGAUAAAUUCCAGACUUGUGUUAGCCGUAGCUCAGUGUUCAUCUUUUGGUCUUUUGCCAUGCUUGUUUGAACCUGUUAAUGAGUGAAUUAGUCGUAGCUCAGUGUUCAUCUUUUGUCAAGCAUCAUGAGUGGAUCCCUGCCAUGUAUUUUGUCGCUAUGUUUGGGUGUUGUAGCAUAUUUAACUUGUUGCAUUUAGAUGGCUACUUGCUGUUUAUCGCAGCCCGGUGCCAUAUUUGUUUUUGGUUGCCAUUUCCAAACUGUGCAUCCGAUUCUGGUGAUCUUUAUAUCGCUUUCGACCAAAACAACCUCACCUUUCUAGUGGCACUCUUGGAUUUCCAAGUUGAGGCCAGGUUCAAUCUUUCCUUUCCAAAUCAUGCAUAUGCAUUCCAUACUGCAUCCCGCAUAUCAUACCAUGUUCGUGUGUUGGUUGUUUACUAUAUUGUUUGCUCCUUUCCGGUGUUGCUUCUUCGGGUUGGUUCCGAUUACGUAGCGUUUGUGAGGACCCGUUCGUCUACGUCUGUUUCUCUUCUUCAUGGACUUGUUCUUCUUCCUUGCGGGAUUUCAGGCAAGAUGACCAUACCCUCGAAAUCACUUCUAUCUUUCCUUGCUAGAUGCUCGCUCUUUUGCUAUGCCUAUGCUGCGAUACCUACCACUUGCUUAUCAUGCCUCCCAUAUUGUUGAACCAAGCCUCUAACCACCUUGUCCUAGCAAACCGUUGUUUGGCUAUGUUACCGCUUUGCUCAUCCCCUCUUAUAGCGUUGUUAGUUGCAGGUGAAGAUUGGAGCUUGUUCCAUGUUGGAACGUGGAUAUUUUGUUGGGAUAUCACAAUAUCUCUUAUCUAAUUAAUGCAUCUAUAUACUUGGUAGAGGUUGGAAGGCUCGGCCUUAUGCCUGGUGUUUGUUCCACUCUUGCCGCCCUAGUUUCUGUCAUAUCGGUGUUAUGUUCCUGGAUUUUGUGUUCCUUACGCGGUUGGGUUAUAAUGGGAACCCCUUGACAGUUCGCCUUGAAUAAAACUCCUCCAGCAAUGCCCAACAUUGGUUUUACCAUUCGCCACCUAGCCUUUUCUUUCCCUUGGGUUCUGCAGACUCAAGGGUCAUCUUUAUUUUAACCCCGCUGGGCCAGUGCUCCUCUGAGUGUUGGUCCGACCGAGUAGACUGCGGGGCCACCGCAGGGCAACCUGAGGGUUGGUUUUACUCGUAGGAUGUAUCAUCUGAGUGUGCCCUGAGAACGAGAUAUGUGCAGCUCCUAUCGGGAUUUGUCGGCACAUUCGGGCGGUGUUGCUGGACUUGUUUUACCAUUGUCGAGGAUGUCUUGUAACCUAGAUGCCGAGCCUGAUCGGAUUGUCUUGCGAGAAGGAAUAUCCUUCGUUGACCAUGAGAGCUUGUGAUGGGAUAAGUUUGGACACCCCUGCAGGGAUUUGACCUUUUGAAAGCCGUGCCCGUGGUUAUGGGCAGAUGGGAAUUUGUUAAUGUCCGGUUGUAGAAAACCUGAAGUUGAUCUUAAUUAAAAUACAUCCACCGCGUGUGUAACCAUGAUGGUCUCUUCUCGGCGGGGUCCGGGAAGUGAACACGGUGUUGGAGUAAUGCUUGACGUAGGUUGCUCUAGGAUCUCUUCUUGAUCAUAGUUGUUCGACCGUGCUUUUGCCUUCUCUUCUCGCUCUCAUUUGCGUAUGUUAGCCACCAAAUAUGCUAGUCACUUGCUGCAGCUCCACCUCAUACCUUUUACCCUACCUAUAAGCUUAAAUAGUCUUGAUCGCGAGGGUGUGAGAUUGCUGAGUCCCCGUGACUCACAGAUACUUCCAAAACCAGUUUGGAGGUGCCGAUGAUACCGUGCAGAUGACGCAACCAAGCUCAAGGAGGAGCUCGAUGAAGAUCUUGUCCUUUAUGUUGUUCCAUUUCCAGUUGAUCAGUAGUGGAGCCCAGUUGGGGUCGAUCGGGGAUCUGUGUGGCAUUUGGGGUAGUCUUCUUUUAUUUUGGUUCCGUAGUCGGACCUUGAUUGUAUCUGGUUGAUGUAAUGCUUUAUUCAUGUAUUGUGUGAAGUGGCGAUUGUAAGCCAACUAUGUAUCUCUUUCCCUUAUGUAUUACAUGGGUUGUGUGAAGAUCACCUCACUUGCGACAUUGCUUUCAAUGCAGUUAUGCCUCUAAGUCGUGCUUCGACACGUGGGAGAUAUAGCCGCAUCGAGGGGUUACAAGUUGGUAUCAGAGCCUUCCCCGACCUUAGGAGCCCCCUGCUUGAUCGAAUCGUUGGCAUUGUUGAGUCUAGAAAAAGGUUUUGAGUCAUUUAGGAAUUAUAUAUCGUAGAGUUAGGAAUUCUUUUUACUCCCCAGUCCCUUCAUCGCUCUGGUAAGGCAUCCUGACGUAGAGUUUUGACUCUUCUCUUCUCAAAUUUCACUAAAUUUUUUUUUAGGAUCACGCGGGUAUCUUGGAAUCGUUCCGAUGGUUUUGUGAUGAGAACAUUGUUCUUGGUGCCUCCUGUCAUUUAGGGGUUGUGGCAGUGUCCCGGGGAGUUGAGCUCCGAGGUGUUGUCGUCACAAUUUUAUCGUUGCAGUUCUGGAAUACCUGAGUUUAGUUUCCCCGACAUUGAAAAUCUCUUUUAUGCAGUUGUUGGUGAGAUAACCUCGACGCUACCCAGUACUGGGGCGGGAGUUCGGGAGUAUUGCCAUAACUCGUAUAACGGAUGCUUUUCGAAGUUUGAGGUAGAUGAUUUCCGAAGGUUUCUUGGUUAUGUGUUGACGGAUGGAUACAGCUGGAUGUAGGAUUUGUUAGUUUGGGUGAGAUAUUAUGCUUCCCCUAUAUCCCCAACACCUGAUUGCAUAACCGGAAAAUUUCGGGAGUUUAUAAGUGGGAAUUCAAGUAGCUCUUAGGAUUUCUUUCUGACAGAUGUAUGAUAUGAAAUUGGGGUUCCACGUCUAGUGGUCCGCCUAUUCACGGUUGGUUUUACAGUGGUCUCGUUGUGUCUUAAAGAGUCCUUGGCUAUGCCGACUUGGGGACGCUUCGUAUGUCAUGUGCACUGCCUUGUACAUGAUGGUGAUGUACGAUCGAGCCCAUGUAGGCCCCACCACGAAAACUUCGGACGAAAUCUCUAUCAUAUGUUUGUUCCGGCUUAUUCCGCAAGCCAAUCCUUUGUUUUGUUUUGAGUUGUGGUAUUCGAGUUGCUUCAAUGUCAAGUGUUGAUUCCAUACCUUCCCCAAAUGGUGUUCUCAUACUCCGAUGUGAAUACCAAUCCUUCUUGAUCGUCAAGAUUGUCUUGUCAAUCCUUUUCAACCGGUGUGCUUCUCUUCAAGUGGAUCCGAUCAUUUCAACAUCAGCAAGAUCUAUUACUAGUUCUUCUCAACGGUGUUGUCUUCAUCCGUUCCAAGUUGACUUUGUUUUUUCCGCCCACCCACUCCUUUUCUUCAGUGACUCAGAUUUCUUAAUCAAAUAUCGUCUUUUUAUGUGAAGCCUCUCCACUUCUUUUCUGUCAAUGUUCUUACCCGGUGGUUCUCGUGAAGAUGCUCCGCAAGUUCGUCAUUCUUCUUUCUUUUCUUCUCCGGUGGAUCCAAAUCAAGUUUUGGUGUUGAUCAUAUCCCUUUUUCCUAGUUUCAAACACCUUCUCAUGCCAGUGCUCCUCAUUUCUCGCUAUUCAAUUGUUCCGGAGUGCUCAAGAUAUCCCGAAGAUUCGUGCUUACACUCUAUUUUAAUUCAAGCUCUUUCGAGGAUGUUAUCUCAUUCAAGCCAUUUAAUGCAACCGGUGCAACCUCUCUUUUAAAUCAUUUCAAUGGUGUUUCUUUUGAGUGGGCCCUAACCCACAGGUCUUUUUCCAGGAUCUUACCUAACUCUUCUAUUUUCCCGGAGCUACCAUCAAAUUCUUUUCGAAGUUUGACGUAAGAAUGAAUUGUCAUCAGUCAAAUGUCUUUCUCCAAGAUCUUUCAUUUCUUUUCAUUGUUGGUUCAACCUUUAAAAUCGUCAUUCCGGAGUAUCUCAACAAUUCAUGGUGGUGUUUCUUGUCGUAAUUCUCAGAUUUUGAAGACCGAAGAAGAAUUUUCUCUCAAUCUUGCUCCAUUCUCUUCAAGAUUUGUGGUUCUAGUUCAAGGCCAUCCUCUCAUAAUUGUUGUGAUUGUGAGAAUUCCUUUCACCUAUCUAGAGUCCAUCAAUUCAGGUUUAUUCAUUCUCAGCUUUCAGUUAUCAUUCUCCAAUCUUACCGUUGCUUCGUUCAAGUGAUCUCUAAUCGGCUCGUGAUCUCUUCGCUCUCAUGUAUCUAAAUCCUCUCAAGCAUCUUCAUUCAUUUUAUAAUUCUUCCCGGUGUUUCUUUAUCUUCUCUUCAUUCCUUUUCAAUUCUUAUGGUGGUUCGUUCAAGAUUUCUCUUCCUUGUUUAUCAUAUCAAUUCAUUUGUUGUUUUCAAUCCUACCGGUGGAGUCGUCGAAGACCUUCCCAAGUUUGUGCUAUAUAUCGCUUAAUCCUUUCUACGAGAAUGAGUUGUUUGCCAAUUCCAUUGCUUGUCAUCAAUUUGAAUUGGUGAAGGAUAAGCAUAAUAUAAUUCUUAUUCUUGUUUCAUUGAGUUUAUUCAAUUCCUUAUUUCGGAGGUGCAUCAUAUCACAUUCUUGGUUCGAGAUGCUUUAUCUUUUCUUUUCCCGGAGUUCCUAGCUCUCGCAAUUACAUCACCACGGAGAUUCAUUUAAAUCAUUGCAAGGCUUCAACCUUAUUCUUUUCAUCCUCCAUUUCGAUUGAUCAUUUCUUUUAUUACCGGAGUUUUUCUCAUGAAGGCUCUACAAGAUAGUUCAUCAAGGAUUUAAUUCUUUCUCGAAGUGUUCAUCGAGAUUCUUUUCAGAGGAGCUCAAGUAUUCUUUAUCUUGCAUUUUAAUGUGAAAUUCUUUCUUCCGUAUCAUUGAAGGUGGUAUUAUGUCAUUCUUGAUAAUUUAAGUUCAUGUUUCAUGAUUCACAUGUUGUUAAGAAUGAGGUAUUUUAAAUCCAUCAAUCCCUUUGUUGGAGUUAUCUUGGGUUAUAUUUCACCUAAAGCUUUGACUAAGGAGUAAUGCUAUUAAUGGUGAUAAUAUAUGAUCCAAGUUCUUCAUUUAUCCUCCCGGUGAAAUAGUUUCUCGUCUUCUUGUUCAUAUCAAUGCAAUUUUGUUUGGCAGGUGGUCACCUCAUAUUUUGAGUUGUAUUCCAUAAGACCAUAUCAAGAUUAUCUUUUCGUUGUUGUGUUUCCAACAACUCCGUUCGACCCUUCUCCUAAGGAUGCCUUUUCAAACUCUUCUCUGGCAUAAGUUUGCAUUUUCUUCUUCAUUCUCCUAUUUCAAUUAUCUAACUUGUAUUGUUUCUCCCGGAGAUCUAUUGAUGUUGCUCUUUUCACUCCUCAUCUUGGUUUGUCAAAACCAUAUUCUUUCUUUUUCUAAUCCUUUUCCAACUAGAGUGUCGUGUUUUCAUUCAAGUAUUUUCUCAUCUUAUCAUGUUCUUAUUCAAUUCCUUUUCUUUUCAAUUGGAGUGCUGCUCGAAUUUGUUCUUCAUUGACCCUUUUCCUAACUGAGCGCUCUCAACUUCGUUCUUUCUCGUUGCAUUAUUUCUUUCAAUUUGUUCGACCUCUCAAGUUUCGUGGUUUCACUCGUUUGUCAAAGAAGCAACUUAGUUUUACCUCUUCUCUUUCUCUUCCGUUUUCCCUCUGGUGCCAUUCUAGAUCUCGGGAUGAGAUCCUCUCGUAAUGGUGGAGUGUUGUGAUGCCCCAAGACCGAUGUGCCAGGUGUCCUCUGCUUAUUCACUGUUGUUGCCUUGUCAUUGCUUGCGUGUCAUGCAUUUCAUAUCAUGUCAUCAUGUACAUUUCAUUUGCAUACAUGUUCGUCCCAUGCAUCCGAGCAUUUUCCCCGUUGUCCGUUUUGCAUUCCGGAGCUCCUAUGUCCUCCGGUAGUCCUUUCUACCUCUUUUCGUGUGCGGGUGCUAAAAGUUUUCGGAUUGGACCGAGACUUGUCAUGCGGCCUUGGUUUACUACCGGUAGACCGCCUGUCAUGUUUCGUAUCUUUUGGACUUCGUUUGAUACUCCAACGGUUAACCGAGGGACCGAAAAGGCCUCGUGAGUGUUGAAGCCCAACACCCUUCCAAAGUGGCCCAAACCCGCCUAAACCCCCUCCACCAUCUCGGUCGUUCGAUCACGAUCGCAUGGCCGAAAACCGCACCUCAUUUGGACACUCCUAGCUCCCUCUACCUAUAAAUAUGUGUGCCUCCCGGAUUUUUCGCGCAGAUGAAACCCUAGCCCCGCUCCUCGCGCCGCUGGACAAAACUUCUCACCACCGGCCGGACAUGUCCGCUCCUCGCUGCCACCUCACUCCGACCUAUCAGAGAAGGCCACGUCAUCACUGCAGCCUCUCGCGCCCAAUCGUCGAGCGCCACCUCAGCCGCCGUCCUCCCGCGUGCCGCCGAGGCCCGCCAGGCCCGCGUCCGGCCCCCGCGGGCCCAUUGCCGCCGCUCGCGCCCGGUAUCUCCUCCCGCCGAGGCGUGCCUCGCCUCCGCCACCACGCUGCCUGCACCAGGUCGCCGUCCACCACGCCGCCCCAUCUAGUUCUACCCUGGAUCGGUCUCUCCUCACCUAUCUCUCUCUCCACUUUGACAGGGAUCGCGCCACCGCCUCGAUCCGCUCGUGCCGUCAUCUGGAGUCCCUCUGAGCUUGGAUCCGACACCCUCUCCUAUGCAUCCGCCCAUUCCCGCAGCUCCUCAUUGUGCCCGCCUGCCGGAGUCGAUGUUUGCGCCGCCAUUGACCUAGGGCGCCGCCGCCCCUGUUCCUGUUCGUGCGCCAGGCGUGAGGAGGACGACGCCCUCGCUCGCGUGGGCCACCUUCCUCUCCUCAGGCCCAACAGCCUUCGGCCCUGGCCGCCUCCUCUUUUCAUGGGCCAAGCCCAGGGUGAUCUAACCCCUAUCCUCCGCCCCGUGCGACUUUUACUAUUUGGCGCUCACUAAAAAACUACUAAGUCCCACAAAUCUCAGUAAUUUUAUGCAAUCUUCAUCAUGCCAUAACUCUGCAUUCGUAGAUCCGAUUUGUGCGUGUAGCAUAUCAAAAUGUUCGUCUCGACAAGUACAUCAUUUCAUCUCAUUGCAUCAUUUUCAUUUGAGCUCAUCUUGAUGCCCUAAAUGCUGUUGGAAGAGGGCUAUGUGAGGAUUAUGUCAGAUCUGUUUCAGCAAAUGGCCUUUUGUCAUUUUUUCCAUGAUUAAUGUGUGCAUGCUAUGAUCCUGAGCUCUACAUGUGUUUUGUUAUAUGCCAUGCCAUCUUUACAGAGGUGCUUGCCAUAUAUUUGUGCGAUCUUUGUGGUGACUAGCACAAGCUUGCAAAGUAGCGUAAUCGGUAAUGCUGAUUUCAGGGACUUAGAAUUUCAGUCCUUGUGCUGUUUUUGUCGUUAUGCCGUAUGUUCAUGUUGUUUCCUAGUGAUCCGUGCCUCUUUUGAGUAUGAUCACUAAGGAUGUUUUGUUGACAUUGUGGUGCUCUAUCCAUCCAUGUCUUUUUUUUCAUUUAUGGAGCAACCCAGCUUGAGUCAAUCGAGCUCUACUUUUGCUAUAAAUUGUUCCUGGCAGAUCGUUGACAUGUUUAGCGAUUUUGCCGAGGUUGUUGUUAUUGAUCCGUGUAUGCAAUGUUGUUUUUCUUGCCAUGUCUAGCUUCUAUGCCAUAUCUUCUUCAUGUGUAUAUGCUUAGUUUGUCAUUUCAUGCUUUGUAGUGAGUGCAUCGUGCUCGUAAACAUGCCUACUCGUUAACUGUUUUGCAUGCUUCAGUUUUUCACUAAGUCUGAAUCUGUUUAUGUUUUUGCCAUGUUCACAUGCAUGCAAUUGUCUUUUAUGAUCCCUUUUGGCUCAAUGUCACUAAGGGACUUUUGUUAAGUGCUUUGAGUAGCUUCAUGCCAUGCCUUUCUUUGCCACGUAAAGUUCCUGUAGCAUGUAGUUUUCAUGCUCUAAAGUGUGCUUCCUGAUGAUAAAUUCCAGACUUGUGUUAAUUUCACAAAGUGUGAAACCUGUUAUGUUUUGCUCUUUUGCCAUGCUUGUUUUAACCUGUUAAUGAGUGAAUUAGCCGUAGCUCAGUGUUCAUAUUUUGUCAAGCAUCAUGAGUGGAUUCCUGCCAUGUAUUUUGUCGCUAUGUUUGGGUGUUGUAGCAUAUUUAACUUGUUGCAUUUAGAUGGCUACUUGUUGUUUAUCGCAGCCCGGUGCCAUAUUUGUUUUUGCUUGCUAUUUCCAAACCGUGCAUCUGAUUCCGGUGAUCUUUAUAUCGAUUUCGACCGAAAUCACCUCACCUUUCCAGUGGCACUCUUGGAUUUCCAAGUUGAGGCCAGGUUCAAUCUUUCCUUUCCAAAUCAUGCAUAUGCAUUCCAUACCGCAUCCCGCAUAUCAUACCAUGUUCGUGUGUUGGUUGUUUACUGUGUUGUUUGCUCCUUUCCGGUGUUGCUUCUUCGGGUUGGUUCCGAUUACGUUUUGUUUGUGAGGACCCGUUCGUCUACGUCCGUUUUUCUUCUUCAUGGACUUGUUCUUCUUCCUUGCGGGAUUUCAGGCAAGAUGACCAUACCCUCGAAAUCACUUCUAUCUUUGCUUGCUAGAUGCUCGCUCUUUUGCUAUGGCUAUGCUGUGAUACCUACCACUUGCUUAUCAUGCCUGCCAUAUUGUUGAACCAAUCCUCUAACCCACCUUGUCCUAGCAAACCGGUGUUUGGCUAUGUUACCGCUUUGCUCAGCCCCUCUUAUAGCGUUGUUAGUUGCAGGUGAAGAUUGGAGCUUGUUCCAUGUUGGAACAUGGAUAUUUUGUUGGGAUAUCACAAUAUCUCUUAUCUAAUUAAUGCAUCUAUAUACUUGGUAGAGGUUGGAAGGCUCGGCCUUAUGCCUGGUGUUUUGUUCCACUCUUGCCGCCCUAGAUUCCAUCAUAUCGGUGUUAUGUUCCUGGAUUUUGCGUUCCUUACGCGGUUGGGUUAUAAUGGGAACCCCUUGACAGUUCGCCUGGAAUAAAACUCCUCCAGCAAUGCCCAACGUUGGUUUUACCAUUCGCCACCUAGCCUUUUCCUUCCCUUGGGUUCUGCAGACUCAAGGGUCAUCUUUAUUUUAACCCCCUGGGCUAGUGCUCCUCGGAGUGUUGGUCCGACCGAGUAGACUGCGGGGCCACCGCAGGGCAACCUGAGGGUUGGUUUUACUCAUAGGAUGUCUCAUCUGAGUGUGCCCUAAGAACGAGAUAUGUGCAGCUCCUAUCGGGAUUUGUCGGCACAUUCGGGCGGUGUUGCUGGACUUGUUUUACCAUUGUCGAGGAUGUCUUGUAACCUGGAUGCCGGGCCUGAUCGGAUUUUCUUGGGAGAAGGAAUAUCCUUCGUUGACCGUGAGAGCUUGUGAUGGGCUAAGUUGGGACACCCCUGCAGGGAUUUGAACUUUUGAAAGCUGUGCCCGUGGUUAUGGGCAGAUGGGAAUUUGUUAAUAUCCGGUUGUAGAAAACCUGAAGUUGAUCUUAAUUAAAAUACAUCCACCGCGUGUGUAACCGUGAUGGUCUCUUCUCGGCGGGGUCCGGGAAGUGAACACGGUGUUGGAGUAAUGCUUGACGUAGAUUGCUCUAGGAUCACUUCUUGAUCAUAGUUGUUCGACCGUGAUUUUGCCUUCUCUUCUCGCUCUCAUUUGCGUAUGUUAGCCACCAAAUAUGCUAGUCGCUUGCUGCAGCUCCACCUCAUACCUUUUACCCUACCUAUAAGCUUAAAUAGUCUUGACCACGAGGGUGUGAGAUUGCUGAGUCCCCGUGACUCACAGAUUCUUCCAAAACUAGUUUGCAGGUGCCGAUGAUACCGUGCAGAUGACGCAACCAUGCUCAAGGAGGAGCUCGAUGAAGAUCUUGUCAUUUAUGUUGUUUCGUUUCUAGUUGAUCAGUAGUGGAGCCCAGUUGGGGUUAAUCGGAGAUGUGUGUGGCAUUUGGGGUAGUCUUCUUUUAUUUUGGUUCCGUAGUCGGACCUUGAUUGUAUCUGGUUGAUGUAAUGCUUUAUUCAUGUAUUGUGUGAAGUGGCGAUUGUAAGCCAACUAUGUAUCUCUUUCCCUUAUGUAUUACAUGGGUUGUGUGAAGAUCACCUCACUUGCGACAUUGCUUUCAAUGCGGUUAUGCCUCUAAGUCGUGCUUCGACACGUGGGAGAUAUAGCCGCAUCGAGGGCGUUACAGCCUUGAGAUCAAUGUGAGAGCGAGCUAGGGAGAGAUCUUCGUGCGCACCCUAGUGUUCGAACCUCAAGGGUUAGCCGGAACCCGUAAUCCAACAUUUGGCACGCUAGGUAGGGGUGCACUAAAGCCUUUCUUCUGUUGAUUCACGCUCCACUGCUCCACCGCAUCCAUGGCUGACGCUCGCCGAGCCCGUGCUGAACGUCGGGCCGCCCUCGCCGACCACAUGGCUCAGACGGCACCCCUUGGUUGACCUCUCCGCCGUUCUCCAUCACCCGCUGCCAAUGCCGCCACCGGCCCGACAUCAAAAGAGCAGCAAGCUUCAGCGCUGCACCCCUUCGUGCCGCGGGACGGACGUACCGCCACCCCAUCAUUGACUCCGGCCGGCUCAUCGUUCCACGCUUGUCGCGCGCCCACGGACGUGCAGGCCGCGCUUCUCAUGACACGUGAGCUCCUACGUUACCGCCCGGUCGACGACCUCUACGAUGACUGGAUGGACCGCAUUGCCGAGCUCGUCAGCGCUACCGGGGGCUCUCCCGCACCGUCUAUCUUGCUGCCUCGCCCACCUCCAGUUGUGGGCGAUGUAGCUCACACAGCGCCUCCGCCACCUCUACAUCAAGACGGUACCCUCGCACCAAGACACGUGGGCCCGCGGCAUGACCUGCCACGCGGGUAGCCCGUGCACGAAGAAGGAAGCUGCCAAGAAGUCUCGAGGCCGCAAGAAAACGCUCCUGUGCUCCGAGCACCAUUGCUUCAAGACCGUGCGCCGCCUGCGGCGGCGGCACGUGGAUACCAGGAUCCGGCUCCGCCACCGUGACGGGCUCCGGUGACUACAGCAGGCUGCCGUGCCUCUACUCCUGAGCUGCGUAGCGUCGUCUUGCCAGGCAAGUUCAAGCCAAACCUGCCUCCGCGCUACGUUGGCGCCCCUGACCCUGCGGAGUUCUUCUAUCUCAACGAGCUGAGCAUCGAGGCAGCCAACAGAGACAAGAAGGUCAUGGAGAACUAGUUUCCCAUGGCCAUCAAUGAUGGCACGCUCUCGUUGCCCCUGAACUUGCCAGCGGGAUCGAUCUCGUCCUGUGUCGAGAUGCGCGAGCAUUUCGUUGCCAACUUCCAGGGCACUCGCGGUCGCCCGCAGGCCGCAGGCGACCUGCGGCGCAUCAAGCAGCAACCAGGGGAAACCCUGCAGAAGUACAUCCAAUGCUUCAACAAUGUUCGCCUCAAGAUCCCCAAGGUGAAAGGACGAGGCCAUCAUCUCUGCGUUCUCCGAUGGCGUCCGCGACAUCAAGAUGAAGGAGGAGCUCGCCAUCCACGAGGAACUAUGCACGGCCGUGGAGAUGUUCAAUAUGGCGACGAAGUGCACAAGGGCUGAGGAAGGACGCCUUUGCCUCCUCGAGCUCCCACCUGCUAACUAGGAGGACAGGAAGGCAAAGAUCAAGGACGUGAAGCGCAAGGGGGCUGCCAUGCUCGCGGUGGAGCCAGAGAUAAAGGGCGGCCGCGACCACCCCGAAUUAUCCAAGGCCAACCGCCCAUUCUGCACCUUCCACAAUGUUCACAGCCACAACACCAGCAACUGUUAGGAGCUCAGGGCCAUCAGAGAUGAGCGCUUCGGUCGAUGCCCCAAGCACAACAACCGAGGCUACGACCGAGGAGGAGGACGAAGCGGAGGACACUGGGACGAUCGCGGCCCCCAUGAGGAGUGGCGUGACCGGCUUCGUGAGGACCGCUGGCAGGACCAACCUCACGAGGGUGCCUGGAGAGACCAGCCUCGUGAGGACCGCCCGUAGGGUAACGCCAGCCUCCCUCCAUUCCCGCCCCCACCAAGAAGGAACGAUGACCACCAUCAAAACGAGGGGGCUGGGGGCUUCCAGGAGCCACACGCCAUCACCUGUAUCUUGGGUCGUGCUCAAGCCCCAGCCUCUCAGAGUGCCUUCAAGCAAUUUGCUCGUGAGGUGAACACGGCCCUUCCCAGGCUCGAGGCCACGCGCCUGCUUAGGUGGUCCAUGUGCGCCAUCACCUUCAGCUCGUCAGACCAACUCAAGUGCGCGGCGACCGAUGGCGCCCUCCCGAUGCUUUGCUCACCCGUCAUCAGCAAUGUUCAACUCACCAAGACCCUCAUCGAUGGCGGCGCAGGGCUCAACGUCCUGUCCGUCCAAACAUCCGACAGCCUCCCUGUGCCAUACGAUCAGCUACAGCCAACCAUGCCUUUCUCAGGAGUGACCGACAGCUCCACCAUCGUGAUAGGGUAGGUCCGCCUCCCUGUCACCUUCGGCCAGCGUGACAACUACCGCACCGAGCUCAUAGACUUUGACGUCGCCCACAUCCACCUGCCGUAUUCAUCCUUGGGUAUCCAGCCUUGGCCAUGUUUAUGGCAGUGACUCACCACGACUACAACAUCCUCAAGAUGCCAGGGAGCGGCGGCAUCAUCAUGGUCCCCUGUGAAGAAAGAGAUGUGGUGUGCUCCCUCGAGCGCACUUACCAAGCUGCAGUGACUGAAGACCCCGACAACGAAGGCAUGAUGUACCCUCCUGAGGCCAACCCCAAGAAGAAGAUGCAGCUACUCCAUCAAGGGCCUCAGGAGGGCAGCGUCUCUAGCAGCACCAGCUCAGGACCUGCGCCCGCAGAUGGGGCGUCCCCUUUCCGUGCAUAGGAAGGCGCUCCCAGUGCCCUCCUCGGGCUGGGCUCAGGGGAUCUUUUCUAGAGGGCCUCGGACCUAGCCAACCUCACGAGGGAGGCACUCGGGCACCAUGUGGUGGCGUGCUUCGCUGUACGUUUCCCCCUGGGGGCAAGAGGCAUGGAGCGCCUUGUGCUCAGGAGUUCGUCACCAAGGUGAUCCAGGAGCUUAAAGAGGCAAGGACCAUACACGGUGACGUCGCCCACCACCCAGCGCAGCUCCCCGUCUUGGCGAGGACGGCGGGCUACGCGUCUGCGUCGACAUUCAGGGCUCAACAGGGCCGCGUCUCAGGGACAUUUCUGCCCUUCGUGCGUUGGACGGUGCAAGGGUCCCCCUCACAGUUACGUUUGCAUGCCCCUCGGCCUGCCGAACACGGCUGUCACCUUCUAGCGCCAGCUCCGGAGCAUUCUAGCGGCUCAGGAGGCCAGGCAUCACGCUGUCCCGGUGGAGAUCGCAACAGUUCCUUAGGAGCCACCUGGGCCUUCGGAGCCCCUGAGGCUCAGGACCCUGGUGGCUCAUGAGGAGAAACUUCUCUAGGGCGCAUCUUCAGCUACCCCAACACCACUCCAGCUACAGUAUCAGGUGACGCUUUCCAGUUCAUUCAGUUAGGGGUGCCCUUCGGGCCGCAUUAUCCCCAAGUCGCAUGGGCCUGUCCCUGCAGCGUGUACCCUUUUUGUAUCUUUAGCUUACUCCGUUGGUAGCGCCUCAUGGGCUGCAUCAUCCCCAGGCCGCUCGGGUUCGUUCCAGUUGCAUGUAUCGUUCUUGCAUCUACAAUGAACGUUGCCCGCCCUUGCAAGCCCGCCCACAACCGCCUCAUGAUUAAGGACUAGCACGGCGCCUGUGCUCGGGUCCGUCCCUGCAGCGUCGCCAAACCCAAGAGGUCGAGCUCUGGCUCGUGGGCCCACUCUCAUGUGCGUCACCUUCCAUGGCCCUUGGUGCCUUGUUCUUGCAUGAGGUAAUCACAGACGGACAAGCCAGGGCACGUGACCUGGUGCCUCGCCACUGCAGGAGCUGCACACUGGUCGUCCUUCUUCAGGAUUCUUCGCAUGAGAAGACUAGGCACGGCGUCUGUGCUCGGGUCCGUCACUACAGCGUCGAUAAACCCAACGAGUGAGAUCUAUCUGGCGAGCUGGUCCCGUUCACAUCACCUCCUAGGGUCGUUGGUGUUUGGCCUCCACAUUUAAUCUCCUCAGGAGAUUCGUCUGGUGCAGGUAGCCUAACUAUCUCAGAGGGUCACCGCAGCCAUCAAGAAUCAAGACCAGGCGCAACCCGCCUUGAGCUAGGGCCUCAUGAGUCUCGUGCUGGCUCAUGAGUGCCCAUACACACCUCGUCUAGCCCUGCCGUGCAAGCCACGUGUCAGGGUGGGGCUGUAAAUGCCCCGGGGGCUCCACUCAAAGGGAGCCCUCACCCACACACCAGUGGAAGCACCAUGCUCCGCGCUGGAAGUCGACACGGUCGAGGAGCGGCUAUGCCCGUGCAAGUGCGGAAGAACUAUGCUCUGCGAUGGUGAUAAACAACUGAGGGCGGCCCCGUGGUCGCAUCAACCUCAGGGAGCCACCCGGCUCAGUGUCCAGCCUCACUGCAACGCUUUCCCCCUGGGAGAGUCACACGAGGGUGCUGGGCACGAGGGCUACGCUCAGGUCACGCCUAGCGUACGCUGCCUUGCCAGGUCCCUCAGACCUGGUCAUCGUGCGCCCCUCCCGAGCGGGACCUCAGCGGGGAUAGGUAUGAAGGUCUGUUUGCACGCCAAUGGGGACUCCUGAGCAUCGUGACUCAGGAGCCUAACUGGCCACAUAGCCCCUCACCCAUUGGUCCCGUCCUGGUGAUCCGGACAGUCCAACGGCGGCUGAGGUAUGCGCGGGGUCGGGCUCUGCCGACGUAGAACACUAAGGCCUACUUUCGCAUCUCCUCCUUGCAGGUUGUUUGCACGUCAAGGGGGACUCCUAAGCAUCACGACUCAGGAGCCGAACUGGCCACAUAGCCCCUCACCCCUUGGUCCCAUCCUGGUGGUCCGUACGGUCCAACUGCGGCUAAGGUAUGUGCGCGGUCGGGCCCUGUCGACAUAGAACAUUAAGCAAAUGGGAUGGCGGUCACGGAAUCUUAACAAGAUAUUACUAAACAUGUUGUUCCUUAAAUACCAAACAAGAGUUUUAAAGCCUCCACGAGGCAUGUCGCAUGUCGCAGGAAAGUUUGCAGGAAAGUAAAAGCAGGAAAGAGCACCAUCAUUCACCAGCAAGCCUCCUCUUCAGCCUUGGGCACCGUUGUCCGGAAGCGCCCGCUCGUCGGCAGCAUUGCUGUCACCCGUGACGUCGGCCUUGGUCGAGGAAUCGGCAACACCAUCAGCUGGUGGCGCGGGGUCGAUGGCAAGGAACUUCUUCAGCAAGGCCUCCACCUGGACCUUCACGGCUUCUGCAGCGGAUUCACAGCGCUUCUCAUCCACAGGCUCGAGUAGGAUGCCAAGGUCGGUGUUGGGGUCGCACAGGUGAGGGUGGUUGAGGACGCACAUCAGGGUCGAUGUGGGAAUCAUGAGUGCUUCCCCCUCCACCAUGGUUUCGAUUCCGCCAACGACAUCCUCGAGCUCUGUGACGAGCUGAGGAAGCAGUUGGGCGGGGCCGUCGUCAUCAAUCACCAAAGGCUUCUCCAAAAGCUUCUCGUAGAGCCCUUGCAGCGCCUUGCGGGACCUCUCCUCAAGAGACUUGAAGGCCUAGCGAUCCUCGGCAAGCAGCUUCGCCUUAAUUUCCAGCUGGGCCCUAUCCGCUUCCACCUCCUUCUCCAGCUUCUUCAGGCAGUCGCGUUUCACGACCUGCGCCUACGCCAGCUGCUCCAGCUCAACAUCACGACCGGCCACCGCUUCUUCUUGAGCCUUCAGUCUCUCCUCACGUGCCUCGAACUGGUGAUCUGCGGCAGCCCGUUCCUUGCGCAUGUUCUCCAGAUCGACCUCCUCUACCCGGUAGCUCUCCUUGGCGGCCUCGGCAUCCUUCAACACCACCUCACGUGCGGCCGCACCCUAGUCGGCGGCCUGCUUGUCCUCCUCGGAAGCUGCCACGGCCUGGCCCAGCGCCGCCCUGACAGACUCACCGGAGUGCAGCCAACCUGAGAUCAGCUCUAGGUGCCCUGCCACCAGGCGAUGGUCAGCGCCCUGAAGGUCAUCCUAGAGCUGUGUCAGCGCAGAAAGAGCCCCCUCCAGGUUGCCGGGCCAAGCAUAAGAACCGUGAGCCAGCGGUGCGGCAGGAGGAGGAGACAUCAUCGUCACCAAGAUCCGCGAAUUAAUGGCACCAGAACAAGAGGCCAGGAAACCCUGGGCAUGUGGUACCUCAGCUGACGAGCUGAGAGCGGGCGCCUCUAGAGCCGUUUUGGCUCUGGAGGUCGCCUUCUCCUGGGGUUAGGCAUCAGGGGCUCACGGCGAUGACCGGGUCGGUGAAGCGCGGGGGUUGUUGCCGCCCUUCCGCGCCGAAGGAGGUGCGGUCGGGCCAGGCCGCUGGGUCCUCGAGGGAGCGGCCGCUCCCUCCCUCUCCUUCUUCUCCGCUAGUGUUGGCCCGUCGGUCUAAGAGGAGAACGUCAGGAAGCAGCAAUAGGAGCAGGAGCAAGAACAAGAACUGGACGAGGUGCUUACUAGUCCACAGCGGCGUAGUCUUGCGGCCUCUUCAGAACCAUAGAGCCCGGAGGCCUCGCAGCCUGGGGCACCGGCCCGUGAGUCCCAGGAGAGGAUGAGGUCGUGGCACCCGGCCCUGCGGUAGCACCAGCCGACAUCAGAAUAGGGGCGCCACCUCAGGAGACCAGUGCCGACCUGCUCUUCGUCGGGACCCUGGCCGUUGGCUUCUUUGGGGGGGGGGGGUGCCCCUGGACCUCGUAGUGACUCUGGCGGGGGCCUGGGACUCCCUCACCGGUUGGUCGCCAGCCUCGUCAUAGUCGGGGAGGGCGCGGAGGAGGUCCGCCGCAAGGGGAGAAGUCUCCCCUUCCCCCUCCAGGGUCGCCUCUGAGUCAGGCCUCUCCUCCUUGCCGUAAUCACUAGAAGACACCAGUACUAGGGUCGCCUCCUCCGUGGGCUCAGAAGGCGCUGGCUGCACGAGCCUGUAUCCGUCGAAUACAGGCAUGGCGGCAGCUACCUUCGCCCCAUCUGGGUGGCGGUACAAAGGAAGAUGGAAGUCUGGCGGGUACCCCAAAUCUUCUCCGGCCAGAAGACGGGUGGGCACGCCCGGCUCCUCCUCGGACAGGGCAUCCGAGCACAGAUGGAGGUCGUCCCCCUCGUCCCCAAGCUUCCACAAGUGGUGUAGGCGCGCCUGGAGUGGGGCUACGCGCUGCCCCAGGAACUCCUUCAUGAGCAUGGCCCCCAUCAGCUUCUCUGCCCUCGGGUUGUUAGGCUUCAGGUUGGUGGUUGUCGGUGUCAAAACCGGCGGAUCUCGGGUAGGGGGUCCCGAACUAUGCAUCUAGGCGGAUGGUAAGAUGAGACAAGGGACACGAUGUUUUUACCCAGGUUCGGGCCCUCUCGAUGGAGGUAAAACCCUACGUCCUGCUUGAUUAAUAUUGAUGAUAUGGAUAGUACAAGAGUAGAUCUACCACGAGUUCAGAGAGGCUAAACCCUAGAAGCUAGCCUGUGGUAUGAUUGUAUGUUGUGAUUGUUGUCCUACGGACUAAAACCCUCCAGUUUAUAUAGACACCGCAGAGGGCUAGGGUUACAUAGAGUCGGUUACAAUGGUAGGAGAUCUACAUAUCCGUAUCGCCAAGCUUGCCGUCCACGCCAAGGAAAGUCCCUUCCGGACACGGGACGAAGUCUUCAAUGUUGUAUCUUCCUAGUCUAGGAGUCCGGCCGAAGGUAUAGUCCGGCUAUCCGGACACCCCCUAAUCCAGGACUCCCUCAGUAGCCCCCAAACAAAGCUUCAAUGACAACGAGUCCGGCGCACAAAUUGUCUUCGGCAUUGCAAGGCGGGGUCUCCUCCAAAUUCCGUGUACCUGUUGAAUAAUGUCCAGUUUCUUGUAAAUGUAGCGCUCCUCGGCUUCUACGCCCAAUAAUGGCCGUCUUCCACGUGUCAAACGAAUACGAAAAGUCAGGGUGUUUUUAUAUUUACACUUCUAGCCGCGCGAAUGAGCCACCUAUUUAAGGGGACGAGGAUUUAGAUCCAAACCAUACCUUCUCCCCUCCGCGAGUAUUCAUCAGAGCGUAUCCGACAGAGGUCCAUUCUAUCAUGGCCGGCCGCCGCAGCUCCUCCUCUCGCCCUUCUAGCCCUCAGCCUCGAGAUUGGGAGAGAUGCUCCACCCCGCACGGUGAGCUAGUGAUGCUCCAGACCAAGGGAUUUCUCCCCCCGGCCUAUAUGGUCCCGGUUCGAGCCGGACUUACCACCUAUAAUGGCGGAGAGCAAGCGGAGAGCGCCCCCAAUCCCUCCAAAGGAGAGCGGGUAUGCCUUGUCCCUUACUUAAUAAGAGGGCUCGGAUUUCCAAUUCAUCCGUUUCUCUAGGGGCUCCUGGAGUUCUAUGGCCUCCAGCUACACGACCUCACACAUGCCUCCAUAUUGCAUAUCGCGAGCUUCGUAGCCCUUUGCGAGCUGUUUUUGUGCUGCGAGGAUCAUUUCGCGCAGUGGAAAAGGCUAUUCUGCUUUGUGCCCCGUUCUCAGAAGGGGUCAAUAUAUCAAGUGGGCGGAGCCGAAGUGUGGCGCAUCGCCGGGAGCGGAUAUCUAUCCGGAACCCCAAAGAAGGAGUCCGAGCACUGGCCUUCGGAAUGGUUUUAUAUAGAGGACGUCCCGCUGCCGGAUCCUAUCCGGAUCGGCCUCCCUGAGUUCGAUAGUGCUCCCCUAAAGAACCGCCUAAGCUGGUGUCCACGGAGCCCUCAGAGGGAAAGCGACAAGGACGUUCUUUACCUGAUGGGCUGGAUAAGAUUGUUAGCUCAUUCCGGACUGACCAUGAUCGGGGUCAUGGCCGCAUGCAUCAUGCGAGGGGUGCAGCUGCUCCAGUAUAGAGGCCACCCCAUGUGGGACUUCAACAGGGAGGACGACGCCACCCGCCACGGCCGUAAGGGGCCGGAUUCGGCUGCCGCUCUAAUAAAGAUCUUGUCCACUUUGUACAAGGGAGAAGAGGAGGAAUUUCUCCGCGUCAACCCAUAGGGUGGAUUUUCUAUGUACAAUCCCCCAAGUUGGGUAAGUGGACACUUUUACUUGCCCAUCCGUUUUAUAUUCCCAUCAUUAAAUAUUCAGUCUAACGACUUCAACGCAGGAACUGCGCCAGCCUGUUAAAGAAAUAAACAGCCCUCCUCCACAGCCCGAGGAUCCGGGACGGUCCCUCGACCUGGCCUCUCAAGAGGAUCCGGACUUAUCUGUGGAGCUGAUUGAUGGGGUGUUUCAUCAAUUGAGCAAGGACAACGCCUUGGUGGCCAUUACGGCCAAUUACCCAGGGCUACUCCCAGCCUCACAGGUAACUGAGACUGAAGUCCCAGCACUUUGAAAAGGGAUCUUAACUCGCGUGUUUUUCGAUUGCCGUAUGACAACCGUGUUUUGCAGGGGAGGUCCUUGAGACGGGAGGCCGAGCCUGUGGCGACUAGCCAACAAGGGGAUGCAAGGCCCCGCGGGCUGAAAAGAAGCGCGGUCCGGACUGAGACGUCGGUGCAAAGGUAUAGCGCGCCAUCUUAUUCCCAGGUGUUAUUCCUUCAAGACCUAUUAAUGCUCGUGCUCUCUUCAGGACGAAGAGACCUCGCGGGACUAUAUCCGGAGAGGUUGCCAAUCGCGCCUCCACCAGCCAGGCUCCAAAGCCUGGUCCGGAAGCGAAGGCGAACACAGGGCGCACACCGGAUGCUCCUCCGACAGAGGAUGCGGACAGCCUGUCUGCCACUAAUUCCGAGGCGGAGAGUGCCAUGAACCACAGGCGUCGCCGGACAGUUCUUCGCGACGCUUGUUUUUCCCAAGAGGCAUUGGAUGCCUUCAAUUCGGGAGAUGCGUACCUCCGUGCCACUCAAAAUGGUCUAGCCAGAGCCACGGAGCAAUAUAUAAAAGGGAUACGGGUAAGAAAAUUUUGGUAAUUAUAUAUAUACCAGUAGCCCCCGAGACUUGAAACAGUUAGAAUAACUGAUUUAAGGAUCAUUUGUUAUGCAAGUUCUUACAGAAAAGAAUACCCUACUGUCCCAGGAGCUGGAAGAGUGCAAAGUCCAACUUGAGGCCGCACUAGUCGCGGCAGGGGAGCCCAAGGAGACCCCCUUUGGUAAUAUACGCUUCGAAAGAUAAGUAUUUUGCGAAGUGCAGCAUGGGUGCAAAUCUGACAAAUGAAAUUAUAGAUGGCGCCGGAUUAAAUCUGGAAAAGAAACAACUCCUACGCCAGCUGAAGGCUGGUGAGAGUGUGCUGACAAAGGUGAGGUGGGAGAAGAACGAUCUCCAAGAUGCCAACACCAAGCUGGGCGUCAAAUGAAGGAUGUUCGUGCCCAGCUGUUGGACUCCGUUAAACAGAAUCAGCGGCUUCGACACGGCAUAUUUAGUAAGUGCUUAAACGAACUUUGAAAAAAGAGUUCGGCGAGGAAGUCGACUAACAGAGUAAUGUCUAUAGGUAUGCUAACAGGUCGUCCUACAGAGGAAAUGCCCGGUUCUAUGGGUGACCUUCUUCUCGAGCUCUCACAACUGCACGAGCGAGUUCGGCAGGUGAUGCAAGGCGUCGCCCAGGCCUUGUGGCCAUCCGUCUCCAUGCCCGAAGGCCUUGGACAGCUUGUACAGAAGCUGAAGGGAGCGCGGCGGCGCUUCCGAUUGUGGAAGAUGUCGGCCUGCCGGCAAGGCGCCAGGGAGGCCUGGGCCAUGGUGAAGACGCGCUACACAAAGGCUGACCCAAACCACAUGGACGAGGUCGGACCCAUGGGACCCGAUGGGAAGGAGAUCCCUGUGAGCUUAGUAUACGGCCAAGUAGAAUUGGCCGCAAAGUAUUCCCAACAGGACUGUAAGCUAGACAGCCUGUUAGAUGGUAUUGAAGAGGAAUACAAUCAGUCAGAUUGACUAUGUAAUUUUAAUUGACAUGUGUAAUGCCUUCUAGCCGGAUUGUAGAUCGUUUCUCAUGGCGGACCUUUUCGCUUCAACCUCGGGACCUGACGGUCCGGAGUGUGUCCGAAUACCCUCGCGGUUAUAUAAGAAUCGGGGUAUGCAUGGAGACCAGGCGUAGGGGUCAUUAGUGCUUGAACAGACAAGUGCCCAACUAGUUAUGUUAUAUUACAUGGUUAGUAAGAAACAUCUUCCAGGGUGAAUAGUUCCGUUAGGGGUUCCUUUCCCUGGGAGGCAUGCCCUAAAGUGCAUGUCCAUUCUGCGAAAAGAGACACAGGAAAAACAUCUAGGGGCAUAUAGAUAAAUAAGUGAAAAAAAUAUCAUCUUUAGUUCAUUGACCGAAUAUUCCCUUAAGAACGCUAGCUUUUGGCUUCACCCAGUCUGAGGUACACAUCCGGCUGACCCGGCAGUAACAAUCACAGAGGUGCUCCCUUUACCACCUAGCCGAACAAUCGGGAACGUAGGCGUAAGCACAGGAGCCAGGCAACCCGGCUGGGCCAAAACUUAAGUCAUAUCGAUGCAUAUAAUGGUGAAUAAAAGGUACAUGCGGAAGUGUGACACAUGUGUUGGGCAUGAAGCCCGUAUAAAUAAGCUUCUGUUUAAAGAAGCCCCCAUGUUUAAUGAGCGCGGAUAGCGCGUCACUUGAUGAGCCUUUAAAGGCUAUAAGAGAGAGAGAUAGAGAGAGGAGAAGGAGAGAAAUGUAAGACAAGAAGUAUAUAAAAAAUGGACAAAGGAAGGAGACGAACACAGAGUCCGGCGCUAGGCAUAGAAUCUUUGGAGACGGGCUGCGUUCCAUGGGUUCGGCUCGAGUCGGUUAUCCGAUGCAUCUCGCAGGCGGUACGCUCCACCAGUCAGGUCUUGGUCAAUUAUGAAUGGACCUUCCCACUUGGGCUUGAGUUUGUCCUUUUUCUUGUCCGGCAGGCGUAGAACUAAUUCGCCAACGUUGUAAUUUUUGGCCCGUACUUCUCUGCUUUGGUAUCUUCAAGCCUUCUGUUGAUAGAAUGCGGAACGGGCUUUUGCCACAUCACGCUCUUCCUCCAAGGCGUCCAAACUGUCCUGCCGAUCAAGCUCGACUUCUCUUUCUUCGUACAUGCGCACUCGAGGUGAGUCAUGAAUUAUAUUAUGUCGCAGGGCAAAACUGCCUCUGCGCCAUACACCAUGAAGAAUGGUGUGUAUCCGGUGGUGCGAUUCGGCGUGAUCCGCAGCCCCCAGAGUACGGAGUCGAGCUCCUCUACCCAGUGCGUAUUAGAUUCCUUAAGGGACCGCACUAAUCUGGGUUUAAUGCCGCUCAUGAUAAGACCAUUUGCACGUUCGACCUGGCCGUUAGUUUGUGGGUGAUAGACGGAAGCAUAAUCGAGAUUGAUGCCCAAGUUUUUGCACCAGAGUUUUACCUCGUCGGCCGUAAAGUUCAUGCCAUUAUCACUGAUGAUGCUGUGGGGGACGCCGUAACGGUGUACAACCCCGGAUAUAAAGUCUAUCACCGGUUUGGAUUCGACCGUCUUAACAGGCUUGGCUUCUAUCCAUUUGGUGAACUUAUCCACCAUGACCAGUAAGUAUUUUUUCUUGUGGGUUCCGCCUUUAAGGGGUCCAACCAUGUCAAGCCCCCAGACUGCGAAGGGCCAAGUGAUGGGGAUAGUUUGGAGGGCGGUGGGUGGCAUAUGGCUUUGGUUUGCAAAAAGCUGGCAACCGACGCACCGUUGGACUAAGUCCUGGGCGUCUGCCCGGGCCGUCGGCCAAUAAAAGCUUGUACGGAAGGCCUUGCUUACAAGGGACUGAGCUGCAGCGUGAUGACCACCGAGUCCGGCAUGAAUUUCAGCCAGGAGGUUCCGCCCUUCCUCUUCGGAGAUGCACCUUUGAAGGACUUCGGUAGUGCUUUUCUUAUAAUGCUCUCCCUGAUGGACUUUAUAGGCUUUAGAUCGCCGCACUAUGCAGCGUGCCUCAUUUUGGUCCUCGGGGAGUUCCUGCCUAGUAAGGUAGGCGAGGAAUGGUUCUGUCCACGGGGCGAUGACGGCCAUUAUUACGUGGGCUGAAGGUGUUAUUUCAUUGGCAGAGCCUCCAAUUAUGUCAGAGUGUUCGGUGUCGGGCAGUGCGGUUGGGUCUGGGCUGUUAUUGCCGGGUUCCCCUUCCCAUCCUACGGAUGGAUUGAACAGCCUUUCCAAGAAGAUGUUGGGGGGGACUACAUCGUGUUUUGCGCUGAUGCGUGCCAGGACAUCUGCUGCCUGAUUAUUUUCCCGGGCUAUGUGGUGAAAUUCGAGCCCUUUGAACCGAGCUAACAUUUUUAGGACGACAUUGCGAUAAGCUGCCAUUUUUGGAUCCUUGGCAUCAAAGUCUCCAUUUAUUUGGGAUAUUGCGAGGUUCGAGUCCCCACGCACCUCUAGGCGUUGAAUGCCCAUGGAUACUGCCAUCCGGAGACCAUGUAAAAGGGCCUCAUAUUCGGCUGCAUUGUUGGAGUCUAUGUACAUUAUCUGGAGUACGUAUUGAACUGUGUCUCCUGUGGGGGACGUCAAAACGACACCAGCCCCUAGACCGGCCAACAUUUUGGAGCCGUCGAAGUGCAUGACCCAGUUUGAAUAUGUGCCGUAUUCUUUAGGGAGUUCGGCCUCCGUCCAUUCUGCGACGAAGUCGGCCAAAACUUGCGAGUUGAUAGCUCACCGUGGCUUGUAAGUUAUGUCGAACGGGAGGAGCUCAAUGGUCCAUUUUGCAGUCCGUAUCGUCGCGUCGCGGUUGUUCAUAAUAUCGUUAAGUGGCACUUCCGAGGCUACUGUUAUUGAACACUCUUGAAAGUAGUGUCGCAGCUUCCGGGAUGCCAUAAAUACCGUGUACGCAAUCUUUUGAUAAUGCGGGUACCGUGACUUGCAUGGAGUAAGGACAGUGGACACAUAGUAGACUGGCUUUUGAAGGGGGAAUUUGUGUCCGUCCGUUUCUCGUUCGACGACGAGCACUGCACUUACGACCUGAUGGGUUGCUGCAAUGUAUAAUAGCAUUGGUUUGCCAAUGUUUGGCACGACCAGGACUGGGUUUGUUGCCAAGAUGGCUUUUAUUUCGUCGAGUCCGGUCGUGGCUGCAUCCGUCCACUCGAAGUGUUCGGUGCACCGAAGGAGGCGGUAAAGGGGUAGGGCCUUUUCUCCCAAGCGGGAGAUAAAGCGGCUUAGAGCCGCCACGCAUCCAGUUGAUUUUUGUAUUUGUUUGAGGUUCUUCAGGAUAUCCAAUUGUGACAGAGCUCGGAUCUUGGCUGGAUUUGCUUCAAUCCCUCUACCGGAUACAAUGAAGCCCAAGAGCUUUCCGGCUGGAACGCCGAAAACGCAUUUUUCCGGGCUGAGCUUUAUGUCGUAUGUUCGGAGGUUAUCGAAUGUUAGCCUCAAGUCGUCUACUAGAGAUUCGACAUGUCUUGUUUUAACAACCACAUCAUCUACGUAUGCCUCCACUGUUUUGCCAAUCUGGUUUGCCAGAGAUGUCUGAAUCAUGCGCUGAUAUGUUGCGCCGGCGUUUUUGAGCCCGAAGGGCAUUGUGUUGAAGCAGAAUGGCCGUAUGGUGUGAUGAAUGCCGUUGCGGCUUGGUCUAACUCUGCCAUCUUUAUUUGAUGGUAGACGGAGUAUGCGUCGAGGAAACACAAUGAAUCGUGUCCUGCGGUAGCGUCGAUAAUUUGAUUGAUGUGGGGGAGAGGGAAGGGAUCCUUUGGGCAAGCCUUGUUACGGUCUUUAAAAUCAACGCACAGGCGCCAGGAUUUGUCCUUCUUUGGUACCAUCACCAGGUUUGCGAGCCAGUCCGGGUGUUUUAUAUCUUUGAUGAAUCCGGCCUCCAAUAGCUUGGCUAGUUCCUCUCCCAUGGCAUGUCUCUUAGGUUCGGAAAAAUGCCGAAGAGCCUAUUUGACUGGCUUGAAUCCUUUUAGGAUAUUUAAGCUGUGUUCGGCCAGCCUGCGUGGGAUUCCUCGCAUGUCUGAAGGGUGCCAGGCGAAAAUGUCCCAGUUCUCUCGUAGGAACUCCCGCAGUGCGGCGUCUACAUCAGGGUUUAACUGUGCCCCGAUGGAAGCUGUUUUAUUGGGGUCCGUUGGAUGGACCUGGAAUUUGACUAUUUCGUCCGCCGGUUUAAAGGAGGUGGACUUGGAUCUUUUGUCGAGUAUCACAUCGUCCCUAUUCACCGUGGAGCGCAGCGCAGUCAGUUCCUCAGCCGCUAGGGCUUCGGAUAGCGCCUCGAGGGCCAGUGCGGCUGUCUUGUUUUCGGCGCGGAGUGCUAUGUCCGGAUCACUAGCGAGAGUGAUUAUUCCGUUAGGCCCGGGCAUCUUGAGCUUCAUGUACCCGUAAUGGGGUAUUACUUGGAAGAUUGUAAACGCUUCCCGCCCUAGCAGAGCAUGAUAUCCGGUACUGAACGAGGCCACUUGGAACGUGACCUCUUCGGACCUGUAAUUAUCUGGCGUGCCGAACACCAUAUCUAGUGUGAUUUUUCCUGUACGGCGCGCUUCCCGACUGGGGAUUAUUCCUCUAAAGGUUGUGCUACUUCUCUCAAUGUGGUUCCAGUCUAUUUCCAUUUUUUGAAGGGUUUCCUCAUAAAUGAGGUUCAAUCCGCUACCGCCAUUCAUGAGUACCUUGGUAAGACGAAAGUCAUCCACUAUUGGACUGAGGACCAAUGCGGCUGGUGUUCGGGCUAUUCGGAAUUUAGGUUCAUCACUGGCGUUAAAAGUAAUAGCCGUGUCACUCCAUGGGUUUAUUGUUGCUACUUGGUAGACUUCGGCAAGGCUGCGGAGUGUUCUUUUUCGCAUAUUAUUUGAUGCGAAAGUCUCAAAGAAUGUUAAUACCGUACUGGUGUCUCUGGGGUGGCUUUCUGUGGCUUCUGGAAUUAGAAGAUCUUCGCCAAUUUUUACCACCUGCCGGAGUAUCCAACAUGCUCUAAGGCUGUGAGUUGGUGUGGCGCCCUCUGCACUGUGAAUUUUACAGGGUCCAUUAAGCCAUCCUUCCAGUCCGGUUCCGUGCCCUGUAGAGAGCUUUUGCUUUUUGGUAUUGAACCCGGGUGUCUGGCGAUGAUGCACCCUUUUAUUUCGGACUGGGUUUGUAUUCAGGGCCGGAUUGUCCCAAAAUUUUAUUUCGGUUUUCCAGGCGCUUUCCAUUGCAUGGUACUUUCGUACUAUGGACGCCAAGUCAGCGAAGCAUGUAAUAUCACGGCGCCUUAUGGCAUUGAGGAUUCCCUUGUCUGUGCAAUUAUUGCGGAAGAAUGAAAUUGCGCAUUCCUCGCGGCAGUCCUUUAUCCUGUUCAUAACCAGGAGGAAUCUGGCCCAGUAAUGAUGCACUGUUUCUUCGGGCUCUUGCCUAAUUUGGGAUAGAUCGCUUAUGUACGGGUGGGUGGGUGGAAUCAAAUCCGAAACCUCACCCAAUCUGAGACCCAUAGGCCAAGGAGUGUCCGAACUCGGAAGUUUGGAUUCUUGGAUGUUGUCCAAUGAAUCUAGCCCGCCGCCUGACUUUAAGUUCAGGUCUUGAUUGAUGUCCUCCCCUCCGCGGGUAUCCGGCUUGGAGGGAUCGGGAAUCCGGACAUAGCUAGUCCUUAAGAUAGAUGAAGGGUCGCCGCACUGUCCCUCUACCACAGCAACGUGAUGGGUGACCUGGGGAGAGUUAAUAUCUCUCAGAUCGGGUUUAGGCCCAAUCUGGUCGUAAUCCGUAGCGACUCCUAGGGCGCGAUGCGAUCCAAGAGCUCGUUUAGGGAAUAGAGCUCCAUUGGAUCUAGCUGCUCGGUGAAUUCCGAGCUGACGUGAAGAUUGCUUUUGAUGACCCGAGAGGUCAUCAUCGGCGCAGCAGCCGAACAGGCAGUCAUAAGGAAACCACCUAGCCGGAGAGUUUGGCCGACAGCCAAAGCUCCCUUAGCAACGGUGCCGUCUUUAAAGACGGGAUGAGGCAUCCUUCCUGAUGGCAACGGCACAGAGGAACUCUCAAUGAAAGCACCAAUGUCGGUGUCAAAACCGGCGGAUCUCGAGUAGGAGGGCCCGAACCUGGGUAAAAACAUCGUGUCCCUUGUCUCCUGUUACCAUCCGCCUAGACGCACAGUUCGGGACCCCCUACACGAGAUCUGCCGGUUUUGACACCGAUAGUGGUCAUCUUCUCUGGCACCUGCUUCGCCCGGGGGUCGGUAAGCAUUGCGCGGAGCCAACUGUCGUUAGACGAGGCAUAUCUAUCGGCAGCACCCACCGAGGGUGGAUGCAGUUGGCGUCCAUCAUGACCCACUUGUUCCUGAAGCCCUCGGCCUUCUUCCGUCCUUCGAGAUCGCGUUGGUCCCAUUAGCCACAACAAAGUUGGCGCACCCUGAGCAAUGGCCCUCCUUGAGCUGGAGGUAGAAGAAGUGGCGAAGCAACGCCACAGAUAGCAUCACCCCCACAAAUGCCUCACAAUAAAAGGGGAAAAUCAACAGAAGGAGAAUGGAGUUGGGAUGGAGAUGAAGGGCAUGCAGCUUGUAGUGGCUAAGGACGGCGUAGAAUAAGUCAGAGAAGGGGGGACAAGUCCCGUGACAAUUCUAUUCAUGAAGAAGGGGUAGAAGGUACUGCUUGAGGGCUCCGCCUCGUCGGACCCAGCCCGAACCAUGGUAUUUCCCCCAUGUUGGUGUUGUCCGCCGUCAUCAGGAACGUGGCGACGAGGUUGUUCUCCGAGACGCUAGGCACGCUCAAGGACGGCUAGUACCAGGAAGGCGAGUUCGCUGCCUUCGCCUUGUCGGACUCCAUUGGCUGCAGGCUCGGAUAGGGGUUUGUGUGGAUCUGGAGUCUCUCGGAGCGAGAAAGAGAAAGGGGGCCUGGAGCAAGUGAAGGGAGGUAAUGAAGGCUCUGCAGUGCGCGCCAGCCUUUUGUCAGCCGAGGACAGUUGCCGAGGCAGCGUGGGGAAGCAGAGACGCACAUGACCUAUUAAUCGCCACACGUCAAUCAAGGCCGUAGGCGGUUGGGGCCCGUGGCGCUCCGCACUUCCCCUUUGUCCUCGCCUCGAAGCCAAUUCCGAGCGCGCCUUGGGCCCCGAGGCUACUGUUGCCAUCCUAGGAAUGGGGGUACCCAGACCUGCUUGCCUGCGGCCCAGGGCAUGGCUCCACCAAUGGCCUGGUACGACCCAUCUUCAUCAGCAACCACUCAAGACCCUCACGAGGGGCCAAGCCUCACAAGGCGGAUGACACCAAGACCUCCCAGGGGCCGCCUCGCUAGGCUGGCUCCUGAGGAGUGGAGACAUCUAUGCAAGGGGCACCUCGCGAGGUUCGCGUGACGUAAGCCAUGAUGACCAAGGCUAGGCGGGCUCCAGUGGGCACAGAGUGCCAGUUUCCUCUUUGGUGCUAAGGAAGUAGGCAUAGGAGAGGAUUCCUGAGGCAUCAGGCAAAGGUUUCCAUAUCGGUGCAACAAGACCAAGACUAGCAGGACGGCAGGACAGAGGUCACCGCAGAGCCCACGGUGGCGUCACGACCAGAACCUUUGGCAGGCAAAGACCGCCUUUUGUCAGGAUAACUUGUACUAGCUGUCUCCCUUCAAAACUGGUCGUUGUGGGAUCCCUUCCUGCGUAACAUUUGGGAAGAGGACCCAGGCUUCUAUAAAUAGGGCUAUCCACCACCAUAGGAAGGGACGGAUCAUUCAGACCAUCCUCAAACACACCAGCUCACCGAGCUCAAGAACAGCUCUCCUCAGGAGGUUGUUCAUCAACUGUACUAGCUCAUCCUUAGCCCACAGGGCAAUCCACCACACCACACUGGAGUAGGGUAUUACACCACAAUGGUGGCCCGAACCAGUAUAAACUCUCGUGUCUCUUGUUCCUUGGGUUCGGCGAGCUAGGCCUUGAGAUCAUUGCGAGAGCGAGAUAGGGAGAGAUCUUCGUGUGCACCCCAGUGUUCGGACCUCAAGGGUUUGCUGGAACCAGUAAUCCAACAUAAUUGUUCAAAAAAAUUGGAGUUACAGAAGUAUUCGAGAGUCACAUAUUAUUACAGACUGUUCUGUUUUUGACAGAUUCUAUUUUCUAUGUGUUGUUUGCUUAUUUUGAUGGAUCUAUGGGUAGUAUCAGGGGGUAUGAACCAUGGAAAAGUUGGAAGACAAUAGAUAUUACACCAAUAUAAAUAAAGAAUGAGUUCACUACAGUACCAAAAGUGGUUAUUUAUUUUCUUAUACUAACGGAGCUUAUGAGAUUUUCUAUUGAGUUUUGUGUUGUGAAGUUUUCAAGUUUUGGGUGAAGUUUUGAUGGACUACGGAAUAAGGAGGGGAAAUAGCCUAAGCUUGGGGAUGCCCAAGGCACCCGAAUGGUAAUAUUCGAGGAUAACCAAGCAUCUAAGCUCGGGGGUGCCCUAGAUGGCAUCCCCUCUUUCGUCUUCGUUCAUAUGUAACUUUACUUGGAGCUAUAUUUUUAUUCACCACAUGAUAUGUGUUUUGCUUGGAGCGUCAUUAUAUUUUAUUAGGAUUUGCUUGUUGUCUGAAUAAUACCCCAAGAUCUGAAAUUCUUAAAUGUUAGAGAGUCUUUGUCGAUGUUCUGGGAAUGGGGGUCCCCAGACUUGCCUGCCUGUGGCCCACGGCGUGACGCUGCGAGUGGGCCCGUACGGCCCAACUUCACCAACAAGCAUUCAAGACCCUUUGCGAGGCAGGUGACGCAAGACCUCCUCAGGAGCGGCCCCACCAGGUUGGCUCAUGAGGGCUAGAGAGAUCAAGGCCAGGAAAACCUCACGAGGUUCCAAUGAUGUGAGCCAUGACGAUCGAGACAGGCGGGCACCAGCACUCACAGUGUCCUUGUUUCCUCUUUGGUGUUAAGGAGGCAAGCACAGACGAAGAGUACUCAAGCGUCAAGCAAAGGUUUCCAUAUCGGUACAACGAUACCAAGACCAGCAGGACGGCAGGAUGGAGGUCACCGUGGAGCCCAAGAUGGCGUCACCACCAGAGCCUUUGGCAGGCGAAGACAGCUUUUGUCAGGAUAAAUUGUACUAGAUGUCCCCUUUCAAAUUGGUUGUUGUUGGCUCCCUUCCCGCUCAAUAUUUGGGGAGAGGACCAGGGCCUCUAUAAAUUGGAUUAGCCACCACAAAAGAAGGGGGGAUCGACCUCAUUUUAGAUCUGAGCCAUUCCAUCCUUAGCCACACACCAACCACGCACAAGAACACCUCACCUCAGGAGGUUGUUCUUCCCCUUGUACUGUUCAUCAUCAGCCCAAGAGGCAAUCCACCACACCACACUGGAGUUGGGUAUUACACCGCAAUGGUGGCAAGAACCAGUAUAAAUCUUGUGUCUCUUGUGUUGCGAGUUCGUCGAGCUAGCCUUUGAGAUCGCGAAGUGCUUGAGGGUGUGAUCGGUGAGGGAGAGAUCUUUGCACGCACCACAGUGUUGGAACCAUAAGAGUUUUGAAGGAACCCGAAAUCCAACAUUUGGCGCGCCAGGUAGGGGUGUGCCGAAGCCUUCUUCUUCGUCGACCCACGCUUCGUCACUCCACCAAGCUCAUGGCCGACGCUCGCCGAGCUCACGCUAAGCGCCAGGCUGCCCGUGUUGCUCAAACGGCUCCUGUCGGCGGGCCCCCCCGUUGUUCUCCAUCACCCGCCGCCAACACUAUUACCGAUCCGGCGGCGAACGAGCACCAAGCCUCUUCACUGCAUCCCUCUGUGCGCUGGGACGGCCACACCGCCACCCCGUCGCUGACUCCGGCCGGCUCGUCAUCUCACACUCGCCGCGCCCCCUCGGUCGCGUAGGCCGCGCUGCUCAUGGCACGCGGGCUCCUGCGCUACCGUCCGGUUGACAACCUCUACAAGGACUGGCUGGACCGCACCGUCGAGCUUGUCAGCGUCGCAGGAGGAUCUCCUGCACCGUCCCUCUCACUGCCUCGCCCUCUGCCAGCUGCGGGUGACGUGGCUCACGGAGCGCCUCCGCCUCCUCCACACCAAGAUGGUGCCCUUGCGCUGAGGCGUGCGGCUCAGGGAGCACCUCAGCCUCCCCCGCGCCUGGGUGGUGUCAUCGCUCCAAGAUGCGCGGUCCAGUGGCGCGACCCACCAUGCCGCGUGCCAGUGCACAAGGAAAGAAGCUGCCAAGAAGUGCUCCACCACUCCCAGCUCCACUACGCCAGGAUUGCUUGCUGCGACAGGGCCAUGCGCCGUGUGCCGCGGCAGCGCAGGGACACCACGACCAGGCUCCACCUCCAAGGCGAGCCCCGGUGACCACGGCCGGCUGUCGCGCCUUCACCCCCGAGCUGCGUAGUGUCGCCUGGCCAGGCAAGUUGAAGCCAAACCUGCCUCCGAGCUACGACGGCACCCCCGACCCCACAGAACUCUUGUAGCUCUAUGAGCUGAGCAUCGAGGCAGCCAGUGGGGACGAGGAAGUCAUGGCGAACUGGUUCCCCAUGGCUCUCAAGGAUGGUGCCCGCUCCUGGCUCCUGAACCUGCCGCCUGGCUCCAUCUCUUCCUGGAACGAGAUGCGCGACAGUUUCGUUGCCAUUUCCAGGCACUCGCGACCGCCCCCCGGCCGUGGGUGACCUGCGCCGCAUCAAGCAACAACCAGGGGAGACCCUUCAUAAGUACAUCUAGCGCUUCAACAAUGUUUGUCUCAAGAUCCCCAAGGUGAUGGACGAGGCCAUCAUCUCUGCAUUCUCCGAUGGCGUCCGCGGCAUCAAGAUGAAGGAGGAGCUCGCCAUCCAUGAGGAGCUGUGCACAUCCAUAGAGCUGUUCAACCUGGCGACCAAGUGCGCAAGGGCUAAGGAAGGGCGCCUUUCCCUCCUCGAGCUCCCAGCUGUCGACACGGAGGAGAAGAAAUCCAAGGCCAAGGACGUGAAGAUCAAGGGAGUCGUCGUGCUCAUGGCAGAGCCGGACAUGAAGCGCGGUAGGGACCAGCCUGGGUCAUCCAAGGGUGACCAAGGCCCACACCGGGAGUGGCGCGACCGACCUCAUGAGGAACGCUGGCAGGAUCAGUCUCGCGAAGGUGCCUGGAGGGAUCAGCCUCGCGAGGACCGCCCUCAGGGCAAUGCUAGGCUUCCUCCACUGCGGCCACCAAGAAGGAAUGACGACCACCACCAAGACGAGGGGGUUGGGGGCUUCCAGGAGCCGCAUGCUAUCGCCUGCAUCUUGGACGGUGCUCAAGCCCUAGCCUCACAGCGUAUCUUCAAGCAAUUUUCUCGCGAGGUGAACGCAGUCCUUCCCAAGAUCGAGGUUAUAUGCCUACUCAGGUGGUCCAAGUGCGCUAUUACCUUCAGCUCAGCAGAUCAGCUCAACUGCACGGCCACCGCUGGCGCUCUCCCAAUGCUUUGUUCACCUGGCAUUAGCCACGUAAAAGUCACCAAGAACCUCAUCGACGGUGGCGUAGGGCUCAACAUCCUGUCCGUCGGGACAUUCGACAACCUUCAAGUGACAUACGAUCAGCUUUAGCCUACCCAACCUUUUUAAGGAGUGACCAAUGGCUCCACCACGAUGAUAGGUCAGGUACGCCUCCCAGUCACCUUUGGAGAAUGCAACAACUACCGCACCGAGCUCAUCGACUUUGACGAUGCCCACAUUCGUCUGCCGUACAAUGCCAUCCUCGGGUAUCCGGCCCUGGCCAAGUUCAUGGCAGUGACGCACCACAGCUACAACGUCCUCAAGAUGCCAGGAAGAAGCGGGAUCAUCACAGUCCCCUACAAAGAAAGAGAUGCGGUGUGCUCCCUCGAGCAUGCCUUCCAAGCAGCGUCAAUUGAAGACCCGGCAACAAUGCAGCUCGGUACCCUCGUGAGGUUGUCCCCAAGAAGAAGCAGCUGCUCCGUGCCGGACCUCGGGAGGGUGGCACUGCAAGUGGUACCUCGUCAGGAUCAGCGCCUGCACCUAGGGCGCCUCCCUCUAUUGCAUAGGAAGGCGCGCCCAAUGCCCUCCUCGGGCAGGGCUCAGGGGCUCUCUUCUAGAGGGCCUCAGACCUUGCCAACCUCACGAGGGAGGCGCUCAGGCACCACUUGGAGGUGUGUUUCACGGCACGUCUCCCUUAGGAGGACACUGGGCAAGGAGCGCCAGGCGCUUAGGAGUUCAUCACCAAGGUAUCUCAGGAGCUUCAGGAGGCAAGAGCAAUACGCGGUGACUGCCUCCCACCUGGCGUUGCUCCCCACCCAGGCCAGAGUGGUGAGCUGCGCGUUUGCAUCGACAUACUAGGGCUCAACCGAGCCGCAUCUCAGGAGCGCUUCUGGCCUUCGCGUGUUGGGAGCUGCAAAGGUCCACCUCACAGCUACGUUCGCAUGCCGUUCGGCCUGCCGAGCGUGGCUGCUGCCUUCCAGCGCAACCUGCAGAGCUGCAUGGCGGAUCAGGAGGCUAGGCACCACGCAGUCCUGGCAGAGGUGGCGACGGUCCUCAAGGAACCGCCUGGACCCCAGAGCCUCCUGAGGCUCAGGACCCCGGUGGCUCGUGAGGAGCAACCCCUUCGCCGCGUACCUUCAGCUAGCUCAACACCCCUUCAUCAACGUAACCUGGUGAGUUUUUCCAAGUUUAUUUAGCUGGGAGCGCCCAGGGGGCAGCAUUAUUCCCAGGCCGCGUGGGUCCGUCCAUGUGGCAUGUAUCCCUUCUUUUUUAUGUCUUUAGCUCACCUUGCUGGGGGCACCCCUCGGGCUGCAUCAUCCCCAAGCCGCUCAGGCCGGACCCAGUGGCUCGUAUCGUUCAUGCAUUUACUUGAGCUAGUUUGCCUUCCGUGCUUAAUCUCUCUAUGAUUAUAACCUUCUUGUUUAUCGCCUACUGCGGGAGCCACACGCCGGUCGUCUUUCUUCAGGACCCUUCGUGUGAGAGGGUUAGGCACGGCGUCUGUGCUCGGGUUCGUCCCUGUAGCGUCAAUAAAUCCAACAGCUGAGCUCUGUCUGGCGGGCCGGCCCCGUUCACGUCACCUCCUGGGGACGUUGGUGCUUGGCUUUCUCACGCGAUAACCUCAGGAUAUUCCUUCAGCGCAGGUUGUCUGACCACCUCGCAGUACCAACAUAGCAAACAAGAAUCAAGACCAGGCGCAACUAGCCUUGAGGUCGGGCCUCGUGAGCCCCGCACUGGCUCACAAGUGCCCAAACACACCUCGUCUAGCCCUGCCAUGCAAGCCACCUGUCAGGACGGGGCUGUACACGCCCCAGGGUCUCUCCACAGUAGGGAGUCCCCUCCCAUGUACCAGAGGCGGAUCGGCAAUCACCAUGGUGAUUAGUUCCCUUCCUCGCACUAACUUGUAGGAACUUCCUGAAGGCUACAGCUAGCGGUACCCCGGACCCUCUCUCUUCUCCCAUGCGAUUCGCGUGCACAUUAGAAGGGGGCACCUGAGCAUCAUGGCUCGGGAGCUCUUACUGGCUAUCCAGCCCUCACCCCCUGGCCUUGACCACGCCAUCACGACCUGGCUUACCAGCGGCGGCUGAGCUCGCUCGAGAGCCGGGACCUGAGGACGUAGAGCACCAGGAAGAACAUGGAGAAGUGGGGGUGGCCUGCACGGGCCUAACCUAGCUACUCAGCAGCGGCCAACUCCCAAGCCUGGCGUCUCGCGAAGGACCAACCCUGGAUUGCCAAGAUAAGUUUCAUGCUCGGGUCAACCAACCGCUACAGCGUAGAGUUCUCAUUUGUGCUGCCCCACUGCGGCAACGUAGUCUCCCUCUCUUACCUCUCGGCGGUCGCUUGCGCGCCAAAGGGGACCUCCUAAGCAUCACAUCUUAGGGGCUCCUACUAGACCUUGGGCCGCUCACCUCCUGGCCUUGACCACGGCAUCGCGACCUGGCAUACCAGCGAUGGCUGAAGCCUACCUGGGGACUGGGACCUGUCGGCGUAGAGCACCACGCCAUCACGAGGUUGGAAAGGGGAAACCGAGCCAGAGCGGAGCACGCACACGCACAACUUCAUAAUAAGGAUAAUAUCAACAAAGGACAUUACAAAUGCUUUACACACCCCAACGGGGUCCGUUUCGAUUCCUCACUGGGAACAAAAGGAAAGGAAUCCCUAGGAGUUCUAUCUACGCACGCCAGAUGACACCGACGCCAUCAUCAACACUGGGCCACAAGAGGCCGGUGCCAACCCCAUCUAGAUCAUCGACGGCGGCGGCCAGACAUUGCAGCCUUGCUCUAGGCCCGAGGGGAGAUUGGGGGCACGUAGCUGUCAUCGCUCGUCCCGGAGACUCCACGAGCUCGGGAGAGUCGCUGGACCACCAGGAGUCGCUGCUGUCACUGGAGGAGCUGCAGACGAGGCCUGCGGCAGGCCCAACGCCCACCGCUGCGCCGUCCUGGCGACCUCCUUCAUGUCAGCACUCCAGGCGGCGGCCUUCCUCGUUGAAGACCUUGAAGAACAUCAUGGAGGCACCAUCGUACUUGAAAUGGAUCGCGAGGGCGCCCUCUGUGCGGCAGACUCGAGUAAUCUCGCCCCAGCCUCAGGUCAUGAAGAUCCUCCCGGAGACGAUGGCUUCAAUUUUGCUCCAAUCGCUGGGGCGUCGCAGUCGGUGUGCUUCAAUUUCUGCUUCACUUUCGCGGCAUCUCUCCAGAGAAGAAGGAAAGGAAGCGAAUCCAAGUGCUCGGGGGCAUCACCGCCCACAGCAUGAACUCGCGCUAGGAGUUCGCAGCAUGGACCCCUGGGCGAUGGCGUGCACCUCCGCGGCACGGCGGCCACGGCCCUAGUGCGUGCGGGCGGCGCUCAUCGCUCCUCCCUCCGGAAUCAUCGGCGUGAGCAUAGAAUGGCAACGGGUACCCAGGAGGCGGCCUCUCGUACCACGGCCAUGACACCACCUGCCUCACGACCAUCUCCCGGUGAUGGGACCUCCUCUUCUUUAGCGGAAGCAGCUCGGGCUCGUUGAGGGGAGCCUUGCCCUUCUCCGUGGCCGAGAACCUCUAAAUCAGCGCCAUGACUGCACCAACAAGGAGUGGAGCAAGGAAGGAGAAGAAUCGGGAGAGGCAAAGGAGAUAUGGGUGAUGGGGCUUCGCCCCCACCUCCCAUUUAUAGCCAAAGGGAGGCCAACCGCCGGCCUCCAUGAUCUAAGGUAAUAAUUAUGGUUUUUUCUUGCAUGCAGUGGGGACUCGUCAAGUCGGGCAGUUGUCGAGGUAGUGUGGGGAAGUGGAGACGCCCAUGUCCAAUCAACCGCCACGCAUCGACCAAGGCCACGGGAUAUUGGGGCCCGUGGCGCUCCGCACUUGCCCCUUGGCUUCGCCUCGAAGCCAAGCCCGAGCGUGCCUUGGGCCCGGGGGCUACUGUCAGCGUUCUAGGAACGGGGGUUCCCAAACUUUCCUACCUGCGGCCCACGGCGUGCCACUGUGAGUGGGCCCGUACGUCCCAACCUGACCAACAAGCAUUCAAGACCCUCGCGAGGGGCCAAGCCUCGCGAGGCGGGGGACGCAAGACCUCCUCAUGAUUGGCCCCACCAGGCUGUCUCGCGAGGGGCGGAGAGAUCAAUGUCAAGCAAACCUCGCAAUCAAGACCAGGCGGGCCCUAGGCGGGCACCAGCACUCAUAGUGUCCUUGUUUCCUCUUUGGUGCUAAGGAGGCAAGCGUAGACGAAGAGUACCAAGGCGUCAAGCAAAGGUUUCCAUAUCGGUGCAAUGAGACCAAGACUAGUAGGACGGAGGUCAUCGUGGAGACCAAGACGGCGUCACCACCAGAGCCUUUGGCAGGCGAAGACUGCUUUUGUCAAGAUAACUUGUACUAGUUGUACCCUUUCAAAUUGGCCGUUGUUGGCUCCCUUCCCGCUCAAUAUUUGAGAGGACCAGGGCCUCUAUAAAUAGGAUUAGCCAGCAUAGUAGAAUGGGGGAUCGACCUCAUUUUAGAUCAUAGCCAUUCCAUCCUUAGCCACACACCAACCAAGCACAAGAACACCUCACCUCGGGAGGCUGUACUUCCCCUUGUACUGUUGAUCAUCAACCCAAGAGGCAAUCCACCAAACCACACUGGAGUAGGGUAUUACAACACAACAGUGGCCCGAACCAGUAUAAAUCUCGUGUCUCUUGUGUUGCAAGUUCGUCGAGCUAGCCUUUGAUAUCGCGAAGUGCUUGAGGGCGUGAUCGGUGAGGGAGAGAUCUUCGCGCGCACCCCAGUGUUCGAACGUUAAGGGUUUUGCCGGAACUCAAAAUCCGACAGUCUUCACAUAGUUGCAUAAUUAUUCGACUACUCAUUGAUCUUCACUUAUAUCUUUUGGUGUAGUUUAUCAUUUGCUCUAGUGCUUCACUUAUAUCUUUUUAGAGCACGGCGGUGUCUUUAUUUUGAUGAAAUUGAUGAACUAUCAUGCUUCACUUAUAUUAUUUUUAGAGUCUUUAAACAGCAUGGUAAUUUGCUUUGGUUAUGAAUUUAGUCCUAAUAUGAUGGGUCCAAGAGGGAUAUUGUAAAAACUUCCAUAUAAAGAGCAUUGAAUACUAUGAGAAGUUUGAUUCCUUGCAUAUUGUUUUGAGACAUAAAGAUGGUGAUAUUAGAGUCAUGCUAGUGAGUAGUUUUGGAUUGGUAGAAAUACUUGUGUUAAAGUUUGUGAUUCCCAUAGCAUGCACGUAUGGUGAACCGUUAUGUAACGAACUUGGAGCAUGAUUAAUUACUGAUUGUCUUCCAUAUGAGUGGCGGUCGGGGACGAGCAAUGGUCUUUUCCUACCAAUCUAUCCCCCUAGGAGCAUGCGUGUGUACUUCAUUUUGAUAACUAAUAGAUUUUUGCAACAUGUGAGUUCUUUAUGACUAAUGUUUAGUCCUUGGAUUAUAGGCACUCUCACCCUUUUUCACCUUUGCUAGCCUCUCUAGUGCCGCGCAACUUUCGCCCGGUACCAUACACCCACCAUAUAGCUUGCUCAAAUCAACCACCAUACCUACCUAUUAUGGCAUUUCCAUAGCCAUUCCGAGAUAUAUUCCCACACAACUUUCCACCGUUCCGUCUAUUAUGACACACAUCAUCAUUGUCAUAUUGCUUUGCAUGAUCAUGUAGUUGACAUCGGGCAAAGCCACCAUUCAGAAUUCUUUCAUACAUUUCACUCUUGAUUCAUUGCACAUCCCAGUACACCACCAGAGGAAUUCGUAUAGAAUCAUAUUUUGUUCUAAGUAUCGAGUUGUAAUUCUUGAGUUGUAAGUAAAUAAAAGUGUGAUGAUGUUCAUUAUUAGAUUAUUGUCCCAUGUGAGGAAAGAAAGAUAAAAGUUGAAAAAAACAGAAGGCCCAAAAAAUGAGAGAAAAAGAGAGAAGGGACAAUGUUGCUAUCCUUUUUCCACACCUAUGCUUCAAAGUAACACCAUGAUCUUCAUGAUAGAGACUCUCCUAUGUUGUCACUUUCAUGUACUAGUGGGAAUUUUCCAUUAUAGAAGUUGGCUUGUAUAUUCCAAUGAUGGGCUUCCUCAAAAUGCCCUAGGUCUUCAUGAGUGAAAGUGCGUUAUAUCGACUAGAGGGGGGGUGAAUAGGCAAUUUUUAUGAAAUUCUUCACUUAGGAAUUUGCCGGUGAGGAAAUUCCUUAGCGAAGAACUACUAGCAGCGGAAUAAGUACUCAAAACUAAACAUAACAGAAUACAAGCAUAGUCAUCAUGAUGAAAUGAAGACAGGCACAGAGUACACGAAGUGUAAUCACAGGAUAACACAGGAUGAAGACAAACAGACUGAAGAAAUUGAACUGAGGAAAUUGAGAAAGUCUUCAGUCAAAGUCUUCAAACACAGAUAUGAACAACAUACAACACAAUUAUGAGGAAAUGAAAGAGUUGAGGAAAUAGAACCAGUAAGCUCGGUGAAUACAAUGAUUUGGAAGAUCAGUUCCAACUGUUGUCUCAGUUGUACGUCUGGUUGGAGCGGCUGAGUAUUUAAACUCGAGGACACACAGUCCCGGACACCCAAUCAAGGACACUUAGUCCAAGACACCCAGUCCUCACCGUAUUCUCCUUGAACUAAGGUCACACAGACCUCGUCCAAUCACUCGUGGUAAGUCUUCAGGUGACUUCCAAACCUUCACAAACUUGGUCACUCGGCGAUCCACAAUUCCUCUUGGAUGCUCUAGACCAUGGCGCCUAACCGUCUGGAUGAAGCACAGUCUUCAAAGGUAACAAGUGUCGUAUCCACUCAGGAUCAAUCUCUUCAGUGAUGCUCAAUCACUUGGGGUUUGUAGGUGUUUGGGUUUUGGGUUUUUGGUUUUUCCUCACUUGAUGAUGUUCGCUCAAAGUCCUCGGAGGAUGGGUUGCUCUCCAAUGACAAGUGUCAGUUUCUCUCGGAGCAGCCAACCAGCUAGUGGUUGUAGGGGGCAGCUAUUUAUAGCCUAGGGAGCAACCCGACAUGAUAAGACAUAAAUGCCCUUCAAUGAUAUGACUGUUAGGUGGAUAGAUAUUUUGGGAUAGCUGGCGCAUAGCACAGCAACGAUCAGAAUUUUGAGUAGUAGAAUCCUCAGGGCUAUCAUGUUCCUCACUGUGUAGCCAAUCCGCACUGGCGAAUUCCUAACUCCUCAGUCAGGACAAAUUCCUCAGAGACCAAAAGAACUUUGUCUCUAUCACUGAAGAAAUUGGCUGAACUUUAUGAGAUUUCCAAUGGCUUCACUCGAAGGGAUUGGUAGGUGUAGGAUUUUGAGUUGAGCAUCACAUGGAAAUUUUUCAUUAGUAUUUCCUCGACCCCCUUUAACAGUACGGUGUUUCCUAUGACUCAAGAAAGAGAAAAACAAAACUAUGAAAACGAAAGUCUUCAAGCUUCAUAUUCCUCGCAUGGAUAUCAAGUCUUCACGGACACACCAAUUUCUUCACUUUCAAAGUCUUCAUGAAAGUCUUCAGAAAUACCAAAAUCUUCAGUCGAAGAUGUUCAAUUUUAGGGGUCGACUUUUCCUAUAAAUAUCAAACUCCUCAUAGACUUAUAGACCUGUGUACACUCACACACGCAUUAGUCCCUUGACCUAUAAGUCUUCAAUACACCAAAAUCACUAAGGGGCACUAGAUGCACUUACAAUGAGCAAGCAAGUUGGAUGCACAACCACUUAGUUUCUUUUUGAGCUUUCAUACACAUAGCUCUAGUGCAUGCGUUGCAUGGCAAUCACUCACUCACAUUGAUAUCUAUUGAUGGGCAUCUCCAUAGCACAUUGAUACGCCUAUUUGAUGUGAGACUAUCUCCUUCUUUUUGGCUUCUCCACAGCCACCAUAUUAUAUUCCACCUAUAGUGCUAUGUCCAUGGCUCAUGCUCAUGUGUUGCUUGAAAGUUGAAAAGGUUUGAGAACAUCAAAAUUACGAAAAAAUUGCCUGGCUUGUCAUCGGGGUUGUGCAUGAUUUUAUACUUUGUGUGAUGUGAUUUUGUAGGGAUAACUUUCUUUGGCCAUGUUAUCUUGAGAAGACAUAAUUGCCUUAUUAGUAUUCUUGAAGUAUUAUUGUUUUUAUGUCAAUAUUAAACUUUUAUUUUGAACCUUAUGGAUCUGACAUUCAUGCCGGAAUGUGAGGACCACCUCCGUUCCGAGUAUCCGGAGUUCUUUCAGUCCUAGAUCUCGGGAUGAGAUCCUUUCGUAGUGGUGGAGUGUUGUAACACCCCGGAUGUAACUUACCAUAUUUGUACUCCAACACUUGCCAUUUUAGGCUUUAAGUUAUGAGAUUCGUGGUUGGGUUCUUGUCUUUGUUUUGCAUUUUGUUCAUGUCAUGCAUUUCAUAUCAUGCCAUCAUGUGCAUCUCAUUUUAAUACGUGUUCAUCUCAUGCAUCCGAGCAUUUUCCCCAUUGUCCGUUUUGCAAUCCGGCACUCCUACGUCCACCGGUGUCCCUUUUUGCCUCUUUUCGUGAAUGGGUGUUAAACAUUCUCAGAAUGGACCGAGAUUUGACAAGCGGCCUUGGUACAACACCGGUAGACUGCCUGAUAAGUUUCGUGCCAUUUGGAGUCCGUUUGAUACUCCAACAGUUAACCGGGGAACCGUAAAGGCCUCGUGUGUGUUGCAGCCCAACACCCCUCCAAAACGGCCCAAUAACCCAUCCAAAACCCUUCCAUGUCCUCCCCCAUCGGAUCACGAUCGCGUGGUCGAAAACUACAUCUCAUUUGGACACUCCAAACUCCUCCUACCUAUAAAUAUGUGCCCCUCCCGGAUUUUUCGCGCAGAUGAAACCCUGGCCUAGCCCCUCUCCGCCGCCGGACACGUCCGGAUCUCACCACACGAAAAAUGCCGCCACACCCGCACCAAUUGGAGGCCGCCAUGUGGCACCCCGGAGCCUCCACCGCCGCCAGCCCGCCAGGGCCGCACGGGGCCCUCCCGGCCCGCGCGCUCGCGCCUCCUCNNNNNNNNNNNNNNNNNNNNNNNNNNNNNNNNNNNNNNNNNNNNNNNNNNNNNNNNNNNNNNNNNNNNNNNNNNNNNNNNNNNNNNNNNNNNNNNNNNNNNNNNNNNNNNNNNNNNNNNNNNNNNNNNNNNNNNNNNNNNNNNNNNNNNNNNNNNNNNNNNNNNNNNNNNNNNNNNNNNNNNNNNNNNNNNNNNNNNNNNNNNNNNNNNNNNNNNNNNNNNNNNNNNNNNNNNNNNNNNNNNNNNNNNNNNNNNNNNNNNNNNNNNNNNNNNNNNNNNNNNNNNNNNNNNNNNNNNNNNNNNNNNNNNNNNNNNNNNNNNNNNNNNNNNNNNNNNNNNNNNNNNNNNNNNNNNNNNNNNNNNNNNNNNNNNNNNNNNNNNNNNNNNNNNNNNNNNNNNNNNNNNNNNNNNNNNNNNNNNNNNNNNNNNNCCCGGCGCCCCUUCGCCGCCGACCGCCGCGGCAAGCGCCGCCGUCCCCGCCGAUCCCGCGAGCUCGCAGCACCAGCCCGCGCCGCCUCGUCCCCACCAGCCUCUCCUCCGGCCGGAUCCGGCCUCCCCGUCCCCGGAUCCGGCGAGGCGCUACUCCGGCGACCACCGCCUCCCUCUUCUCCGGCCACCGCGACCUCCUACUCUGGCAAGCUCCCCGGUCAUCGUCGAAGGACGUGCAAACCCUAGAACUUAUAUCCGGAGGUCCAAAUAUUCUCCAAGUCCCGUUUCUGCAAUAUUUUCAGGCCCUGUUCAUCAUGCCAUUACUUGUUGCAUACUGCUCCAUUUUGUGCGUGCUAUAUAUCAAAAUGUUCAUUAGGAUGUGUUCUUCAUUUUGUUCCAUUGUGACAUGCUUGUUUGAGUCUAUCUUGAUGCCCAAAUCGUUGAUGCAAGAGUGCUAUAAAUUGUUAGGUGCUGAUUCUUAGCAGAUUAUGAGCAUUUGUCAUUUUUGCUACAUUUGUUGUGUGCUGGAUAUGGGCAUGAGCUCUACAUGUGUUUUGGUAUAUGCCAUGCCAUCUUUACAAGGGUGUAUGCCAUGUAUUUUUGUGAUACUUGUGGUGACUAGCACAAGCAUGCAAAGUACCUCUCAUGAUAUUGCCGAUAUCAGGGACUUAGAAUUUCACUAAGUCAUUGCUCUUUUGUUAUUUUUAAGCCAUUUAUUCAUGUUGCUACAGAGAGAUACAUGCUUUGUUUGAGUAUCGUCAGUAAGGAUGAUUUGGACAUAUGGUUAUGCUCUAUCCAGCCAUGCCCCUGUUUGCAAUUAUGAAGUGCCCUAGCAUGACCUAAUCUUGCUCUACUUUUGCUAUAAAAUGUUCCUGGCAUAUUGUUUACAUGUUAAUAAAUUUUGCCAUGGUUGUCGUAGUUGAUCCAUGCAUGCUAUGAACUUGCUCUUGCAUUGGUUAGGUUUAUAAACAUGUCUGCUUGCUAUUGCUAUGCUUAUAUUGUCAUGCAAUGCCUUGUAGUGAGUGAAUCGAGCUUGCAAAGAGGCCUUCAUUACUCUGUUUUGCCAUGCUCAGUUUUCUGCUAAGUCUGAAUCUGUUAACGAAACUUGCUAUGUUUACAUGGGUGCCAUCAUAUCUUCUGAUCCUUUUUGGCUUAUGGCAGUAAGGUACUUUUGUUCUAUGCUUUGAGUAGAUUCAUUCCAUGCCUUGUAUUGCUAUGAUCUAAUCCUGUAGCAUGUUGUUUGCUUGCUCUAAACAUUGCUUCCUGAUGUUAAUUCCUGGCAUGUUGAUAUUUUCACCAAGUCUGUGAAGCUGAUAUCUUUUGCACUUUUGCCAUGCUUGUUUGAACUUGUUCUAGUGUGUUUUAGCAAUGGCUCAGUGUUCAUCUUUUGUCAAGCAUCUUGAGUAGAUCACCGAAAUGUGCUUUGUUGCUAUGUUGAGGUGCAGAAGCUUAGUUUCUUGUUGCAUUCUAGAUGGCAUCGUGUUGUUAAUCGCAGAAUUGUGCCAUUAUUCUUUUGCUUGUCAUUUGCAAACCGUGCAUCCGAUUCCGGUGAUCUUUAUAUCGAUUUCGACCGAAAUCAACUCAUCUUUCUAGCGGCGCACUUGGUUUGCCAAGUUGAUGCCUUGAUCAAUCUUUUCCUUACGCAGCACGCAUAUGCAUUACAUAUCACAUCCCGCAUGUCAUGUUUUGCAUCAUGUUGAUUGUGCAUUGCACCGUGAUUGAUUGUUGGCCCUUUUGUUUGUGUUCUUGCUUUGGGUAGAGCCGGGAGACGAAUAUGUGAUCGAGGAACCCGUUGAGUACGCUUACGAGGAUCAAGCUUUCAUCAACUCGAAGAACUUUGCAGGCAAGAUGACCAUUCCCUCGAAAUCACUUCUAUCUUUGCUUGCUAGUUGUUCGCUCUUUUGCUAUGCCACGAUACCUACCACCUGCUAUAUCAUGCCUCCCAUACAUCCAUGUCAAGCCUCUAACACACCUUAACCUAUAGGUCUUCAAUACACCAAAAUCACUAAGGGGCACUAGAUGCACUUACAAUCUCCCCCUUUUUGGUGAUUGAUGACAAUAUAGGUUAAUUUUUCAACGGGGAUAAACAUAUGAAGUGUAAAUACUGAUAUUGUGGAAUUUGAUUGCAAGAUAUAGAAGAAAUCCCCCUGAAGAUGUGCAUAGUGAGGAAUUUGCUUUUGAAGCAAUGCACACUUGAAGAGUUGAAUCAUGGAGAUCUCCCCCUAUAUCUUGUAAUUCAUACACGCAUUUAACAUAUAAUAUGAAGAAUUUGAAAUGCAUGAUGAAAUAUGGUGCCUGAUGAAAUUCAGCAUGCGUGCAAUAAUAUUAACGAGGAAUAAGCAUGCAGAAUAGUGCAUCAAGAGUAUCAGAGCACAGUGCAUCAAAAGUAUCAGAGCACCAUCGGGUUUAAGAUUACAACUCGAUCCAAAAAAGUUUCAGAAGAACGAGAGUUGUAACUUAGCAAAGAAAAAAACGCCCAUAUAGUAGACCCGCUUGAAGACUAACUCAUAUUUCUCCCCCUUUGUCAUCGAAUGACCAAAAGGAUCGAAAAUAAGGACUAACGCCCCUGAAGAUAAUCAUGUUGAUGAAGGAGCGCCAGCGUUGUUGGGGUUGUUGGUUGAUGUAGGGUCUGCCGUAGUGUCGUCCAAAUCUUCUUGUUCAUCAGUCUCGCGCGAUGAAGAAUAUGAGCUGGCCACCAGAGAAGGAAGCUUGACCUUCUUGAAUUUCUUCGGUGGAGGUGCAGACCAGUCAAAAUCUUCAAUAAGAUCCAUGUUCUUCAGAUCUUCUUCACCAUACAGAUGUGACAGGAUUGCCCAGGUGCAACCGAAGACUUGAUGGAGGUAGUAGUGGUUUUUCUUCACUGCAUUGUGUGUGGCAUUCAUGUUGUGGAGAAGUGAACCAAACUGACGCUUAACCCAUUUGUGAUUUCGAUCCACCUUCUGGUGAAGACUAAGCAGAAGUUCACGGUCAGUCAUCACGCACGAAGCAGUGGCUUGAGGAGUGAACUUGGGUGCAUUGGCAGAGUCAUGUGUGGCAGAGUCAUCAUUGGUGGAAUAAGAUGCAGCUUUGCGAAACUGACCAUCCAAUGGACGAAUGCAUUCAUCAAUUACAGCUGGUGCCUUGCCCUUUCCAUCAACUGAGGAAUAUGUCUGCUUGAGGACUUCAAUUGGGGGCAAGUAGCUGAGAUGAUUCUGGAAAUCAGCUUUGUAGUUGAGUGAAGACCUUGUCCUGAGGAAUCUCAUGAUCCAAGGUGCAUAAGGCUUCAGCUCACACGGAGACAGUGCAACAUUGGCCAUAGUCCUCAUGAAGAAAUCGUGAUAAUUGAUAGGAAUGCCAUGAACGAUGCUGAAUACUAGAUUCUUCAUGACGCCAACAAUUUCCUCAUCAGAUGAGUCAUGGCCUUUGAUAGGACGGAUUGUCCUCGUAAGAAUACGAUAGACAGUUCUGGGCACGUACAACAAUUCCUUCAUGAGGAAUUUGGUUCUUGGUGCCUGACCUGGUUUCAAAGGCUUCAUCAGCACCUGCAUGUAAUGAUGUGUGAGCUCAGGUUCACUGUAGAUGCAGCGAGCUUCUUUAAGGGGAGUACUGAGUGGUAGAGCACAAAACAAUUCAGAGGCUCAUGCAGUGUUGUGAGUGUUUUCAGACAUCUAGUCCAGCACCCAUGAAUUCACAUCUUCAGCAUCUCCGCUGAUGUGCAGCGUUGCAUAGAAUUGAAGAAUCAGUUCUUCAUUCCAAUCGCAGAUGUCAGAGCAAAAGUUUAGCAGCCCAGCGUCAUGAAGAACACUAAGGACUGGUGCGAAGCACGGUAGAGAUUCCAUAUCCACGUGAGGAAUAUGCUCAUGGUAGAAAAUCUUCUCCUUGUUGAACAACACUGAGGAAUAGAAAUUGGCUUGACUAGCAGUCCAGAAAUGCCUCUUCCUAAUGCGAGCAGAGUCAUAUGGGUUGUAAUCUUCGAAGAAUACGUGCUCGCCGAAGAAAUCAUCAGCCUUGAACUUUUGCUUGCGUGAAAAUGGAUCCUUUGGCUUUGGCAGAGGAGUGUCAGUGAGUUGCAUCACGACCUCAGGAAUCUUAAUCGCAGGUUCUUCAAGCUGAGGAAUUUCUAGUUCCUCCUUAGUGGCAGUCUGCGUAGGUGGUUGUUCAGCAGUAGUAGUUUCUUGGCAGAGGAGUGUUAGUGAGUUGCAUCACGACCUCAGGAAUCUCAAUCGCAGGUUCUUUAGGCUAAGGAAUUUCUGGUUCCUCCUUAGUGGCAGUCUGCGUAGGUGGUUGUUCAGCAGUAGCAGUUUCUUCAGCGCUAGUGGCUGGAAUUUCCUCAUGGAAAGAUGUAGUGGGAUGAGUUUCUUCAGAGCCCAUGUGAACAGUUUGUGUGGGGGACUGAGGAAUUUUCUGUAGAGGGGUGAACAUUGGAGAGUUUGGAUGCUGACUUUCCCAGAAUUCAUCACUGAUUACGGGUGUGGAGCAACCAGUGUCCACAUCUUCAUCUUCCAUUUCUUUAAUGCCAUCCUCUUCAGCUGUGAACUGGGGCAUAGGCGAGGAGAUGAUAGGUGUUGAAGGGAUCGCAUAUGAGUUUCUUCAUCAGAUCCACUGGGGAUCACAUAUUCAUCCAAUGGUUCAGAUGAAGUAGAAGAAUGAGUUUCUUCAUCAGAUCCACUAGGGAUCACAUAUUCUUCAUCAAAAGGAACAAGGUCCUUUGAUGGCCUGGUUGAGAUGGGAAUAGCAUCAAUAGGAUGUGCAAAUGAACUUGUCAUAGGCUUCAUUUUCUUCGGAGCUGAAGAAUCUGAAGCAGCUGAUGCUUUCCUUUUAUUCACUGCAGCACGCUCUGCAGCCUUGGUCUUCUUCACAUCUGAUGUAGAUGGAAGGAUCGGAGUUGGUGUCGGCGCAGGAGGAGCAGAGGAAUCUGGUUGAUUUUCUUCAGGAACAACUGAUGCAGUUGCCCUGAGUUCUUCAGUUUCUUUAGGCGGACCACUAGUGGGUGCCCUGGAAAUUUAUUUAGUGGCUGGAAUGCAGUCAUCAGCCCUGGAACACACAUUUUCUUCAGCAGCCUGAUUGUCAUCAGCGGUGCUGGCAUGAUCUUCAGUCGGCUGAGCAGAUGCUUCAGCCUGAGGAAUUUCCUGUUGCAUUGGGGCAGCAACAUUUGAAGUGAACUGUUCAGUUAUCUUUACAAAUAUAACUUUGGCUCCUUGCCAAUCAGCAUAGUAGGCUUUGAAGUCAUCGCUGAGGGUUUUGAUUUUAGAUUGGAUUUUAAAAAGUUCAUCAGUUGUCAUAGUGAUAACGUUGUUCUUCAGAAAUUUCUCCUUCUUGUACUGUGCUUUCUUGAUCUGCCCGGCCUUCUCAUAUUUCCACUUCUCUUCUUGAAUAAAGUGGGUCAGCAUGUGACUCUGGCCAGGAGUCAGCUUGAAGUCAGGCAAGGGAGUGUUGGGGUCCUUGUGCCAAUCAUCAAUGUAGUUGAGGAUCAGCUUGGGAUCCAAAAGUAGUGCCACCUCUGAUCCUUUGGCUCUAGCGGCCCUGACUUGCCGGUCUCUGAUGAUUUCUGCAAGUUCAUCAUCAUCAGCUUCGUCUUCAUUGGACGGAACUUGAAAGCGACUUGCUUCUUUUGAGAACUUGGGCGUGGACCUCGUCCAGCAGUGGCCUUUGUCUUCAGCAGUGAGGGGCCAGCUAAGGAACUUGGUGCAGCUGAGGAACUAGCUGAGACACCUGAGGCAAUGGAGAUGCCGGUAGUCCUUUGGCAUGAAGCGAGAUGCACAGGUGCUGAGGAUUUGGUCGGAACAGCUGAAGGCUUUGGCAGAGGAGCUAGGGACUUUGGAGGAACAGGAGCAGCAGGAGGAAUUGGCCGUGAGGGCUUUGAUGAUUCUGGCCAUGAGGGCAUUGCUGAUGAAGCACUUGGCUUGCGCGCAUGCUUCUUCGACAUAGCCUUCUUUGGCUUGACAGCAAAGGCCUCAGCAGAGGCAGCAGCAGCGGCAAAGUCUUCAUUGAAUUUCCUCACUGCUUCUUUGGCUUGCUUAGCCAACUUGCCUUGGCGCUUGGCCCAUUCAUCAGGAUAGUCCUCUCCUCGCUUGAGGCUGGUGGGAUCAGCAAUUUGGCUAGGUGCCAAUGGAGCUCUUGGGCAUGGAGGAUUGAGUGCGAAUUUCUUCAUAUACUUAGGAGUGACAUAUCUGUACUCCCUCCAUUCUCUUGCCCAUCUCCUCUCUAUCCUUUGUUUGCGCACUUUGCGCUUAUUCGUGGUUUCCUCAGUAGGUGUGCAGUACCCAGCAUAUAUGUCAUCAGGGAUCUCAAAUGUUAUAUUUACCUCAGGCCUCUUUCCUCCCUUCUAUGGCCUUUUACCAUCAGCCAUUUUCUUCAGUUGAGGAAUUUGAACAAUCGAAUUCUCUGAAAAAGUAUGCAACUUUUCUUCGAAGAACGCUGCAAAUGAGUUAAGUUGAUGAGAACCUAGUGAUUCAACAGAUGACAUGUGUACCUGUGAACAGAGUAUAGUUGCGAGGAAUUUGGAGAGGUCAUAUGCGUUCUCAGAAGGUUUUUCAAAAUGAACAGGUUUGAGGAAUUUGACCAGAUGAGUCUUGAAGAUUUUCACUAAGCGUUCUUUGUCUUAGGUUCCAGAGUUGUAUAGAUCGAAGAUCCACACAAUUGAGGAAUCUUGAAGAAAAAUGAUGCUUAGAGAAACGAAUCAAGAAAGGAUGACUUGUGAGGUGUUCAGUGUGUGAAGAUAUGAAGAAAAACACUUUUGAAGAUUUUGUAGAUAAUCACUCGAAUCAACGAGGGCAGUAAAAGUAACUUUUAUUUACCCUGGACGAAGAACACGACGAACUAGAGUGAGGAGAUGUGAAGUUCGUCUGUGCAGAUCUUCCACGCCCUAACUUGGCAGAGGAAGACGGCUACGGCGGCGGCGGAGUGAAGAUGUCUGCGGUCGGCAUGAGUACGUCGGCGACGAGGCCGAGGCAGUGAAUCUCUUCCUCACCGGCGGCGAUGAAGUAGCGAUGGCGCUAGGGUUUGAGAAUCUCGAGCUGGAGAGAGAGGUCGAGCGGAGUAAAAGAAGUGAGGAAGGGAAGGAGGGGUAUUUAUAGCCACGGUGAAAAACUGCUCGCCCGAAGAAAUUGGACGAACAUGCCCCUGACCCUUCUCAUUCGCAUGAAAUGUGUCACCCACGUAGUGAGAGGUGGAGAUCGUGUUAGAUCGUGGGUGAGUGGAUAAGUGUAUCGAGGGAUGCGGAACGGUUUGAGCGGCAAAACCGAAAAUUUCAAUAAGAUAGGUUUUAAAGUUCCGUUCGCAAUUUCUUCAGCUGACAAGGACACAGUGAAGUUGAGUAUAGCAUAGAGGGGAAGGGUCCGAUCACAUUCACUUAGCAGAAAAACCAACUUGAAGAAAUAGCAAUAAGUGAAUGUUGUAGAGGACAUAAACUCAUAUAUAUAUAUAUAGCCAAUGAAGAAAAACGACGGAACCAGUGAAGACUAUGCAAAGUUGAAGAAUAUGAAUAAUUUGAGGAAUUUCAACUUUUGGUGGUGGCGUGACCCACCAUAUAAGAAUGAUUAUUUCAGACACCGCGUACAAUUAUCGUAGGGUUCUGAGAAUCAAAUUCUUCGUUAAUUUCUUCACACUAAGAGUGUUAUUCUUCAUUGAUUGAAGUAAAACGUUUCUACAUGUGUUGCACAUCUAAGUCAUCAAUUUUGCAUAAGUGUUAGGAUGAGUGUCCUUUUCAAAGAACAUUCGAAGAUUCUAGGAUAUUUAGCUCACACCGCAACUUGCUAAAUCUCUUCUCAUCCAAGGGCUUUGUGAAGAUAUCAGAUAGCUGUUCUUCAGUCUUCACAUGCUCAAUUGAAAUGUCGCCCUUCAACACAUGAUCAUGAAGAAAAUGAUGACAAAUCUGAAUGUGCUUUGUCUUCGAGUGCUGAAAUGGGUUGUGAGCAAUCUUGAUGGCACUCUCAUUGUCACAGAAGAGAGGCACAUUCUUCAUGUUGACGCCGUAGUCCUUGAGAGUUUGCUUCAUCCAUAGCAAUUGGGCACAGCAAGAACUAGCGGCAAUGUACUCAGCUUCAGCAGUAGAUAGUGAUACGUAGUUCUAUUUCUUCGAGGACCAAUAGACCAUAGAUCGUCCGAGGAAAUGACAUGUACCAGAUGUUGACUUGCGAUCCACACGAUCACCAGCAUAGUCAGAGUCAGAAUAUCCAACAAGAUCAAAAGCCGAGCCCUUGGGGUACCAUAAACCAAGUGUUGGUGUGUGAGCUAGAUAUCAAAGAAUAUGCUUCACAGCCUUAUGGUGUGAUUCCUUCGGUGCAGCUUGAACUGGGGCACACAUGCAAACACUAAGCAUUAUAUCUGGCCUAGAUGCACAUAAGUAUAAUAAGGAACCUAUCAUGGAGCGGUAUACCUUAUGAUCAAAGUCAAUACCAUUUUCAUCAGUGCACAGAUGGCCAUUUGUGGGCAUAGGAAUUUUGACGCCUUUGCAAUCUUGCAUGCCGAAUUUCCUUAGUACAUCCUUGAGGUAUUUCUCUUGGGAUAUGAAUAUGCCAUUGUGUUGUUGACGAAUUUGAAGACCUAAGAAGAAUUUCAACUCUGCCAUACUAGACAUUUGAUAUUCUUCACUCAUCAUAUAGGCAAAUUCAUCACUAUAACGUUGGUCAGUACAGCCAAAGAUAAUAUCAUCAACACAUACUUGGCACACAAACAAUUCACCAUCAUAAGAUUUAGUGAAAAGAGUAGGGUCGAGUGAACCGGGUUUGAAGCCUUUCUUCAUGAAGAGUUCCUUCAAGGUAUCAUACCAAGCCCAUGGGGCCUACUUGAGGCCAUAAAGGGCCUUGUUGAGUCUGAAGACUUUGUCAUGAUUCUUUGGAUCUUCAAAACCUGGGGGUUGAGAAACAUAUACUUCUUCCUCAAACUUACCAUUGAGGAAUGCACUUUUCACAUCCAUUUGAUACAGAGUGAUAUCAUGAUGGUUAGCAUAAGCAAGUAAUAUGCGAAUAGCCACAAGUCUAGCAACAGGUGCAAAAGUUUCAUCGAAAUCAAUUCCUUCAACCUGUGUGUAGCCUUGAGCUACAAGCCGUGCCUUAUUCCUCACCACAAGGCCAUUUUCAUCUUGCUUGUUGCGUUAGAUCCACUUUGUGCCGAUGAUAUUGUGCUUACGAGGAUCUGGACGUUUGACCAGUUCCCAGACAUUGCUAAGCUUGAACUGAUGUAAUUCUUCUUGCAUGGCCUGAAUCCACUCAGGCUCCAGAAAUGCUUCAUCUACCUUAGUGGGCUCUGUAAUAGAGAAAAAAGCAUACUGCCCACAAAAGUUAGACAAAUCUGAAGCUUUUGAGCGUGCGAGAGGACCUGGCGCUUUGAUGUCAUUAUGAUCUUUUCAACUUGCACUUCUUUUGCAAUGCGAGGAUGAGCUGGUUGUCGUUGAAGAGUUUGAUCAGCGUUUUGUUCAGCAUUUUCUUUAGGUGCAUUAGCUCGACGUUCUUCAUGUUCUGGAAUGAAUUCUUCAGUAGGAAUGACAUCCUCAAUAGCCUUGAACUUGAUAGUUUCCUCAGGUGCUGGUUCAUCUAUCACAGUAGGUAGGUGCUCUCUUUGCGAGCCAUUAGUUUCAUCGAACCGCACAUCUACAGUUUCAACAACUUUGUGAAGAACGUUGUUGAAGACUCUGUAGGUGUGCGAGUCCUUUCCGUAACCAAGCAUAAAACCUUCAUGUGCUUUCGGUGCAAAUUUUGAGUUGUGAUGAGGAUCUCUAAUCCAACAUUUGGCACCGAAGACUUUAAAAUAACUUACAUUGGGUUUCUUAUCAGUGAGGAGUUCAUAGGCAGUCUUUUUGAAGAAUUUGUGAAGAUAUACUCUGUUGAUGAUGUGGCACGCAGUAUCAAUUGCCUCAGUCCAGAAACGACGAGGCGUUUUGUAUUCAUCAAGCAUAGUGCGAGCCAUCUCAGCAAGAGUCCUGUUCUUGCGCUCCAUGACGCUGUUCUGUUGAGGAGUGUAAGGAGUAGAUAGCUCAUGAGUAAUACCAAGUUCAUCAAGAUAAUCAUCGAGACCAGAAUUCUUGAACUCAGUGCCAUUGUCACUUCUGAUGUGCUUGAUCUUCACACCAAAGUUGGUUGAAGCCCUCAAGGAGAAUCGUUUGAAGACUUCCUACACUUCAUGUUUGUAAGUAACAAGGUGUACCCAUGUGUAGAGAGAAUAAUCAUCAACAAUAACAAAGCCAUAUUGAGAUGCUUCAUUUGAAAUAGAAGAAUAAUGAUUAGGACCAAAGAGAUCUAUGUGAAGCAAUUCAAAUGGGCGAGUGGUGGUCAUGAUAGUGUUCGCUGGAUGCUUGGCCUUGGUCAUCUUCCCAGCUUCACAGGCUCCGCAUAGGUGAUCCUUGAGGAAUUUGACAUUCUUGAUGCCAAUGACAUGCUUUUUCUUCGCAAGCGUGUGCAAAUUCCUCAUGCCUGCAUGACCAAGUCGUCGAUGCUAGAGCCAGCCUUCUAAAGCUUUUGCAAGUAAGCACACGGCUGGUUGUGGUCCUGUAGAGAAAUCAACAAUAUACAGGUCUCCUCUCCUAAAGCCUUCGAAGACUUUGGAAUUGUCAGCUUCCAUAACCACAACACAACGGUACUUGCCGAAGACAACAACCAUAUCAAGAUCACAAAGCAUUGAGACAGACAUAAGGUUGUAUCCUAAGGACUCAACAAGCAUGACUUUGUCCAUGUGUCGAUCCUUUGUAAUCACAACCUUACCUAGACCCAAUACCUGACUUUUGCCUUUGUCAGCAAAGAUGAUAUGCUUCAGAUGCGACGAAGAUAAUGGAGCAUCCAUCAAUAGAUUCUUGUCACCAGUCAUGUGGUUUGUACAUCCACUAUCAAGGACCCACUCAGUGGCUUUGGGUUGAUCAUCCUGCAGAUGAAUUAGUGCAACUUACAAACUCAUAUACUUCAUCAGUAAAGAAUAUGACAUCAAUUCAUCAGAUCAAUUUCAUCAAGUAAAAGAACUGAUAAAGCAAUAUGAGGACGUGAGAAAUGAAAGUUCAUUUCUUCAUGGUUAGCCUGCGUCCUUUCAGGCAUGCUCAGGUCUCCAGCAAAUUCUUCAGACAAUUAUGUGCGUCUGGAGACCUGACCCUGCAGAAGAGAUUAAUUCUUUUUCUUCACCACCCACAUCUAAAUGGGGUGGCAAAGAGUUCAUCAUUCUGCGAGCUCCAUAUGAGAAGGAUGGCAUAGAAGCCAGUCCAUUUCGUUUCACAUAAGAGGGGUUAGAGUAAGCAUAAGAGUAAUCAGAGAAAUUCUUCGAGGACUUAUGGACAUAAUGAUUUGAAGAAUAAUGCACAUAUCCAUAAUCCUUAGAUCUUCCCUGCGAAACAGACGGGUUAGCACGAUGAUGUUCAUAUGAGGACUUUGAUCCGUAUGAGGAAUUUGAUCUGGGGUUCCUAUUCUUCACAGGUGGUGUCAUGAUGACAUUCACCUGAAGAAUUUCAAAACAUCUUUUGGGAACCCAGAUUUUCUUCAUACGGGAGUCGUUCCUGCAGUUAGUGCCAAUAUAUCUAGCAAAUACUUCACCAUUCUGAUUUUUGAAUAGCUUAUAGUUGGAGUCAAUUGACUCAUCAUCAGAAUGAGGAGAUUCACAUGCAAAUCCAGAUAAGUUAGAUGGAUCAACUGGAGGUCCCUUUGCAGCAACCCAUGUAGUUUUGGGGUACUGCUCAGGCUUACAAUAUGUACCAUCAGCAUUGAGUUUCCUCUCAAAGGCGAUACCCUCUUUCCUAGGGUUCCUAUUGAGGAUCUGCUUUUUAAGCACAUCACAAAGAGCCUGAUGCCCUUUGAGGCUUUUGUACAUGCCUGUCAUGUACAAUUCCUUCAGCCCUGCAUUGUCAGUGAUACUAGCAAUGUCCUCAGAUGAGGAAUUAGUGAUAGCAGAGGCAUGUGAAAAAUUUGAAACAUAAGCAGCAUUUGAAAAUUUAGGUGAAGAAUUAGCAGAUUCACGUUCAAUGCACUUCAAGCAUGGAGGAACGAAUUCUUCCUGAGAUGCGCUGAUUUGUUGAGCAAAUAAUGAAUCACGCUCCUUCUGAAGAUCUUCAUAACUCACUCUUAGCUUCUCAAGGUCUUGCUUUCUUUGAAGAAAUUCAUAAGAAAGCUUCUCAUGAUCCAAUAAGAGAGUGUUAUGAUGGCUUUGAAGAUUGUCAAGCUUGGACUGAAGUCUCUCAAGAUUUUUAGUCAAAGUUUUAGUGCGAUCCAUUUCUUCACCCAACAUAUCAUCACUUUUAUUUAGCAUGUUUUGAACCUUUUCUAAAGCCCUUUGUUGUUUUAUAGCAAUCUUAGCAAGUUUAGAAUAGCUGGGCUUAAGGUUUUCAUCAGAUUCAUUCUCACUUGAUUCGGAGGAGGUAUAUUUGAGUACCUUGGCACCCUUUGCCAUGAAGCAAUAGGUGCGACUGUAGUCAUCAUCGCCUUCAUCAGCCUUGUUGGUGAGGUCAUUUUCUUCAGUGUUGAAGAUAGACUUGCUGACGAAUGCAGUAGCGAGAGCAAGGCUCGCCACUCCGGAUUCGGACUCCUCAGAUGGCUCAUCUUCCUCAUUUUCUUCAGAUUCAGCCUCAGAGUCCAUUUCCUUGCCAAUGAAUGCCCUGGCCUUCUUGGAGAUGCUCUUCUUGUGAUAUGAAGGCUUGGAGGAUUUUGAUGAUGAGGAUUUUGUGGAUUUCUUCUUCUUCUUCACAUCAUUAGAACUGUAAUCCUUGUAUUUCUUCUUCUUUGAUUCCUUUUCCCACCGAGGACAAUCUUGAAUGAAAUGUCCAGGUUUCUUGCAUUUGUGACAGAGCCUCUUCUUGUAGUAACUGGAUGAGGAAUCAUUGCUCCUUGAGGAUCUUCCAAGGCGACCAUGUCUUGAGAACUUUUGGAACUUCUUCACGAGUAGAGCCAGAUCAUGGCUCAGUUCUUCAGGAUCACCAAGGCUGCUACCAGAGUCUUCAUCUUCGGACUCAUAUAUUGCCUUGGCCUUCAGUGCACGUGUUCUGCCAUAGCUUGAACCAUAGAGAUCUCUCUUUUCAUCAAGUCGGAACUCAUGAGUAUUUAGCCUCUCGAGAAUAUCCGCGGGAUCAAGUGACUUGUAAUCAGCACGUUCUAGUAUCAUCAAUGCCAGAGUGUCAAAUGAGGAAUCAAGCGAUCUCUGCAAUUUCUUCACCACCUCAUGGUCGGUGAUGUCAGUGGUACCAAGUGCUUGAAGCUCAUUUGAGAUGUCAGUGAGGCGAUCGAAGGUUUGUUGAACAUUUUCAUUUUUGAGUCUUUUGAAGCGGUUGAAGAGAUUGCGAAGAACAUCAACUCGAGAGUCACGCUGAGUUGAGACUCCUUCAUUCACUUUGGACAACCUGUCCUAGAUAAGCUUCGUUGUUUCCAAAGCACUCACUCUGCCAUACUGUCCUUUGCUCAGAUGGCCACAUAUGAUAUUCUUUGCUUGAGAGUCGAGUUGCUUGAAUCUCUUCACAUCGGCAGCAUUCAGAGAAGGUGUGACUGAGGGAACACCAUUUUCCACAACAUACCAGAGAUAGUUAUGAAUUUCUUCAAGAUGCAUUCGCAUCUUAUUCUUCCAGUAGGGGUAGUCCGUCCCAUCGAAGGUAGGACACCCAGCAGAGACCUUGAUCAUACCUGCGGUUGACAUAACUAAAACUCCAGGUGGUUAAACCAAAAUCACACAGAACAAGGGAGUACCUUGCUCUGAUACCAAUUGAAAGUGCAUUAUAUCGACUAGAGGGGGGUGAAUAGGCGAUUUUUAUGAAAUUCUUCACUGAGGAAUUUGCCGGUGAGGAAAUUCCUUAGCGAAGAACUACUAGCAGCGGAAUAAGUACUCAAAAGUAAACAUAACAGAAUACAAGCAUAGUCAUCAUGAUGAAAUGAAGACAGGCACAGAGUACAGGAAGUGUAAUCACAGGAUAACAUAGGAUGAAGACAAACAGACUGAAGAAAUUGAACUGAGGAAAUUGAGAAAGUCUUCAGUCAAAGUCUUCAAACACAAAUAUGAACAACAUACAGCACAGUUAUGAGGAAAUGAAAGAGUUGAGGAAAUAGAACCAGUAAGAUCGGUGAAGACAAUGAUUUGGUAGACCAGUUCCAACUGUUGUCUCAGUUGUACGUCUGGUUGGAGCGGCUCAGUAUUUAAACUCGAGGACACACAGUCCUGGACACCUAGUCAAGGACACUUAGUCCAAGACACCCAGUCCUCACCAUAUUCUCCUUGAACUAAGGUCACACAGACCUCGUCCAAUCACUCGUGGUAAGUCUUGAGGCCACUUCCAAACCUUCACAGACUUGGUCACUCGGCGAUCCACAAUUCCUCUUGGAUGCUCUAGACCAUGACGCCUAACCGUCUGGAAGAAGCACAGUCUUCAAAGGUAACAAGUGUCGGAUCCACUCAGGAUCAAUCUCUUCAGUGAUGCUCAAUCACUUGGGGUUUGUAGGUGUUUGGGUUUUGGGUUUUUGGUUUUUCCUCACUUGAUGAUGUUCGCUCAAAGUACUCAGAGGAUGGGUUGCUCUCAAAUGACAAGUGUCAGUUUCUCUCGGAGCAGCCAACCAGCUAGUGGUUGUAGGGGGCGGCUAUUUAUAGCCUAGGGAGCAACCCGACAUGAUAUGACAUAAAUGCCCUUCAAUGAUAUGACCGUUAGGUGGAUAGAUAUUUUGGGAUAGCUGGCGCAUAGCACAGCAACGAUCGGAAUUUUGAGUAGUAGAAUCCUCAGGGCUAUCAUAUUCCUCACUGUGUAGCCAAUCCGCACUGGCGAAUUCCUAACUCCUCAGUCAGGACAAAUUCCUCAGAGACCAAAAGAACUUUGUCUCUAUCACUGAAGAAAUUGGCUGAACUUUAUGAGAUUUCCAAUGGCUUCACUCGAAGGGAUUGGUAGGUGUAGGAUUUUGAGUUGAGCAUCACAUGGAAAUUUUUCAUUAGUAUUUCCUCGACCCCCUUUAACAGUACGGUGUUUCCUAUGACUCAAGAAAGAGAAAAACAAAACUAUGAAAACGAAAGUCUUCAAGCUUCAUAUUCCUCGCAUGGAUAUCAAGUCUUCACGGACACACCAAUUUCUUCACUUUCAAAGUCUUCAUGAAAGUCUUCAGAAAUACCAAAAUCUUCAGUCGAAGAUGUUCAUUUUUAGGGGUCGACUUUUCCUGUAAAUAUCAAACUCCUCAUAGACUUAUAGACCUGUGUACACUCACACACGCAUUAGUCCCUUAACCUAUAAGUCUUCAAUACACCAAAAUCACUAAGGGGCACUAGAUGCACUUACAAUGAGCAAGCAAGUUGGAUGCACAACCACUUAGUUUCUUUUUGAGCUUUCAUACACUUAUAGCUCUAGUGCAUGCGUUGCAUGGCAAUCACUCACUCACAUUGAUAUCUAUUGAUGGGCAUCUCCAUAGCCCAUUGAUACGCCUAUUUGAUGUGAGACUAUCUCCUUCUUUUUGUCUUCUCCACAGCCACCAUAUUAUAUUCCACCUAUAGUGCUAUGUCCAUGGCUCAUGCUCAUGUGUUGCUUGAAAGUUGAAAAGGUUUGAGAACAUCAAAAUUACGAAAAAAUUGCCUGGCUUGUCAUCGGGGUUGUGCAUGAUUUUAUACUUUGUGUGAUGUGAUUUUGUAGGGAUAACUUUCUUUGGCCAUGUUAUCUUGAGAAGACAUAAUUGCCUUAUUAGUAUUCUUGAAGUAUUAUUGUUUUUAUGUCAAUAUUAAACUUUUAUUUUGAACCUUAUGGAUCUGACAUUCAUGCCGGAAUGCGAGGACCACCUCCGUUCUGAGUAUCCGGAGUUCUUUCAGUCGUAGAUCUCGGGACGAGAUCCUUUUGUAGUGGUCGAGUAUUGUAACACCCCGGAUUUAACUUACCAUAUUUGUACUCCAACACUUGCCAUUUCCGGCUUUAAGUUAUGAGAUUCGUGGUUGGGUUCUUGUCUUUGUUUUGCAUUUUGUUCAUGUCAUGCAUUUCAUAUCAUGCCAUCAUGUGCAUCUCAUUUGCAUACGUGUUCGUCUCAUGCAUCCGAGCAUUUUCCCCAUUGUCCGUUUUGCAAUCCGGCACUCCUAUGUCCACCGACGUCCCUUUUUGCCUCUUUUCGUGAACGGGUGUUAAACAUUCUCGGAAUGGACCGAUAUUUGCCAAGUGGCCUUGGUACAACACUGGUAGACUGCCUGAUAAGUUUCGUGCCACUUGGAGUCCGUUUGAUACUCCAACGGUUAACCGGGGAACCGUAAAGGCCUCGUGUGUGUUGCAGCCCAACACCCCUCCAAAACGGCCCAAUGACCCAUCCAAAACCCUUCCAUGUACUCCACCGUCGGAUCACGAUCGCGUUGUCGAAAACUACACCUGAUUUGGACACUCCAAACUCCUCCUACCUAUAAAUAUGUGUCCCUCCCGGAUUUUUCGCGCAGAUGAAACCCUGGCCUAGCCCCUCUCCGCCGCCGGACAUGUCCGGAUCUCACCAGACGAAAAUUGCCGCCGCACCCGCACCAAUUGGAGGCCACCACGUGGCACCCCGGAGCCUCCACCGCUGCCAGCCCGCCAGGCCCACGCGGGGCCCACCCGACCCGCGCGCCCGCGCCUCCUCGCCUCCGAUCCCGCGAGCCUCCGCCGCCCCGACGCCCCUUCGCNNNNNNNNNNNNNNNNNNNNNNNNNNNNNNNNNNNNNNNNNNNNNNNNNNNNNNNNNNNNNNNNNNNNNNNNNNNNNNNNNNNNNNNNNNNNNNNNNNNNNNNNNNNNNNNNNNNNNNNNNNNNNNNNNNNNNNNNNNNNNNNNNNNNNNNNNNNNNNNNNNNNNNNNNNNNNNNNNNNNNNNNNNNNNNNNNNNNNNNNNNNNNNNNNNNNNNNNNNNNNNNNNNNNNNNNNNNNNNNNNNNNNNNNNNNNNNNNNNNNNNUCCCCACCGGCCUCUCCUCCGGCCAGAUCCGGCCUCCCCGUCCCCGGAUCUAGCGAGGCGCUACUCCGGCAACCACCGCCUCCCUAUUCUCCGGCCACCGCGACCUCCUACUCUGGCAAGCUCCCUGGUUAUCCUCGAAGGACGUGCAAACCCUAGAUCUUAGAUCUGGAUGUCCAAAUAUUCUCUAAGUCCCGUUUUUGCAAUAUUUUCAGGCCUUGUUCAUCAUGCCAUAACUUGUUGCAUACUGCUCCAUUUUGUGCGUGCUAUAUAUCAAAAUGUUCAUUAGGAUGUGUUCUUCAUUUUGUUCCAUUGUGACAUGCUUGUUUGAGUCUAUCUUGAUGCCCAAAUCGUUGAUGCAAGAGUGCUAUAAAUUGUUAGGUGCUGAUUCUUAGUAGAUUAUGAGCAUUUGUCAUUUUUGCUACAUUUGUUGUGUGUUGGAUAUGGGCAUGAGCUCUACAUGUGUUUUGGGCUAUGCCAUGUCAUCUUUACAAGGGUGUGUGCCAUGUAUUUUUGUGAUUUUGUGGUGACUAGAACAAGCAUGCAAAGUACCUCUCGUGAUAUUGCCGAUUUCAGGGACUUAGAAUUUCACUAAGUCAUUGAUCUUCUGUUAUUUUUAUGCCAUUUAUUCAUGUUGCUACAUAGAGAUACAUGAUUUGUUUGAGUAUCGUCGGUAAGGAUGAUUUGGACAUAUGGUUAUGCUCUAUCCAGCCAUGCCCCUGUUAGCAAUUAUGGAGUGCCCUAGCAUGACCUAAUCUUGCUCUACUUUAGCUAUAAAAUGUUCCUCGCAUAUUGUUUACAUGUUAAUAAAUUUUGCCAUGGUUGUCGUAGUUGAUCCAUGCAUCCUAUGAACUUGCUCUUGCAUUGGUUAGCUUUAUAAACAUGUUUGCUUGCUAUUGCUAUGCUUAUAUUGUCAUGCAAUGCCUUGUGGUGAGUGAAUCGAGCUUGCAAAGAGGCCUUCAUUACUCUGUUUUCCCAUGCUCAGUUUUCUGCUAAGUCUGAAUCUGUUAACGAAACUUGCUAUGCUUACAUGGGUGCCAUCAUAUCUUCUGAUCCUUUUUGGCUUAUGGCAGUAAGGUACUUUUGUUCUAUGCUUUGAGUAGAUUCAUUCCAUGCCUUGUAUUGCUAUGAUCUAAUCCUGUAGCAUGUUGUUUGCUUGCUCUAAACAUUGUUUCCUGAUGUUAAUUCCUGGCAUGUUGAUAUUUUCACCAAGUCUGUGAAGCUGAUAUCUUUUGCACUUUUGCCAUGCUUGUUUGAACUUGUUCUAGUGUGUUUUAGCCAUGGCUCAGUGUUCAUAUUUUGUCAAGCAUCUUGAGUAGAUCACCGAAAUGUGCUUUGUUGCUAUGUUGAGGUGCAGAAGCUUAGUUUCUUGUUGCAUUCUAGAUGGCAUCGUGUUGUUAAUCGCAGAAUUGUGCCAUUAUUGUUUUGUUUGUCAUUUCCAAACCAUGCAUCCGAUUCCGGUGAUCUUUAUAUCGAUUUUGACUAAAAUCAACUCAUCUUUCCAGCGGCGCACUUGGUUUGCCAAGUUGAUUCCUUGAUCAAUCUUUUGCUUCCGCAGCACGCAUAUGCAUUACAUAUCACAUCCCACAUGUCAUGUUUUGCAUCAUGUUGAUUGUGCAUUGCACCGUGAUUGAUUGUUGUCCCUUUUGUUUGUGUUCUUGCUUUGGGUAGAGCAGGGAGACGAAUACGUGAUCGAGGAACCCGUUGAGUACGCUUACGAGGAUCAAGCUUUCAUCAACUCAGAGAACUUUGUAGGCAAGAUGGCCAUACCCUCGAAAUCACUUCUAUCUUUGCUUGCUAGUUGUUCGCUCUUUUGCUAUGCCGCGAUACCUACCACCUACUAUAUCAUGCCUCCCAUACAGCCAUGUCAAGCCUCUAACCCACCUUUCCUAGCAAACCAUUGUUUGUCUAUGUUACCGCUUUUCUCAGCCCCUCUUAUACCGUUGCUAGUUGCAGGUGAAGAUGGAGUUUGUUCCAUGUUGGAACAUGAUUAUUGUUGGGAUAUCAUUAUUAUAUCUUGUUUACUUUAAUGCACCUAUAUACUUGGUAAAGGGUGGAAGGCUCGGCCUUAUGCCUGGUGUUUUGUUCCACUCUUGCCGCCCUAGUGUAACACCCUCGAUGCGACUAUAUCUCCCACGUGUCGAGGCACGACUUAGAGGCAUAAUCGCAUUGAAGGCAUAUGUCGCAAGUUAGGCAAUCUUCACAACAUCCCAUGUAAUAAGAUAAUAGAAGGGAGGAUACCAUAGUUGGCUUACACUUGCCACGUCAAUGAAGUACAUAAAUAACAUUACAUCAUCCAAACACUCAUGGCCCGACUACGGCGCCAAAAUAAAAGAGAACCCAACAUGCGACAAUGGCCCCGUUCACCCCCAACUAGGCACCACUACUGAUCAUCAGGAAAGGAAACAUAGUAACGUUGAGAGUCCUCGUCAAACUCCCACUUGAGCUCAAGCGCGUCUCCUGGAGCGGAAUCAUCAGUCCCUGCAUCUGGUGUAAUAGUAAUCUGUGAGCCACAGGGACUCAGCAAUCUCGCACCCUCACGAUCAAGACUAUUUAAGCUUGCAGGCAAGGAAAGGUAAAUAUGUGGAGCUGCAGCAAGCGACUAGCAAGUAUGGUGGCUAACUUAUUCGCAAAAGAGAGCGAGAAGAGGAGGCGAAGCGCGAGCGAGAAACUAGAGAACAACCUGCGCAAACAUUACUCCAACACCGUGUCCACUUCCCGGACUCCGCCGGGAAGAGGCCAUCACGGUAACACACUCAGUUGAUUCAUUUUAAUUAAAUUAAGGUUAAAGUUAUCUACAAUCGGACAUUAACAAAUUCCCAUCUGCCCAUAACCGCGGGCACGGCUUUCGAAAGUUCAAAUCCCUGCAGGGGAGUCCCAACUUAGCCCAUGACAAGCUCUCACGGUCAACGAAGGAAUAGACCUCCUUCCAAGACGUUCCGAUCAGACUCGGUAUCUCGGUUCUUCAAGACACUUCGACAGGUUAAAACAAGACUAGCAACACCGCCCGAAUGUGCCGACAAAUCCCGAUAGGAGCUGCACAUAUCUCUUUCUCAGGGCACACUUAGAUGAGCAAGACGUUGGGUAGGCCAGCCCAGAGUUGCCCCUGGUAGCCCCGGACAUCGCUCGGUUGGACCAACACUCAGAGGAGCACUGGCCCGGGGGGCUAAAAUAAGAUGACCCUUGAGUCUGCAGAACCCAAGGGAAAGAAAAGGCUAGGUGGCAAAUGGUAAAACCAAGGUUGGGCAUUGCUGGAAAAGCUUUAAUCAAGGCGAACUAUCAAGGGAUUCCCAUUAUAACCCAACCGCGUAAGGAACGCAAAAUCCGGGAACAUAACACUGAUAUGACGGAAAACUAGGGCGGCAAGAGUGGAACAAAACACUAGGCGAGAGGACGAGCCUUCCACCCUUUACCAAGUAUAUAGAUGCAUUAAGAUAACAUGGUAAUAUAAUGAUAUCCCAACAAGUAAAUAAAUGUUCCAACAAGGAACGGCCUCCAAUCUUCACCUGCAACUAGCAACGCUAUAAGAGGGGUUGAGCAAAGCGGUAACAUAGCCAAUCAACGGUUUGCUAGGACAUGGUGGGUUAGAGGUUUGACAUGGAAAUUUGGGAGGCUUGAAAGCAAAUGGUAGGCAUCAUAGCAAUGGCAUAGCAAAAGAGCGAGCAAACUAGCAUAGCAAAGAUAGUAGUGAUUUCGAGGGUAUGAUCAUCUUGCCUGCACAGUUGUCAGAGUUGACUGGAUCCUCGAAAGCAAACUCAACAAUCUCCUCGUUAGCGAACUCGUCUCCCGGCUCUACCCAAACAAGACAAACAAGCAACAAGGACAUAAUCAACCACGUGCAAGGAUCAAACUAGAUGAUGCAAAGAUGAUAAGCUAUGUGGGAUGCGAUGCGGGAUGCAUAUGCAAGAUAUGACAGGAAAUGCAUGAAUCUGGCCUCAACAUGGAAAUCCAAGUGUUCCACUGGAAAGAUGAGAUGAAAUCGCUUGAAAACGAUAUAAAGAAUGCCGGAAUCGGAGUUACGGUUUGGAAAUGGCAAGCGAUUCAAAUAUGACACUGGUCUGCGAUUUACAGCAAGUAGGCAUCUAAAUGCAAUGAGAUGAACAUGCUACAGCAUCGAAACAAUGGCAACAAAAUACAUGGCAGGGAUGCAUUCAAGAUACUUAACAAAAGUCUAGCACUGAGCUACGGCCAAUUCAUCCAUUAACAGGUUCAAACAAGCAUGGCAAAAAUGCAUAUGGCAAACAGAUCUCAGACUUAGUGAAAUUAACACUUGUCUGGAAUUUCAGAUCAGGUAGCCCACUUUGGAGCAAAAAAACUAUAUGCUACAGGACCUGAAAAUGGCAAAGUAAAGCAUGGCAUGGAGCUAUCCUUUAGUGACCUUGAGCCAAAAGGGAUUAGCAAAUACAAUUGCAAGCAUGUGAACAUAGCCAAAACAUAACCAGAUCACAGACUUAGUGAAAACUGGCACAUGCUGAAACAUAAUUCAAGCUAGACAUGGCAAGAACAAUAGCAUAGCAUGCACGGAUCAACUACAACAUCAUCGGCAAAAUUGCAAACAAGUUGACAAUCUGCCCAGAUUCACAAAGUAGCAAAAGUAGAGCUCGAUUCACUCAAGCUAGGGUGCUCCAUAAUUUCAAACAUAGACAUGGAUGGAUAGAGCACUACAAGAUUAACAAAACAUCCUUACUGAUCAUCCUCAAAAGAGGCACGGAUCACUAGCAAACAACAUGAACAUAUGGCAAUAUGAAAUAAACAGAUCAAGGACUUAGUGGAAUUGCUAAGUCCCUGAAAACAGAAUUAACAAGUGCACCACUUUGCAAGCUUGUACUAGUCACCACACACAUCACAAAAAUACAUGGGUUGCACCUCUGGAAAGAUGACAAAACCCUUAACAAAACAUAUGUAGAGCAUCAGGGCAUAUCAUGCACACAUUAAUCAUGGCAAAAAUGACAAAAGGCUAAAUAGAGUAGCAGAUCUGACAAUUAUCUCAAGUAGCCCACUUCUAACAGCAUUUCGGGCAUCAAGAUGAACUCAAAUGAAAAUGAUGCACUGGAAUGAAAUGAUAUACUCUUUGAGAUGAACAUUUUGAUAUGCUAUAUGCAUGAAUCGGAGCUACGGAUGCAAAGUUAUAGCAUGAUGAAGAAGGGCACAUGGAUUAGGGUUUCGGGCAAAAGUCAACCCGAGUCUCAGAUCUGGAUCUGGCACGAAUUACGAGGAUGGCCGGAUUUACUAUAGACGGCCGGAGCUUCACGGAGCAUCGCCGGAGAGGAAGAAGACCGGGGCGGCCGAGGAGGAGCGGGGUGGCCGGAGCCGGCCUUGGGGCGGCGCGGCCGGAGCGGUGGUGGCGGCGGCCGAGGUGGCAGAGCGCGGCGGAGGCGGNNNNNNNNNNNNNNNNNNNNNNNNNNNNNNNNNNNNNNNNNNNNNNNNNNNNNNNNNNNNNNNNNNNNNNNNNNNNNNNNNNNNNNNNNNNNNNNNNNNNNNNNNNNNNNNNNNNNNNNNNNNNNNNNNNNNNNNNNNNNNNNNNNNNNNNNNNNNNNNNNNNNNNNNNNNNNNNNNNNNNNNNNNNNNNNNNNNNNNNNNNNNNNNNNNNNNNNNNNNNNNNNNNNNNNNNNNNNNNNNNNNNNNNNNNNNNNNNNNNNNNNNNNNNNNNNNNNNNNNNNNNNNNNNNNNNNNNNNNNNNNNNNNNNNNNNNNNNNNNNNNNNNNNNNNNNNNNNNNNNNNNNNNNNNNNNNNNNNNNNNNNNNNNNNNNNNNNNNNNNNNNNNNNNNNNNNNNNNNNNNNNNNNNNNNNNNNNNNNNNNNNNNNNNNNNNNNNNNNNNNNNNNNNNNNNNNNNNNNNNNNNNNNNNNNNNNNNNNNNNNNNNNNNNNNNNNNNNNNNNNNNNNNNNNNNNNNNNNNNNNNNNNNNNNNNNNNNNNNNNNNNNNNNNNNNNNNNNNNNNNNNNNNNNNNNNNNNNNNNNNNNNNNNNNNNCCGCGGGCCGCGGGGGCCGGCCUUGGGCCUCGCGGGCCUCCGCGGGUGGUGGCGCGGUGAUGUGGGCGCGAGGGCGGCGGCCAAUGGAGGAGUGACAUGUGGCGGUGGCGCUCGGGUCGGACACGUCUAGCCCGACAGUUUUUGUCCGGCGCGUGAGGUGAGGGAGAGAUCUAUGGUUUGCCCGAAAAUUUCGGGGAGUGGUCUUUAAAUAGAGGUGGAGGGAGCUAGGAGAGUCCAAAUAAGGUGCGGUUUUCGGCCACGCGAUCAUGAUCGAACGCUCUAGAUGAUGGAGAAGGCUUAGGUGGGUUUUGGGCCAAAUUGGAGGGGUGUUGGGCUGCAACACACACGAGGCCUUUUCGGUCCCUCGGUUAACCGUUGGAGUAUCAAACGAAGUCCAAAUGAUACGAAACUUGACAGGCGGUCUACCGGUAGAAACCAAGGCCGCUUGGCAAGUCUCGGUCCAACCCGGAAAUGUUUAAUCCCCACACACGAAAGAAAGGUAGAAAUGACCACCGGAGGAGAACGAAGCGCCGGAAUGCAAAACGGACAACGGGGAAAAAGCUCGAAUGCAUGAGAUGAACACGUAUGCAAAUGCAAUGCACAUGAUGACAUGAUAUGAGAUGCAUAACAACGAUAACAACACAUGGAGACAAAGACCCAAACCCGAUAAAAUAAAUAACUUAACGCCGGAAACGGCAAGAGUUGGAGUACAAAUUGGGAGAGUUACAUCCGGGGUGUUACAGGUGAAGAUGGAGUUUGUUCCAUGUUGGAACAUGAUUAUUGUUGGGAUAUCAUUAUUAUAUCUUGUUUACUUUAAUGCACCUAUAUACUUGGUAAAGGGUGGAAGGCUCGGCCUUAUGCCUGGUGUUUUGUUCCACUCUUGCCGCCCUAGUUUCCGUCAUACCGGUGUUAUGUUCCUUGAUUUUGCCUUCCUUACGUGGUUGGGUGUUAUGGGAACCCCUUGACAGUUCGCUUUGAAUAAAACUCCUCUAGCAAGGCCCAACCUUGGUUUUACCAUUUUCCUAGCUACCACCAUAUACCUUGCCUUGGGUUCUGCAGACUCAAGGGUCAUCUUNNNNNNNNNNNNNNNNNNNNNNNNNNNNNNNNNNNNNNNNNNNNNNNNNNNNNNNNNNNNNNNNNNNNNNNNNNNNNNNNNNNNNNNNNNNNNNNNNNNNNNNNNNNNNNNNNNNNNNNNNNNNNNNNNNNNNNNNNNNNNNNNNNNNNNNNNNNNNNNNUUGGUCUGAAACGGGCAGCCUGUGGGGCCACCUCGGGGCAACUCGAGGGUUGGUCUUACUCGUAGCUUGACCUAUCCGGUGUGCCCUAAGAAUGAGAUACAUGCGACUCCUAUCAGGAUUUGUCGGCACAUCGGGCGGCUUUGCUGGUCUUGUUUUACCAUUGUCGAAAUAUCUUGUAACCGGGAUUCCGAGACUGAUCGGGUCUUCCCACUAGAAGGAAUAUCCUUCGUUGACCAUGAGAGCUUGUGAUGGGCUAAGUUGGGACACCCCUGCAGGGUUUUGAACUUUCGAAAGCCGUGCCCGCGGUUAUGGGCAGAUGAGAAUUUGUUAAUGUCCGGUUGUAGAAAACAUGAAACUUAACUUAAUUUAAAUGAAUCAACCACGUGUGUAGCCGUGAUGGUCUCUUUUCGGCGGAGUCCGGGAAGAGAACACGGUCUCGUGUUAUGCUUGAACGUAAGUAGCUUUAGUAUCACUUCUUGAUCACUAUUAGCUUCUCGACCGAGCUUUGCUUCUCUUCUCGCUCUCAUUUGCGUAUGUUAGCCACCAUUUAUGCUAGUGCUUGCUGUCGCUCCACCUCACUACCCCCUUUUCCUACCUUUAAGCUUAAAUAGUCUUGAUCGCGAGGGUGUGAGAUUUUUGGGUCCCCGUGACUCACAGAUACUUCCAAAACUAGAUGCAGGUGCCGAUGAUGCCAGUGCAGGGGAAGCUACCGAACUCAAGUGGGAGUUUGACGAGGAUUCAGGACGUUACUAUGUUUCCUUUCCGGACGAUUAGUAGAGGAGCCCAGUUGGGGCGAUCGGGGAUCUAGCAUUUGUGGUUGUCUUUCUUUAUUUGGUUCUGUAGUCGGACCUUGAUUGUAUUCUGGAUGAUGUAAUGCUAUAUUUAUGUAUUGUGUGAAGUGGCGAUUGUAAGCCAACUCUUUAUCCCUUGCUUAUUCAGUACAUGGGAUGUGUAAAGAUUACCCUACUUGCGACAUGCCUACCAUGCGGUUAUGCCUCUAAGUCGUGCCUCGGCACGUGGGAGAUAUAGCCGCAUCGUGGGUGUUACACUGGUGGCUCUACCGCAUGAUUCAGGAGGGAGGGAGGUUGAUGAGAACGACAGAGACAAUGAGCGAUUUGGUGGAAAUCGACUUCCCCAUGGUGCUCCUCUUCAUCUCCAACGGCGCAAGGUAAUUGAGCGGCGAGACAACAACGGGGAGGGGUUAGCCGGAUGGAGAGGAAAAACACCGAAUAGCCUAGAUCCGACAGGGAGGUGAGCCGUGAAGGCGCGAGCGGCGGCAGAUCAUAUGAGAGCGGCGUCGCUAGUAUAGAGGGCGGUUGCAGCCAGAGAGCCAUCGGCAUUGCCAUGGUGGGUUCGAGAGAGAUGAACUGUACUAUAUAUGGUUAGCCAGGAAUUUCCCAGAUCCCGCCACACAUAUCCAAAACAUUACACGCCGUGCGCUCAAUUUUCUGGGUAUAUUUUUACGAUGUCUUUCUCCGUUGGGUAGCUGUUAUUGGAACUCACCUCAUGAGGGUCCUACAUUACAUAGUUUGAUUGACUUAUUUGGUUGGUUUGAGAAUUCUUUAGAUCUACCACAUUACAUUUUUCAUCUCAUUAAGUUUAACAAAAUACAUAUUUAGGGCAUCUCUAACUCAGACCCUCGAAACGCCUGCAAAUAUUUGGACUCCAUACCCUCAAAACAUAGUCCGGACCAAGGUGUCUAGACUAAGUUUGUCAUCCAACGAGGAGCCUUAUUUGUACAAUAAACCUGGGGAGACUUGCGGGUGUCCAAGCCAUCGUCAUGUACACGUUUGACCCCGAUCUCACCUAAAACCGUCUCUUGCGUGACCGCAUCUUUGCUCCUCAUGCCGCAUUCAUACCGGCCCAAUGCGGACACUGCCGGUCACUCAAGGCGGCAUUGAAUCCGCACACUGGUCGAGAGCGCUACCAGCACCGCAUCCUAGUCUCCGUGCUUGUUCAAUACCAAAGAGACGUGAGCAGUCGGGGCAACAGGAUGGCUACCAAACACAUUUAAGCCAGCUCCCCUUCGUCUGCCUGCCGGCAUUAAACAAGUGAAUAGACGAUGAGAUGUAAAAUGUUACGGGACACCUCUUGACGGAGCAAAAUCACGAGUUGGCCGGCCUUGCGGGUGGCUGGCAGGCCCGUCGUGCGUGACACAUAGAGACCGGCUUGUUGGUGGGCUCGCCGGCGUUAAGCGAUGAUGGCCCAAUGAUGGAGGAAGCAUCUGACAAUGACCCGACGCAAGCGCCUGUCCAUGCCGACUUCAAUAUGUAGUCGAUGGAAGUCCGGCGUAGAUUCCUGCCACCUCGUUGGGGCUGCGAGGUUAGAGUUUCUUGUUGUUCAUGCGCGGUGUCAAGAUUUGGUAUCAAUUUCUUCAUAUCUAUUCAAGGGUUCAACAGUGACUUCUGUGGUUCCAGGGUGUUGGUCCUUAGAGACACGUGCAUGAAGAUUUGUCAAGUCAGCUCUAGAGGGAACCGGCGACAACACACAUCGGUGGUUCGUUCUGGCGGCAAUAGUGGUCAGUCGAUGGCCUAGAGACCUCAAUGUCCUUUUUGUUAUGUUUAAUGUGUUUUGUACUCACAUGCUCUUCGUCAAUGCCGGAUCAAGCAUCUUUGAGACAGGGAUAGGCCGGAAAGUUCUUAUCUCAAUGUGUUAUUGUUGCCACCACCAUGUCAAUGUCACCAAGGAACCAAUGCCCAAGAAAAAGCAAGGACAUACUAGAAAUAAAGGCAGAGAAAGGGCAGAGUCACCACUCCUCAAGCCAACGACCAGGUCGUUGGACCAAAAAGAUGAUGGAGAUUGAGGGAUUGACAAGGAAGCCUAGGCUUUUGUAUGUUCUUCUAUAUUUCCUUUUCAUUUAGAAUAUUUUUAUAUAUGAAAACUUAUAAAUACAUGUUUAACUUUUUCUAAAUACGCAAUGAACACUUUGAAAUAUGUGACAAACAUUUCUAAACACACAAUAAAAAAAUUGAAAUAUAUAUUAAAUAUUUUUAUAUACUUGACAGACCUUUUGAAAUAUUCCAUGAACACGUUUAAAAUACACAAUGAACUUUUUUCUCAAAUACAUCGUUUCUUUUGAAAUGUGUGAGCAUUUUAUUAAAUACACAAUGAACAAAUUUUGAAUACACAAUUUACAUUUUUUAAUAUACUAUGACCUUUUGGCAACACAUGACGAACAUUAUUGAAAUGUACAAUGAACAAUUGCUAAAUACAUGAUAUGUUUUAUAUGAAAUAUAGCAUGUAUAGUUUUAAAAAAAUAUUAUGAAUAUUUAUAAAAUAUAGGAUAAACAUUCUUUUAAAUGCAUGAUGAAUAUUUUUAAAUACACAAUGAUUUUCGUUUACACUUUUUUUAAGUUCCAUGUUUUCAAAGAAGUGUGAACACUCAUCAAAAUUAUAAAAACAAUUUUCUCUUACAUGAACAGAGUUUUCACUAUUUUUUACCUUGUUAUAUAAAAUUAGUAAAGUACAAUAUUUUUAGAAGUAAAUUCUUACUUUCCUAAAAUGUUAGAUUUCAAGUCAACAUGAAUGUACAAGUAGUAACUUCUUUUUUAGUGCAACAUACAAGUAGAUUUUUUUGGAGGAAUUCAUAUAAAUAUAACCUUUUUGUAACAACUGACCGAUAUUAAAAAUCAGUGCCGGUCCAAUUCGCUAGCACCAUCGUGCAUGUUAGUGGGCCAUGAUUUGCUAAGGCCCAUCUAAUGGGGCAUUAUUCAUUAAGAGGAAAUCUGAAUGGGCACCACGUGAUCUAUUUGACUGAGGUGGUUUGUUACUCUCUUAAUAACAAUGAGGUGGGCGGUUCGAGGAUCUUGUGGCCCAUUUUUAUUUUUCCAUGUAAUAACGAAGUAAUAACGUGCUAUCUGCACAGUAGACAUCUGGACUACUUAAAAAUGAAAUAAUAAUCUGCACAGUGGACAUAUGGACUAUUUAAAAUGAUAACACACUACUGCAACACAAUGUAACUAUUGUUGUCACACCAUUAGCAACAUAUGCGUGCCCAACACAUAUAUGUGUAGCUAUAGCAGAUACGUUGCAAGUCAUGUGUUGCUAUAGGAGGGUUCUUGUUGUAGUGCAUGUCUCUCUCGGACGCGACAUAGGCCUGCCAGGCAGCUUGCCCCGUGGCGCGCUUCUCUUUCCCGGCCUUCUUCUCCGCCUCUAUUUUCGCGCGCUCUGCCGGAGGCAAAGCCUCCAACAAGCUGACAUCCAUUUCUUUGCAAAGCUCCACAAGGCUGGGGGGCUUGGCGGACGGCGCGGCGUUCUCCUUGUAGUGGGGAGCCGAGGCGUCCUCUGACGCACGUGCUAGCGAGAUUAGGAACACAGACGCGUCCACCUCAACGCAUCGCGGCGAGGAGCGGAACGUCGACGCGUUCUCCUUGACUAGUGGCGGCGAGUAAUGGAACAUCGACGAGUACUCCUUGACUUGUGGCAGCGAGGAACAGAAUGGCGACGCGUGACCAUCCACGUGGUGCAGCGAGGGGUGCCUAGGGCUUGGGAGGGGGAUGCCAUUGUGGUCGACAUGAGAGGGAGGGGGGAGAUAGCGAUGAACGUGAGCGCUCUUCCAAAUUCUGUGGGAGGCGCAAUAUUUAUAGAGAGAAAUGGCACACCUAUGCAAUAUAUGGACUGAGCUUCACUGACUUAACUACAGGUCAAGUUGCGUCACUGACAUGUGGGCCAGAUGCCUGUUGGGCCCUCAUGUCAAUGACCCAAUGCACCUACAGUUAAGUAACUGAAGCAGCUAUGUGGGCAUAUUUGUUGGAGUAAAUUACGGGUGAGGGAAGGGGUGGAAAUAUUGCUGUCAUAACUGAUUGGACGAGCGCGGGGGACGAGAGUAAUGCAUGCAGAUUUUUUCCACACGGGGUCGAGUGGUGGGAGGGCUGGAGGGAGAAGGAGAGUCAAGAAGACGUUCAGAUUUCAAGGUACACUAAAUUAUUGCAUGUGAUGAUUAAGUCUAGCCAUAGUGGUGGUAAUGUGGUACUCCCUCCUUUCUAGUUUAUAGGGCUUAAUUUGAGAAUCUCUUCAACCAAGGAAGAUGAUGAAUGGUGGAAUUAAUUCCAUAGUUUGCAAAAGUACUUAAUUAGUACUCUCGUUUUUCUCAAAAAUUUGUGUAAACCGAUGCAUUAAUUACACCACAUGCAUGCAUAACCACUCCUAUAAAAAUCUCAGUUGGUGGUGAUGGUAUGUCUGCCUCUGGACAACGUGAGCCGUUCGAUCUACUUGGAACCAACGGCUGAGAUGUGUGUGCAUAGAGACAUGGCCUUGCCAGUGGAGGUACUAUAUAGCAGAUAUUUACCCACCUCUGCCACUGUAUAAAAUACGGAACUACUCAUUCUAGCCUCAUUUCCUUUCUGGUUCAUCUCCUUGCAUUCUUGCCAGCGGCGGCGAAGGUUCUUGAAGAUGGAGUCCAGACUCUAGAAACAACUACAAAAACUAUUCCACCGCCUCUAUCUUGGUAAGAGUAGGUGGAAUUUUUGAAUCGAGCCCUUUAAACUAGAAGGGAGGUAGUGGUACUCUAAUAGCUAACCUUGUUGUGAUGACUAGAUAGGACAUGGCAUGCACUUGGACGGAGGAACUAGUCUGCAUUGUGCAUUUAAGUUUUUUCUGAAGUCAAUGUACCUCUAGUUUGACCAAACUUAUAGAAAAAUGUACAUCAACAUUCACAAUGUCAAAUCAAUAUUUUUAUACUCAUUAUAAAACGUAGUUUUUAUACUCAUUAUAAUCAGUAUUGUAGAUAUUGAUAUUUUUAUUAUAAAUUUGAUCAAAAACUUUGCAAAUGGUUGACAAAAGUAAAAAGGACCAGAGGGAGUAUCAUGCAUGCGGAGUAGGCAAAAAAUUGCUCAUUUAUAGCCGGUCGAAGUCUCAAAGGGCGCGAUCGCGCGAGGGAGGCGAAGGUCGUGGGAGGCGCGACAGUUGAGGGAAUUAAGUGAAGUUACAUCCAUGCUCUGGCAUGGCGGGCGAACAGGCAGAAGUUAUACCGUCAGCCUACUAUAUGGGUCUACUAGACAUGACAUCUAGUGGGUCUCACAUAGUACUCGAGAAUUCGUUGGUUGCUUGUAGCCGUUUAUCCACCAGGCAAGCCAACAAACCCACGCCGUUGCCACACUCUACUCGUCCCUGUCUUCUACCUUACAAUAGUUUGCUCCCAGUCGUCCCGUCCUUUAACAUUACACUAGGUCAACUUCUCCUAACCCUCCUCCAAAAUCCAUGGCCUCCCAAAUCUCCAUGGUUGCUACUGAGUACCAGGUUAGAGCCAUCACCGGCGAUGAGUUCAUCAUCAUCUACACCCGUGGAUCUGCGGUGGUGAAAGCAUGCCUUGUUCGCUUCCUGCACAUGUUCAACAGUUCAAAGGAUGAGUGGGUCGCUGGGCUAGAUGUUGAGUACACCAUAGUCCUAGAAAGCGAGAAGAUUCUAAAGGAGGCAGAGAAGAAGAAGCCCGCCGUGAUCUAGGUUUGCGUAUAUAACGUGUGCUUGGUCUACCAAUAUGCUAUGCCGACAUUGAGUGCCAGGGUUUUAAGAACUUCCUUAAGGACGAAAGACUGAAAUUCAUUAUUGUAGACUUUAGGAAUGACAGGGAUGUCCUGGGUCGGAUAGUCCUCGUUGUAGGCCAACCCUUCAAUCUCUAGAAGGAAAGCCUGGUGUCCUCCUCUCAACCUUCAAUGCUGAUCCCUGGCAGCAGCGAUGAUUGAUCCAUCGUACGCUAAACUGAAGAAACCUAACCACGAGUUUCAUCAUGCAUGGGAGUCGAAGACAAUAGAUGAAGAUCACAUCCUGUACGCAGCAAUGGAUGCCUACCUUUGUUUAAAUAUCUACAAGGGUUGGAUGAAGAAGCAGAGCCCAGUGUCCGGUUAAAGCAAAGAAGCGGCAGCGAAGAGGAAGAGGAAGAGGGAUGAGGAUGAAGAUGAGGACAUGGACUCCGACUCCGAGUAAGGUGGCAGUGCCGUCACUCAUGUUGGUUCUACUACAGUGUCAAGCGGACUAGUUGCUUAGUUUUAUUUUAGGGGUGUGUUGUGUUGAGGCCCCAGUAGAAAUAUGUUUAUGUUCUUUCUCGUUAUUUGAAUUUUAUGUUCUUUCUCAUUAUUUGAACUCUUUAGUACGUACAGUAGUACUAGUACUAUGUCUUACUACUGUUCUUCUUGUAGUUGGUACAACUGCUCGUAUAUUCGUGUUCCUACUGUACUUAAUACAUUCGUGCUAGUAGUAUAAUUUGGGUCAGUCGAUUUUUGAAAGAAGUUCGAUGGAGCGAAGGAAGAAGACGACAGAGAAGCGAGCCCAGUAUCUAUAUUAGCGUGGUAGGGUGCCCAUGAUCUAUCUUAUGAGUGUUCAGUGUGGAAUGCAGUUCGCCAGAAAAAUGGAUCAUGCCCGGGUUUAAACGGAUGGCGGGGGUGGGGGAGCAUGGCGGUGGCAGGCAGUUUAGGUGAGGGCGGGGUAGCAGCGGCAGGCGGUUAGCAUGUGGCAGGCUGAGAAGAUGAACAAUGCACCAAAUACAGAGGAUGAAGAAGCCCUUCUAGCCAUCCAUGUUGCAUCCAAUGACUCACAUGAGUCGAUUGACCCAAAUUGCUCCUUAGGAUUGUAGGAUCCACGUGGAAUUCAAGGUCUCGAUGGUAGAUUCCGCGUCCGCACCCAGUUUGCGGGCUCGGCAUGGGCGCGAUCAGCUUCCGCCGUGAUAGCCACCAUGCGCGCCUCCUUUGCGCGGGCGGAGACGACAAUGACACACUAGUUCCUCCUCGCCGGCAUGUUGGAGCACGUACUCGUCCUCCUCUUCGUACGCUGCUUGCAUAGACGCGGCUCCACCAGCUGCUCACAUGCUUGGCAGCCCGUUAGCAUCGCGAGGAGGGACUGCAGACGAAGUGAGCGGGCGAGCCUUCGGCUUCAUGGUACAGGGAUGGCAGCUUCAUGGCGGUGAUGGGCGAGAAAUGGUUGGCCGGAGUAGGCAGGCGCCAGUAUGUGCAACGGCGGCGACAUAUUGAUAAGUGCGCAUAUGGGAGCUUAGUUUAGUUUUAUAUAGGGUUGGUCUAACGCAAAACAAAACCAUACUAGUACACGUAAACAUUGGACUGAGGCAACACUUAUAUUAGUUACCACAGCCACGAUACAGAAUCAUGUGCAAGCGCGUGAACCACGGCCGCACCAUCGAUCGAAAGGUGCGUCACCGUGUCACACUCGAAGGACACCCACAGAACAUUUUUGUGUGUGUGAAAACAAUCCCUUAAUAUUACUCAACUUUUUUUCCUGGAAAAGUUCUUGACGCUACAAUAUUUCCAUAUAUUUGAAUUUAGCUCCAGUUUGUGUCUAUUUGCAUUUGGACGUUUUAGGUGCAACCUAUUUUUUUAAUACUGUUUUUGUGUGUGUGAUUGAGAGAGAAUGUGUGUAUGUGUCCAUAUGUGUGUUGUGGCAGAAGAGAAAUGUGGAGACGGUGUGCGUGUGAUAGACAUAGAGAGGUGUGAAUGUGCAAAUGAUCAUGCAUGAGUAAGACAUAGACAGAUGCCGAUACGUUGUGUAUACAUGAGAGAACGGUCUUCUAUUUGUACUUUUGUGUGUGUGUGUGUGUGUGAGAGAGAGAGAGGAGCAUCCAUAACACAACAACCAUCUCUCCCGAUUUGUCCGUCUCUCGCACGAUCGCAUGUAACACAUGCAUCAACGCACACAUUUUGACACCCUGACCCGGCCCCUGCCCACCUCAAGGCCCGCACGUCGCUCUCUAUCUCGAACGCACAAUUUCUUCAUGAAAACCCUAUUUAGCAUGUAGCUUUCCAUCACAUACACACACAUUUCUCUCCAUAGGUCUGGUUUCUAUCAAUACCUGACACACACACACACAAACACACCGCACACACAUUCCCCCUCCCGCGAGCACACAAUUCAUCCCCAUCCAAGUCUAUAUGGCGACCACUCUCGCCUGUGCUUCUCUGCACCCCAGCAUGCACAACACCUCAACAUUCAAAGAGGGCAUCGAGGAGAUCGAAGAUAGCGACCACACCUCACUAGAGAAUGCGGUGCUAUUUGGAAGCAGGAUGAUGUGACGACGGCUGGCUGACUCCUCACCCACCCCCCUCUCUCCUGCACAAAAUUACCAAUCCCUCUCUCUUGCACACAAAAUUAUCAAUCACUCAACCCACGAGAUCCUUCCCCUCUCGUCCAUGUUUUUCCAUCUCUCUCAUCAAACCUAUUGUCUCUUCUCUUUCCAUGUCUACAGAAUCCGGAUGCAGACACAUCUCGCGUAUAUUACAUGUCUCCAUCUAUCUCACGGACCUAACUUCUUCAUCUCUCUUUCUCUCUCUCUAUCUCUCUCUCUCUCGUUAGGUUUGUCUCCUACACUCUCUUGUCCACAUACACACAAUCUUUACCACCCUAUCUUCUCCAUCUUUGCAAGCUCUCUCUACACGUUUCAUUCACACAUGGGGAUGUGUUCAAAAUGUUGCUUUUAUAAUGGAUGAUGUAGAGUUAUGGUUGGUUUUGUUGGAUCCUAGAAAGUAAUAACUAUGAAAUGCAUUUAGAUUUUCAUUUUACUAGGAUUAUGUGACUUUGAGCAUAUUGUGAAGUACUAUAGACCUCAUAUACAUCUUGGAAUUCAACAAUGAUUCUAACUAUUUAAUUGUUUAGACCAUUACAUUCAAAGUCAGUAGCCUAAUAUAUUUAUUUCAUGAUUACAACAAAUGAUUAAUUCACUACAAACUAAGAAAACAAAUGUGUAGUCCCUCCAUUUUUAUUCAAGUCCGCGUAUUAGCAUUGGUUAAAGUCAAGUUUUGUAAACUCUCACAAAUUUAUAACAAAAAAUAUUAACAUAUACAAUAACAAAUAAAUACCAUUAGAUUCAUUAUUGAAUGUACUUUCACAUCAUACAUAUUUGUUAUAGUAAAUGUUUAUAUUUUUUUAUAAACUUGGUCAAACUUUAGGAAGUUUGACUUCAGUCAAACCUAAUAUGCAGAGUUCAAAAAAUCAGAGGGAGUGCUAGUAGUUACUAGUACUACUUGCUAGUUUCUUAGCCCAAUCACCCAAUAUGACACACAGGGACUUCAGUGUCACAAAAUUUUGAGGUCGGUUGGAAAAUCUCCUGCGACCCUGAUUCGAGCAGUGCAAAGUUACGAUCAUAACCUUCAGAACAGGUCUACGGAUUACGCUUGGUAGGGGCCUAUUUUCGUAACUUCAGGUUCACCCUACCCAGCCAACCCCACCCCGGCACCCACAGUAGUACACCUGAAUACUCCCCAUUUUCUAUCCCCACACCCAAAUAGACUUCUCCAUGGCACCGCAGCCUUCGUGCUCCUUCCCUUCUCCAUCGGCGCACUCGUCCACCGCAGCGCAUCUGCACUGGAGCCGAUCCACCGUCGUCAUUGUACACGGAGCCUCUUCCCCGGCACUGUCUUCCACGGUGUCGGAUUUGAUUCCCGGAAGCCGACGCCUAGCGCAGAAGCACCACCGUCGUGGACAAUGAACUGACUUCCGUUGCCGACCAUGAUGCACAGAGGUCGCCGCGACGAUCAUUCUCCUCCUCGAUUGGUAAUGGGUGUAUUGAAUCACUUAGCAGUACAUGUGCAGUUCCAACUUUAUUCAUACCUACCCUUCAAAUUUCCUGGUUGCUAUUGUUCCCGUAAAAGUAAUUGGUUAUAGCCUCCAUUGUCCAACAGAAUAUCAGCUUGUAAUUGUGUGUCGCUCUUGUAUCACGUUGUGCUUGCGUAGGUUCUUCAUCUGCAACCAGUAGUGUGGCAAAUGAUGGAAAGUUAUUUAGAACUAGCAAGAUGCCCAUGCGUUGCACGGAACAUCAAGAGGCAUUUGUAUGAGUAGUUUAUCUUGUAGGAGAAAAGGAUGAAUGAGGGAAGGCCUUAUUUGCAAAUCUGGAGAGGGGUGUUGGUAUCUUUCGGCAAAAUUUCCAUAGUUUCCUUCCUAUUUGUCGGAUAUAAAUCGAACGGCCUAUAUUGUAGGAUGGCAGGCACACCAUCAUCACCAACUCUGUUUUUAAAAGAAAGUAGAAAAAAGAGAGUAGAGAGUAGAGAAGUAGAGAUCAAUAUUACAUAUAAAAUAAAUAUAAUAGUAGAUAAGAGAGUAUAGAUGAAUAUUAAAUAUAAAAAAUAUAAUAGUAGAGAAGAGGGUAGAGAUAGCAGGGAUGUCCGGAAAGGAUCGCGCGCGCGCGGGAAAAAGCGGUCGGGCGCACGGUGUCCGGUGAGCUUUAUAAAAUCCAACGCCCACCCACCGCUCUAUGCCUUACCACCGCUCUCUCCCCGUUCUGUGCCUCGCCACUGCUCUGUUCCCGCUCUUAGCCUCGCCACCGCUCUCUCCCCUCUCUUUCUCGCCUCGCCGCCGCCGCGCCACCAUGCCGCCACGUCAUCGGGAAACUUGGGAAUACCUCGGCGUCCGCGGGCGCCCCUCCGGCGGCUUCUCCGCUGAGAUCCGGUUCUACGGGAUGCAACUCGGCCUCGGCAAUUUCGACACCGCCAAUGAGGCCGCCCGCGCAUACGAAGCAGCGGCGUGGCACAUCCGAUGGCCUCAUAGAAUAUUGAACUUCCCCAACGUGCCGACGCGGGAGCGGGCGCAGGAGCUCGCGCCUCUGCCGUGGCUUAUCACCGAUGAGGAUCAUCGCGACAAUCGGAGGCGGGAGCAUCGUCUCGGCAUCAUCGAUAUGGACGAAGAAGCCAUGGCGCUGUGGCGCCAAUGCUUCCCGUGGGAUAUCAUCAACGAGCGCGAGUACUACGCGCAAAGGAGUGCGGAGAGGGAGAAGAGGAGGGUGGAGCGAGCCGCCUAUCGCGAGGACAAGCGUAUGCAAAAAGCGGACGCUCAAUUCAACAUGAAGCUAGGAGUAGCAUCGCCUGGGAAUCUGAUGACGAUCAGUAUCUUCAUGCCUACAUUGAGACGUCGGAGGAGGACAUCAUCGAGGAGUAGUCGGACGAGUAGUUGAGCUAUCUAUUUUUUAUCUAUCUAUGUUAUAUCUAUGCUGAGAACUAUCUAUGUCUCUACUCUCUAUCUCUACUUCUGGAUCUCAGCACUCUAAACGCUUUUUUAAAGCGCCACGCAUUGCACUUCUGUUGGAGAUGCUCUAACAUGGCAGAUGAGUGCUUUAAUGUUGCCCACAAGAUGCGUGAGUAUUACUAGUAUAUUUGUGUUGCCAUGUUGAGAUUCUAAAACCACAAGUAGGAACAUGCAGAGGAGCAAUGAAUACCAAACACGGGAUAUUGGGGACAUCUUCAAGGAGCAUGGUAAGUUAAAUAGGAGUUGCACCAAACCUAUAAAAUGAGCUUUGGUAAGUAACACCCUUUCAAUUACUUUUAUUUAGCCUCGUGUUCUUUGAUGUGUAUAUGUUGUAGUUUCUGUUUAUCUUAGCCUCGUGUUCUUCAUGAGUAAUAAGGAGAGUCUUAAUCGUACUAGAUGCUUUCGUUUUCAGCUUGAUGUAGGAAGUGGGUGUUCUCACCUUGUAGUCUAUUUUUAUAUUUUUCCUUUUAAAUUCACUUCUCCGAGUCCUGUUUAUCUGGCUUCUACUAAAUGGAUCUGGGUUGCUCUGAGUAUUGAUCUAAAAAAUAAGUAACUUCAUGUCAGGAUGCAGUUCCUGCGAGGAGGGAAGUAUGGUCAACCUUGAUAUCAUGUUUCCAAAAUGAGGCUGGAUUACACAAAAAGUGCCAGUUCCCUAAUGAUGUUGGAUUAGACACAAGGUGCAAAUUCCCAGAUGAUGCUGGAUUACACACAAGCCAAGUGGAGUCAUCAAUUGUUCGUGUCCUCGUGGCUCCAGUUAAGGCUGAAAGAAAGCGUCCAGCACCCCAUGAGAAUGUUGCUGAGUUCCUGAAGAAGCGAAAAGAGCAAUCAGAUGCUCUCUUCACCCAAGCCAAAGAAGAGAUGGAAGAAUCCAUAAAGAAGAUAGCAGAGGCAGAGCAGGCUAGGGUCUCCUGCUAUCUAAAACUAUUGUCAAUACAAAUUUUCCUUCAUAACAGCUAGGUUCAAAUGUUUAUCAUGUCAGCAUGCCUGUUGUGAUGUCUGUGCAUCUACUGAUGUGGCACAAAAUAAUUUUUUUAGGGUCAUGUAAUAACAACAAUUACUUCCCAAACAAUAAGACGAAGCAUUGGACAUGGUAUAGCUCACGCGCAAGCCCAACAUUCCAAGUUCAACUUCCACAUCAAACUCAUGCUCAUAGAUAUCUACACAUUCAUAGAUAAUGUCCACAACUAUGAUUCACUUCAAAGCCAAAAAAUGUGAGGAGAGUUAUAAAUAAAGAAAAACCUCUAGUUCCUGCUACCAGUGCGAGCACAACAAGUCAAGACAAUGCGUAAUUAAUUAUAUUUUGAUCAUUGUUUGUGUUCUAAAAUGCCAGCCGGUUCACGGAAGGACGUGUUUCCGGCACAUGUGCGUAUUCAAUGGAGGCAGGUGGGGCAGUCUGAAGCCGGUUGCAUGCGGCGAGGAGGCAUGUUCAGCAGGACCUACAACUAGUGGGGACCUCUUGGCCGACGCGCCGGUUCAAUGCCUGCGCUAUGAGAGGUCGCGUCCGUGUCAGAGCAAUCACUCCCUCCUGUCCUGUUUUGUUUGGGUAUAACAAAAUCUCGUUUUCCAUUCACAUUUUACAAGUAAAAUUCAUGGACAAACUUUGACCCGAAAUAUGAUGGCGACUAGUAAACCAGGACAGAUGUAGUAGUUUUUUUUAUCAAAGAAGGGUUUCCCCCUUCCGAUUUUCAUUACUAAAACCAACAUCUAAACCAUAGUAUUUACCCUAGAACUACCAAGUUCUACAUCUCGCAACAUAAACCCAUACAACCAUACGCCAAGGAGGUAGUAGUAAUGAAUUCCAUUUUCACACCAUACCAAUCGUUCUAAAAACUACUUAAGUACUUAUCAUGUGCCCUUGAAAAUCGGAACUCUUACCCUGCUAAAAAAUGAUAUUUUAGACGUGACUACUUGAUCUGUGGCAACUGGCGAGCCACCACCUCCAGGGCAUUCACCUGUGGUCCCGACCAUCAACUCCUACAGAUCAAAUUAUCAUGCGAGCUGACUAUUCCUACAAAGGUGCACUAAAUCACAUACCCGGUACCCGCGCAUGCAGUAAUCGUGCACCUAGGGUUUUAGGGUUUAUUUGUUAAUGCUACAUUUAUGUAACUCUCAUCUGUGCGAGACAGCGAGAGACCGACUGCGUGUGUGCGCCUCUUCUCUUCAUAUAUGAAGGUACUCCACCGUUUGUCUGGUGUCCAAAAAAUUACACAAUAGUAAUAACUACUAGCAAUAUGCCAAUGUGUUGCCACACGAUCAAAGUAGAUUAAUACAUAUUCACCGAUUUGAUAUAAAAAAGAGUCUAGUUUUGAAAUAUGUGUAUCACUAAAAAUAUCUUAUGUUUCACUCAAAAUAUAUUCCUUUUGGUGGUUUUGAUGAGAAAAGGGAGGAAUGUUGUUGGUUUCAAGAUUCGAGAAGUGGUAUAUCUCUAAUUUCUAUUCUUACUAGCAAGAUGCCCAUGCGUUGCACGGAACAUCAUGAUCUUGUGGGAGAAAAGGAUGAACGAGGGAAGGCCUUAUCUACAAAUGUGGAGAGGAGUUCGGGUAAAUUACCAUAGUUUCGUUCAUAUCCAUUAGAUAUAGAUCGGACGGCCUAUAUUACAGGAUGGCAGGCACACCAUCAUCACCGACUAUGCUUUUUAUAAGAAUAGAGAUAGAGAUAAAAAACAAAGUUGGUGAUGAUGGUGUGCCUGCCAUCCUGCAAUAUAGGCCGUCCGAUUUAUAUCUGACUGAUAGGAAGGAAAGUAUGGCAAUUUUGCAACAAGAUACCCACACCCCUCUCCACAAUUGCAAAUAAGGCCUUCCCUCGUUCAUCCUUUUCUCCCACAAGAUAAACUGCUCAUACAAAUGCAUCUUGAUGUUCCGUGCAACACAUGGGCAUCUUGCUAGUUGUUGCAAAAAGCCCAUCUGUGUGUGUGUUGUGUGUGCGAGAGAGAGGGAGAUAGGAGGAGGACGGAGUUCAUGUGUGACUAAGACACAAAGAGUGUGUGUGCAAGAGGUAUCAGCUUAAAAUGAGGCGAUAGUGUGUGUGUGUGCAUGAUCAAGAGGGCGUGUCUGAAGAAGGGACAAAAAAUCUACAUAGAUACAAGGAGCGUGAGAGAGACAUGUACGUGAUAGUGGAAGCACGAGUGUGCGGGUGUAUAAACCUAUCUGGAGGCUAGUCAAUCAAUGAUGUGAGAGAAAUACGAGUCGGGGGUGCGAAAGCGAGAGUUUUGUGUGUGUGUGUGAGAGAGAGAUGAUAGUCAGGAAGGGGAGUGGAACUAGGAGUNNNNNNNNNNNNNNNNNNNNNNNNNNNNNNNNNNNNNNNNNNNNNNNNNNNNNNNNNNNNNNNNNNNNNNNNNNNNNNNNNNNNNNNNNNNNNNNNNNNNNNNNNNNNNNNNNNNNNNNNNNNNNNNNNNNNNNNNNNNNNNNNNNNNNNNNNNNNNNNNNNNNNNNNNNNNNNNNGGGUUGUUUGAUGGGUAAACAAAUGAAUAAUGUCAGUUUCAUAACUGGGAUGGAGACGGAAAGGAGACCGCAACAAAUGUUGUGUCUGCAGGAGAGAGUAAUUUUAGUGGUAUGAGUCAUAUCUAGAGACAUAUAGGGUGUGUGAGAGAACCCCAUAGAGAGAAAGACAAAGUGAAAUAUGAUGAGACUGUGUGUGUGGCGGUGAAAAAGAAAGCUUAGGUACCUAGUGAUACCAGAGAACGGUAGAGACGUGUGAGAUAAUGAAAACCGUGUAAUGUAUAAUGAUAGGGAGAGUGUGAAACUUCUCAAGGGAGACGUCCAGAGACCAUGUUUGCUAAGAUAGGAGAAACAUGAUGUGAUGCCCGGGUAGUUAAGCUACAGUAACCCUCUACUAACGAUGCCAUGUCACCUCGAUUACUGUUGUUAAUCUCAUGGUGAAUCAAGUCCCGUUCAAAUUCAAAUUCAAAUAACAAGUGAAAUUCUAAACUUAUCAAACGUGGACACUAAAAUGUUCAAAUUGUAGCAAAUAAAUCAUGGGUAGUAUUGGUGGGGAAAUCACACUUUUAUAAAGUGGCUAAAUGCUCUAAAAUAAAUAAACAAUGGAAUAAACUAUUAAUUUAAUGCUUUUAUAAUAGUAGAUACGUUCUAACUACAAUUAUCUGGGUACCAAACAUUUGCUGGCAGUAGUAUAUUUGGAAGAGCUAAUAUGGAUUCUAAUUAUAUAAUUUACAAAAUUAAAGUAAAAGAGAAAUUAGAAAUAAAACAGAAAAAAAGAAACUAAACAAAACCAAAAACAUAAAAAAGAUCCCCCUCCCCUGGGCCAUUCCGCCCAACUGGGCAAAGGCCUAGCCAGCCAACCCCACUCCUCUCCUUAUCACCUCGCCCCCGAAACCCUAGCCCACAACCGCACACGACCAGUCCNNNNNNNNNNNNNNNNNNNNNNNNNNNNNNNNNNNNNNNNNNNNNNNNNNNNNNNNNNNNNNNNNNNNNNNNNNNNNNNNNNNNNNNNNNNNNNNNNNNNNNNNNNNNNNNNNNNNNNNNNNNNNNNNNNNNNNNNNNNNNNNNNNNNNNNNNNNNNNNNNNNNNNNNNNNNNNNNNNNNNNNNNNNNNNNNNNNNNNNNNNNNNNNNNNNNNNNNNNNNNNNNNNNNNNNNNNNNNNNNNNNNNNNNNNNNNNNNNNNNNNNNNNNNNNNNNNNNNNNNNNNNNNNNNNNNNNGGUCUCCUCGUCAUCAACCACAUCACCGCCUCACCGUCCUCUCCAUCGUCGCCUCAUCCCCGUCGUCCUCCCCACCCCCUGCUGCCUAAAUCUCUAUGGCCCACGUGAGCUCACCCUCUCCUUCUCUCUCACUCGCGCGCAUAUGCUCACUGUCGCAGCCUCCUCCCCGCGGCUCCGCUGUCGCCGCCGUGACCCUGCUGUGACCCCCUCGCGCCGUCUCGCGCCUGCUGCUGCCCCGAGGCAGCGGCCUCCACCCCGCAGCCGCACGCUGACCGCUCUACGCCCGCGUCGAAUGCCCCAGCAGGCCGCGCUCCCUGUCCUUCGUGUGCGUGCCCGCGCCACACCUUGCUGCAGCCGCCGCGCUCCGCACCCGCCUCGCCUGCAACGAUCGUGGUCAGCGCGACCCCUCCGCCUGCCGUGGUCCCUGCUCCACGCCUCGUUGCCGCCGCGCUCGGCCGUUGCGGCUGGCCGACCUCUCCCAUGACGGCGCCAUCCUGGCAGGAGCGCCGCCCCGAUGCCUCCCCAUCUUCACCUGCUGUUGAGCCGCACCGGCUCCACCCCACGCUUCUGUGGCUCGCCCCCUCUUGCGCCAGCCCCUGCUCUGACGCCGACCGCUGCGCCAUCACCGCCCGUCGGCGAGCAUGCGCCAUGGGCUCGCCGUGCCUCCCUCCCCUGUUGGUCGCGUCUGUGGCAGCGGGCUGGCGCCCGCUGCGCCAUAGGGGCGGCGCCCGGCGCCCGGUACCGCCCGAAACGCUAUGGCCCCUUUGGGCCACAGACAUGUGGGGCCCCAUGCCAGAUAGAAAAAAAAGAGAUUUUAAAAAAUAAAAAAUAAUAAUUAAAAUAAUAAUUAUUUAAGUUAAUUAAUCAUAAUUAGAGUAGUCUAAUCACCAAUUUACCUAAUUAAUUGCAAGUUAAUUAAUCAGUCAAUGACAGGCAGGACCCACACGUCAGUUUGACCAGUCAACAUGUCUGUUGACUGCUGAUGUUAGGAUGACGUCAGCAAACACUAUUCUAGAUAAUGUUUAAUUAAAAUAAUUAAAUAAAUGCUAAAAAUGAUUUAAUGUUUUUAAAAUCAAUAUAAAAUAAACUGUAGCUUGGAUGGAAAAACUUUGCACAUGAAAGUUGCUCAGAACGAUGAGGCGAAUCCGGAUAUGCAGCCCAUUCAUCCGCCACACAUGCCUAGCAUAGAAAACACGCAACUUUCCCUCUCCGAUUCAUCUGUCUGAAAACGCGAAACACCGGGGAUACUUUCCCAGAAGUUUUCCCCCUUCGCCAGUAUCACCUCCUACUACGUUAGGGAACACCUAGCACCGUUACUUGUCAUGUCAUGCAUCGAUAUGCAUCUCUUUCCAUUGUAUUCAUUGUGUAUUCUCCGUCUUCUCUCCGGUAGACUACGAGACUGACGCCGCUGCUGGUGCCCUGAUCGACUUCGUUGUUGACGACCCCUACUUGCCAGAGCAACCAGGCAAGCCCCCCCCAUUGAUCACCAGAUAUCGCCUAUUCUUCUCUCUGUUUCUUGCAUUAGAGUAGUGUAGCAUGUUACUGCUUUCUGUUAAUCCUAUUCUGAUGCAUAGCCUAUCCUUGCUACUAUUGUUGAUACCUUACCUGCAAUCCUAAAUGCUUAGUAUAUGAUGUUACUUUAUCAUCAGUGGCCCUACAUUCUUGUCAGUCUGCCAUGCUAUAUAAUCGGGCCAUGAUCACGUCCGGUGUUGAUCACGGUUGUAUACUAUACAUAUUACACAUGAUACAUGUUGUGACUAAAGUCGGCUCGGCUCCUUUAGUACCCGCGGUUGGUUCACAAAUUGGGGGCUGAAAGGACAAACUUUCCCGAUGGCCCUCUCUAUGGAUCUUUGUGGCGGAGUGACAGCGCAGGUUGAGACCACCCAGGAGAGAGGUGGGCCUAGCCCUGGUCGGCGUUCGCGGUUACUUCAAGAUAACACACUUAACGAGAUCUUGGUAUUUGAUCCGAGUCUAGCCACUGACCUAUACACACUAACCAACUACGCGGGAACAGUUAUGGGCACUCGACGUCGUGGUAUCAGCCGAAGCCUUCGUGACGUCAGCGACUGAGCAGUGCAUGCCAGGUUGGACCACGUAACACAACUUCCUUUGUAAUGGAGGUUGCUAGGUCUGCUCACCGGCCGCAUACGCAACGUGCAGGUGUGCAAUGAGCGAUGUGCCUAGACCCCUGUGCCAUAGGAUUUAGACUAGCAUGUUGACCUCUCUGUUUUUCCUAGGUUGGGUCGCGACGUGUUGAUCUUUCGAGGCCGGGCAUGACCCAGGAAGGUGUGUCCGGCCAAAGGGGAUCGAGCAUGUUGGGAAAUGUGGUGCAGCCCUGCAGGGAAGUUUAUCUAUUCGAAUAGCCGUGUCCCUUGGUAAAAGGACGACCAGGAGUUGUACCUUGACCUUAUGACAACUAGAACCAGAUACUUAAUAAAAUACACCCUUGCAAGUACCAGAUACAACCCGGUGAUUGCUCUCUCACAGGGCGAUGAGGGGAGGAUCGCCGGGUAGGAUUAUGCUAUGCGAUGAUACUUGGUGGACUUACUGUCUACUCUCUUCUUCUGCUGCAAGAUGGAGGCUGCCAGAAGCAUAGUAAUCGAUUGGACUAGCUAUCCCCCUCUUAUUCCGGCUUUCUGCAGUUCAGUCCACAUAUGCUACCCUUUUCCAUUUGAUACCAAUGCAUACAUAUGUAGUGUAGCUCCAUGCUUGCAAGUACUUUGGAUGAGUACUCAUGGUUGCUUUGCUCCCCCCUUUUCCCCUUUCGAUACCCAAUUGUUGCGACCAGACGAUGGAGUCCAGGAGCCAAACGCCACCAUCGACGACGACUCCUACUACACUGGAGGUGCCUAAUACUACGUGCAGGCCGCUGACGACGACCAGGAGUAGUUUAGGAGGAUCCCAGGCAGGAGGCAUGCGCCUCUUUCGAUAUGAAUCCCAGUUUGUGCUAGGCUUCUUAAGGCAAACUUGUUUAACUUAUGUCUGUACUCAGAUAUUGUUGCUUCCGCUGACUCAUCUAUGAUUGAGCUCUUGUAUUCGAGCCCUCGAGGCCCCUGGCUUGUAAUAUGAUGCUUGUAUGACUUAUUUUAUUUGUAGAGUUGUGUUGUGAUAUCUACCCAUGAGUCCUUGAUCUUGAUCGUACACGUUUGCGUGUAUGAUUAGUGUACGAUUGAAUCGGGGGCGUCACAAGUUGGUAUCAGAGCCGACUGCCUGUAGGAAUCCCUCUUCCACACUCCUUGGCUGAAGUCAACUCUAGACAUUGCAAAACUUUUACUAACACAGCGGUGUGUCUUAUGGGCCCACGUCACCAUUGGGUGUUAUUAGGAUCUUUUACUCCUCGAUCUUUACUCCGGGAUUCUGAUCUCUCUUCUAUUCGGGUUAAAAUAUUUUGCUAACUCUAACUCUAGGUUCUCGUAAAUACUUUCUCUCGGAGAACCCCUCACUCCAGAUGGUCGCUUGCUGCACCAAAAGAUUCCAAAGAGAACCCCUCACUAAAAUAUUUUGCAAUUCCCUUGCACCAUCAAUCCCUAUAGAUAACUACAUGCCCUUGCCAUUCUUACAUUAGUCCCUAGUUGCUCUUGUUAUUACAAGAUACCCCGAGAUACUCGUUGUUGUUCCGAGAAUCCUUGUGCCUACUGCCUUGCAGUUUCUUGUCACCUGAAUACUCCUACAAAUUAAUCCUCACACACACACCAAGGAUUUGUUUCUCCUUAGUUCAUGUGUUUCACCAAAGUCUUCAAAAUACUAUUUGAUCUUUCGAAAAUCCUCAACAGCCUAUUGGUCUUGAAAUUCUUGAUUGCUUGCAUUCUGGUUAAUCCAUAAGUAUAGUAAUCUUAUUGGAAUCCUUUGUCACUAUCAUUUUUGAGUCCAUUCAUUCAAUACAUUGCGAAUGCUCACAAUCAUCAAUCGAAUCCUAGGAUUAUCCUUCCGGCUGAGAUGUCAUUUGGGUAUGAGCUGGUUCUUGACCAAUCAAUGCCUUGAUCGGUUGUGCUUCUAAGUCUAUUGAACUUAUUCAUUUUCGAUCAAGAAUGAUUUGCUUAUGAUCCCUUGAUUUGGAAAUCAUAAAUUUCCUUGCUUGUAGCUUUGACUUAGUCAGUUGUUUCUAUAAUCAGAUCUCCGUGCAUUCUUCUUCCUCUGGUUGAGUACUGAUGCUCACCUCAGAUCCCUUGAGGACCAUCAGAUCCUUUGUUGGUUUUUAUCCGACAGUGUCCUUCAUAUUCCAUAACGUUGUGAGUCUUUCCAUGGAUAUAUGAUGCCUUUGGCAAAUUGUAUCCUCUGCUUCUCAACCAUGCUUUGCUUUCGAGCUGGUGGUAUUUACUAUUGAAGCUUGUGGUAUAUGUUUGCAUGAUACCCUGACGGGUUGAACCUAUGCUUUCCUUAUGUGUGAAAUCGAAAGUUUUCACGAGUCAUACUCUUCUGGUAUUUUGCCAGAUAAAAUUUCAACACUACAAGUUCUUCUAAAGUGAGAGGUGAAUGGAAGGUUAUACAUUGAAGAAGUGGUAGUCGACCUUGAACUUUGUCUUCAUGCCCAUGGACACGAUGUAGAUCCUAUCAUUAAAGCUUCUCUUAAAUUAAUUAUUCCCUUGGUAUAAGUUCAUCUUAUAUCUAGGAUCCGGCCUUUUGCAAUCGUGGUUUUGACCAUGUUCUCCUUUAAAUACCAUUUUUUGUGCAAGUUUAAGCACUUGUCUUUUGCAGAGCAAUACCCUAGUCCAACCUCUACUUUGAUCUAUCGUCAAGUAUUACCCCUUGGUAUCUCGAGAUUGUCAUGGAACCGCAUACCUUCUUAUGAGCUCUUCAUUAAGUACUACAUUCUGACAGUUUCCAAUUUUUCAUGGGCUCUGAGUUAUUAAACUCUCAAAGACACCGAUAACUAUACCGAGUACGCACUACGGUUCAACAAAUCUUAGUAAUCUUCUUUAUGUACGAGUUUGUACCCGAUCACACCAUUCCUAGUCUGUUUGGCUAUAUCAUUGUCUUGAUGAUUUUAACCGUGCUACUUGGUCCUUAUUUCCAGGGCACCACUUUCGACGAUGAGCUAAGCUUACGGUUUGGAGUCAAAGGAAAGUUAGUGCCAUGAUUUGUGGGUCCAUACAGAGUCUUGGAACAUAUGGGUGAAGUUGCUUACAAGUUGGAUUUACCUGAAGGUUUGUCAGGAGUUCAUGAUGUGUUUCACGUUUCCCAAUUGAAGAAGUGCCAUGCAGAGAUGGACGAUAUUCCUCUGAGAGAUACGGUGCCCCUGGAAGCAAUUCAGUUGGAGAGUAACCUAACUUAUGAGGAGAAACCCGUCAAGAUUCUAGAGUUCACCAACUGAGUCACUUGCAGUAAGGUCAUCAAGUUUUGCAAAGUUUAGUGGAGUUACCAUACGGAGGAGGAAGCCACUUGGGAACAAGAAGUAGACCUCCAAAAGGACCACCCACACCUUUUUGCUAGCCAACCCGAAUCUCGACGGCGAUAUUCAUCUUAAGGGGGGUAGGUUUGUAACAUCCCAACUUUCCAUUUGGAUGUUAUUUAGAUCAUUCAUCUGCACACAUCAUUUGUGCAUAUUGGAAUUUGCUUUAUUUGAAAUUUUGAUCCACAGGGCCUUAAAGAACUCGAGGACCAAUAGAGAGAGUUGGUGGUUUCCCGAAAAUCAUUUAUUUUGAAUUUUUAAAACUUGGAAAUUUGGAUCAAAUUGAUUUACUCAAAAUUCUUUUCCAAUUAUUUGAAAUAAAUAAAAUAAAGAGAGAAGAUAAAAGGACUUCUUCAAAAACAGCAAAGAAGUAUUGGAAAAUUAAAUUUUGAAUAAAAAUAUAUUUUAUUUGAUUUUAUUUGCAAGUUUAUUUAUUUUUAUUAGUACUAAAAAGUUUAUUUUUAUUUUAGGCAUCUAGGUCCACACAAAUCUCCACCUAAGCCUAUUUAAUUAGGAGGGACUAUGUGAACUUUUCUGCAAUUUUUUAAAAUAUGUUUAUUAUGUUUUUCAUAUUUUUCGUAUCUCUGGAAAAAGGUUUUAUAAAAAACUUUUGGACCAAAUUGGGCCGAAGCCCAGCCAGCCUAGACGCUGCACUGCCUUCCUCCCGUGCGUGACUNNNNNNNNNNNNNNNNNNNNNNNNNNNNNNNNNNNNNNNNNNNNNNNNNNNNNNNNNNNNNNNNNNNNNNNNNNNNNNNNNNNNNNNNNNNNNNNNNNNNNNNNNNNNNNNNNNNNNNNNNNNNNNNNNNNNNNNNNNNNNNNNNNNNNNNNNNNNNNNNNNNNNNNNNNNNNNNNNNNNNNNNNNNNNNNNNNNNNNNNNNNNNNNNNNNNNNNNNNNNNNNNNNNNNNNNNNNNNNNNNNNNNNNNNNNNCCUCCCCUCGCAGCGCCGAGCCACCACCAUCGCUGCACUGAGCUGCGCCGCCACUACCACGCACCGCCGCCGCUCCACCCGCCGCCUGAUCCGCCGCUGGAGCUUCGAGCCGCCGCCGGACUUGCCGACGCCCGAGCCCAGAUCCGCUCGACCCGACCCACUGGUUUUCCCGGUCAGGGAAUAAACCGACCCCGGUCCGAUCCGGUUUUUUUAGUCUUCGGUUUUUCUUUCAAGACCCGGUUUAUUAUUUUUAGUUUAGUUAUUUAGCGAACGUUUGUCCGUUAAUGUUCUGUAGUGUACAGAUUCAUUAGAUUAGUUUUCGUAGUGGACGUUCGUCUGAUAGAUUUUUCUUUUUCUGUUUUAUUUUUCGGCCAGGGACCCAUCUGUGAAUAUUUUCUUCACAGAUUAGCCCCUAAUCCUUAAAUCCUCACAACUUUUUACUUGUUUGUCCAAAUUCAACGAAACCAACGCCAAAUUCUUCGUUAUGAUUCCCUCUAUCCAGAUAACCAACUUAACAGUAUUUUUGGAAGUUCAAAAUAUUAUUUUAAAUAGAUUUGAGUUUGAACUUCUUUUGAUCAUAACUUGAGUUUCGUAAUUCCGAUUUGGUUGAUUCUUUUUGCAAAUCGAAGCUCUUGACCUAAACUUUCUAUUAAGAUCUAAUCCAAAUAACUUAAGUACUGUUAGAAAUUGUUUUCUAUUUGAAAGAGUUGUUUUCUUAUUCUUUUGACCUUUCUGAAUCCUUUUCUUCGGUUUUCUUUGCAUCUUCAUGCUUGAGUGCUUAUGUAUGCUAUUGUUUUUCUAUGAUAGAUUUUCUAGAGUCUGAAGCUUGCUACUAUGAAUAUCUAGUGUUUACCGAUCGUUAGCAAGGCAAGUUACACUUUGAUCAUACUCUUUCAAACCCUGUUUUAUUAUGCAUUCAUUACACCCUUAAAUAUUGGAUGAGUAGGAUUGGGAACUUUUUGUUAUGCUAUGUAGUUCAUGAGGUAGGAACCUAUUACCUUUGAUCACCCCAGGAAUAUAUGUUAUGCUCAUACUGCUUAGCCAUGCUCGUAGGCGGGGAUUGGUAUGUGAGAAUCAUGCAAGUUGUGAGAGUUAUUAAUUAAGGAUAACUUAAGGUGGCAACUUUAAUACACAUCUCGGUGGAGUGGUUGCGGGUACCUGGAGAAUCCAGUGUUGUCCUAGGAGAUCCCGGAGUACCUGUGUGAUCAUCCUAUGGAAUGCCACCCAUGCUCAAAGGGAUCAUCUAAUUAUUCAUGUCUAGAAACUUCCGUGUGCAGCCACAAGCCAUUAUGGGCUCUGGCAUAGUUGAGUAAGUUGUGUGACCUCUUUCAGUGGUGGACUACCAGAUGUAGGGGAAAGUGGGUGUACCAGUCUACCCAGAGUAAAGAGUUAAUGCUUCAGAAAGACUGUGUCUCGAUCAUCCGAUCGUGGAGGUGGUCGAGUCUUAUGGGGAAAAGUGUGCAACCUCUGUAGAGUGUACAAACUAAUCAUGCUUAGCCGUGUCCCCGGUUAUGGACAUCUUGAGUAUCUAGAAGUGAAUUAUUUGUUGAUCUCAUCAUUCUCUUUACUGAAAAUUGUUGGGUUAAUAUUUAUUACUUGGUAAUUUUGGGAUUGAGUUGGAAGAACCUUCUCAAUAAUGACAUAAACUUGGUAGUAAAUAAAAUUUAUCCUUUGUUGUAGGGAAAAACCAGCUUUAUGCAAACAUUAAAACUUAGAGCCUCCACCAGCCAAAUAUGAAUGUAGUGAUAGUUGUUGCUCGUUAUUGCCCUAUAGUGUGAUCUUGCCAGCAUAUUCCAUGUGCUGACCUACACGGCUGCAACGUCUCAUGUUGCAGAAUUUUCACACGAGGAUUAAGGUGCGAUAGGUCGUUGUCAUGCAAUCAGUUUUUCUGUGGAGUUGGAUGGACUCAUUAAUCUUCCAAGCUUUCGCGGUUAUUUUAUUUAGUUGGUCUCCAGCCAUAUUUAUGUAAUAAGUACUCUUUGUGACACCCUCGAUGUAAUAAGUGUGUGAUUGAACUCUGUUAUAAAUCCUCGAGUACUGUGUGUGUCAGCAUGCCGAUCCAGGGAUGACAAUUAAGCACAAAGACUUCGAUCCAUUGGGAUCGGGUCGCUACAGGAUGGUAUCAGAGCACACGCUUACUGUAGGACGCGAACACUAGGAAAAAGCCAUAGGAUACUCUUCUCUACUCAUUUCUAAUCCUUAUCUAUUUCUACACUAUAGAUGCCGGACCCCAGGAACAAGUUAACUUAGCCUGAUGACGACACCCCUUUCAAACGACACUUGAAGGAAGUCACGAGGUACCUGAACAUUGGCAUACCAAGCUUCACCGGAACCUUCAAUGUAAAUUUACCAAAAGAGGAGCGUUGGAAGAUCCAAGUUUGUGUUCUUGGAAGGACUUUCGCACCAACUAUCGAGCCCAUCGAGUUUUCCUUUGAUGCACUAACCUGGAGCUUAGGAAAGAGCAUGGCCUCCAUUAUGAGACACUCGAUGUAAUAAGUGUGUGAUUGAACUCUGUUAUAAAUCCUCGAGUACUGUGUGUGUCAUCAUACUGAUCCAUGGAUGACAAUUAAGCACAAAGACUUCUAUCAAUUAGGAUCGGGUCGCUACAACCACGCACCAAACCUGGCGCACCCUGGUGUCUUGUAGGCACCAGGCUUCCCCCCUCUUAUAGUUAUUUUCUCCAAUAUUUAUUAUAUAUUCCAAAAUAAUUCUUUGUAAAAUUUCAGGUCAUUUAGAGAUGUGCAGAAUAGGUAUCUCUGACGUAGCUUUUUCAGGUCUAGGAUUCCAGCUGCCGGUAUUCUUCCUGUUUGUGUAAACCUUGCAUAAUAUGAGAGAAGAUGCAUUAGAAUUACUCCAUAAAGCAUUAUUAUGCAUAAAAACAUUAUAAAUAAAUAGUAGUAAAACAUGAUGCAAAAUGUACGUAUCAAUCUACAAGUCCAUAGCUAGUAGCUAGGUGGCUUCUUCUCUUUCUUUGGUCUUCAAUAAAAUGUUCUCCUUGUUGUUCUUGAAGUUUUAUUUGAUGUAAUCUUCUUUUCCGGUGCGUUUGUUGAGAUCCGAUGAAUUGUGGAUUUAUGAUCAGAUUAUCUAUGAAUAUUAUUUGAGUCUUCUCUGAACCCCUUUUUUCAUGAUUAAGAUAGCUUUGUAUUUCUCUCUGAUCUAUUGAUUUGGUUUGUCCAACUAGAUUGAUCUAUCUUGCAAUGGGAGAAGUGCUUUGUGAUGGGUUCAAUCUUGUGGUGUCCUCACCCAGUGAUAGUAGGGGAGCGAGGCAUGUAUUUGUCUUGUUGCCAGUAAGGAUAAAAAGAUGGGGGGUUUACCAUAUUGAUUGGAUUUAUCCCUCUACAUCAUGUCAUGUUGCUUAAGGGGUUACUCCGUUCUUGUGAACAUAACAUACUAGAUGCAUGCAGGAUAGCUGUGGAUGUGUUGAGUAAUAGUAGUAGAUGUAGGCAGGAGUCGAUCUACUUGUCUUGGACGUGAUGCCUAUAUUCAUGAUCAUGGCCUUAGAUAUCUUCAUAACUUUGCGCUUUUCUAUCAAUUGCUCAAUUGUGAAAACUAUGGCCCCUAGAUCUAUUUCUCAUCACAUAUUUUCAUAUCUAUAAAACCAAAAAUAUGAAAAUACCUUGUUGCAAUUUAUUUACCUUUACUUGAUUUUGCCUAUUUAUUUAUCUUUUAUACCUAUCUCUAUCCGAUCCCAUCCUUGCAAUUAAUCAUGAAGGGAUUGACAACUCCUUUUUCGCGUUGGGUGCAAGUAUUUGUUUGUUUGUGUAGGUGCAACUAUUGGAGACUUGCAUCUACCUCCUACUGAAUUGAUACCGUGGUUCUUAACUGAGGGAAAUACUUAUCUCUACUUUGUUGCAUCACCCUUUCCGCGUCAAGGGAAAAACCAACGCAAGCUCAAGAAGUAGCAGGAAGAAUUUUAGGCCCGUUGCCGAGGAGGUUCUACAUCAAGCCUAUCAAGUACGUAUCAUAAACUCUCAUCUCUUGCACUUACAUUAUUUGCCAUUUGCCUCUCGUUUCCUCUCCCCCACUUCUAAAAUGUUUUUAGAAAACCACAAAAAUAUUUGCAUUUUUAUUCGCCUUCUUUUUGUUUGCUUGUGUGCUAGAUUGUUUGAUUUGUCAAGAUGUCUCAAGAAAAUACCAAGUUGUGUGACUUUUCUAACACUAAUAAUAAUGAUUUUAUUAGUACUCUGAUUGAUCCCACCACUAGUGCGGAAUCUUAUGAAAUUAAUGCCGCUUUGUUGAAUCUUGUUAUGAAAGAACAAUUUUCCGGUAGUCCUAAUGAAGAUGUUGCAUCCCAUCUAAAUACUUUCGUUGAGUUGUGUGAUAUGCAAAAGAAAAAAGAUGUGGAUAAUGAUAUUUCUAAAUCCAAGGUAUUUCCAUUCUCACUACGAGAUCCUUCUAAAACUUGGUUUUCAUCUUUGCCUAAAAAUAGUAUUGAUUCAUGUAGUAAGUGUAAAGAUGCUUUUAUUUCCAUGUAUUUUCCUCCCGCUAAAAUCAUCGCCCUUAGGAAUGAUAUAAUGAAUUUUAAGCAACUAGAUCAUGAACAUGUUGCACAAUCUUGGGAGAGGAUGAAGUUGAUGAUAAGAAAUUGCCCUACUCACCGUUAUGUUUAUGGAUGAUCAUACAAAUUUUUUAUGUCGGAUUGAAUUUUGCAUCUAGAAAUCUUUUAGAUUCCGCCGCGGGUGGUACUUUUAUGGAAAUCACAUUAGGAGAAGCUAUUAAACUCCUAGAUAAUAUUAUGGAAAAUUAUUCUCAAUGGCUUACCGAAAGAUCGUCUACUAGUAAAAAAGUGCAUGCCAUUGAAGAAAUUAAUAAUUUGAGUGGAAAGAUGGAUGAACUUAUGAAAUUGAUUGCUAGCAAGAGUGCUCCUAUAGAUCCCAAUUAUAUGCCUUUGUCUACUUUGAAUGAGAAUAAUAAUGAAUCUAUGAAUGUGAAUUUUGUUGGUAGGAACAAUUUUGGUAAUAUCGCUCAUAGAGGCAAUUUCAACCCUAGGCCUUUUCCUAGUAAUUCCUCUAAUAAUUAUGAUAAUUCAUACAACAAUUCUUAUGGAAAUUAUAAUAAGAUACCUUCUGAUCUUGAGAACAAUAUUAUAUAAUUUAUUAAUUCUCAAAAGUUUUUCAAUGCUAUGGUAGAAGAAAAAUUGCUUAAGAUUGAUGAUUUGGCUAGAAACUUUGACAGAAUUUCUCAUGAGAUUGAUUUUUUAAAGAUUAGAUCUAUGCCACCCAAGCUUGAUAUUAAUGAGUAUAUAAAAUAUAUUAAAAUUUAUAUGAAUGAAAGGAGUGACAGAACCGCUAGGAUGCAUGCUAAGAGCGAUUGGCUUGAAAAAGCUUGUUCUUCUAGUUUUCGUGAUAAUAAUGAUGAAGAUCUUAAAGUGAUUGGUGUGACUCCUAUUGAAUAUAUGUUUGAUAAUAUAAAACUUGAUAAAGAAGGGACUGGAGAUGAGUCAACUUUAGCUAGAAGGCGUCCCAAUAAUUUGGAUGGUGAUGAUCUUAAUGAAAAAAAUUGAUAAAAGUGGGAUUGGCGAGGUCAAAACUUUAGGUAGCGAUGAACCCACUCUUGGAUUUCAUGGAAUUUAAUUAUGAUAAUUGUUCUUCAAUAGAUUGUAUUUCCUUGUUGCCAUCCAUGCUUAUUUCACCUCAUGUUAUAAUCAAAAUAAAUCUUUUACUAAACAUAUCGUUGAUGCUAUGAUGAAAUCUUUUGAAGAAAAACUUGAGUACGAAGUUUCAAUCUCUAGAAAGCUUAAUGAUGAAUGGGAACUUACUAUUAAAAUUGAGAUUAAAGAUUAUGAAUGCAAUGCUUUGUGUGAUUUGGGUGUUAGCGUUUCCACUAUUCCAAAAACUUUAUGUGAUAUGCUAGGUUUCCGAAAACUUGAUGGUUUUCUUUGAAUUUGCACUUGGCGGAUUGCACUAUUAGGAAACCUAUGGGAAGGAUUAAUCAUGUUCCUAUUGUUGCAAAUAGGAAUUCUAUGCCCGUAGAUUUUGUUGUGCUUGAUAUAGAUUGCAAUCCUACAUGCCCUAUUAUUCUUGGUAUACCUUUCCAUAGAACGAUUGGUGCAAUUAUUGGUAUGAAAGAAGGAAAUGUUAGAUUUCAAUUUCUGUUAAGGAAGGGCAUGGAACACUUUACAAGAAAGAAAAUUAAGUUGUCAUAUGAAUCUAUUAUGGGGGCCACUUAUGGAUUGCAUACCAAAGAUGACAAUACCUAGAUUUAUGCAUUAUGCCUGGCUAGGGGCGUAAAACAACAUCGCUUGUUGGGAGGCAACCAAAUUUUAUUUUUUUAGUUUUUUGUUUUUGCUUAUGUUUUUCAAUAAAUACACAUUAUUACUUCUGUGAUAAUUGUGUUCUACUAUUUUAGUUAGUGUUUGAGCCAAGUAAGACGUAUGGGAUACUUUGGUAUAUCGUUGAUUUGAUUUUGCUGGAAAACAGAAACUUUUGCGGCCAGUAGUAGAAUUAUUCAAAAUCACUGGAACGUGGAAAAAUCUGAAUUUUUUACACAAGAUUGAUAUAUGAAUUGCCUCUAUUUUCCUAAUGUUUCAAAUUUUUUGGAGUUACAAAAGUAUGACUAUAAUUAUGCUCUUUACAGACUAUUCUUUUUUUGAUAGAUUAUGUUUUCACUAUGUUGUUUGCUUAUUUUGAUGAAUAUAUGGGUAGUAUCAGGGGGUAUGAACCAUGGAGAAGUUAGAAUACAGUAAAUAUUAUGCAAAUAUGAAAUUGGAAUGAUUUCACAACAGCCCUAAAGGUGGAGAUUUGUUUUAUCAUACUAACGGAUCUCACGAGCUUUUUUGUUGAGUUUUGUGUCGUGAAGUUUUCAAGUUUUGGGUAAAGAUUUAAUGGAUACGGAAUAAGGAGUGGAAAUAGCCUAAGCUUGGGGAUGCCCAAGGCACGUCAAGGUAAUAUUCAAUGACAACCAAGAAUCUAAGCUUGGGGAUGCCCCGGAUGGCAUCCCCUCUUUUGUCUUCAAUCCAUCAGUAAAUUUACUUAAGGCUAUAUUUUUAUUCACCACAUGAUAUGUGUUUUUCUUGGAGCAUCUUGUAUUAUAUGAGUCUUUGCCUUUUAGUUUGACACAAUCAUCCUUGUUGUACACACCGUUUGAGAGGGACACACUUUAAUCAUGAAUUUAUUAGAAUACUCCAUGUGCUUCACUUAUAUCUUUUGAGCUAGGCAGUUGCUCUAGUGCUUCACUUACAUCUUUUUAGAGCACGGUGGUGGUUUUAUUUUGUAGAAAUUUAUGAACUCUAAUGCUUCACUUAUAUUAUUUGAGAGUCUUGAAAAUAGUAUGGCAAUUUGCUUAGGUCAUGAAUUUAGUCCUAAUAUGAUGGGUAUCCAAGAGUGAUAUAAUAAAAACUUUCAUGAAGAGCAUUGAAUAUAUGAGAAGUUUGAUUCCUUUCAUUUGUUUUGAGAUAUAAAUAUGGUGAUAUUAGAGUCAUGCUAGAGAGUAAUUGUGGAUUACUAAGAGUAUUUGUGUUAAGGUUUGUGUUUCCUGAAGCAUGCACGUAUGGUCUCCCAUUAUGCGAUGAAGUUAGAGCAUGAUUUAUUUUUUAUUGUCUUCCUUAUGGGUGGUGGUCAGGGCGAGCGAUGGUCUUUUCCUACCAAUAUACCCCUAAGAGCAUGUAUAUUAGUACUUUGCUUCGAUGGCUAAUAAUGUUUUUGCAAUAAGUAUGUGAGUUCAUUAUGACUAAUGUUGAGUUCAUGGAUUAUACGCACUCUCACCCUUCCACCAUUGCUAGCCUCUCUAGUACCGCGCAACUUUCGCCGGUGCAUUAAAACCACCAUAUACCUUCCUCAAAACAGACACCAUACGUACCUAUUAUGGCAUUUCCAUAGUCAUUCUGAGAUAUAUUGACAUGCAACUUCCACCGUUUCAUUUAUCAGGACCACCAUCAUUGUCAUAUUGCUUUGCAUGAUCAUGUAGUUGGCAUAGUAUUUGUGGCUUGGCCACCAUUCUUAUUUUUAUACAUGUCAUGCUAGAUAAUUACACAUCCCAGUACACUACUGUAGGCAUUCAUAUAGAUGCAUACACUUGUUCUAGCAUCAAGUUGUAAUUCUUGAGUUGUAAGUAAAUAAAAGUGUGAUGGUCAUCAUUAUUAGAGCAUUGUCCCAUGUGAGGAAAGGAUGAUGUAAGCUAUGUUUCCCUCACAAGUUGGGAUGAGACUCUAGACAUAAAAUAAAAAAGAGGGCGAAGAGCCCAAAAUGAAAAAAAAGAGGCCAAAGAGCCCAAAAGAAAAAAAGGAAAUAAAAAAGAGAGAAGGGACAAUGUUCCUAUCCUUUCCCACAAUUGUGUGCUUCAAAGUAGCACCAUGUUCUUCAUGAUAGAGAGUCUCCUAUUUUAUCACUUCCAUUUAAUAGUGGGAAUUUUGCAUUAUAGAACUUGGUUGUAUAUUCCAAUGAUGGGCUUCUUCAAAUUUCCCUAGGUCUUCAUGAGCAAGCAAGUUGGAUGCACACCCACUUAGUUUUCUUUUGAGCUUUCAUACACUUAUAGCUCUAGUGCAUCUGUUGCAUGGAAAUCCCUAAUCACUUGCAUCGAUAUCAAUUGAUGGGCAUCUCUAUAGCCCAUUAAUUUGCCUAGUUGAUGUGAGACUUUCUCCCUUUCUGUCUUCUCCUCACAACCUCCACCACAUUCUAUUCCACCUAUAGUGCUAUGUCCAUGGCUCAUGCACAUGUAUUGCGUGAAAGUUGAUAAAGCUUAUGGUGAACAUUAAAACUAUGAAAUAAUUGCUUGGCUUGUCAUCGGGGUUGUGCAUGAUAAAUACUUUCUGUGACAAAGACAGAGGAUGACAAGAUUAUAUGAUUUUGUAGGGAUAUCUUUCUUUAGCCAUGAUAUUUUGAGAAGACAAGAUUGCUUUAUUAGUAUGCUUGACAUUAUUGUUUCAAUGUCAAUAUUAAACUUUUUUUUUGAAUCUUACGGAUCUGAAUAUUCAUGCCACCAUAAGCAAAAGUUACAUUCAUAAACAUGUAAGGUAGCAUUCCAGAUCAAAAAUUCUGUUUUUAUCAUUUACCUACUUAAGGACGAGCGGGUAUUAACCUUGGGGAUUCUUGAUACGUCUCCAACGUAUCUCUAAUUUUUUAUUGUUCCAUGCUAUUAUAUUAUCUAUUUUGGAUUUUUUAUAUGCAUUAAUAUGCUAUUUUAUAUCAUUUUUGGGACUAACCUAUUAACCUAGUGCCUAGUGCCAGUUUUUGUUUGUUCCUUGUUUUUGUCUUUUACAAAAAAUCAAUACCAAACGCAGGCCAAAUGGAACGAAACUUAUUGAGGAUUUUUCUUGGCCCAGAAGGCAACCACGAAGCUUUGGGAGGAGGCUAAGAGAGCCACUAGUUGGCCACAAGAUCACAGGGGGCGCGCCCUACAAGCUUGUGGGCCCCUCCCAUCUUCCCUCCCUAAUUCCAACUCUAUAAAUACCCAAAUAUUACCCAUAUACCAAAGGGCACACCAAAAUUACUUUUUCUCCGCAACAAGCUUCUAUUCUCGUGAGAUCCCAUCUUGGGGCAUUUUCCUAUACUCUGUGGGAGGGGGAUUCGAUCAUGGCGGGCCUCUACACCAACCUAGUUGCACUAGCGAUGAUGUGUGAGUAGUUUACCAUAGACCUACGGGUCCAUAGCCAAUCGCUAGAUGGAUUCCUCUCUCUCUUUGAUCUUAAAUACAAUGUUCUCCUCCAUUUCUUGGAGUUCUAUUCAAUGUAAUCUUCUUUUGUGGUGCGUUUUGUUGAGAUUCGAUGAAUUUUGGAUUUUUGAUCAGAUUAUCUAUGAGUAUUAUUUGAGUCUUCUCUCAACUCUUUUAUGCAUCAUUAAAAUAGCUUUGUAUUUCUCUCCGAUCUAUUGAUUUGGUUUGGCCAACUAUAUUGAUCUAUCUUGCAAUGGGAGAGGUGCUUUGUGAUGGGUUCAAUCUUGCAGUGUCCUCACUAGUGGCAGCAGGGGUAGCAAGACACGUAUUUGUAUUGUUGCCAUUAAGGAUGAAAAUAUGAGGGUUUUACCAUAUUUAUUGGAUCUAUCCCUCUACAUCAUGUCAUCUUGGUUAAGGCGUUACUCCAUUCUUGUUAACUUAAUAGACUAGAUGCAUGCUGGAUAGCAGUCGAUGUGUGGAGUAGUAGUGGUAGAUGUAGGCAGGAGUCGGUCCACUUGUCACGGACAUGAUGCCUACAUUCAUGAUCAUUGCCUUAGAUACCAUCAUAACUUUGCACUUUUCUAUCAAUUACUCAACAGUAAUUUGUUUACCCACCAUAUGCUUUCUUCAAGAAAGAAGCCUCUAGUGAAAAAUAUGGCCCACGGGUGUAAUGCCCCGUUUUCAUUUGCUAUGUAUUUGUUCCUGAAGAAUGUUUAAAUAGAAGAAUAAGACAGAGUUAGUAAUUAUUAAAGUGAUGUAAGAAUAGGAAAAGGAAAUAAGAGACACACACACACGAAGAGAGAGAGACAGAGAGAGUGCAUGUGAUAUAAAAUCGGCGUGGCAAAAAGAAAAUAAAAGAGAGGGUGUGUGUGCUAGUAUUUGAACCAUGGUCCUCUAAAUAUGUGAAUAAUUUAGAAACCAGUUGCUCUGGGUGCUGCUUCCGAUACUAUACCAGGAAACAUAUUACUUAGCUCCUCUGAAACAAGAGGAAAGAAAUUCUACAUGGGUCCAAGGCCCGGUCGAGCUCGGCCUGAUGGUCAGUCCCUCACUGCGCCGCUAUAACCUGCACCCAAAUCGCCUUUCUCUUCUUUUCCCCUCACCAAAAUCUUCCUCUCAUCUUAUCCAGUUAAGGCCGCAGCCUUCAGGUCGCUACCACUGUUGUGGGUUGCCAUCCCCAUGAGGUUGCUGUUGUUCCGACGCGUCUACUCGUCAAGGUCGUUGCCGGGUAGUUGUGGCUGCUGGGAAUUGUUGAUGCCAGUGGUACGUCCUAGUUUUCCUUCUCUAUGGUGAUGUCUAGGUAAGACUUAGGGAUUUGGGGCAGCAGCUCAUAGAUUGGAGUUAGAUUUUAGAACUAGAGAUGGAUUCCUGAAACACUUUGCAAAUUCGUUGGUGAGCCCAGUGCUUAUACUUAUUUGGUUUUGCUUCCAGGUCAGACCUCCUCUAUGUUAGUUCCUUUGCUUAGCCAAAUAAGUUAUGGAAGAUAGCCCAUCCAUGAUGUUGUGAGAUGUGAACUGCCUUCUAGCAGAAAAACGAGAGUGUUGGGCAUCUUUGACUGUAAACUGAAUCUGGUUCACUUAAAACCGCACUGACAAAUCUGGACAGCCAGCUUCUAGGUGGAAAUCGAGUUAGUUAUGCUCACAAUUUCGAGUAGGCCUCUACAUAUGAGUUGUAAAGCAUGUUCCAAGGUUUCCGUGGAGUACUUACUUGCUUCAUUUGGAUGUACGGUUUGAGAGCAGUCGUCUAUUUGGUUACUGUCCAGAAACACAGUUUCAUGGGUACAAUAUUUUCAUAUGGAAGAUUAGGCCCUGUUGGAGGUGGACUUAAAAUAAAGUUACAACAUGAAAUUUGUAGAGAAUAUUCUGCAGAUUCUUAAACAUAUAUUAUUUGUUAGAUUCCGUGUUAUACACUAAAUCCUAUGAAAUUAUUAAAAUGAUUGUACCAUGUCGGACAAAAUUUUAUGUUUGGACUUGGGUGAAUGUAAAUAGACUUAUACUCUCAGAUUUUAUCGUCGUUGAUGAUGUGAGGAGUUAUAAUGUGAUAAAGUAUAUAUGAUCUGGGGUCUUGUGUGUAGGAGCGAUGCAAAAUUAUAUAUGCUUAUGUAAUCAGACCAUGCUUUACUGUGGCUGUGAUAUAUGCUUCAUGACAAGUGGGGGUACUUCGGAUUCGGAACUGUUUGCCUCACAAUUUGUGCCCCGCGGUUGAGGCAAGUUCAUGAUGGGAUAAUGACUUGCAUAAUCCCUACACUCUAUUUUAUUUAUGAUAUUUGUCCAUGUUAAUGAUGUUUAUUGUGAUGGAGGUGACGAUGACAAAGACAUGUUGAUUCAAGUACUUUGCUUGCAUUUGCAUAUUUGCAUUCAUGAUGAUAGAGAAAGAAAGAGUACCCUACCUUGGGUAGGCACAUUGAGACCUCCAUUGUUGGGUUGUGUCCUACUUUGGAGGAAACCUCCACGCGCUGGAGUGAGUGGAAGUCGACGGGCGUCCACUCAAGCAAUACCGGUAUACGCAAUGAAAUGAGAUGAGCAUGUAGGCAUGUAGGACACCAAUACAUGCGUUCAGUGUUGUUGAGUGUAUGGUGUUAACAUAGAUUUAGUUCUUUCUUAUGAGUAUUGUUUAUUAUUCCUUUAUGAACCUGUUGAGUCCUUGUACUCACCCUUGUUGCUUACAUGUUUUUAGGUAAACCAUGAAGACACCAUACAUGAGAGUCGUGGGGUAGCAGUAUCACCAUCUUCACUACACGAAUAUCUCAUAUGUUAACUUCUAGCACCGUGCUUUGAGACCUUGUAUGGCUUAUACCUUACUUCACAUGGUGGAUUGUCUUGGAAUUCUAGAUUUACACUUUCGCUCUGUAUGGCUUAACUAAUUUCCACUAAGACUUACAUGAUCGCCUAGAGUUUCAAAGUGGCACCUGGUUAAUGUUGGUAUUGUAGCUUUGCGCUUUAUGCUUGUGUUUGGUUCCUUUUCAUACAUAAUCAUAUGAUCUAUGUGUCAUGGAUGUCCUUAGAUACACAGAAAGCUUUGUCGAAAUUUCCUUUUAGGGCAUGUUUCCUAUCCAAGGUCUUAUGUGGUAAUAUUCCAAGCGCCUUGUCAGCUUGGGGUGUUACAGUUGGUAUCAGAGCAGGCUUUAGGUCCUAGUGUAUCUAUAUAGGAUAAUUGCAUAACUUAGUUAUGAAUUUAGGAUUGAUUAAAAAAUUUACUAUAGGAUGAACAACAUUAGAACUGACACACUGGUGCACAAUAGGAUGGAUUGGGCCAUGCAUUGCAUUAUGCUUAAGUUAAUGUUUUUCUUUAAUUUUGGGAUACUUAUGUCGGCAUAUGAUCAUGACUUUUGCGUUGAUGAUUGACUAUGCUACUUAUAGCUAUGUGCUAUCUCUUGAGCUUGGGUUGGUUUUUCCCUUGAAGACGAAAGGGCGAGGCAGCAAAGUAGUGUAAGUAUUUCCCUUAGUUUUGAGAACUAAGGUAUCAAUCCAGUAGAAGACAACGCGACAAGCCACCAAAUACCAGCACAAACAAACACCAACUUGCAACCAACACGACAAAGGGGUUUUCAAUCCCUUCACGGUUAUUCGCAAAGUGAGAUCUGAUAGAGAUGGAUAAACGGUAAAGUAAUAUUUUUGGUAUUUUUAGUUUGUGGAACGGAAAGUAAAGAUUGCAAAAGAAAGUAAAUAGGAAACUAGAAUUGUAGAUUGGAAACUUAUAUGAUGGAAAAUAGACCCGGGGGCCAUAGGUUUCACUAGAGGCUUCUCUCAAGAAAGGAAUUAUUACGGCCGGUGAACAAAUUACAGCCGAGCAGUUGAUAGAAAAGCGCAAAGUUCUGACGAUAUCUAAGGCAAUGAUGAUGAAUAUAGGCAUCACGUCCGUGUCAAGUAGACCGAAACGAUUCUGCAUCUACUACUAUUACUCCACACAUCGACCGACUCCUGCCUGCAUCUAGAGUAUUAAGUUCAUAAGAAUAGAGUAACGCAUUAAGUAAGAUGACAUGAUGUAGCGGGAUUAACUCAAGCAAUAUGAUGAAAAUACCAUCUUGUUAUCCUCAAUGACAACAAUACUAUACGUGCCUUGCUACCCCUACUGUCACUACGAAAGGACACCGCAAGAUUGAACCCAAAGCUAAGCACUUCUCCCAUCGCAAGGAAAACCAAUCUAGUUGGCCAAACCAAAUCGAUAGUUCGAAGAGACUUUCAAAGAUAUCAAAUCAUGCAUAAAAGAUUUCAGAGGACAUUCAAAUAAUAUUCAAAGAUAAGCUGAUCAUAAAUUCAGAAUUCAUCGGAUCACGGCAAACACGCCGCAAAAGACUAUUACAUAGAAUAGAUCUCCAAGAAUAUUGAGGAGAACAUGGUAUUGAGAAUCAAAGAGAGAGAAAAAGCCAUCUAGCUACUAGCUAUGGACCCGUAGGUCUAUGGUAAACUACUCAUGCUUCAUCGGAGAGGUAAUGGUGUUGAUGUAGAAGCCCUCCGUGACCAAAUCCCCUUCUGGCAGGAUGGGGGAAAAGGCCCCAAAAUUGGAUCUCACGGGUACAGAAGGUCGCGGCAAUGGAAAAAUGGUUUUGUGGCUCUCCUGGAAGUUUUCAGGGUAUAAGAGUAUACAUAGGAGGAAGAUCUAGGUCAGAAGGCCACCGAGGGACCCACAAGGUUGGGGUGCGCGCCCCAACCCCUAGGUGCGCGCUCCACCCUUGUGGCCGCCUCGUGGCUCUUCCGACUUGCACUCAAAGUCUCUUGGGUGUCUUCUGGUCCAAGAAAGAUCAUUGCGAAGCUUUUAUUCCGUUUGGACUCCGUCUAGUAUUCCUUUUACGCGAAACUCUAAAAUAAGGAAAAAACAGAAACUGGCACUAGCAAUGGCCUCUAGGUUAAUAGGUUAGUCCCAAAAAUCAUAUAAAAUAGCAUGUUAAUGCAUAUAAAACAUCCAAAACAGAUAAUAUAAUAGCACGGAACAAUCAAAAAUUAUAGAUACGUUGGAGAUGUAUCCAGCAUCCCCAAGCUUAAUUCCCGCUCGUCCUCGAGUAGGUAAAUGAUAAAAACACAUUUUUUGAUGUGGAAUGCUACCUAACAUAUUUAUCGAUGUAAUUCUAUUUAUUGUGGCAUGAAUGUUCAGAUCUGUAAGAUUCAAAACAAAAGUUUAAUAUUGACAAAAAAAUAAUACUUCAAGCAUACUAACAAAUAAUUAUGUCUUCUCGAAAUAACAUGGCCAAAGAAAGCUUAUCCCUACAAAAUCAUUGAUGACCCACAAGUAUAGGGGAUCUAUCGUAAUCCUUUCGAUAAGUAAGAGUGUCGAACCCAACGAGGAGCAGAAGGACAUGAUAAGUGGUUUCCAGCAAGGUAUUCUCUGCAAGUACUGAAAUAAGUGGUAACAAAUAGUUUUGUGAUAGGAUAAUUUGUAACGAGCAACAAGUAACAAAAGUAAAUAAAGUGCAGCAAGGUGGCCCAAUCCUUUUGUAGCAAAGGACAAGCCUAGACAAACUCUAAUAUGAUGUAAAGCGCUCCCGAGGACACAUGGGAAUAUCGUCAAGCUAGUUUUCAUCACGCUCAUAUGAUUCGCGUCCGGUACUUUGAUAAUUUGGUAUGUGGGUGGACCGGUGCUUGGGUGCUGCCCUUACUUGGAAAAACAUACCACUUAUGAUUAACCUCUAUUGCAAGCAUCCGCAAAUACAACAAAAGUAUUAAGGUAAACCCGCCUUCUGUGCUAGAGAUAAGCCAAACCUAUGUGCUAAUGCUUCCGCUGUUAGGACAUCAGCGCAACAAUCAAUCUUCCAAUUUCCACCUACAAUAAAGUUUCCUUUGUCAUCCCUGAGGACAGCCCCCGCUGUGCCCUUUAGUAGAUCGUGAUUGAAGGCAGCAUCCACAUUCAAUUUAACGACGCCCCUAGGAGGUCAACUCCACCCUCCAAUCUUCCUAUUAGCAUUAGGGGAAUGGGCAUUUACAAAAUUUGUCGUCAUAGCACGAAUUCCCAUCGAGGUUCGACAUACCUCUUGAGACUUUCCCCCGUGAACCAGUUUACGUCUAUUCCACCAUAAAUACCACGCGGUUACAGCAAUCAGCUCUCGUGCGUUCCGUGAAUCCGACAAAGAAAACUCUUGUUGUGGUAUGAGGAAUAAUGAUUCAAGGACUGCCUCCCCUGCAUGAUCAACCGCACAAGCUUUUUUAACCGCUCCAUACAUCCCCAAAUUUUCCCACACUUCUUUUGCCUUCUGACACAGGAACAACACAUGCUUUGUAUCCUCUAGCCCAUUUCAACAUGAUGGGCAAUUGGGCAAAAAAUUUAUGUGUCUAUUGGCUAGGGUAAUAUGACACGGUAGUGUCCCAUGCAAUGUGUGCCAGAUAAAAAAAUCAGCUUCGCCGGACAAGCUAAUUUCCAAAUCUUGCCCCAAAUAGGAUUGACCCUACUUCUACCCAUUCCAUUUGUGUAUUCUAGUUUCUUUCCAUGUUGUUUAUUCCACUCCUCCAGAUAAGCAGAUAGUAUAGUGAACAAACCGUUUUUAGUAUAGCUCCAAGCAAUGAAGUCCUGCAUAUUAUUCAUAGGGAGAGGGAUCGCCAGGACUCUUCAAGCAUCAAUUGGCCAUAGUGUUUGUCUCACCAAAUCUUCAUCCCAACCAUUUGUGGUUGGGUCAAUAAGAUUAGACACUUUCGUCAGAAAUAUCCCUCGUCUAGGAGUAAUAAUUCUCCUAUUCGCACAAUUUGGGAUCCAAGCGUCUGUCCAAAUAUUAAUUUUUUUCUUGGUUCCAACUCUCUAUAUAUAACCAUUUCUGAGAGAGUCAACUCCCGCCGUAAUACUUUUCCAAGUAAAGGAGGAACCCUUUUUAAAUUUUGCGCUCAUCAGAUCACCCUCUGGGUAAUACUUGGCUCUUAGGAUUGUGGCACAUAACGAAUCAGGAUUAUGUAGGAGACGCCACACUUGUUUAGCUAACAAUGCGAGAUUAAAGCAGUGUAUAUCACGAAAUCCCAUCCCUCCUUGAUCUUUGGGAACACAUAUCUUCCACCAUGCCAUCCAAUGCAUCCUUUUAUGGUUGUCGUCGUCGCCCCACCAAAAUUGCGACAUCACGUCAAUGAUUUCUUUACAAUUUUUUCAGGAAUUUUAAAGACGGGCAUGGCAUAAGUUGGGAUAGCUUGAACAACAGAUUUUAGCAAAAUUUCCUUUCCACCGCAGACAACAGUUUUUCUUUCCAUCCACUAAUCUUCAUAAUAAUUUGGUCAAUCAGGAACUGAAAGCAAUCACUUUUGUCCAUCCCCACAUGGGCUGGUAGACCCAAAUAUUUGUCAUUGAGUGCCUCAGUCAUAAUAUUCAGAGUAGUACAAAUUUGCACCUUUUCUUCCACUUUUGUUUUGGGGCUGAAAAAUAUGCUAGACUUUUCAACACUCACCAUUUGACCCUAGGCGACACAAUAAGAUGCAGAACUUCUCUCAAAGCCUUCGCAUUUGUAUCAUUAGCUUGCAUGAGGAUCAAUGAAUCAUCCGCAAAGAGUAAGUUGGAAAUAAAAGGGGCAUCUCUGCUAACUUUUAUGCCGAAAAUACUAGUUGUUUCUUCUGUGUUUGCUAAAAGAGCAGUGAGGCCCUCUGUGCACAACAAAAACAAAUAGGGAGAGAGUGGAUCCCCUUGCCUUAGUCCUCUAGUAGGUUUGAAACUAUCAGUAUCAUCGGCAUUAAACCGUACUCUAUAUUCCACUGAGGAUACACACUGCAUGAUUAAGUUCACCCAAUUCUCUUUAAAACCCAAUUUCAAUAGAACUCCUCUUAAAAAUUAAAAAAAAGACCAUUUCACUCGGUCAUAAGCUUUAUGCAUGUCUAGUUUAAUGGCACACAACCCUUCUUUACCUGCCCUUUUCAUUCUUAUUUUAUGAAAACGCUCAUAUGCUAGUAAAAUAUUAUCUAUGAUCAAUCUCCCAGGAACAAAAGCACUUUGAGUUGGGCUGAUAAUAUCUGAAAGAAUUACCUUUAAUCGUGCAGCAAUCAUUUUUGAAAUAACCUUAUACACCACAUUGCACAAACUGAUUAGUCUAAAUUGAAUAAUCUUUUCUGGAGAAUUAACCUUUGGGAUCAUGACAAUUGUAGUGUAAUUCCAUCCUGCCGGUAUAGAACAUGUAUUCAACGCCUUGAGGACUUCUUCUGUCAGAUAUUCUCCCAACAUCUGCGCAAAAAAAGAUCUUCUCCCAACAUAGACCAAAAUCUCUUAUAAAAGAUAGCAUGCAGACCAUCCGGACCCGGUGCUUUUAAAUCACCAAUAUCAAAUAAGGCCUUCCGAACUUCCUCCGCUGUGUAUGGAGCCGUAAGACCAGUAUUCAUUUCAUUCGUGACUUUCCUUUCUACAAGAGAUAGAACCUCCGGGUUUGGGUGAGAGACUUCUGACAUAAAUAGAUUUGAAAAAUACCCUCUAAUGCAAUCCUUCAUCUCCGACUCUUCCACCCACGCCCCAUUAUCUCCAAGCAAUAUUUUUAUCUGAUUUCUUUUCUUUCUGGAUGUUGCCGCAUUGUGGAAAAAAGAGCUGUUCCGGUCCCCGUGUAAUAGACAAUUUGCACGACCACGCUGAAUCCAGUAAAUCAGCUCUUGUUCCAACAAAUUUUCAAUAAGAAAAAUAAUCUCCUUUUGUCGUGCUUGGGAAUCCACAUUCAUAGGUCCCCUACGUAGCUUUUUCAAUUCUAUUUUAAGUUUACCUAUUCUCUUUUUCGGUCCGUUCAGAGUCUCGUGAUCCCAAUUCUGCAAAUCUGCAUGUACCACUCAUGUACGAUCAGCGAGCGUAGGCCCAAUGCCCAUUUUCUUUGCCUUUUCCCAUGUUGUACGCACAAUCUCAACGGGUGUCUCCUCUCUAAGCCAUCUAGCUUCAAAUUGUUUCACUCGUCCCCUUGGAGGUUUAGAAAUAUUGGCGUCAAAGUAUUCAGCAUCCAAGAUGAUGGGACGAUGAUCGGAAUGAACAUGUUCCUCAUUUAUAACCGCAGCUCGGGGGAAUACAUUCGCCCAUUCCACAUUGCAAACCGCCAUGUCAAGUCUCUCUCUAGUGUCGCCUGUCCUCCAAGUGAAAGGAUCACUAAUACAUCCCAUAUCGUCGAGGCCGCACUCUCCUAAACAAUUACGGAAAUAUCUCAUCAUUGCAUUCGGUUUCGCAUUGCCACCUUCUUUUUCCGACGAGAGUAAAAUUUCAUUAAAAUCUCCUAAAACCACCCACGGGUGCUUGCCCUUACUAUGUAGGUUUCAGAGCUUAUCCCAGGAUAAACUACGCUCACUCCAAACCGGAUGACCAUAAAAGCCCGUGAACCACCAAUGCACGGAAUCAUCAUUUAGAAAAAAGAAUAUCAAUAAAAUUAGGCGACUCAUAGUUCGAAACCACUUUAUUCAUCUUAUGAUAGAACAAAACUAGGCCACGGGCCCGACCAUCACUCCCCACUACAAUAAUUGAAUCAAAAGAUAAAGAAUGACAUAGCUCAUCGGCUUUACAUUUAUUGAAGUGCGACUUAGAGAGAAAAAUCAAAUCCGCCAUGAUACUCCCUGAUACGUCUCCAACGUAUCUAUAAUUUUUUAUUGUUCCAUGCUAUUAUAUUAUCAACCUUGGAUGUUUCAUAUGCAUUUAUAUGCUAUUUUAUCUGAUUUUUUGGGACUAACCUAUUAAGCUAGAGCGAGUGCCAGUUUCUAUUUUUUCCUUGUUUUUGAGUAUCACAGAAAAGGAAAACCAAACGGAGUCCAAUUGACCUGAAACUUCACAGAACUUAUUUUUGGACCAGAAGAAGGCCAUGGAGUAAAAGAGUUGGGCCAGAAGAGUUUCGGGCUGCCCACGAGGGUGGGGGCGCGCCCACCCCCUGGGCGUGCCUCCCUACCUCGUGGAUAGCCCGAAGACCCCCCCUGACUUGUUCUUCACGCAAAACCUCUUAUAUGUACUAAAACCUCCAGAACAUAACCUAGAUCGGGAGUUCCGCCGCCAGAAGCCUCCGUAGCCACCGAAAACCAAUCUAGACCCGUUUCGGCAUCCUGCCGGAGGGGGGAAUCCCUCUCCAGUGGCCAUCUUAAUCAUCCCGGCACUCUCCAUGACGAGGAGGGAGUAGUUCACCCUGGGGGCUGAGGGUAUGUACCAGUAGCUAUGUGUUUGAUCCCUCUCUCUCAUGUUCUUGAUUCGGAACAAUCUUGUUGUAUCGCGAGAUUUUCUAUUAUAGUUGGAUCUUAUGAUGUUUCUCCCCCUCUACUCUCUUGUGAUAAAUUGAGUUUUCCCUUUGAAGUUAUCUUAUCGAAUUGAGUCUUGAAGGAUUUGAGAACACUUGAUGUAUGUCUUGCAUGUGCUUCUCUGUGGUGACAAUGGGAUAUCACGUGAUUCACUUGAUGUAUGUUUUGGUGAUCAACUUGCGAGUUCCAUGACCUCGUGAACUUAUGCAUAGGGGUUGGCACACAUUUUCGUCUUGACUCUCUGGUAGAAAAUUUAGGGCACUCUUUGAAGUUCUUUGUGUUGGUUGAAUAGAUGAAUCUGAGAUUGUGUGAUGGAUAUCGUAUAAUCAUAUCCAUGGAUACUUGAGGUGACAUUGUAGUAUCUAGGUGACAUUAGGGUUUUGGUUGAUUUGUGUCUUAAGGUGUUAUUCUAAUACGAACUCUAGGAUAGAUUGAAUGGAAAGAAUAGCUUCGUGUUAUUUUACUACGGACUCUUGAAUAGAUUGAUCAGAAAGAAUAACUUUGAGGUGGUUUCAUACCCUACAAUAAUCUCUUCGUUUGUUCUCUGCUAUUAGUGACUUUGGAGUGACUCUUUGUUGCAUGUUGAGGGAUACUUAUAUGAUCCAACUAUGUUAUUAUUGUUGAGAUAACUUGCACUAGUGAAAGUAUGAACCCUAGGCCUUGUUUCAACGCAUUGCAAUACCGUUUUCGCUCACUUUUAUCAUUAGUUACCUUGUUGUUUUUAUAUUUUCAGAUUACAAAAACCUAUAUCUACCAUCCAUAUUGCACUUGUUGUUGGAAAUAUGCCCUAGAGGCAAUAAUAAAAUGGUUAUUAUUGUAUUUCCUUGUUCAUGAUAAUUGUCUAUUGUUCAUGCUAUAAUUGUAUUAACCGGAAACAGUAAUACAUGUGUGAAUACAUAGACCACAACAUGUCCCUAGUAAGCCUCUAGUUGACUAGCUCGUUGAUCAAUAGAUGGUCAUGGUUUCCUGACCAUGGACAUUGGAUGUCAUGUAUAACGAGAUCACAUCAUUAGGAUAAUGAUGUGAUGGACAAGACCCAAUCCUAAGCCUAGCACAAGAUCGUAUAGUUCGUCUGCUAAAGCUUUUCUAAUGUCAAGUAUCAUUUCCUUAGACCAUGAUAUUGUGCAACUCCCGGAUACCGUAGGAAUGCUUUGGGUGUACCAAACGCCACAAUGUAACCAGGUGGCUAUAAAGGUGCACUACGGGUAUCUCCGAAAGUGUUAGUUGGGUUGGCACAAAUCGAGACUGGGAUUUGUCACUCCGCGUAAAAGGAGAGGUAUCUUUGGGCCCACUAGGUAGGACAUCAUCAUAAUGUGCACAAUGUGACCAAGGAGUUGAUCAUGGGAUGAUGUGUUACGGAACGAGUAAAGAGACUUGCCGGUAACGAGAUUGAACAAGGUAUCGGGAUACCGACGAUCGAAUCUUGGGCAAGUACUAUACCGGUAGACAAAGGGAAUUGUAUACGGGAUUGACUGAAUCCUUGACAUCAUGGUUCAUCCGAUGAGAUCAUCGUGGAACAUGUGGGAGCCAACAUGGGUAUCCAGAUCCCGCUGUUGGUUAUUGACCAGAGAGAUGUCUCGGUCAUGUCUGCAUUAUUCCCGAGCCCGUAGGGUCUACACACUUAAGGUUCGAUGACUCUAGGGUUAUAGGGAAAGUAUGUACGCGGUUACUGAAUGUUGUUUGGAGUCCCGGAUGAUAUCCCGGACGUCACGAGGAGUUCCAGAAUGGUCCGGAGGUGAAGAUUGAUAUAUUGGACGAAGGGUUUUGGAGUCCGGAAGUGUUCCGGAGGUACCGGGUGAUGACCAGCAUGACCGAAAGGUGUUUCGGGAGCCCCGACAAGUGUUGGGGGGCUUCAUGGGCCAAGGCAAGGGGGCAAACCAGCCCACUAAGGGGCUGUGCGCCCCCCUCACCUAUUCCCACGUGACCAGGGGGUUUGGGGCGCCCCAUCUAGGGUUCCCACCUCCUGGCUUGGGGGCCAAGUCACCGAAGGGGGAGAUCCCAUCUGCCCUGGCCGCCGCCCCCCCUCCCUAGGGGAAACCCUAGGGCACCUCCCCUUGCCCUUGCCCCUAUAUAUAGUGGAGGUUUUGGGGCUGCAUAACACACUAGUCUCUCUCUCCCAAGGCGCAACCCUACCUCUCUCCCUCCUCGUCUCUCGUAGUGCUUGGCGAAGCCCUGCUGGAGUACCGCGCUCCUCCACCACCACCACGUCAUCGUGAUGUUGCUGAACGGAGUCUUCCCCAACCUCUCCCUCUCUCCUUGCUGGAUCAAGGCAUGGGAGACGUCACCGGGCUGCACGUGUGUUGAACACGGAGGCGCCGUUGUUCGGCGCUUAGUUCGGAAUAGACCGCGAUAUGAAUCGCUACGAGUACGACUACCUCAUCCGUGUUCUAGUAAUGCUUCCGCUUAGAGAUCUACAAGGGUAUGUAGAUGCACUCCCCUUCCCCUCGUUGCUAGAUUACUCCAUAGAUUGAUCUUGGCGAUGCGUAGAAAAUUUUAAAUUUCUGCUACGACCCCCAACAUGUAUGACUUAUUUUAUUUGUAGAGUUGUGUUGUGAUAUCUUCCCGCGAGUCCCUGAUCUCGAUCGUACACGUUUGCGUGUAUGAUUAGUGUACGAUUGAAUCAGGGGCGUCACAAGUUGGUAUUAGAGCCGACUGCCUGUAGGAAUCCCCCUUCCACACUCCUUGGCCGAAGUCGAGUCUAGACAUUGCAAAACUUUUACUAACAUGGCAGUGUGUCUUAUGGGCUCAUGUCACCAUUGGGUGUUAUUAGGAUCUUUUACUCCUCGAUCUUUACUCCGGGAUUCUGAUCUCUCUUCUAUUCGGGUUAAAAGAUUUUGCUAACUCUAACUCUAUGUUCUUGUAAAUACUUUCUCUCGGAGAACCCCUCACUCCAGAUGGUCGCCUGUUGCACCAGAAGAUUCCGAAGAUACUCUUUGAUGUUAUCCUGAGAACUUGUGCUCAUUGCAUUUGCAAUUCCCUUCCACCGUCAAUCCCUAUAGAUAACUACAUGCCCUUGCCAUUCUUACAUUAGUCCCUAGUUGCUCUUGUUAUUACAAGAUACCCCGAGAUGCUCAUUGUUGUUCCGAGAAUCCUUGUGCCUACUGCCUUGCAGUUUCUUGUCACCUGAAUACUCCUACAAAUUAAUCCUCACACACACACCAAGGAUUUGUUUCUCCUUAGUUCAUGUGUUUCACCAAAGUCUUCGAAAUACUAUUUGAUCUUUUGAAAAUCCUCAACAGCCUAUUGGUCUUGAAAUUCUUGCUUGCUUGCAUUCUGGUUAAUCCAUAAGUAUAGUAAUCUUAUUGGCAUCCUUUGUCACUAUCAUUUUUGAGUCCAUUCAUUCAAUACGUUGCGAAUGCUCACAAUCAUCAGUCGAAUCCUAGGAUUAUCCUUCCGGCUAAGAUGUCAUUUGGGUAUGAGCUGGUUCAUGACCAAUCAAUGCCUUGAUCGGUUGUGCUUCCAAGUCUAUUGAACUUAUUCAUUUUCGAUCACGAAUUAUUUGCUUAUAAUCCCUUGAUUUGGAAAUCAUAAAUUUCGUUGCUUGUAGCUUUGAAUUAGUCAGUUGUUUCUAUAAUCAUAUCUCUAUGCAUUCUUCUUCCUUUGGUUGAGUACCGAUGCUCACCUCAGAUCCCUUGAGGACCAUCAGAUCCUUUGUUGGAUUUUCUCCAACAGUGUCCUUCAUAUUCCAUAACGUUGCGAGUCUUUCCGCGGAUAUAUGAUGCCUUUGGUAAAUUGUAUCCUCUGCUUCUCAACCAUGCUUUGCUUUCGAGCUGGUGGUAUUUACUAUUGAAGCUUGUGGUAUAUGUUUCCACGACACCCUGACGGGUAGAACCUAUGCUUUCCUUAAUAUGUGUGAAAUCAAAAGUUUUCACGAGUCAUACUCUUCUGGUAUUUUGCUAGAUGAAAUUUCAACACUACAACUUAUUCGAAAGUGAGAGGUGAAUGGAAGGUUAUACAUUGAAGAAGUGGUAGUCGACCUAUCAUUAAAGCUUCUCUUAAAUUAAUUAUUCCCUUGGUAUAAGUUCAUCUUAUAUUUAGGAUCCGACCUUUUGCAAUCGUGGUUUCGACCAUGUUCUCCUUUAAAUACCAUUUUUUGUGCAAGUUUAAGCACUUGUCUUUUGCAGAGCAAUACCCUAGUCGAACCUCUACUUUGAUCUAUCGUCGAGUAUUACCCCCUGGUAUCUCAAGAUUGUCAUGGAACCGCAUACCUUCUUAUGAGCUCUUCAUUAAGUACUACAUUCUGACAGUUUCCAAUUUUUCACGGGCUCUGAGUUAUUAAACUCUCAAAGACACUGAUAACUAUACCGAGUCCGCACUAUGGUUCAACAACUCUUAGUAAUCUUCUUUAUGCAUGAGUGUGUACUCGAUCACACUGUUCCUAGUCUGUUUGGCUAUAUCAUUGUCUUGAUGAUUUUAACCAUGCUACUUGGUCCUUAUUCCAGGGGCACCACUUUCGACGACGAGCUAAGCUUACGGUUUGGAGUCAAAGGAAAGUUAGUGCCACGAUUUGUGGGUCCAUACAGAGUCUUGGAACGUAUGGGUGAAGUUGUUUACAACUUGGAUUUACCUGAAGGUUUGUCAGGAGUUCAUGAUGUGUUUCACGUUUUUGCAAUUGAAGAAGUGACAUGCAGAGAUAGCUGAUAUUCCUCUGAGAGAUACGGUGCCCCUGGAAGCAAUUCAGUUGGAGAGUAACCUAAUUUAUGAGGAGAAACCCGUCAGGAUUCUAGAUUUCACCAACUGAGUCACUUGCAGUAAGGUCAUCAAGUUUUGCAAAGUUUAGUGGAGUCACCAUACCGAGGAGGAAGCCACUUGGGAACAAGAAGAAGACCUCCGAAAGGACCACCCACACCUUUUUGCUAGCCAACCCGACUCUCGACGGCGCUAUUCAUCUUAAGGGGGGUAGGUUUGUAACAUCCCAAAUUUCCAUUUGGAUGUUAUUUAGAUCAAUCAUAUGCACUCAUCAUUUGUGCAUAUUGGAAUUUGCUUUAUUUGAAAUUUUGAUCCAAGGGGUCUUAAACGACUCGAGGACAAAUAGAGAGAGUUGGAGGUUUCCCAAAACUCAUUUCUUUUUGAAUUUUUAAAACUUGGAAAUUUGGAUCAAAUUGAUUUACUCAAAAUUCUUUUCUAAUUAUUUGAAAUAAAUAAAAUAAAGAGAGAAGAUAAAAGGACUUCUUCAAAAACAACAAAGAAAUAUUGGAAAAUUAAAUUUUGAAUAAAAAUAUAUUUUAUUUGAUUUUAUUUGCAAGUUUAUUUAUUUUUAUUAGUACUAAAAAUAUUAUUUUUAUUUUAGGCAUCUAGGUCCAGACAAAUCUUCACCUAAGCCUAUUUAAUUAGGAGGGACUAUGUGAACUUUUCUGCAAUUUUUAAAAAUAUGUUUAUUAUGCUUUUUGUAUUUUUCGUAUCUCUGGAAAAAGGUUUUAAAAAAACUUUUGGACAGAACUGGGCAGAAGCCCAGCCAGCCCAGACGCCGCACCGCCUUCCUCCCGUGCGUGGCCUGGACUCGCCGGAGUCCGCCGGGCCAACGGCGCCGGCCGCCACUUCUCCAAGUCGGAGCACCCGCCACCUAUUUAAUGCAUCGUCCCCGGCCCUCGCUUUCCUCCUCCUCAGCCCGUAGCCGCCCCGCCUCCCAUCGCAGCGCCGAGCCAUCGCCAUCGCCGCACCGAGCCGCGCCACCACUACCGCGCACCGCAGCCGCUCCACCCGCCGCCCGAUCCGCCGCUGGAUCCCCGAGCCGCCGCCGGACUCACCGUCGCCCGAGCCCAGAUCCGCUCGACCCGACCCACCGGUUUUCUCGGUCAGGGAAUAAACCGACCCGGUCCGAUCCGGUUUUUUAGUUUUCGGUUUUUCUUUUAAGACCCGGUUUAUUAUUUUUAGUUUAGUUAUUUAGCAAAUGUUUGUUCGUUAAUGUUCUAUACUUUAAAGAUUCAUCAGAUUAGUGUUCGUAGCGGACGUUCGUCUGAUAGAUUUUUCUUUUUCUGUUUUAUUUUUCGGCCAGGGACCCAUCCAUGAAUAUUUUCUUCAUAGAUUAGCCCCUAAUCUUUAAAUCAUCACAACUUUUUACUCGUUUGUCCAAAUUCAACGAAACCAAUGCCAAAUUCUUCGUUAUGAUUCUAUCUAGAUAACCAACUUAACAAUAUUUUUGGAAGUUCAAAAUAUUAUUUCAAACAGAUUUGAGUUUGAACUUCUUCUGAUCAUAACUUGAGUUUCGUAAUUCUGAUUUGGUUGAUUCUUUUUGCAAAUCGAAGCUCUUGACCUAAACUUUCUGUUAAGAUCUAAUACACAUAACUUAAGUACUGUUAGAAAUUGUUUUCUAUUUGAAAGAGUUAUUUUCUUAUUCUUUUGACCUUUCUGAAUCCUUUUCUUUGGUUUUCUUUGCAUCUUCAUGCUUGAGUGCUUAUGUAUGCUAUUGUUUUUCUAUGAUAGAAAUUGUUAUCUAUUCGCUAGAUGGAUUCUUCUCUCUCUUUGAUCUUCAAUACAAUGUUCUCCUCCAUUUCUUGGAGUUCUAUUCGAUGUAAUCUUCUUUUGCGGUGCGUUUUGUUGAUAUUCGAUGAAUUUUGGAUUUUUAUCAGAUUAUCUAUGAUUAUUAUUUGAGUCUUCUCUCAACUCUUUUAUGCAUGAUUAAAAUAGCUUUGUAUUUCUCUCCAAUCUAUUGAUUUGGUUUGGCCAACUAUAUUGAUCUAUCUUGCAAUGGGAGAGGUGCUUUGUGAUGGGUUCAAUCUUGCAGUGUCCUCACUAGUGGCAGCAGGGGUAGCAAGACACGUAUUUGUAUUGUUGCCAUUAAGGAUGAAAAUAUGGGGGUUUUACCAUAUUUAUUGGAUCUAUCCCUCUACAUCAUGUCAUCUUGGUUAAGGCGUUACUCCAUACUUGUUAACUUAAUAGACUAGAUGCAUGCUGGAUAGCAGUUGAUGUGUGGAGUAGUAGUGGUAGAUGUAGGCAGGAGUCGGUCCACUUGUCACGGACAUGAUGCCUAUAUUCAUGAUCAUUGCCUUAGAUACCAUCAUAACUUUGCGCUUUUCUAUCAAUUACUCAACAGUAAUUUGUUUACCCACCAUAUGCUUUCUUCAAGAGAGAAGCCUCUAGUGAAAAAUAUGGCCCACAGGUGUAAUGCCCCGUUUUCAUUUGCUAUGCAUUUGUUCCUGAAGAAUGUUUAAAUAAAAGAAUAAGACAGAGUUAGUAAUUAUUAAAGUGAUGUAAGAAUAGGAAAAGGAAAAAAGAGACACACACACACGAAGAGAGAGAAAGAGAGAGUGCAUGUGAAAUAAAAUCAGCGUGGCAAAAAGAAAAUAAAAGAGAGGGUGUGUAUGCUAGUGUUUGAACCAUGGUCCUCUAGAUAUAUGAAGAAUUUAGAAACCAAUUUCUCUAGGUGCUACUUCUGGUACUAUACCAGGAAACAUAUUAGUUAGCUCCUCUAAAACAAGAGGAAAGAAAUUCUACAUGGGUCCAAGGCCCGGUCGAGCUCGGCCUGAUGGUCAGUCCCACACUGCGCCGCUAUAACCUGCGCCCAAAUCGCCUUUCUCUUCUUUUCCCCUCACCAAAAUAUUCCUCUCGUCUUAUCCAGUUAAGGCCGCAGCCUUCAGGUCGCUACCACUGCUGUGGGUUGCCAUCCCCAUGAGGUUGCUGUUGUUCCGACGCCUCUACUCGUCGAGGCCGUUGCCGGGCAGUUGUGGCUGCUAGGAAUUGUUGAUGCCAGUGGUACGUCCUAGUUUUCCUUCUCUAUGGUGAUGGCUAGGUAAGACUUAGGGAUUUGGGGCAGCAUCUCAUAGAUUGGAAUUAGAUAUGAGAACUGGAGAUGGAUUCCUGAAACACUUUGCAAAUUCGUUGGUGAGCCCAGUGCUUAUAAUUAUUUGGUUUUGCUUCCAGGUCAGACCUCCUCUAUGUUAGUUCCUUUGCUUAGCCAAAUAAGUUAGGGAAGAUAGCCCAUCCAUGAUGUUGUGAGAUGUGGACUGCCUUCUAGCAGAAAAACUAGAGUGUUGGGCAUCUCUGACUGUAAACUGAAUCUGGUUCAGUUAAAACCGCACUGACAAAUCUAGAUAGCCAGUUUCUAGGUGGAAAUUGAGUUAGUUAUGCUCACAAUUUCGAGUUGGCCUCUACAUAUCAGUUGCAAAGCAUGUUCCAAGGUUUCCGUGGAGUACUUACUUGCUUCAUUUGGAUGUACGGUUUGAGAGCAAUCGUCUAUUUGGUUACUGUCCAGAAACACAGUUUCGUGGGUACAGUAUUUUCAUAUGGAAGAUUAGGCCCUGUUGGAGGUGGAAUUAAAAUAAAGUUACAACAUAAAAUUUGUAGAGGAUAUUCUGCAGAUUCUUAAACAUAUAUUAUUUGUUAGAUUCCGUGUUAUACACUAAAUCCUAUGAAAUUAUUAAAAUGACUGUACUAUGACAGACAAAAUUUUAUGUUUGGACUUGGGUGAAUGUAAAUAGACUUAUACUCUCACAUUUUGUCGCCGUUGAUGAUGUGAGGAGUUAUAAUGUGAUAAAGUAUAUAUGAUCUAGGGUCUUGUGUGUAGGAGCGAUGCAAAAUUAUAUAUGCUUAUGUAAUCAGACCAUGCUUUAUUGUGACUGUGAUAUAUGCUUCAUGAUAGGUGGGGGUAUUUUGGAUUCGAACUGGUUGCCUCACAAUUUGUGCCCCGCGGUUGAGGCAAGUUCAUGAUGGGAUAACGACUUGCAUAAUCCCUACACUCUAUUUUAUUUAUGAUAUUUGUCCAUGUGAAUGAUGUUUAUUGUGAUGGAGGUGACGAUGACAAAGACAUGUUGAUUCAAGUACUUUGCUUGCAUUUGCAUAUUUGCAUUCAUGAUGAUAGAGAAAGAAAGAGUACCCUACCUUGGGUAGGCACAUUGAGCAUCCAUUGUUGGGUUGUGACCAGCUUUGGAGGCAACCUCCACGCGCUGGAGUGAGCGGAUGUCGAUGGGCGUCCACUCAAGCAAUACCGGUAUACGCAAUGAAAUGAGAUGAGCAUGUAGGCAUGUAGGACACCAAUACAUGUGUUCAGUGUUGUUGAGUGUAUGUUGUUAACAUAGAUUUAGUGCUUUCUUAUGAGUAUUGUUUAGUAUUCCUUUAUGAACUUGUUGAGUCCUUGUACUCACCCUUGUUGCUUACAUGUUUUUAGGUAAACCAUGAAGAAAACAUGCAUGAGAGUCGUGGGGUAGCAGUAUCACCAUCUUCACUACAGGAAUAUCUCAUAUGUUAACUUCUGGCACCGUGUUUUGAGAGCUUGUAUGGCUUAUACCUUACUUCACAUGGUGGAUUGUCUUGGAAUUCGAGAUUUACGCUUUCGUUCUGUAUGGCUUAACUAAUUUCCACUAAGACGUACAUGAUCGCCUAGAGUUUUGAAGUGGCACUUGGUUAAUGUUGGUAUUGUAGCUUUGCGCUUUAUGCUUGUGUUUGGUUCCUUUUCAUACAUAAUCAUAUGAUUUGUGUGUCAUGGAUGUCCUUAGAUACAGAGAAAGCUUUGUCGAAAUUUCCUUUUAGGGCAUGUUUCCUUUUCCAAGGUCUUAUGUGGUCAUAUUCCAAGCGCCUUGUCGGCUUGGGGUGUUACAGUUGGUAUCAGAGCAGGCUUUAGGUCCUAGUGUAUCUAUAUAGGAUAAUGGCAUAACUUAGUUAUGAAUUUAGGAUUGAUUAAAAAAUUUACUAUAGGAUGAACAACAUUACAAUUGACACACUGGUGCACAAUAGGAUGGAUUGGGCCAUGCAUUGCAUUACGCUUAAGUUAAUGUUUUUCUUUAAUUUUGGGAUACUUAUGUCGGCAUAUGAUCAUGACUUUUGGG
rnacentral:lncRNA from 1 species